rnacentral:lncRNA from 1 species
CCAUCACAAGGUAGGAUAAGAACUUGUGAUUGAUCUUUAUGGAUUGGACUAAUUAAUUAAUUGGAACCUAAUUAGGCUAAUUAAUUAAUUAAGACCUAAGCAAACUAGUUUAAGUUACACAAGCCUAGGAUGGACUUAAGUGACUUAAGCCCAUGGGAAGCUUAUAUAAACUCCUUUAGGGGUUAGGGUUUCAAACUUUUAUCAUCUAGUCUUCAAUUCCUUAAAGAGAAUAGAACUCGAGCCAACAACUCUCCUAAAGGAUUCUAUUGCUCCGUGUCAAGAUUCGAAAAAAAACUAUUUGAUGGAAGGUUGUUAUGUUUAUGAGAUUCGUUAUGUUUUUUUACACCUUUUCACUAAAUGGAAUUGAUAUAGGAAUGUUCAUAUCUCAAGUGCAACACACUUAUUCUCUUUAGAUUUAUAUUGCUUAUGGUUUUUUUUUUUUUUGUCAUGGUUUUCCGUUAAGAUUAGAUUAAGAGAGCCCUAUGUCAUAGAAUGCUUCAAAUGAGCCUCCCCGGGGGUUUGUAUAGAGCCCAUGAAGCUUCUAGAGACUCCUAUACUUAGCCAUUGGUGGGAAGAGUGUGAAAGGUUCUACAGAUGUCUAGAGAUAUUUACACAUCUCUACACUAUGGUGGAAGGCAUGAGAGGAGUCUAAGGCAUUCUAAAGAAUUAUAAAGAUCUCUUAUAUAUUCUUGUACAUAGGCUUGUACAUAGAAUUGUGUAGGAAGUUAUAGAUUAUUCUUGAGCUGUAAGGAACCCUCCAAGGUUCCAGAGAGUUCCAUUGGUGCCUAUAAAUAGGUGAAUGCCUCAUUUGGCCAAGACACUAAGCAAGUGAAUUCCAAAACACUUGUAAAGCUUCCUUUGAAUAAUAAAAGUUUCAAUUCUUCAAGAGUUGCCUAUUAUGCCUUCUAAAACUUCUAAGUCAUGAGCAUCUUAACCUAACAAGUUAAGCAUUGGGAGUAAUGCUAACUUAGCAAGAUCAAGGAUCUUGACUUGUCUAAGUGUUGCACGAUCUUAGGAAAAGAUUAAGUUUGUGACAGUUGGUUUCAAAGUGUGACUACGAAGUGAGCAUAGUAAAGGAAACAUGUCGAGCUUCAACAUGGAGGAAACUAGUGAGCAAACCCGUGGGAAAGAAACCGAGCCUACUGCAUAGGACAGGGACAUGAAGGAUAAAUCUCGUAAUGCCAUAGCCAACGUGGAGGCAAGGCUAGCCAAGGUGGAGCUAGCCAUGGCAGACACCCGGGAAGGGGUGGACUUAAUCGAGCAAGGCAUGGAAAAUGGCUUAGAGGAUCUAAAUGAGCAUAUCCAAGACCUUCAUGAGAGAGUGCUAGGCUUACAAGUUCGGCCGAUGUCAUAUGAGGAGUUCAUGUCCUUCCAAAACGAGGUCAUGAGCAUGUUUGCUAGCAUGGAGUCGAAGGUGGAGGCCUUGGCUGCACGCAUAGAGGCCCAAGACCAAGAGGUUCAACAAGAGCUAGCUAUCUACAAGACUGUCUUAUCAGCACGAGUCAUGGCCACUCAUGAGGCACUAAGGGUGGAAGUGCCCAAACCACACACGUUCAAUGGCAAGAGGGAUGCCAAGGAGUUGGACAAUUUCUUGUGGCACAUGGAGCUCUACUUUGAGGUUAUAACACUAAUAGAUGAAGCCACUAAGGUAUGUACCACAACCCUCUACCUCACCAAUAAAGCUACUCUAUGGUGGCGUCAGAGGUUUGCCAAUAUAGAAAAAGAAAUGUGCACCAUAGACACAUGGGAUGCCUUUAAGCAAAAGAUCAAAAAACAAUUAUACCUUAAUGAUGUGGCUUACCUAGCAAGGAAAAACACAAAAUGUCUUAAGCACACAGACUCGAUCCGUGAGUAUGUCAAAGAAUUCUCUACACUUAUGCUUGAGAUACCCAACAUGUCUGAGGAAAAGCUACUAUUCAACUUCAUGGACAACUUGCAAAGCUGGGCCGAGCAAGAGUUAAGGAGAAGUGGUGUCCAAGACCUAGCCACGGCCAUGGCGGUAGCGAAGUCCUUGGUGGAAUACAAAAAGGGAGACUCUUUUAAGCCCAAGCCACAGUCUAAGGGUAAUCAUGCUAAAGGUGGGGAAACAAGGGAUCAAGGAGGUACACUCCUAAGGAAUGAUCAAGCAAGACCUCUGGUGGCAAGGAUGGUAAGGGUAAGGAUAAACGGAAAUAGUUCACGCCUAAGAUCAAUUGCUUCCUAUGUGAUGGUCCACAUUGGGCGCGAGACUACCUCAAAAGAAAAGCCCUAAAUGCCAUGAUCGAGGAAAAGUAGAAGGAAGACAAUGCUCAUGUGGGAUCAUUACAACUCUUAAAUGAUAUCAAGGCUAAGUCAGUGCUUAAGACACCUCAAAGUAAAAGUCUAAUGUACAUAGAAGCCCUUGUAAAUAGGAAGGCUACCAAGGCUUUGGUGGACACUAGUGUCACUCAUAACUUUGUCUCGAAGGAUAAGACAAAGAACUUAGAGCUCCAAGCAUCUAAGGAAGGAGGUUGGCUCAAGGCAAUUAAUUAAGUUUCCAAGCCAUCACACGAAGUAGCACGCAGGGUGGCAAUGCACAUUGGCUCAUGGGAAGGAAUGGUCGACUUCACAGUGGCACCCAUGGACUACUUCAAGAUGGUACUGGGAAUGAACUUCCUAUAGAAAGACAAGGUCAUGCCACUACACUUCCUACAUUUAAUGGUUAUCCUAGAGGAUGAAAAGUCAUGCAUAGUCCUUACGGUCACCGAAGGUUCACCCAAGACCCCUAUGAUAUCGGUUAUGCAAGUAAAGAAGGGAUCAAAGAGGAAAGAGGUGACCUACCUCACCACUCUUAAGGAGGAAAAUGAUGAUGAGUUGGGGGAGCCCAUGCCUAAGGAAAUCAAGAGAGUCUUUGAUGAGUUCAAGGACGUGAUGUUGCCUAAGUUGCCUAAAAGACUCCUUCCUAGAAGAGAGAAAGAUCAUAAGAUCGAGUUAGAUGCAGGAACUAAGCCCCUUGCUAUGGGGCCAUAUAGGAUGGCACAACCCAAGCUGAAAGAGCUAAGGAAACAACUUAAGGAGUUGUUGGAUGCAGGGUUUAUCCAACCAUCCAAGACUCCCUAUGGCGCACCGAUUUUAUUUCAAAAGAACCAUGAUGGGUCCCUACAGAUGUGCAUCGAUUACCAAGCACUCAAUAAGGUAACAAUAUAGAAUAAGUACCCCAUUCCACUCAUUGUUGAUCUAUUUGAUCAACUUGGUAAAGCAAGGUAUUUCACUAAGUUGGACUUGAGAUCAGGCUACUACCAAGUGAGGAUUGUGGAAGGAGACAAACUGAAGACUACAUGUGUGACCCGAUAUGGCUCAUAUGAGUUCUUAGUGAUGCUCUUCGAUCUCACCAAUGUACCAACAAUGUUUUGGACACUCAUGAAUAAGAUCUUCCAUCCCUAUUUAGACUAGUUUGUGGUGGUAUACUAAGAUGACAUAGUCAUCUACAAUAGCAUCUUAGAGGAGCACGUGGAGCAUUUAAGGAAGGUCUUCAAGAUCUUAAGGUAAAACGAGUUAUAUGUAAAGAAGAAGAAAUGCUCAUUUGUUAAAGAGGAUGUGAGCUUCCUAGGGCAUCGCAUCAAAGAUGGCAAGCUGAUGAUGGAUGACAACAAGAUGAAGGUCAUCUAGGAAUGGGAUCCACCUACUAAGGUACCUCAACUAAAGUCUUUCCUUGGCUUGGCUAACUAUUACCAGUGGUUCAUCAAGGGUUACUCUACAAAGACAGCUUCACUCACUAAUCUUCUUAAGAAGAACAAGGCAUGGGUGUGAGACAAAAGGUGGCAACAAGCCUUUGAAGAUCUAAAAAGUGUUGUGAUUGAGGAGCCAAUGUUGGCAUUACCCAACCACAUGAAGGUUUUUAAGAUACACACAGAUGCCUCAAACUUUGCUAUUAGGGAAGUUCUGAUAAGAUAGACAUCUAAUCGCCUUCAAGAGUUGCAAGCUAAAUGACAUAGAGAGACGCUACAUGGUACAAGAAAAUGAUAUGACUGUCAUUGUCUAUUACUUGCACACCUGAAGACACUAUCUUCUAGGGUCUCACUUCAUAGUGAAAACCGACAAUGUUGUCAUUAGUUACUUCUAAACACAGAAAAGUCCUAAGUAAGCUAGGUGGCAAGACUUUCUGGUUGAGUUUGACGAUGCGCUGGAGUAUAAGACAAAAAGUACUAAUCAUGUGAAUGACGCCCUAAGCCGUAAUGUAGAGCUAGCAUUCAUGACGAGCCAGCCCCAAUGAGACAUAAUAGAUCUUCUAAGAGAGGGGUUGCAACAUGAUCUAGUGGCUAAGAGCCUUAUUACCUUGGCCCAUGAGGGAAAAACUAAGUGUUUUUAGGUAGAGGACGACCUACUCUACACUAAGGGGAGACUACUCUACGUGCUUAAGUGGGGGAACAUAAGGUAGAACUUGAUUAAGGAGUGCCAUGACACCAAGUGGGUUGGGCACCUUGGGCAACGACGCAUAAAGAGCACUACUCGAGUCAGCUUACUACUGAUCUUAGAUACAAGAUGAAGUUGAGGCAUAUGUGAGGACUUGUCUUGUGUGCUAACAAGACAAGGUAAAACAACAACAACCUAGAGGCUUGUUGGAGCCACUACCUAUAGCAGAGCGUCCAUGGGAGAGCAUCACCAUGGACUUCAUCAUCGGGCUACCUAAGUUGGAGGGCUAUGGCUCGAUCAUAGUGGUAGUGGAUAUGUUCUCUAAGUAUGUGACCUUCAUAGUAGCCUCUACUGACUGUACUGCAAAGGAGACAGCAAGGCUAUUCUUGAAACACAUGGUCAAAUACUGGGGGUCGCCUAAUUACAUCAUCAGUGAUCGCGAUUUGCAUUUCACUAGGAAGUUUUGGACAAAGCUCUUUAAGCUUAUGGGUUUGAAGCUUCACUUCUUCACAAGCUUUUCACCCGUAAACAGAUAGGCAGAUUGAGAGGGUGAACGCCUUAUUAGAGUUAUACUUAUCCUUCAUGAGUGUCAACCAAAAGGAAUGGACUAAGUUGCUAGAUGUAAUCCAAUUUUCAUACAACUUGCAAAGAAGUGAGACAACCAACAAGAGCCCGUUCAAGCUAGCCAUAGGGCAGCAACCAUUGACUCCUCACACACUACCAAUAGGCUAUACGAAGAGAAGUUCAGCGGCUUUGAAGUUCACUAAGGGGUGACACGAGCCAACUGACAUAAUAGCUCAUACUUGGAUAGGGCCGCUAGAAAGAUGAAGAAGUGGGCUGACAAAAAGCGACAUCACACUGAGUACAAGGUCGGAGACAUGGUCUUUGUCAAGCUCCUUCCUAAAAAAUUCAAGUCACUAAGGCCGGUACAUAAAGGCCUUAUGAUGAGGUAUAAAGGACAUUUCCCCAUACUUGGAAAGGUCGGCAAGGUGUCCUAUAGAGUUGAGUUACCACCGAGGUUGAAGAUUCAUAUCGUCUUCCACGUAAGUUACAUAAAAUCAUAUCACGAAGACAAGAAUUAUCCAAGCCAAGGGAUGUCCUAGAUGACACCUACAUCGAUUAUGACCUUCUAUGACAAGGAAGUAGAACACAUCAUUGCAGGCUGAGUCAUCAAGAGAUGAGGCGUGCCUCCUGCUACGGAGUACUUGGUGAAAUGGAAGGGACUACCAGAGAACGAGACUAGCUGGGAGCCAAUAGAUGCACUAUGGCAAUUUCAGGAGCACAUUAAGUGGUUCUAGGUGGAAGGUGCGACAAGGACGUUUACGGUUUAGGUAGGGGAGAGUGUCAUAGAAUGCUUCAAAUGAGCCUCCCCAGGGGUUUAUAUAGAGCCUAAGAAGCUUUUGGAGACUCCUACACUUAGUCAUUGGUGGGAAAAUGGUGGAAGGUUCUAAAGAUGUCUAAAGAUAUCCACACAUCUCUACACUAUGGUGGAAGGUAUGAGAGAAGUCCAAGGCUUUCUAGAAAAUUCUAGAGAUCUCUUGUAUAUUCUUGUACAUAGGCUUGUACAUAGAAUUGUGUAGGAAGUUUUAGAUUAUUCUUGAGUUGUAAGGAACCCUCCAAGAUUCCAAAGAGUUUCAUUGGUGCCUAUAAAUAGGUGAAGGCCUCAUUUGGCCAAGGCACCAAGCAAGUGAGUUCCAAAGCACUUGUAAAGCUUCUUUUAAGUAAUAAAAGCUUCCAUCCUUCAAGAUUUAUCUACUACGCCUUAUAAAGCUUUCAAGUUGUGAGCAUCUUAACCUAGCAAGCUGAGCAUUGGGAGCAAAACUGACUUAGCAAGAUCAAGGGUCUUGACUUGUCUAAGUGUCGCACGAGCUUAGGAAAAGACUAAGUUCAUGACACCUAGGACUAGUAGCAUGCACCCUAAGUAAUCCAAGGCUAGAAAUGAAAUGAUACAAGGAUUCCCAACACUUGACUUAAUUCCUUAGAAAUUGAAACUCAAUAAAAAACAUUAGUGUCAUUAACCUCAUUUUUUUUAUUACCAAUACUUAAUUAGGGGAAACCUUGAGCUAACAACCUCCUCAUUUUUUAUGAUGAUAAAACUGUACCAUCUAAAGAAAGCUUUCCUUAAUGUAUGCAUAUUAUAAGCAAUUUAAACAUUCAUCAUAAAAGAUGGAAAACAUAAACUCAAAUGGAGACAUGGAUAUAUAGAUAUAAGAGACAUCAUAAAGGUUGCAACAUGAUCGUAUAUCCGAAAUAGCAUCCAAAAGCAUGUCAUCCAAAAAAAAAUCAACCAUAAUAACCAUGUUCAAAUUGUCCCAAAAAGGAAAAAAAUAUAUAUAUGAAACAAAAAGUAUUAAAUAGUUUACUAAAUGUUAUGCCCUAGAUACCUAAAGAUAUCUCCCCCUUAGGCAACAUCGAAACAAUGAGGGAACUAUAUGGCUCAAGGUUGAGGUGGUGGAAACAAGGAACAUAGGACAGCUAUUGAAGAAGCUAAAAUUCUUCAUAAAUGAUUGAAUUUUAUUUCACCAUGAGAAACAAUACAAAGAGGGAUUUUUUUUUUUUUUUUUUUUUUUUUAUCAAGGGGAAGACCCCUUUCUCUUUACUACUUAUCCCUUUUAAUAAAAAUUCUUCCACAUUUUUCCACUUUAUUUUGCCAACAUUCUUUCAACCCCUUUUGCACAAAAAUGCCAAAGAUAGUAUUAGGAUAACCUUUUACAACCAUUGCUAACUUUUGACACAAGUUGCUAAAAAUUGUUGAAGAUUUGCUUUUAAUGUCAGGUAGGAUAGCAGAUUGGUUCUAAUUGAAGGUCAUUUCUUGUGGAGGACCUUACUUAUAAGUGAGAUGAUUGUUCCUAUCUUCAUGGUUUUAUGUUGUAUAGUUAUAGAGACUUUUUAGAGGCUAUCAGCUUUAGAGCAAAUUUAUGUUGUUUGUUAGGGAUUAAGUAUUUUAUUCAAAUUGGGUGAAUGGUACUACCUCUUUACUUGAGAUGGCUUUGAGAUUGGGUGGUUGAAUAGUAGUACUUUGGAAUGGUCUAGUUUUUGUUCGCUUUAGCUAUCAUUUUCUUAUGCUGUGUCUAUAGACGAGUGGAGACGUCAUUUGGAAAUUGGUCAAAUUGCCCGUGAAAUUGAUCAAAUUGUCAAGUUGUCAUCCUAAAAUUGACUAAACCUAGUUUGUAAAAAUGAGAAACGACCGUCACUAGCGACUAACAUCUUCUCAAGCUAAGUAUUAAUAGAUCCAAUCUGAGCAUAAAGGGCAUCUUAAUGUUGCAGGUUCAAUGCUCAUGAAGCAUAAUAUUUUGGAUACUUGGUGUGAGACACCUCAGCAUAAGUCUAAUCCAUAAGGAUAGUCUCCUCAGGAGGUUGAGAUGUGGGCAAUUGAAUGGUGGCAUCCAUGCCCUUGGUUUGCAUCUCCUGUUGAACAUCCUCACCCCCUAAUCCUUUAUGGUCACCCUCAGUCUCUAUCUAUAGAAUCUCUGCCUCUUACUCAACCCGGUCUUCAUUCAUAGCAGGACCCUUUCUUUUUCUUUCCAAUGAUCCAUUAGGCAAUUUCUCAAACAGCAUUCGGUCUGGAUUUUACGUUAUAGGUAUCAUAGGAUGAGGCCUGAAUGUUUUUUUCUCUUCUUAUGUCCACAUUGAAUGCUUUCAGGAUUUUUGUGAUCAGUCUUCUUCCGUUGGCCACUACUUUAGAAUUGCUUUUACAACAGUUUUUCAUGUGUUGAAAGAUGAUAAGGAAACCUUAGAAUGGAUCGGAGUCAAUAGAAAAUGCUACAUAAUAGGACACCUUGUCUCUAUGUCCACCCUUAGGUAGAAAAAUAUGUUUGAUCAUGUGGUGGUGCACCCUAGAGAUAAUGCUCAAGGCAUGGGCAUGGAGCUUUGAAGUCACUGUGUCGAUGGGUAAGUUACAUAUCCUCUAGAAAGCCCUACCUAGGUUAAAACUAGACACUAUAGGCCAUCCCUUCGUCUCAAAUAAACAAAGUCCCCCACAAAGGAUCUCCAAAAUAUCACAAAGCAUAUCAAUAUUUAGUUUAAUUCAACUCCUCUAACAAAUGUGCUAAUUGGCCUUCAUAUAUUUUAGGUUCAAGUAAAAUACCUGAACAAGGUUGGGGUAUGUAGGCUCUCUUGAUGAGAUGGUAUUGGUGAGUAUUUUUUUUUCUUCAAUACAAAACUAUUACAACACUUGGUUUUUUUUUUUUCUAAAAAAAAAAGAAAAAUAAAAAUAGUUUUAUAUUAUACUUAGUUUCAAGAAAAAUAAUAAUCAAAGCAAAAUGAAAAAAAAAUUCUCAUAUUGGUUUCUCGUGAAAAAUAUAAAAGCAAAUAAAAUACAAUUAAAAUUAAUUAAAAUCUUAUGUAUUUUUAAAUUAUUAAUUUUUAUAUAAAAAAUGAAAAAUAGUAUAAUGAAUUUAGAAGAAUAUAUAAAAAUAAUGUAUUAACUUUAAAUCUUUUUUUCUUUAUAUAUAUAUUUUCCCUUCAAUUUUCUAAUACCAACACAUAAUAAGGUUAAUGUCUUCUAGCCAACCAAUUGUAAGUCAAUUUUCAUAGAGCUUUUUUUUUUUUUUUUUUUUACAUGCCACCAAGUAGUUAUAUAAGCAUUUUUGCAUGUUAUUGUUAUCCAACAUACAAUAACUAUAACAUCCAAUUAUUAUGAACAUGAACAAUAAAAUUAGAUGCAACUAACUAUUUAGUGUAUAACAAGAAGUUGGUGAAGUAAUUCAUCCUAACAUGAUUCAACAAUUUUUGUUUAUUUUUCAAGAUUAAUUAUAACAUACCCAUUCUAUUAAAGUUGUUGAGAUAUUUGAGCAAAACUAAAAAUCAACAUUAAUUCAUUUUAUACCCACAAGAGAAAUAAGAUUUGUUUUUUUGUUUGAUAAUAAAGUAGUUGUAGUUAUUAAUGAUAAUUUUGAUCCUAAUUUAAUAGGUAUCCAAAAAAAAAGGAAAAAUGCAAGUAAACCAAUUCUUAUCUAACACAAUUAUUACCACCUUAAAAUCCUGAGGGGUAGCUCAGUUGAUCAGUUCGAGUCCCUUUAGGACCAUGAAAAGCUUACCCGAUGGUUCACCUUAAGAAAAGCAAAGCAUUUAUAUAAUUCAACUGGUAGUUGAUAAGUCUUAGAAAGGGUUUUGCCAUCAUUGGCUUCUCAGUAAAGGGCAAAUUUGGGUUGUGGCUGACAAUUAUUGAAUUUGUGAAGAAAUAUGUGAAGAAAGGAAACAAAAAGAGUUGAGGACAGAAUUCUUCAAUUAAAAAAUGGUUAGCCCAUGAACCCAUUCUUCAAACAGUAAGCCAAUGAGCCAAUGAGCCAAAAAGAAAGAAGAACAGCUGGUUUCAUCUUUUUAUCUUAAUGACUUUGACAACCCAUCUUUCUUUUAAAUACUUGUGACUUUGGAAUAUAAUUAAAAUGAAACUUUGGAAUGCCCACAUCUGAUUCACGGCCUUUUUACCUGUUUUCUUGUUUAACAUUUUUUUAAAUAUUAUAACAGAUGGAAAAACAUGAUUCUAACAGGCUGGAAAAUAGUGGAAGUUGGAACACCAACCAUAACCAAACUAUACCUUCCAUCUUUCUCCAACACUCGGAAUUAUUGAUACAAGUUGGUGGUUUUAUGAUUGUUUCUAUUGAGGGGACCCCUCUCCAUUUCCAAUUUCAAUGGAAAGGUUCUUCUUUCCCUACUUUUUUUUUUUGUUUUUCAAAUUCUUGUAGUUUUGUCUGUCUCUCUCAACAAAGCAAACUGCAAUCACUAAUUCAAAGAAAAGGAAUCCUAAAUGAAAAGAAAAGAAAGGAAAGGAAUGGUAAUUUAGGCUAUGAUGAUGCUCCUAUAUAAUGGCUGUAAGUCAAUAACAACACACUGGACCCGCCUCCUAUCUCAAAAGAUCACAAACCCAAAUAUCAUAUACUUCCAAAUUUCAAUUUGGUUCCCUGUUUAUAUCACAAUCUGUCCUAUAUCCUCUUAAUACAUCUAAAAUCUCUCUAUAUCAUAAAAAUAAUGAUGGAAAAAAAAAUUAAAAAGAAAGAAGGAAAAAAUGACAAAAAAAAAAAAACCUUGGUGCUGCUAUGGGUCCAUAGGAAUUGGCAGGACUGCACUUCUGGAUCCCCUUCCAUGGCCAAAAGAAAAGAAUGAUCUUCGGAAUCUGCUGCUGCAACCUUCACUAGGGCUGAAGUCACUGACAGGCCUGUUCUGUUGCAAAAUCUCUUGAAUUGCUAAAUACAGCUGCCUGUCGUUGGAUGAGUCCAUUGAAAAAGACCUCCUGAUGGGUUGGAUUGAGAACUGAUCAUCUUUGCCUCUAGUGUCAAUGCACUCAUCACCCAUGCUUGCAACAUGAUGAAACUUCCUUGCCUUUUUAGGCACAAUUCUCUGCUCUAGCUUCCUAGGUGAUGGACUAAUUGAUGGCGCAGAUAACUCUCUGGAAUUCAGUCUUUCUGGUGGCCUAAGCAGUGAUGAAUCAGCAGAACUAUCAUUUCCCAAUUCAAUUACUACAAAAUCUUCAUCCCCUCCUAUGUAAUUAUUGGCGUAGGGGCUUGGAUCUUGGGGGGAAGAGCUAGGAGCAAUGAUUUGGUGAACAGGAAACCGGGGUGUGGUUGAAAUGCUUGUUCUGCAAAGUGGGCAAUUAGCAUUGCUUUGAAGCCACACGUCUAUGCAAUCUAUAUGAAAUAUGUGACUGCAGUUUGGUAUGAUUCUUAGCUUCUCUUCUUCUUGAAACUCAUUCAAGCAAACCGCACACUCGCAAUGGCUUCUUUCUCCAAACUCUCUGCCACCUCCUUUCCUGAACUGGAAUAUUGGGAUUGAUCUGAUGACUGACUCGUCCAGGCCUCGACUCUCGAUUGCUGGGGAGUACACCAUUAAAGGGUCUUCCGGGUGCCGACUCCUUGAGAAAGAAAAUCGUCUCAGCAGAUCAAUCCGGUGCCAAUUGAGGCAGCAUUUGAUUACAAAGAUGUAGUAGCUCACCAGCAAGAAAGCAGUGGCCAGGAUUCCUAUUACGGCAAUGGCUAUAAUGGGGAAACUGGUGUCCGAGGAAUGAGAGGGAGAAGGAAGCACUGAGCUCGCCUGGCUUUUGAUGGGAGAAAAGGCUUGUGAUCCAUGGAUGGAGGAGUCUGUGCUCACAAGAUCCAUGAGAGAGGCUAUGAAAAACAUUUAGAAAUGAGUCUAUUCGGAUCUUCAAUUCACAGAAACAUGCAAAUGCUAGAAUAAAAUCGACAGACACUCAGAUAUAGACCCUACAGUUGUAAUGCAGCAUACCAUAAAUGUGAUUGAGUGAGUGAGGCUGAAACAGCAAAUGGGUCACUUCAAGAUCUCAACAAGACAGAAAACCCAUGUUGAAUUCACCAGGAGAGUAUUGAAAAGGGAAAAAUUAAGGACAUAUAGCUGUAUUGAAAGUUGAAACAAAUGCAGAAACAUAGAGAAGAGAGAGAGAGGGAGAAAACCCAGGAGGGUUGAAUGAGAGCGCUGCUGGGGAAGACAUCAAAACGCUUCAAAUUCAAUGAGAAUCUGUUGGGGACCUCUUUAAGAGGACUGCACAAAGCCUGAGCGUAGGGUACGUGGUUGGUUGGUGAAUUUCUCGGCUUCCAAAAGAGAAAUUUGGUGAGAAAAUUUUCAAGUCUCUUGAUUAUAGUAACGUAGCGUUUAUUUUAAUUUUAUGUAACCGAAACUAAUGGGCUGGUUCAAAAAAAUAAAAAAUAAAAAAAGGAACUUUCUAGGAUAGGCCAGCAGUCCACCGUUGGUCAUGUGGUUUCUUUUGCAUGUCCACAUCUUCCAACUAGUGGAGGUCCCUGUCACAACAGUAAGAAAACACCCAAUUGAAUAAAAGUAUGAACUUUUGGCUCCCAAUAUUACUUAUGCCCUCAUUCAAUACCUCAAAUAAAGCAGAGAUUUUGUGUCCCAACUUUUAUGAUUUCAUUUCAUCUUACUUCAAAUGCUAAUGACAAAAGUCCAAGUAUAUUCUGUAAUCACCCACACCCCAAUAGUUUUGAAUCACACUUGAAAUAGUUCCCAUGCUUUCUUAAUAAUUUAGAUAAUUAUUUACAGAAAAAAAAAUUCAGAACAGGAUGAUAAUCAUUUUGUGAUAGCAUGGAAGAAACUUUACUAGCCACUUUGGCCCCAUGAAGUUGAGUACUUGAUGCCAAUUAAUGGCAGGGUGGAAAAUAGAGAAAAGGGAUCAUAGUCAAAUCUAGAGUACAAGGCAUUGAAUCUUUGUUAAUAAUUAACAAAUGGGUAAAGCAUGGGUCACAGGGUCUACAGUUUGGAUUGCAAAAACCUCAGGCUUCUAUAAAAAGCUCAUCCAUUAUCAAUCAUCAAUCUGAAAGCCAGAAAGUCCAAGGCACAUGCAACCCACGACAGGGGUAAGAUUUCUGCAUCAUGUCCCUGAGUUGCAUUCACAUCAUAUGUUUCCCUCCGGGCCGUUCCAAUUUGAAAUCUCAUGGAAAUCUUCAAGAGCAAGGCUACAGAGUUUAAGAUAAUACUAGGGGUGGGUCCUGAUGGGAAAAGAGGUAGUGUAGGAUAGUCAAUAAAGGGCAUGUGUCUCUGGUGUGAAGUCAAAUCCAGUGUACCAUCCUCAAUGGAAAAUUUAGAAAUAGAACCGACACUCUACAGACUGCCGUGUUGACAGAUUAGAGAAAGACAAACCCACUUACACUUGCCUCAAAACCCAGUCCUGCCAUUUCAAAGGCAAAAAAAAAGGGUUUCUUUUUAUAGUCAAAGGUUGAGGCCUGGCCUGGCCUAGCAAAGAAACUUCACCUACUCUUUUCUUAUUUUUCAAAUUAAGGCCAUUCAACUUUUCCUGUUUGCAGGCUUGCUGCCAUAUCUUACUCCAAAAAAGGUGAAAACCCAAAAGAAAAAGAGUGUUUGCUUCAAUGGAAAACUCAUGUUUAAUAAAUUCACCGCACGAGUUUUGUUCCAGCUUUUCCUAUGAAAGCUGUGAUGCGUUUGGUAUGAAGUUGAUUUUGUUCCUAAAAAUUUUGAUCUUGGCGUGGAAGGCAACUUUUUCCUUUUCCCCCUUUUUCUUUUUGAAAAGUUCGGCAUUAGUUACCAAAUGUCCUUUUACUUGCAUGUAGGACAGCGGAAGCAUUACACAUCGCAGCAAAAUCCCAUUUACCCGAAUUUUCCACUAACUCUUUUUAUUUUUUACCAUCAUUUUUUAAUAGAAGUGAUGCACUCUUCAAAUUACAUGAAGCUUUUAAGAAGGUAAUAACCCGUUUCAAAGCGAACUUAACCUACAGAGUAUGUUUUAAAAAUAUUUAGGUAUUUGAUAAAAUUUAAAAAAUAUUUUUUAAAAUCUUUAAAAUGAUUUGUAAUAUUGAAAAUUUAUUUAUACUUUUUUUAAUAAAAAAACAUUUUAUAGGUAAUUUUUCUAAAAUACUUUUAGAGAAAAUGUCUUCCCUUCACUAUAAAUAUUAUAUACUAUCAAAUACACUUUAAAAAUCUGUUUAACAAUAAUUUUAUAAAGUGUUUUUAAUUUUAAAAAUAUUUUUAAAAACAAAUUAAAUUUUUGAUAAAAUUUAAAAAAUCUUUUUAAAAAUUUUGAAAAAUAUCUCGUAAUAUUAAAAAAUAUAUAUAUUUAUAAUGUUUUUUAUAUAAAUACUCAAAAUUCAUUUAAUAGUGAUUUUAGGAAAUGUUUUUAAUAUUUCUAAUACUUGAAAAUUUUUUAUCAUUUAAGUAUUAAAAAUAUUAAAAACACUUUAUAAAAUCACUUUCAAAUGGACUCUUAAUGAUUUUACUAAAAACACUUUUCAUAGAAAACAUUUAUAAAAAAUAAUUAUGAAAUACACUCUAAAUUAAGUAAAAGUUGUUUUUAACAUUACCACUAUUUAUUAAUAGUGCAUUUGUUUAAAAUAUUUAUAUGAAAAAUUCAUUAGGGUGGGAUAUAAAUAUAGAAGUGUUUUUCUUUAUAUAUUUUUUAUAAUAAAAAAUGAUUUUUGAAAUUAUAAAAUUUGAAUUUAAGAAUCAUUUGAUAAUAAUUUUUGUUAAAGCACCUUUAAUACGUGGUGCUUCUAUUGAUAGCGCUUUCAUUUCUAUGAAUGGCUAUAAAUUAUAUUUGAAUAAAUUUUUUAUAAUGUAUUAUAUAAUAAAAAAAAAGUCAUUUUUAAAAAAAUUAUACAUUAAAUGAUUAUUCAAAUAGUAUUUCCUAAAUUUUAUUAAACAUUUUUUUCAAAAAAAAAAAAAAAGUUUUCAAAUACUAGAAAACGUUUUUAAUCUCUCACACGAUCACAUCCAAACAAGUCCUAAUGCUACUCCUAGAAACACUCCAAAACAAAAGUCUUCCUCUAUUAAUGUUCAUAAAAUCCACAUAUAUUCUUCCAUCGUUUUUUCAAAAUUCAAAAUCAUUUCUAAAACAUCAAAUCAUGUUCUUUGGAUUGGCUGACUUGUUUUUUGAAAAUAGAAGGCUCAUUAUUGACGUCCGUUGACUUCAUAACCCAGUCUUGAUCUCUUGAUGGAGGGCAUAAAUGUAAAUUGGACGAAACCCUAGGGUGCGCUAGAGUGUAGAGGAUGAAAGGUUGGAAAAAGGAUGAGGUGGGGGUGUAAUAAAGAGGAGGGUUGGGAGAAUGGGACAUGUGUAGGUGAAGCAUUAAAUUCAAGACUAUGCUUACCAACAACAUAUAAAUAAAUAAAUAAAUAAAUAUAGGAACAGCACAUGGGGUGAGUAGGAGACAUCAGAAGAUGUGAACAACCCCUUGUCAGUCCAAUUUGCGUCUUUUAUCUACUCUAUUAUCUAUAUCGAUUUUCGUAUUUAUUUAUUUAUUUAUUUAUUUUUACCAUUUGAUUUUGCAUGGAUGUCGAAGGGUUUAUUGGCUGCCACGUGUAGGGUUAUGGUCAAGAUCACGUGGGGUGCCUACAUGGGAGUCACGUGAGUGCAUGAGGCAGGCUUGAAUUGCAGGAGGAGCAGGAGCAGAGCAGUGGCUGUUGUCUUAAGACUUUGCUCUCUUGGUGGAACUGCAGCUUAAGCAGCAUCCACGUGUUGUCACGUGCAAUGCGAGCCAUCCACACCACCAGUUUCUUUUUAGUGAUUUUCUAAAGUCAGUUAAGGUUGCAGUCAAUACCUUCAAAUGUUGACAGAGUUAGGGAUCUUUGUUAAAUGGAUUUUAUUAAGAUAUUAGUAAGUUAAUUAAUUGAGGGUCAACAUAACAGAUGGGUCGGGUUGGGUUGAAUCUGAAUUUAAAACGAUUUAAUUUAUGUUUAAUCAAAUUUAACAUUUAACUCGAAGCACUCAACUUAAGUUUAAUUGAAUCUUAGUUUUCAAAACAUUAUUUAAAUUUGGGUCAUUUGGAUUAAAGUCAAAUGGGUUAGAUUAAUCGGGUUAUAUGGUUCAAAAUCCACUUACCUUAUUUUUUAUACAUUAAUAUUAAAAUUUAAAUAAAAAAUAUUAGAAGAAAUUUCAAACUUGGGAUUAGUUGAUUGUAGCCAUGCAUUUGGAUGUUGGUAUUCUUGUUUCUUGUCUUGUUUCCAAAUACCCUUUCAAAUCGCUUUGUUAUUCAAUAGCAUCCUCCCGAUCAUUUAAAAAUUUAAAGAGCAUUGGUAUGAUGGAGGAAUUCAGAAAUUUUAGUUGAAUAAGUAAAAUUUUUCUCUCAUAAAACCAAAUAGCCUCUAUAGCUCAGUGGUAGAGCGUCAGUCUUGUAAACUGAAGGUCUGUAGUUCGAUCCUGCAUGGAGGCAACUUUUUAUAUUUCAUGAUCCAUUAUGCUCUAGUGAUUUAGUUUUCAUUAUAAUUUUAGAUUAAAAAAUUACAUCAACAUUUGAUAAGUUGGUUAUGACUUUGAUAUAAGGAUGAAACUAUCAAUAAUAUAUAUAAAUAUUUUGACACAAAAUAUCUAAUAUAUUAAAAAAUUAAAAAAAAACUCUAAAAAACAUUAUAAAAUUAUAUAUAUAAUUUAUCAUAUUUAAUAAUAAUAUCUUCUACCCUAAUAAAAAAUAUAAAUUUUAUAAGCAUACAUUUAUUAUUACAUUGUAUUAUAUAUUAUUUUACAAGAAUAUUAUGAUAACAUGUCUAAUUUUAAAAUAUAUUUAAUAUUAAAAUUAUCAUCAAUUUUAAUUUAAAUGUAUUUAAUGAUAUCAAAUAAUAUAUAUAUAUAUAAUUUUUUAAUAUUUAUAUAUUUUUAUAUUUAAUAAAUAUAUAAAUUAUGUAAAAAAAAAAGACCUAUUAAGAAGAUUAUGUUUUUAUAUUUGGAUCAAAAUUAAGUUUUUCCGAUAAAAUAUAUGAAACUAUUGAUAAAUUAUUGAUUGAAACGUGAAAAAAAAAAUUCAAAAAAUAGAUGAGAUAUUAGUAAAAUAUCCGAAAAUAUUGAUUGAUGAAUAUAUCAUUUCAAAUUUUGCAUCAACAUCCACAUAUGUUGGAUAUAUUGGCCAAAUAUAUUUAAACCUUGUUUCCAUGAGAAGUCUUUCCUUCAACAAUUUCAAAAGGUUAAUGAGGUGGUUUCCAAGAGAUGUGUGUAGGGGUCUCCAACGGGCGGGCCGGGCCAGCGGGCUUUUUGAAAUAAGCCAAAAUGGCUUUCAAAAAAGGGAAGGGAGAGGAUUUAAACCCCUUCCUUCAUGCUUAAAUUUCAAGGUUCUAACCAAUUGAACUACAUUCCUUUAAUGUUUAUUAAUUGAGUUAGUUAUAUAUAUAUAUAAAAAUAAAGUAUAUUAUUUUUUAAAGGGGCGGGCCUACGGGCUGGGCCGGGCCGAAAGCGGGCCACGGGCCACGGGCUUUUUGGAGACCCUUGGAUGUGUGCAAUCACAUUUGGUAUUAUAGGUGACAAAGUUUGAUAAAUGAGUAAUUAUUAGGUUAACUUAUAAAAUCCGAAUUUGAUUUAAAUUGAUUCAUUUAAUAAUCCCAUUUAUUUACCCAAUUAAAACUUUAAAUUAUUUAACUUAUAUUUAAUUUAAUUAAAAUUUGUUUUUAAAUAAAUAGAUCAAUUAAAACAUAAACAUAUUUGAUUGAAACAUUAAUAAUAUAGAUUUAAAUAAGACCUAAUUCAACCUAACGAUCAAAUAGAAAUAUCUAAUUAUUAAAUAAAUUAAACAUGUUACUUGCUUAAUAAUUAUGUGACAUUUGAAUUUAUGCUUUUGAUAUAAUUAUUAUUUAUAUCAGGUUUAUAUAAUGAAAUAUCUAGACUUUGACACCAGUCAACAUUGUCCACCAAUACAGAUUGCAACUCUUAUAUGCUACAUCACAUCAUGUUGAAGGAAGAGGAUGACGUUCAUUGGCAGCAGAGCCUCCAAUCAUAAGGAGCUUGAGCAAAUUCAAUCUCAACACUGAAAUUCACUAGAAAAAAAGUUUAUUAUUGAUACUUCAUUUGUGUAAAAGCAUUAUAUUUCUUGCAUCAAUCGUAAAGCAUGACAUUCCAGUAGGUACGGAAGAGAAAAUUUGUUAUGAAUUGAAAAAUCUGUCAAGCUUAAUUUGGAGGGCCCAAAAUUGACACGUUUAAGAGCUCUAUCAUUAGCCCAAUGAUAAGAGUCCAUUUCUUGAGUUUCAAGGAAGGCCCAAGUUUAACUUAGAGGGCCCAAUCUUGGUACCUUCUAAAAGGUGCAAACUUUGGCCCAAUUAUAAAAGCUUAUCCUUGCUUCCUAAGCAUCAAUGAUAUAUUUGAUCGAAGUAUUCACAUAACUAUCACGAAAUGAAAUGAAAUGAAAAUGUAUAAGUAAAUGAUGAUUUUGAGUUAUUUACUGACAAUAAAGAAUUAGGUGGUGUUUGUUUUUUUUUUUUUGGCUUUUUACUAAAAGCAAUUUGUUUUCAGAAUUUAGGUUAUUUAUUUUUCUAUUUUUUCAUGACUUAUUAUAAACUUUUUACUAAAUAAGAAAAUCCAAAAUAUAUAGUUUUUUCUAAAUAGAAAAAAUAACAUAUUGGUUUUCUUUUUUUUUUACUUUUUAAUAUUUAAUAGAAAUAAAAUAUUAUAAAAACAAACAACCUAAUAUUUAACACUAUUAAGUAUUAAGGUUUUAUUUAGAAUUAAGUAAAAAAACAAACACUACCUUAAAAUGAAAAGUAUGUAUAAUGACCUUAUACAAAAAAAGUCUCAUUAUUUUCUUCCAAAGAACUCAUACUUUUGUUUUUCAACUAUUACUUUGUUUUUAUUUUUUAAAUAAUAUUUCAAGUUUUUUUUAAUAAUACCUUUCUCUUUAUUAGAUAAUUUUAAUGACUUUAAAAGUAUUUUAAUAUAUUAAUUUAUUAUAUAAUUUUAAUGAUUUAAAAAUAUUUAAAUGUUGAAAUAUUUAUUUUCAAGUCUAAUUUUAAUUAUUUAUUUUUUGAAGUAUUUAAAUAUAUAAUAAAUGUGGGAUUAUGUAAAUCUAGUUGUAAUUAUUUAUUUCAUUCUAUUCAUGUUUUUAGUUGAAUUUGCUCAAAAUUUACACCUCUUUAUUUAAAGAUCAUGGAUUAGUUAGGUGUCUUGAGAUUUUUUUUCUCUCAAGACACUACUUGUUACACUAGAAAAUAAUUUGUGGCUAUAUUUUUUAGGCAAAAAGAAUUAUAUGUUAAAACUUCCUUUAUUGACUAGUUUAUCAUAGGGUGUAGAGGAAAGUUUGUGAUGUCUUUUUAUGUCAACUUUGGGAGAAAAAUAUCACUUUAGCAUUUUCCUUAGAAAAUUUUCAUACAUAAUUGAUUUUGGAACUAUGGAGGAGCAUAAGUAGGGAUAGAUAAUUCGAUUUUGGAAAAAUUAUAAUAGCUUUUCAACUUGGUGUUAAUGAUAUAUUGUUUAUUUCUUAUUUUUUUUCCAUUUUAAUAUAUAAUUGGGGAUUUUAAACUUGUAGAACAAGGCUUUUUCAAUUGAAUUGACACGUACAUAUGAAAGUUCUCUUUGGUUGCUAAUCACAUUUUUUUUUCUUUUGCUUUUUGUUUUUAUCAUAAUGAAUAUUGAACUCGAAAUUCAGUUUUUAAAAUCUUAUGAUGUUUUAAAGUUUAUAAAUAUUAUUGAUUUUUAUAAAUGAUGUUAUUCAUAUCUUGGUAAAGACAAUAUUUUCAUAUCGGUCAAGAUGAUUAAUAACAUAUAAGUUCAUAAAGAAAAACCUAUUGAUUAAUGGAUAUUUAAUGAUUUUUAUUAGGAAUGUUUUUUAAUUAGUUUCAAUACUCAUCUUUUAGAGCAUACAUAUAGGGUUUUAGAUGCUACAUUGGUUUUCAGCUUGUGAUUUAAAUUAUUGAAGCAAAAAAUGAGGGUUUUGCUUUAUGGAACUAUCUAAAGGGAGGUGAAUUAGGCGGUCUUCCUUUUUAAAAUCCAAAAAUUAGAUUUUUAAUACUUAUAUUAGUUAUACAUGUGUUCAAUAAUUAAAACAAAGAACAAGUCCAUAAUUUACAUGUGAUGUGCAUGGAAAAACACCUACAAAUUCUCUCAAAUACUUUACAAAUGAAAAAAAAAUCAAGGAUCGAUCAAUCACAGAGCAACUUCACUAAAUAUGAAAACAUGACUAUACAAUUUUACUUGGAUGAGGUGCUACCUUCUCUUAAGGGUUUUUACACUAGCCAACAAUUACACUCACCUUCACUCUCACCAUGCACCUCUAUUGUGCUCCAUAGUAAACACUUUAAUGACUGUAGCAAGAUUGCGAUAAAUUACUGCGAUUAAUUUGAGAGUGUUGAUAAUGAACAAAAAAUAAUGAUAAUUAACUAGAGAGCAUAUGAUUUUGUAAAAACACCAAAAAGAGGCAUAGUUAUAAGUGAAAACUUUAAUGGAUUGGAUUGAAUAUAUAAUUGAAGUAUGAAUGAAAAAUUACCAAAACAAUGUUCAAAACCGUGCUAAUCAAAGCACAAUCACUUGAGUACUCUCAUGGGGCACUUGAAUGCUCCUUUUAAUCACCGUAAUGCUGAAAUUAAUAAUUUGUCUCAAAUUGUUUUUCCAAAACAUAAAGCAAAAUAUUAUAAAUUUAUAUAAUCAAACCCAAUUUCAUCUUAAAGCUAGCCUACUUAGUCUUAAUUCAUGUCCAAAAAUACUCAUACUUGUCAAAGAAUGAAUAUGGUAUAAACAAAUUCUUUAUUUUCAAUUAUAUUCAAUUAUUGAAAGAAUAAAUCGGUUUACAUACAUUUUGAACAAAGGUAUAUACACAUAGACUAAAUCAAGGAAAUGAGGAAAUCAAUCACAAUCAAAUCAAAAUCAAAUGAUAGGUUGAUAUCUAGGAGAAGGUUAAGUUAGAACCAACUCAUGUAUUCAAUAUUCCCCCUUAAGAUGGCAUAUGGAGAUCAUGAAUAUCAAACCUAGAAAGUAAGGGAUAUGAAAUAUCUAUACCAAGGGAUUUUAUGAAAUAUCAACCAAUUGUUGUUGUGAUUAAACAAAUUGAAUAAGAAUAAUUUCAUUUCGAAUCUUUUCAUAGAUCAAGUGACAAUCAAUUUCAACGUGUUUAUUCUGUUCAUGGAAAAUUAGAUUAAUAGCAAUGUAUAGAGUUGUAUUAUUGUCACAAUAUAGAUGCAUUGACCAAGGAUGAUGAACUCCAAAAUCUAUAAGUAAAUAUUGCAACCAAUGCAAGUAGUAAUCAUUAAAUAAUAUUUCACUUUUCUUCAUGAGUGUUAUAUCAUUGAUUGCUUUUUAGAUCUUCAAGAGAUUGAUAGGCCACCAAGUAAAAUACAAUACCCUAUAAUUGAACAUCAAGAUUAUGCACAAUAGGCAUGGAGGAAGGCAAAAGAAUUCCUUGACCUAGACGAUUUUUUAAAUAGUAUAACACUCAUGUACUUGUGAGAUAAUUGAGACUACAUUGGCUUGUCAAGAAUUUGAACAUAAUUAGCAAUAUUAAGCCCUAUCAUUAUGAGUCAAAGUAACUUCCCAAUCAAAUGCCUAUAAUAAGAAGCAUCCAACAAAGGUUCUCUAUCUAAUUUACUCAAUUCCAAAUUUUGUUUCCUAGGAGUUUUUAAAGUUACAUGUUCCAAGAAAACCAAAAUCUUUUAGUACUUCUAGAGCAUGUUUUCAAUAACUUAAAUAAAUCUCAUUCUUAAAAUAUGUCAUUUCAAUGAUGAUGAAGUACUUUAAUUUUCCAAUCUCUUAGUUAGUUUGAAAAUGCUAUAUAGGUUUUCCUUGACCACCUUAAUUCCUUUAAGAUCAUUCAUUGUAAUAAUUAUAUCAUAAAUGUAAACAAGAAUGAUUGUGAAAUAGUUAUUUGAGGCUUGAGCAAAUAAGAAGUAAUAUGUACGUCUUGGCUUGCUUGUAAACCAUAAACAUCAAUGUGAUAGAUAAUUUGGCAAACCAUCAACGUGAAGCUUGCUCAAGGCCAUAAAGGGAUUUUUUAACUUUGCAAAUCAUAUUUUUGGUUCUAGAUUUCCUACAAACUUGGUGGAAGCUGCAUGUAUACCUCUUUAUCUAAGUCUUCAUAAAGAAAAACAUCGUUGAUGUCAAGUUGGUGAAGAUGUCAAAUUCUAAUUAUACAAUAAUUAGGGGUGACAAUGUGUCUUAUCGUGUUGAGGUGAGAAAUAGUGAAAAUUUACUUAAUCCGACUAUGACCCGUUUGAUAAUCGUGUCAAAAUAACCUAACAUGAAUACAAUUAGUUUAUUUCAUGUAACAUGACCCUUUUAACAUGUUUAAUAAAUAUAUUAACUUGGAUUAUGUAUUAAUUGACAUGAAUAACUCAUUAACUUGAUUUCAACCCCUUAAACUCAUUAACACAAUUCCAACCCAAUAAACUCGUUAAUAUGAUUUAACUCAUUAAACUUGUUAAUAGGAUUAUAACCUCUUUAACCUAUUUAAAAUUUUAAAUUUAUAAAUAAUAAAAUACUUCUAGAAAGUUUAAUUUUUAAAAUUUGAACUAUAAUACAUGUAUGCACCAAUUUCAUGAAGUCCUGAAAAAUUAGCAAAAUUAUAGAAAAAUAAUAUAAACAAAAAUUUGUAUUAAAAUUAAUAAGUAUGGGCUACAAUAUUAGUCAUAGUACUGCUUAUUUCUGAAUGACUUUAUUAAAAAGCGAAGAAUACAUGUGUAGUUCUUAUGUGAUUUCUUAAACUUGUAAGGCGAUUUUAUAAAGUUUUUUUUUUCUUUGUGAAACCUCUUUUUCUAUGUGAAAUUGUUUUGCCGAUUUGAAAUCUUCAUUAAAGGAAGUUACUAUUAUUUAUAAUUGAAAUUAGAGAAUGAAAUGUGGAAUCCCCAUGAUUUAGUUGCUUAAUUCAAGGAAUUUGAUUAAUUGAUUUUGGUAACUUGUCUCAUAAAAUUUUCUAACAAGAAUAUUUAUUUUUAAUCUCUUUUAUUUCAAUUGGAAUAUUUGUUUCCUUUGUAAAUUUGUCAAUAGAAUAUUUAUUUAUUUAUUUAAUUCUCUUUUGACUACAAUGAGAAGAUUUGAUUUUGUUUGUAAGACUAAAUUUUAUAACCUUUCAAAUUUGGCCAAGUGACACCUUUUGAAUAUAUGUCACAUGUCAAAUGUGUGUGACUCAUUAGUUGUUGAACCUAAAUUUUCUUGAAUUAGAAAGCUAUACUUUUGAAGACUAAUUUAGUGAUAAUUUAAUUCAUUAAAUUUUUUUGGUGUCUACAGUAUAUUUAUAAUAUGAAAAGUAAAUUAAAAUUUUAAUUUUUUUACUUGUUUAUUAUUUUAUUUAUUAUUUAAUGAUAAAUAUUUUUAUUCUUUAUUGAAAUAUAUAAAAUUUUAAUUAAUAUUUUAAUUUUUUUAAUUUCUAUAUAUAAAAUAUAUAGAUUUAUAUGGUCUAAUUGAGUCAUUAAAAUAAAUAGGGUAAAUAACUCACACAUAAGUGAUGGAUCAUUCUAACAUGAUUAAAUUAACAAGUUAGAUGAAUUGAGUAGUCAAAUACAAACAUGAUUUGUUUAUUAAAUAAGUUAUAUGAAUUGAUACGAUUAUGACAUCAACUCAAUUAAACUUAACUCAAAUAAGCUUUGUCUUUUAUUUUAAGUUGUCUAGUUGUUCACACAAAUUUUCUCAAAAUAAAGAAAUUAUAUAUAAAAUUGUAAAUUUGAUUAUUUGAGGGGACCAUUUUCAAUACUCUUUUUUAAGUAAUCUGGUGUUUAAUUUUGAAUCAAAGGGGCUUUCAUUAACAAAUAAUAGACUGUAGUUUUCAUAUAAGAAGAAAUCUCAAGCCUUUUUUUCUUGAAGGAAUCUUUAAAUUUUCUUUGAUACUUUAAAAAAUCAAUCUUCUUUGAUUUUUUAAGAAAUCUUUGAAUUUUCUUAAAGUCUUCAAAAAAAAAAAAAAAAAAAAAACUGAGUUUAAGGAAUUUUUUUAAUAACUCUCCAAAUUUCUUUGAUAUUCCAAAGUGUCCUUUAGAAGGGGACAAAUCCUCUAUUUACAGGAUUGAGAGUUUUAUUUUAAUAUUAUCUCUUAAUUUUUAAGAAAUAACUCUCUUAUUUAUGAUAAUUACUAUUUAUUUUAUUUAUCAUAAUUAGUUGCCUAUGAUAAUUAUCAUAAUUAAUUUUUCUAGAGAUAAAUAAUUAUAUAUAUUUAAUUAAUCAUGAUAACUAUAAUAUUUAUUUAAUUUUUUAUUAAAUUAUUUUACAUAACAUAUCAAUAUAUAUUAUUAGUCAAUUAUUAACACCGAAAAUUAAUGAGUUGGCAUAAAAUUUAUCUCUCUAUAAUAGUAUCAAAGCGAGCCUUAAUAAUAACAUUGCUUAUAGUCAAUUUCACAUGCCAACUUUUUACUGGGCAUUGGCGAUUUCAAUUUUGAUAGUCCGGUUAGAAAAAGUAGGUAAAGAUUAUUUGAUGUGGUAGGUCAUUUCUUUCAUAAAGACGAUGGCGGUGAAUUCAUGAGACAGGUGAUAAAGGAGAGAUUCUUUCUUUUGGCUUUGGAAUUUUAAUGAGGUCCUCGAUCCUCAUCCAAAAUACACCUCUCCAAUUAUAAAAAUCUUAUUAAAAAAAAAAAGAUUUGACAUGUGCCUUUCGAACUGCUGGUUUUCUGUUCCAAAAAUGAGAAUGGUUUCAAGUGGAUGAAGGAAGGUGAAGAACCCUUGGUUUUGUUAAGCGAAAAGCCACAUGAUUAAAUAAACAUAAGGCGGCAAAGGCUGAAAAUUUAAAAUUAUACUAAGGAACCCACCCCACAGGGCGACUACACUUUUGGUGAAGCCACGAGAAUGAAAGAUAUCGAAGGUGACACCAAGACAUUAAGCAGCACCAAGGUUUCGAUAUAUUAUAAGAUGGGAUCUUAUGAAAGACGAUCUCUAAUCUCUCUCCAAUCUCUUCUUUAACCUUUUCUUACUUAAAUCCAUUUCCAUGGUAGGGCACAUGUCCAGCUGACCCUACCCCCUCACCUACCUAUACUGCUAUACCCUUUUGUAUAAUUUGAUAUGGAUUGGAAGCCACCCCAACAUCUUUCUAAUUGCUCGUAAAUGUUGAGGUGCCUUUCCAUUUUGAGGCUGCCCUAAUGUGUGGCUGAAGUACGUAGGAAAAAAAAAUUGUGAUACAUGCACUGACGAAUCAAAUCCCAAUGUCAAAUUAUUAGACUCACCUGGUUCUUAAAUUAUUGUGAAUGCCGCUGGCCAUGGAUAAAUGGAAUUAGUGCGUGGCUUAAUGAAAAUUUAUUUUGAAAGGGAUAUUAAUUUGAGAGAAUUUUGGCUGAUACUUGGAGUUGAACGUAAGCAUAUAUGACCUCAUUUCGGGUGUGAUAUUGUGCUUAUAACGAACCUUUCGUUCUUUCCAAUUCCAGUGGGUAUUAAAUAAUUAAAGAAUUCAUGGUUCGAAGGCGAAAGGUAGAAGACCAAAAAGGGAUUACAAAGCCAUCGGCUUGACCAUCCAGAUGCAAUGGAUACAAACUUUGGACUCUAUCGAAAGUUCUUUGGGCACGUGCCCAAGUGUCCUACCCAUAUGAUAAGUUACACGUGGCUAAUUGCGGACCGGUUGCUCGUGCUAAACAGGGUACUUUUUCUACGCAUAUAAGAUGUUUCACUAGUGGGGCUUCACCAUGCAAACUCAUGGAUGAAGACCCUGAGGCCAAGAUGAAGGAACAGAAAGAAGGCGGAGGAGAGGUUCGGUAUCGAGGCGUUCGGAGGCGGCCAUGGGGGAAGUUUGCUGCGGAGAUACGUGACUCGACUAGGCAUGGAGCGCGCGUCUGGCUCGGGACUUUCAAUUCUGCGGAGGAGGCUGCAAGAGCAUAUGACCGAGCUGCUUAUGCCAUGAGGGGUUCCUUGGCGAUUCUCAACUUCCCUAAUGAGUAUCAUACACCCGGCACGGCUAGCUCUUCAGCUUCAUCCUCAAUGCCCGAAGGUGAUCAGCAGGGAAAACAAGUCAUUGAAUUGGAGUACUUGGAUGAUAAGCUGCUAGAGGAUCUUCUCGACUCUGAAGACAAAAAGAACAAGAAAACCUGAAGUUUCUGCUGCCUCGAAUCCCCUGAAAUCUAGUGCUUCAUCGAAAAAAAAUCCCCUCGCUCCUGAUUAACAACAUUUUUAUUUUAGUCAAUGAAUGUGUUCUCGGAUCAUUAUAAGUAUUUCUGCCGAAGUCCAUUGAUUUUUGGAGACUGAAAAAUGUCAGAAAAAUUGGUGCGAACAGGUUUACUCCUUUCUAAAUUAUGCAAUUGAAGUAUUUGGAUUAGUGCGCAGUGUAAACAUCAAGGAAAGCAUGAUCCACUAUUUUAAGGAGCCUAAGUGCUUUCCCCUUUACUCUUUUAGGAUGUCUUUUCAGUGAAGAAAGUUGGGAGACCACCACUUACCCUUUUGAUUGGUAUAUAACUGCCAACUAAUAACUGGACUAACAUUUGGCCCGUCUGGCCCUACUUCUUUGACUUUGUUGUUAAUUUAUAACUUUAUGUGAAGUGGGGGCUGUUUGGGAAUGUGUGAAGCAAGGAUUUGAGCCGACUUCGCCUAAUCUGAUUCUCCAUAAGUGACUUCAUUUUAUCAUAUUGGUGUUUUUUUUCUUCUUCUUUUUAAAUGGCUGGGGAGGAGGGGAUUUGGGAGGGAUGCAAUGCCAUGGUUGCAUGCUGGAUUAUCCUUCCAAAUGAAACAUCCAUUUGGUUUCUAGUAACUAAUUGCAAACAAUUAAAGAGAAUAAAAUUUUAAGAUGAUUAAACAAUAAGUACCUAUGUCCAUGAAAAGGAGAGAAGUUCACUCAUGGGUGUUCAUGAAAGACAUCACAAAGAACCAUCAAUAUGAGAAGAAUCCUGAUACAAUUAACUUUCAUGCAUAAGAAAAGACGCUCAAAAAAGAAUAAUGCUUACAAGGAAAGAAUCUCACUACGAUCAACUGAAAAAAUAUUCCAAUUUAAUUGGAAAUCCUUACAUGGGAAGAAUAUCAAUAAAAUCAACUAAAAAAAUAUUUUAAUUUUAUAUCAAAAUAUUUGUGAUUUAACCCGUAUCAUUUCAUCAUGACUUCUUAUAAAUUUUGUUCCUUUUUAUCAACACCACCCCUUGAGUUGGAGCAUAAAUAUUUAUUAAGCUAACUUGAACAAGAUCUUGAGAAAUUUUGUCGCAGGAUUUGUUUGCACUUUUUUUUUUCAAAUAAAGUCAUAAUUAACUUUAAUAUGUUUAAUCAUUUCAUGAAAUACUAGAUUUUAAGCAAUGUUGAUAGCAUACUUAUGCCUGAAAGCUUUAUCCCAAAUCACAUGAGUACAUGAAGUGAUUGCAUCAUUAAUGGUAGUAUUAUUACUUUAUAUUCAACUUCUCCACUUGAUAGGAUGCAUGAAAGCAUUGUGCUUUCUUCUGUUUCAAGUAAUAAAGAUUAUCACCAAGAAAGGUGCAAUUAAUACCUAGUAACAGAGUACCUAGUGGUAGCAUGCACCUAUCCACUGAACUUGUACUCGACUCUAUGAGUGUACGUUACAUAGUCCUUUUUUCGAAGUCUAAAUGUCCCUUGAUAAAACCUUCUAAUAUUUGAGGUUUUGGUAACAUUCAUGUAUCAAUGAACAAAUUAAUUUACUAGCUAAACUUUAAAAUUAGGCAAUGUUUUUCAAUGGGUGAUCAAGAUCUUGGAAUUUUCAAUGUUGUUUGAAUAGCUUCCACACACAAGCAUAUUUUCUCCUAUUUAGGAAUAAUCCCUUUUUUGAAGGUGUGAUCUUUAUGCUCAAAAAAUAAAGAUACUCAAAAAUUUAAUAUUGACCUUCUCGUGAAGGAAAAGCUUUAUAACUAAUUUUUUUUGUGCAUUAUAUAUAUCCUCAAUAUAGACUUUAAAAAAAAAAGAAGUAACUCCCUCUACAAAGAGUGAAGAGUCAAUUAAACUUUUUUUUUUUUAAAAAAAAGGAACCAAUUACUCGUAAAAGUAAUGAUUAUUUUUACAUACCAAACUUGAGGAGAUUACUUAAGAUCACAAAAGUUUUUAUUAAAUUGCAAGCUAGAUGCAUUUGAAACGAUCGUUGAUGUCUUAGCAACACCUUAUGUAACUCAUCAAUCUUUAUGUAAAAAUGCAUUUUUAACACCCAUAUAAAAUAAUGAUCAAUCCUAAUUUAAUAGAAACAAAUGGUAAUACAUGAAUAUCAUUCAUAUUAAUGAGAAAAGUAAAUAUUGAUUUAUAAUCAACUUCUUAAGUUUGUGUCAAUGCCUUAAUCAUUAGUUUAACUUUGUCAUUCAAUGAUACCAUCAUUACGACAUUUAAUUAACUUAGAUUUGCGUAAAUCCCUUAAUCACUAGUCUAGCUUUAUGUCAUUCAAUGGUACCAUCAUUAUGGUAUUUAAUUGAUCUUAUACCCCCAAUUUGUAUACCCCAUGUUUUUCUUAAUUUACCAUACAUCACUUAACAAUGUUCCAUGCAUGGAUUUUGUUAAGUGCCUUAAGUUCCUUUUGCAUAGCCUUUCUCCAAAUUGGAUGAGGAUUGGCUUCAUUAAUGUCAUUAGACUCAUGAUAUAUGGAACUCAAACAAUUGUUAAGUGAUUUUGUAUAUAUAUAAAAAAAAAAUUGUAAUUAAUGUGGUAGGCAUAAAAAUCUCACAAAUGAGGAUUGAUUAAUUGUUAUAAUUGAGCAACAUGCUUGAGGCUUAGUCACAAUACUAGAACUUGAAGUCAGACAUUCUCUUCAAAUAAGGACGUAUAUACAUUAUAUUGGAUCUCCAUUAAACAAGUAAAGAACUAUUUAGUAGACAAUGAAACCUCAUUGAUCAAUGGUGGUAGAGAGACACAUGAUGACCAGACUAUUCCCCUGGAAAUGAGAAUAAAAAAUAUCAUUAGCCGCAAAAAUCUCAAAAAAAUUUAGAUAAUGGGAUAUAAAGAGUUUAUGAAUUUUACAAUCAUAACUCUUAUACUGGUUUAAGUGGUAGAGUAAUCAAGAACACAAAACGAGUUUGAUGAGUGGUUGAGAUAUGAACAAAGCAAAGAUUUCCAAAGACACCAAAAUCAGAAAUCUCAAUUUUUGGGCUAAGGAUUUCAAGAAGAAAUUUAAAAUUAACUACAUGACUAGAAAAUUUGUUCAUCAAGGAAAUAGAAGUAACGAUAUCAUAACAUCAUAAUUAAUCAAUAUUUUUAAUAACAUGCAUUUGGAACAUGAUAUACCGGCUUUCUAAUAAUCAAUGAUUUUUGGUUCAACCACACCAUUUUGUUUUGGGAUGCCAAUACAACAAGUUUAACGAANNNNNNNNNNNNNNNNNNNNNNNNNNNNNNNNNNNNNNNNNNNNNNNNNNNNNNNNNNNNNNNNNNNNNNNNNNNNNNNNNNNNNNNNNNNNNNNNNNNNAUGUAAGUGCCAAAUUAGGUAGUGUCGACAAUGAAAUGGAAAUUUUGGAAUAUAGAAACAACCUCAUUUUUAUGUUCUAAUAAGUAAACCUAUGUAGCAUAAGAAUAGUCAUUAAAAAAAAAGGUAACAAAAUGUUGAUUUCCAUCCUAUGGAUCAAUUAGGACACAACCCCAAGGUAAACUAAUUUGAAAGUUGCAACAAAAAUGGAAAGAGAUGAAAAAAUAAUAGAGGAAUUUAAGGUUGUUUCAAAAUUUCAAGACAUGCUAAGAAACACAUGAGAUUAUAGAUGAUUAGGUAACAACCUUGGUUAAGUAUAUUCAACAUAUAUAUCCCACGAGGAUAAAUAUCUUCACUAAACUUUUCCUAUUAUUCAAUCCCCUAAUACCAUACAAGUGAAAAAUUAAUGUCACGGUCAAAAAUUUUAAUAAGCUUCCAAAGAGAUAAUAAUUUUGGGGAAAAAAACAACCUAAGAAACCUAUGAAUUGAGAUAAUUUAGGAAAAAACUAAAUGUUCGUUAGCUCUAGAAGGGAAUUGAAGCUCAUCAUCAAUAAAGAUUGUUGCUAUCUCGAAUAAUAUCAAGUAAACCAUUAAGAUCGCUAUUAAUGGUAUGAUUAGCAGCACCAAUUAUCGACAAAAAAAUUAUUAAAAAUAUAAGAAAUGAGAGCUUUAAGAUUAUCUAAUUGAUUUGUAAACCUAGGUAAGUGAAUCAGUAUUACGUUUUGUUAAGGAAGCUUAGAUCCAAUUGGUAUCAUUCACCAAGUUAUUGGAUUAAAUUACACUAUCAAACUUUGGCUUUAAAUGAGAAUGAAGAAUCUAACCACAAUCCUUAUUGGGAUUAGAUAUGUUAUUGCAAUAAUGUUUACAAUCGGAUGAGUGCUAAUUUCUAUUGAAAUCAUGAAGCAAUCUCUGAUCAUUGGUCUUCUUUGUAGAAACAUGAGCAUUGAAUUUAAAAUUAAUAAUUGUUACUUGGGAUUCAACCUUCAUAAUCAUUGCCUGGGUUUCCUAAUCACUUUCAAGAAUUACUUAUAUAGUGAAGGCACUCGAAACUAAUCAAAUUUGUCCUCUUAUAAAGUUGUCAUAUUCAAGCUUCAGAAUAGCCAAUAAUUGAAAAACUUAUCAUACUCCGCAAUUUGUUGAAGAAUAUUUGGGUCUAUUGAAGGGGACAAUAUAGGGAAUAUUUGUCCCAUAUGCUCAAAAUGUUCAAUUAACAAAGUGUUCUGUAUGUUUAGGGAUUUGUUAGCUUUAAUUACACAAAACAUUAGCAGUUUUAGAGAAAAUUAAUUUUUUUUUGCAAUCUUAGGUUCCAUGAAAUUAAAAAGCCAAUAACAAGUCAAUAUGGCUUGAGACCCAGUCAUCAUAUUCAAAGUCAUCCAACUUAGAAGCAUUCAUUUUGCCACUAACAUGUGCUAAUUUCCAUUUUCUAUCUUUCAAGAGAAAAAGACUGCUCUUAACCAUGGCAAAUAAUUGAACCCAUUAAGAAGAUUGAGGAAAGUAUCAUAUGAGGGUUGUCAUUUUCCUCCAUGACAAAGAAAAAGCAACAGAGAAAAACUCAUAAUAUUAGAAAGAGAAUGAAAGAAAUUGAGUCAUAGAUACACACAGAAGAAUCCAAAAAUAAAGCAAUAAUACAACCACAAAUAUGAGAAGAAGCUCAAUUACAAAGAAAGGAACUCAAUACAAUCAACUAAAAAGCGUUCCGAAGUUCAUACGAAAAUAUUCAUAAUGUGAAGAUCAUUUCAUGAUUCCUACAAUUUCUUCCUUCUACCAGUCCACUCCAUACAAGGUUUGAUCAACAACUUCUUCAUUGAUUUUCUGGUCUCUCUCCGGUGUAUCAUAGAGCAUUUUUGACAUGUUUCUGCAAGAUACACUUGUUAACUUUAAGCGACAUAAGUGCAAAAAAAUAAGAUCAUGUUGUAUUGCCUGUGCUUCCACUCUGCCUUGUUUAGUACUAUUAUGGAGCAGUACUUCCAUAUAGAACCAGUGAUCUCCAGUUCAUUAUGUUGCCUUCUUUAAACUAACUUUAAUUAUCUAUACAUAUAAAACAAAGUGGUCCCAUCAAGGGGCUAAAUCAAGAAUCAAGUGGGGCGAACAGGAAACAGUGGCAUCAAUUUUUAAGUCCAUAAGCUUUAAUAAAAGGAAUAAAACCAAGGAUAUGAAUAUGUUAUUUUUUCAUUUGUUCAUGCACUGGAAGAUCUUUCCUCUUCAAGCAUUGAACCAGCAUCCUUCUGUGCAAGUUGCUGUCGGAACCUUCUAUAAUUGUCAGAAGUCUGUUUCUGAAAUAUACAGAUAAAACUUUUAGCAAGUCUUGACAUUGCUCAUCACUAGGACAUUGUACUAGGAUACCAAUUCAUCUAAUUAGGGUUAAGUUGGCAUCUCGUACACUAUUUUUUAUUUUUCCUUCAUCUUUUGUUCCCAUUUGCAGUGGAAGUGGCACUUAGAAUAUCUGAUCAUGAAGAAUUAGCUUUCGGUGAGAUGAUACUAGGUCAAUUGCCAUUAUCUUUUUGAGUUACUGUGCGAGCAAUCUUGAAAAUAUUUUGGGAUAAAUAGAAUUUGUGCUUAUCAUAAACAUGCUAAACAUCCAAAUCAAGUGCUUUUACUAUUGAUAUCAAAUCAGUAAUUGAUUUUAACCUUUAUGCUUAUCUUUCAGAUUCUCAAUUAUGUAUCUUGAAUAAUGAUAUUAAGCAGAAAUCAUGAAUUGAAUUGCUUUAAUUAACUGUGCCUUAUCAAGCUUGUCAGCAGUGCUAUUGCUACCGCGAAUCAAAUUCGCUGUGCUUCCCGCCUUCUCCAAAUAAGCCACAAGCCCAAUUAUAUCCGCCCUCCUCCCAUCUCCAAGGGAUCAAAAAAUAAAAUGACUUCAAUCAAUUUUCAAGUUUUCCAUCUUGAUCAGUAGACCACCCGGCAUGAAUGUUACCCUCAGUUUAGGAAUAGGAAUUCCUUUUACUAAUCAUUUGGCACUAAAAACUAUGACCCCUAGCAAUUCAUUCCCUCCAUUAGAUAUCUGGGGGCAUCUUGGCUCAGCCAAAAAUGAUAAGUCAUUGCAUUUCACAUUGCAUUCAUUUGUAUUAAUGAGCUAAUUUUUUUUCACAGAAUGUGAUGUGAAUCGAAUUACUUCCAACCAUGUGUCUCUAUAAGGGUUUAACAAAUGUAAUUUGCAUUGUCUGUACACUUUUUUUUCGGUUUCUUUUCUUUUUUAUGCAUGAUUCAUUAGUCCACGGAUCUUCUAUGCAAAGUGUGCAGGCCAAACACCUCCUUCAAUGCAUUAUUCUAGAAGUUAAGACUCAGUUUACUCCUUAAUUGAUCUGUUCCAUUUACUUCAAAUCAUUUGAUUACAUUAAAUGAAUCUUGAAAUUCAAAAAUGCAUCAAAGUUAAAAGACCUUCCAAUGCAUUAAGAAAUCAUCUGAUACAAAUAUAUGUGAACCUGCAACAACAAUAAUGUCAAAAUGGAAAACUUAGGUAGAAAAUAUUAGAACGGAAACUUACGACGAACUCAAUUUUUGGCGCCUUUCUUCUUCUCAUCUUCUGAUCCAAGAAGCUCUUCCAACACCGUGUCAUCCAAACACUCGAACUCAAUGACUUGCUUUUCUUGCCCAGAAGAGGAACCUCCCAUCUCUAAACUCCUACAAGGCCCAGAAGAUGACGAGGAAGACGAUGAGGAUGGUGAUGGUGGGGGGCGAUGGGAGCCCAUGAUUUCAGAAUAGUACUCAUUAGGAAAGUUAAGAAUGGCAAGAUGACCCCUUAAGUUAAAGGCCGCUCGAUCAUAGGCGCGAGCUGCAUCCUCCGCCCUGUCAAAUGUGCCUAGCCAUAGACGAGCACCUUGCCUAGACGGAUCCCUAAUCUCGGCUGCAAACUUCCCCCAUGGCCUCCUCCUCACCCCUCGGUAUCGAACUUCUUCCUUUUCCUUCCCUUCCUGCUCCUGCUUCUCAUUCCCUUUCGAAUGAUCUUCCAUGCUAAACGUGUCGAUUUGCUAGGCGCAAUUUUUUUGGUUUCAAAUGUGCUGGUUUACGAGAGGCAUGGAUGCUUAUGUAUAUAUAUGGUUGCCACAGUCAGGUCUGACGUCACCGCUCAAUGUAUGUUCCACAGCGUGGGUUGACGAGCUUUCUGAGGGGGUUUCCUCGAAUUCAAAGCAAGUAUAAAAAUUCGAUUCUCCGACCUUUCCAAUGAGGAUCGAACAGGCCUUUUAUUAGAACCGUAUGAUAACUCCACACUGUUUUCAAAUAGUCAAUGUGAUCUAGAUUCUUCGUUAAUUUUUUCCACCUGACUGAUUGUUUACAAUUUUAUUUUUCACCGUCCCAAAUUUAAACCAUUUACGCGAUUCCCUGGAUUGCAUUUUUCUUUAAUGUUGACUUUACGAGGCAAUAGGACCCCCCAGCAACCCCACUAGGGCGACUUCAUGGGAACCAGAUUACUUUUGGAUCCAGAUAUGGUCCAGAAGAAAUAAGACAAAUCAAUUAAUGUCCACUAAAGUUUUGAUGGAACCCUUAGUCCGUGUUUCCUGUGGAUGUAUGUAUUGUAUGCACCUCAAUUUUCACCAAUCCCUGCUACGAGUCCCUUUAAUUUUGACGUUAUAAAUGUUUUUCCUGACAUUAGCAGAGUGUUUUUCUGCCGUCUUUGAGGACCUUCCACGGCCCAUAAACUAAUAAGGAUCGUCCAGUGAAUUUAGUCUUCCCCAGUUAAUUAUCCUGCGAGGGAAACUUGGGCAGUAAGUUGCCUACAUGAGUGGCUCCCGCCUACAUGAGUCAAGGGACCAUACGUCAGGACGACAACCAGUGUGGUCACACCAAAGUGGGUUGCCUGGACUCCAGGGUGGUCGCUUCAAAGUUGUCAAAUGAAGGCUAGCUUGGCAAGUUUUGGAAAACAAUUAUUGAAAAACAUUUUUCAUGAAUAACAGUUUCUAUGAACAGAUUUUAAGAAAGUUUAUUUUGUGAUUUUUAGGAAUAUUUUUAAUUUAAAUUUUUAUAUUUUUAAUUUUUUAUUAAUUUAUUGAUUAUUUAAUAUUAGCUUAAUUAAUGGAUUUUUCUUGGUCCCAAAUUAUUAAUUUAUCAAGAUUUAAUCGCAUCCAUAAUUAGUCUAAUUUCUUUUGGAGUGAGUGUGACAAAGUGCAAAUUUCUAGAGUUUUAUUAAUGUUAUUCAAUGUCAUAAUUUAACUAAUUAUAUUAAUUAUUUAUUAAUCAAAAUAAAUCAUUCACUUGAAAUAUGAUAAUUUAAAUUAAAAGUUUCAAUUAUUUAUUAAUUAGCAAAGUAUGAACUUUUCUUCUUGUUUUAUUAUUGUUAUUCCAUGUAUAUAAUUUAAUUAACUGUUUCCAAUAUUAAUCAAUAAAAAUAGAAUAUAAGCAUGAGAAGAAUUAGUAAAAUUCAUUGAUUUGGAAUUAGAUAGCUAGAGGAAGAACUUCAUCAUCUUCCCAUUACUUAAAUUUGUAUAAAUUCUAAAUAUUUAAACCCCCCCCCCCCCCCCCCCCCCCAAAAAAAAAAAAAAUGGUAAAGAAAGACUCCCCAAGCUUUCUUGGUUGGUGUUACCCUAAAAUUUGUACAAUAAGAUGAACCAUUUGGCUUAAAGCUUGGUGCGAAACCCCUUAUCAAUUGAAAAUAUCAAUGAAGUUGUUGAAUGGUUUUAGAGGACUAUUCUUAUGCAGAGUGGCAUAAGAAGCGAGGAGAUGAAGAGCGGAGAGACGUUAACAUCGGAUGCUGCUACGAAGGUGGGAAUACGGUUAAUUAAUUAGAUUUUGUGAUGGCUUUGAGUUUGAAGGAGUUAGUUUAAUGGGUAUUAUUAGUGAACUGAUAAUUGGAUUUGAUGUAAAGAAGGUUGGUCCAUUGGAUUAGCAAUUGGUUUGGCCUUUUGGGGGCCCCAUUUCCAAAUGCAUUGCCUUUUACAAGCAUUCAACAUCGCUGGACGUAACCAGGCUUGGUUCACCUAAAAGUAUCGCAUGGAUUGAAUUGACUAAGUUUUCAUUGUAGACUAGCCUUGAUUUUCCCUUGACCUGCCCACCAAAUCCUGAUGCCCACGCGAGGGAAUACCUCAAUUUUCUAAUAAUUUAUGCAGUUUCUCUUCAAAGCUCGUGUGAUCACUUGGGUCGGUAAAAUAAUGCAUUCCUCUACUUUUUCUCCCUUCCUAGAUGCAUGUUAUACCAUUAAUUCAAAUGUGAACAUGGGCUUGGCUUUGAAACUUGGUUCAAGGCCCAACAUGUUGACCCACAAUUGAGGUGUAAUUGAAUUUGUACACUUUUCGACUUUGAUACCAUUUGUCAUUACCAUUGACAUUGGGUCAUUGUUGAUUUUGAGUCCACAACUUUUAAGGUUGUUAUUACAAUUUUAAAUUGCGCCCACCCAAUUUAUAUGCAUUAUCCCUUAUAAAUACCGAUAACCUCUCUUUCUUCGAUAAUAUAAAAUGUCACAUAUAUUAUAUAUCUCAAUGUUUUCUUUUACUUUUUUUUUUUUUAUCGAUCGACAUUCUCUCUCAGAUGAUAUGAGAUGUCACAUAUAUUAUAUGUUUCAAUGUUUCUUUUACUUUUUCUCUUUUUCCUCAUGAUUGACAUUGUCUUUCUCAAAUGAUAUGAGUUGUCACAUAUAUUUUAUGUCUCAAUGUUUUCUUUAACUUUUUUUCUCUCUUCUUUAAUGAUCGACGUUCCUUUUCUCAGAUGAUAUGAAAUGUCAUAUAUAUUAUAUGGCUUAAUGUUUUCUUUUACUUAUUCUUUCUUUAUUAAUAAUCGACAUUUUAAGCAAUAUGUGAAUAUAAAGCAUUAAAAUUAUCUCCAUCGUUUUUGGAUGUGGUAUAAAUACACAAUUCUUAUUUUUGUUUUAAAUAUUUCUAUUGCUAUCUAUUGAAAUUUUAUGCAUGAAGCUACCAAGUUAAUUAUACAUAUAUCUUAAGAUUUUUUUUUUUUUUUUUUAUAGGAUAUAUUGUCCAUGAAUAUUUUCUGCAAUGGUAUCUUGUUUGAUUACUAUAAGAAAUAAUAUAUAUAUAUAUAUAUAUAUAUAUAUAUAUAUAUAUAUAUAUAUAUAUAUAUAUUAUAUUUCAAUGUUUCAUAUUUGCUUAAAAUAAAAAUUAUAUUUUAUCACAAUAUUUGGUAUUAAAAAAAAUGAAAUCUCUCUCAUUUAUUAUUACAAAAAAAUUAUAAUUUAUAAUUUUCUAAAUAAGUUUUAUUUAUUUGCUAACUAUAUUCAUGAUUAAAAGAUUUAAAAUUUAUAAAUAAAAAAUAUUAUGUCAUGUCAUUAAAUAAAUAAAAAUAUAUGUAUAUAUUAAAAUUAUGUUUUAUUGUAGCUUUUAAUAUUUUUUUUUUUAUUCUUUUCUUUUUUGAACUACAAUUUUAAUUUUUUUUAAUCAAAAUUUUUUAAUUUACAAAACGAGUAACAUAAAACUUGCCUUUGAACUUUAUUGGAAUGUUAUAUACUACCAUUUGGCUUUCAAGACAUUAGAAAAGGCAUAAGUGUCCCUUUUAUUUUUCCGAAAGGCAUAUUAGACUAUAGUAGGAAGUGUUGUAUAGAGGCAACUAAAAGUUGCCUUUAACUUUAUGAAGUCAUAUACUCCUCUUUGGCUUUGAUGACAUCAACUAGCAAAUUGGAUUUUGUUUCCUUUGCAACAUUUUUCCAUCCAUUAGCCAGUUUUUUUAUACUGUUUGGUGCUUGCCAACAUGGCACACACUAUGGUUCUUAAAAAGUAUUUUUUUUUUUAAGAUACUACGAAAUAAAAUACACGAUUGAAAGAUGAGUCACAAUAAUUUUCAAAACUAAAUUUUUUAAUAUUGUUAAGAAAAUUUGACCACCAAAUGAUUGAUUUUAAAUUACAAAUACUUUUGUUAGCUAAGAAAUUUGUUGUUCUAUUUGUUUCCCUAUAAAUAUGACAACAAUCAUAAAUAUUUUCAUUUUAAGAUAAUUUUCAAAUAUCUUCCAUUAAUAAUAUAAUAGAAUUAGGAAUUUUUUUUUUAGUUAUAACAAUCUAUAAUUAUUUAAGAGUCUUCCUCAAUCUCUAGGUUUAAGAACUUAUUGUUCUUAACAACUAACAUGUCAUCUCUUAAAAUAAUACAUUCUGCAAUAAUUAUUGAAAUAUGAUAUAAUAUAUAUAUCUACUUACAACCAUUUUUGUAGUACCAUUAGAAUUUUUAAUUACCCAUUCUAAAGUAUUUUUAUUCUCUAUUCUUAAACCAUCAAAAUUUAAUUUAAAUCUUUCAUUAAUUGGAUAAAUCCAAUGAAUCUAACAAGUUAAAGGAUUAUGAAUCCGACAAAACAGUUGAUAAUAAAUUAAUAAUGCCAUUAAUAUGAUUUUAAUGUGAAACACAAUUAUCACAUUUAAUACAGUUAGUCCUUGUAUGAUUAAUGUUUUGGAAGCUAAAAUCAAUCUUUUGACUAUAAUAAGAGUUUCUACUAUUUCUAUUUUUGGAUGAUUUUAUAUUUUUCUUAUUGUUUUAGUUUAAUACAAAAAAUAAAAAUAAAAUUACAUUAGUAGAAUUUUUUUAACUUACUCAAAAACCUAUUUUAGUUGAAUGAUUUUUUUAAAAAAAAUAUAAAUAUUUUGUUAAAAGGGAUAAAAUAACCUUACCUUGUGAAAAAGACCUCUUCACCCAAGAUUACUUGUUCAUAAUCCUUUUAAGACGAAAAUGCCCCCUUCCUAAAAAAUAUUUCAUCUUAAACUUAUUUUUCUUUUUAUUGCCCUUUGUUCCAUCCUUCCGGCUUGGGAGAGAAAUUCAUUCUUCUUUUGCGAAGAAAAAUUCCUAUUGCGAUUUUUCAUUUCAAGUGGAAAAAAAAAUUCUUAUUUCAUUUUAAAGAAAUUGUACAUUUUCAAUCUUUCUCUUUGUUCCUAGUUGAGGGUUUUUUUUGUAAUUUUAUCUUAACACUACAAAUUUAAAGGUGAGAUUAAAUCUUAAUGGUUAUUAGUUAAAUCACAUAUCUAACUUUGUUUUUGUCAGGACCUAUAAUAUGAUUGGAACCACCAUCCAAACUUCAUUAGGUGGGAUACUCCCCACCCUCCCCCUCCCCCCGCGAAAUCCUUGGAUUUUAGUUUUGACUUGGAUUUCAAUUGCCCGUAUCAAUUUUUCUUUAUUUAUUAAUUUAUUAAUUUUCAACUUUAACAAAAGCCUUGAAUCAUAUUUAAAUUCAAAUAACUUAAUCCUAAUUAAGUUCUUUUUAAAUAAAAAUUAAUCAUUGAAAAGUUCAUGUGACUAUUAUAAUUGAGAAUUUAUCCCAAGUUGGGUUUUUUGCAAAUAAAAUUUUAUUAUAGGACAUCAUGAUGCAACAUAACAUAAGGUUGUUACUUAAGUUUGUUUUGACCUUGUAAUAUGUUAAAAUGAAAAUGAAGCCAUUGUAACAGGAGAGAAUGAUGAAGCUGUGGAGAGAGCUUAACAAAGCUUGGGUUGGAGAGACUUCACAGGAAGAGAGAGAGAGAAAUAAAGGGUAAAAUUAUCAAAAGAGAAAAGAAAAAAAAAAAAAAAAAAGAAGGUUAUGUCUUCAAAUAAUCAAUAAGAGAUGUCAUUUUUCUAAUUUUCAAAGUUCUUUUGGUCCUUCUCUACAAAUAUCCCUAUAAAAAUAUUAUAAUAUCAAGUUAAUUUGUCAAUACCAAAAUUUAUAUUUUAUAUUAGGGCGACUAAAUAACAUAUAGAAAGAAUUUUAAAUGAGUAAAUCAAAUCAAUUUUGAAACCAAAACUUAAUAAUUACCAAACUUGUAAUCUUAGUCAUUAAAAGUGUACGAUGAAAUCUAAAUUAUUAAGCAAUGAAACAAAAAAUUAAGAUUAAAAUACAAAACGUUAAAAUCAAGAUACAAACUAUUAAAAUGUAAGUGGGAUAUGAGAUGAUAUUAUAAAAAAUAGUGUGAUCCAACAAAAAGUCUAGUACAUCAUUAUCUUCACUUCCAACCAUGUUUAAAAGGUCACAAGUUCUAGCGGUUUCCAAGGACAAUGUUAAAAAUAAUAAAAAUAAAUCCAAUUAAAUAUUAAUUAAUUUAUUUGAAUUUGAGUCCGACAAAAUAGUUGGUAAUAAGUUAAUAAUGCCAUUAAUAUGAUUUUAAUGUGAAACACAAUUAUCACAUUUAAUACCCGUUAGUCCUUGUAUGAUUAACUUUUUAGAAAUUAAUAUCAAUCUUUUGAUUAUAAUAAGAGUUUCUACUAUUUAUAUUUUUGGAUGAUUUUAUAUUUUUCUUAUUGUUUUAGUUUAAUACAAAAAAAUAAAAAUAAAAUUACAUUAGUAGAAUUUUUUUUAACUUAUUCAAAAAACCUAUUGUAAGGUGAAUGGUUUUUUUAUUUUUUUUUUAAAUAUAAAUAUUUUCUUAAAAGGGAUAAAAUAACCUUACCUUGUGAAAAAAGGCCUCUUCACCCAAAUUUACUUGUGCAUAAUCCUUUUCAGACGAAAAUGCCCCCUUCCUAAAAAAUAUUUCAUCUUAAACUUAUUUUUCAUUUUUAUAACCCUUUGUUCCAUCCUUAUGAUUUGGGAGAGGAAGUCAUUCUUCUCUUGUGAAGAAAAAAUUCCUACUGCCAUUUUUCAUUUCAAGUGAAGAAAAAUAUUUAUAUUUCAUUUUAAACAAAUUGUACAUUUUCAAUCUCUCUUUGUUCCUAGUUGAGGUUUUUUUUUUUUUUUUUUUUUUUUGUAAUUUUAUCUUAAUUGUACAAAUUCGAAGAUGAGAUUAAAUCUAUAAUGGUUAUUGGUUAAAUCACUUAUCUAACUUUGUUCUUGACAGAUCGUAUAAUAUGAUUGGAACCACCAUCCUAACUUUAUUAGGUGGGAUCCCUUUUUUUUUUUCCCCAAACCCUUGGAUUUUAGUUUUGACUUAUAUUUCAAUUGUCUGUAUCACUUUUUCUUUAUUUAUUAAUUUUCAACAAGUUCUUUAACAAAAGCCUUGAAUCAUAUUUAAAUUCAAAUAACUUAAUCCCCAUUAAGUUCUUUUUAAAUGAAACUUAAUCAUGUGAAAGUUCAUGUGACUAUUAUAAUUGAGAAUUUAUUCUUAGUUGGGUUUUUUGUAAAUAAAAUUUAGUUAUAGGACUGUGAUGAUCCGUUCUCAACCGUAUAAAUAUUGUUCGUUUUGAAUUCAAAAUAACUUUUACGGCUUUAAAACAUGUUUACAAGAUUAAGAGGAGUCCAUAUUUAUAUAGCUUCACGAACUUUCCCCCCUAUUCGAUGUGGGAUGUCACAAGGACAUCAUGAUGCAACGUAUAACAUAAGAUUGUUUCUUAAGUUUGUCUAACCUUGUAAUGUGUUAAAAUGAAGAUGAAGCCAUUAUAACAGAAGAGAAUGAUGAAGUUGUAGAGAGAGCUUAACAAAGCUUGGGUUGGAGAGACUUCAUAGGAAGAGAGAGAGAGAGAGAGAGAGAAAUAAAGGGUAAAAUUAUCAAAAAAGAAAAAAGAAAAAAAAGAGGGUGAUGUCUCCAAAUAAUCAAUAAGAGAUGUCAUUUUUCUAAUUUCAAAGUUCUUCUGGCCCUUCUCUACAAAUAUCCCUAUAAAAACAUUAUAAUAUCAAGUUAAUUUGUUGAUACCAAAAUUUAUAUAUUAUAUUAGGAUGACUAAAUAACAUAUAGAAAGAAUUUUAAAUGAGUAAAUCAAAUCAAUUUUGAAAUCAAAACUUAAUACCUACCAAACUUGUAAUCUUAGUCAUUUAAAGUGUUCCAUGAAAUCUAAAUUAUUAAGCAGUGAAACAAAAAAUAUAAGAUUAAAAUACAAAACGUUGAAAUCAAGAUUCAAACUAUUAAAACGUAAGUGGAGACGUAAGAUGAUGUCAUAAAAAAUAGUGGGAUCCAACAAAAAGUCUAUUAAUCAUUAUCUUCACUUCCAAUCAUGUUUAAAAGGUCACAAGUUCUAGCGGCUUUCAAGGACGAUGUUAAAAAUAAUAAAAAUAAAUCCAAUUAAAUAUUAAUUAAUUUAUUUGAACAAUAGAUAGGACCAAAAUAAUAUUCUAAAAGGAAUCAUAGGGAAGUCCUUGGACAACCUACGACAUUGAACAAAGGUACAGUGAGACAAUGCACUUAGCCCUUCCUUGUCAUUGCGAUGAAUAUAAAAAGACACCCUGAUUGAGGGUGCCCCACUAAGCCAAGAGUGAUUCUUUUGUAUUGUAUAACGUGAAUAUUUUUGAACUUUGAAUGACCCUUCCUAUAGUCAUCAUUGUCAAAACUAGAAAAUCAGAAAGAUGCGAUGUACGAAGGCACCAUUGAAUAAGAGGCUUAAUUCUCUUUGGCAAUUAGGAUAAAGUUUCAAAAUAGAAAAAUUAAACAAAUGUACAGUGUACGGACACUUGGGCAUUGCCUAUUUGUUUUGUUCUUCUAGAGUUGUAUAUGGUAAAGGUCAUAUUGGGUUGGUUCUAUUUGGUUAUUGAAGUCGGCUAGAAUAUUAGAUUUGGUUUCAAUCUAAUCCCAUAUGAUAUUAGAAUACCAGCCCAUACAGAAUUUUUGACCAAAUAUAAUAUUUCUUUUAAAUAUAAAUAUAGUAAUUAAUUUUAGUCUAAGAUUAAUUAUGUAGUUUCCUAAAGAGACCACUUCCUAAACGGUAGCUAUGUGGAAGUUGGGCCAGGUCCUGCCGAGAAGGUUUCCACGAGCUGAGCCCAAAACUGAGUAGCUGUGAUGGGAUCAUUCUAGCAUUCAGCCUGAAACUUGUAACAUAACGGAUCGAGAGGCCUGAACUCCAAGACCAUGGUUCGUCAGCCCAUUAACUUCAACAGCACGCAUUUUAGAGGACUGGGCUUGCAAGGGGUGAGGUUUCCGGGCCGCGACCCCAAAUAUGAACAGCCUCAGAAGUGAUAUUGCUUACUGGCACGUGAAGAGCGCAAGCGUAACUAGAAGAUUUGUAAUGCCGCUUUAAUUGUUUGAUUAUAGAAUCCCACGCAUUACGCAUGGAAAGUGUAAAAGAUAAAAGAUGUAGAAUUUUUUCUUAGAGAAAAGUUCGUUUGGAUAUAGUUAUUGUUUUUUUUUUAAAUAAUAAUUGUUUUUUUUAUAAAUUAUAGAUAAUCUUAGAAAUUUAUCUUUAAAAAAAUAGUUUUUAAAAAUAUUUAAGGAGAAUAAAAGUGAUAAAAAAAAACUUUACAAUUUCAAAUUUUUAAAAAAUGAAAAUUAUUUUUAAGAAUAUAAGUUAAUCUCCUGCAUUUAAAUCUUAGGUGGUUUUUGUUUUUUUUACUUUUCGCUGAAAACAAUUUGUUUUCAAAAUUUAGGUCAUUUGUUUUUUCUAUUUUUUCAUGAUUUAUUAUAAAUUUUUUACUAAAUAAAAAAAAUCAAAAUAUGUAACUUUUUCUAAAUAAAAAAAAUAACGUAUUGAUUUUUCUUUACUUUUUAAUACUUAAUAGAUAUAAAAUACUACAAAAACAAAAAAUCUAAUAUUUAACACUAUUAAGCAUUAAAGUUCUAUUUAGAAUUAAGUAAAAAAACAAACACCACCUUAUAUUUUAUAUAAAAGUUACUUAUAUUUUGGUUUUUGGAAAUAAAAAAUAUAAAGCAUAUCCAAACAUGAGCUUAGCUAUUUUAAAUCAUAUCAAAAUAAUAAUCCCAAUAAGGUAAAUGGACUUUUAUACGGAGAAUAAUCUUUAAGGUUUUCAUUUUUAUUGGAUUUUUUUUUUGUGGUGUUUUUUCAAUCCAUCUUCUCAAUUAAUUCCUUAAAAUUAUUUUACUGUUUUUUUUUUUUUCAGUUUCUAAAUAUUUGAUUUUUCCAAAAUGCUUAAAUGGAAGACACUAAUUUUUCAAGAUAUUUGGUAUUACAAUUUUCCCUGUUCUCCCUAUUAUCUAUCAGAUUCAUGGCCCUUUUGUUUUUUCAUUGGUUUUCAAUUUAAUUUUCCAAAUAUUACAUUGUUGUGUUUUGAAUUUGUGAAACCAAUUUUAUAUAUAUAUAUAGUAUGUAAGUCUACUUUGGGUAACAUGUACAGAGAGGUUUUCAUGUGUUUGAAACCUUUUACCUCAAAAAUUAAUUAUUUUUAAUUUUAUAAUAAAUCUUUUUUUAUUUUUUAUUUUAUUUAGGAAAGCCUAUAUUUAAACUACAUGUUUGCAACGCAACACCAUACAUACUCCUAGUGGAACUUACCUUAGUGCUUGAGGGGGAUGCAGAUCUUCUUCUAAACCUAACUAAUAAGCAUAAAAUUGUUCACUAAUUAGCAUAUCUAGUAAAUCAUACAAAUUGGCAAUAUUUCAUGUUUUUCAUGUUUUGUCAAUAAAAGGCGUCUUGACCAUUUUGUGAGUUUUGUAAUAAAUAAAAAAAAAAAAAAAAAAAGGGCAAAAGGUGACUAAAAUGAGGCACUUUGGAAAGGUUAAUAACCUAAAAGGAAGAUGAAUUAAUACCCCCUUAUUCCUCUUCAAAAACCAUUGAGAAAAUGCAAGAAAUGCUCUUAGUUGUAUGCUAGGCUAACAGCCUAGCAACCAUAAUACCCUUCUUUGCAAUUGUAAGCAUUUUUUUUUUUUUUUUGAAGGCCAAACAACGUUGCAAACUUCCCAAAUCCCUUCUUUAUUUUUUAUUUUUUUAUUUUUGUUUUUAGAAGGAGAAUGAAUUUGAUGACAAACUCCUUGUCAAUCUUAUCCAAACCACGAUCGAACAGAACUCCUUGUCAAUCUUAUCCAAACCGUGUUCCACCUCAAAAACAUGUGUAGGACUUAAGGCAGCAACUGGCAAGCAUGACUGAUAGGGCCAAGUGCCCUUGUCUCUACAAUCCAUUAAGUUAACCAAGGGCAGUGAACCAUCAUUCUUUUCAAAAGCUUCAUUCCGUGUUGAAAAUGUGAGACUGAAGCAUGGUGCCCCCAAAAAUAACGAUCUAUUUACUAGCAGCAUGCCUGGACCCAUUAAAAAUACUCUACUUUAGGAAUAGAAAAAAUUACAUCUUUAUCCAAUAAUUUUAUAACAAUUCAGACGUUUCAGUCUAUAAAUAAUUGUACAUAGUUGCCAACGUUUAGCUAGUUUCAAAUGAAUAGCCUAGGUUCAUGCACCAGUUUGGCUGGUGGAGGAAAGGGAUUCGAGACAUUGAACCCUCUUUUUAGUGUGCCAAAUAUUCCACAAAAAUCACUACCUUCUCUUUGUGUUUGUUCACUUUUAGUUUAUAUUUAAUAAAUCUAUGUUUUCGAGUAGAGGUUGGGUUCAGGUGCGACCCACGUCACCUCUCGGACGGUCUUGAAAAAGGAGACCGGACCACGUAAUUUCAAAUGUAGUGACCAUCUCACUUUUACCUCCAUCCUUGAAGAUGGUUUCCCAAAUCAAUAUUAAUCUUUUGUUUACGACAAUAUCGAUCACUUUAUGUCUAUAUCGUUGUUAAUUUACCUUUUUUUUUUAGCCACAUUAUUUGAAAAUUGAUGCAAACUUUACCAACAUCUUGGUACCAUUUUAAAAUAUUAGAGUUAUUUGAUUAAAAAAAUAAAAUAAUCUCGAUAACUUGUUUAUAAAAUAAAUAUCUUUUAACAUUUAGACUAUUCUCACGCAUGCUUUAAAAUUGUAAAGAUAUUCAUAAAGUGGAACUUUAGACUUAAUCAAUAUCGAUCACUUUAUGUCUCUAUUGUUGUUAUAUUUUUUUUUUACAACAUUAUUUGAAAAUUGAUGCAAACUUUACCAACAUCCUAAUACCAUUUUAAAAUAUUAGAGUUAUUUGAUUAAAAAAAUAAAAUAAUCCCGACAACUUGUUUAUAAAAUAAAUAUCUUUUAAUAUUUAGACUAUUUUCACCAUGCUUUAAAAUCAUAAAGAUAUUUAUAUUCAUAAAGUGGAACUUUAGACUUAAACAUGAUAAUAGUUUUUUUACAAUAUUAUAAUUAUUUUAUCGUUUUAAUUAAGCCCUUUAUCAUACAUAUAAAUGUAAAUUAAUGCUAAAUUUUUAAAGCAACGUAUAACCUUUUACAUCUUUUUUUAAGAUGGUGCGAAAAUCCUAUGAAAAAUAAUAAAAGUCGAUGCAUAAGAAGAUUGUUUUGAUAAUUCAAUAGAAAAAUUCUUUUAAAAUGAUAUUAAAAAAUACCCAUAGAGCCUUUAUUAAAAAAAUCAAUUAUUUUCAUAAUAAAAAUUAUAAUUUUUUAUUAUGUAUUAUUAUUUUUAAGUAUCUUUAUUACAAAUACUUUUUUUGAGUUUAUGAGAGGAAUCAACAGGUUGGUACAAGCUUAGGCGUCCUCGUACAUGUUCCCGCUGUGCAAGGUUUUUGUCUUGUUUCGAGCUAGUCGGAAUUUACGUGUUUGAUAACGUUUUGUCCUAUUUUUGUAACGCUUUAAAGGGCGGCCCACCGUUGGAACAGUUCAAGCCAUCCAAAUCAGCCCGGAGGGUUAUGGCGACGUGGCAUGACGCCUACCACCUUAGUUCACAUGAACCCUAUGAUCGUACUACCCUCACAUGACAUCUGUGAUUCUUCACCUCCAAACCCUCUUUAACUUGGUAAUGUAUUCAAAGCUUCAUCAAAUCAUAGCGAUUAGCGACCCUCUUCCACCCUAAUUUUAUAAUAAAAAAUAAAUCUUAGUGGACAUUAAAGUAGUAUUUUGUGGGGGGAAAGAAAAACUCUAUGGGCGUAUCCACUAAAUACGAGCCAAGUAUAAGAGUUAUCACCAUGGAAUCAAAUUAUGAAGCAUUGACAUUUUAAUUGUAUUCAGAUUUGAGGAGGGCACCGCGGCACCAGCUGGCCCAGUGUAGUCUGCUAGCCUACCCGCCAUAAUGACCAAAUUAAUAAAGUAAAAAGGAUUACAGGGAUAUUCCCAACUUUAUUCUGGGUCUGAGCUGGAACUUGGGAGUUAUCACGAUCAACGGGAAAGAUGGUGGGUAGGGGACGAGGAUUGAGGGCUCCAUAUUCACAUCAGUGAAAAACGAAAUGUAUUGAGACAAGUCUUCUAAGGAUUUUCUAGCGUAUUAUAUGGUUUAAAUGAUUAUAAAUCUGUAGUUACUGGUAAAGAGUAGAGAGUGAAGACGAAAGACGUUGAGUGAAAAGGAAGGAGGAGAGGGGAUGGGGCCAUCUUACCGUGUCGGGGAGGAUCCAUAAAAGGACUACGUUCCCUGAAUCUGUAGGCAUCAUGCCUCGCCUAACGGGUUAGUCAAAAUACAGUGAUGUGUGUGAGUUGGGGGCCUCACUCCUCAUUUCUUUCCUUCUUUUCACCCCCACCCCCACUUUUUUUUUUUUUUUUUCGAAUUUUUCUUUGUCCUUUUCUCUCACUUGCGCACGCGGGAGAAGGACCACAAACUAGACAAUUCCUCUGCUCACGUGACCCCGAGUUUUUAAAUAUUUGCCUAUUUGGAAAAUAGUCAUGAAUCAUGAUCGUUAACAAACAAUCUUCACUUUAUUUAUUUAAGAUCUAUUUUUUGGAGCUCUAGUUUAGUUUAUUAUUAUUAUUAUUAUUAUUAUUAUUAUUAUUAUUAUUAUUUAGUAACUCCUCUUAUAUUAAUGAAAAAGAGAGGAGGAAUCCAAACUUGUUUAUUCUUCCUCUUUUAAGGUGUUUGUUUUUUUUAUUUUAUUUUUAUGCUUCAUAUGUCUUCAAUUUCUUAGCAUUUGUCUUAUAUUUCUUCUUAUCCGAUUCAUUAUUGCAUCCUUGGUCAAUCUUUCACGAGGAGUGCCUACUUUUUUCCUUUUUAUUAUUUAAUUCACUUUAUCUUUAUAUUUUCCUUUUACACUUUAUUUCCAAUUCAAAACGUGUCAAAAAAAAAAAUUGGUAACAAAAAAAAAAAAAAAAAUCAAUUGUAAUGAUUCUUAUAUAAUUUUAUUUAAUUUUUAUUAAACAAUAAAGAAAUUAAAAAUAUAUAAAUUUUUAAAUAAUUAUUAUAGUCUUUCAUUUUUGUGUAUAAUUUCUUUUGCAAGAAAUAGUGUAGGCUUUCCACGGUCUAAAGGAAAUGGAAUAUCAAAUGAGAAGGUAAUAAUAAUAAAGUGAGUUAUAGAUACUAAUCAAACUAAUCCACUAAUGAAUUAUUUAUUUUUAUUUCACAUGGACAAAUCCUAAAAGUUGGAGUUCUAAUUUACUUUUAUGUUAAGCUUUUUUAAGUAAAAAUCUUUUAUUAUUAUAAUUUAUAGACAAAAAGAAACCCAUUAAUGUGAUGGAUAAAAAAUUUCAAUUUAAAAAAAAAAAAAUUAAAGUUGCUAAAUUUUUGUAUUUAUUAUUUCAAACUCAUUUAAAUAAUUUAAAAAUAUGUCUUCAAUUAAUUUUAAUGAAACAAAGCAUGAUUUUUUUUUAAUUUUUUUUUCUUUACCAAAUAAAGCAUUAUUAUAAUACGUUGAUUAAAUUUUCAUCAUGUCUCUCAAGAUUUGGAUUAAAUAUACUUAGUUGUCAUAAAUUUGAAAUUUUAUUUAAUGUAUUUUUUAUUUUAAAUUAAAAAGAUGAAUGCAAAUAAAAAAAAUAUGUAUAUUUUAUAAAAUUUUAAAUUAAACGAAGGAUACGUGUAUUUAACCAAGGUGAAUGAAAUUAAUCCAAAUACUUUUUGGUAACUUGCAAAAUAUCUUGACGAAAUCAUUAUGGCAGGCAUCGUACAAGCUCAACCCUUGUCGCCUUGCUAGAAAUAGAGAAACAAAAAGACCCCCAAAUUGGGUUGCAUCCUAAAUAUGAAGAAGUGGUAACAAAGGAAGAAAAAAUGCUGUGUUAUUGAAUAGUUAAUACAUUGAACAUGAUAUGUUACAUAGAGAGCCAGAUUAAUCCUAGUGGAAUUCCACUGUCACGAUGGUAACCUAGGGUUAUGUUUGGUUAUUGAAAAUACCAAGAAAAGAAAAAAAAAUAUAAAGGAAAAUAAUUUUUUCAUUUUUGAUUGUCUUAUAAAAGAUAUAAAAAAAAAACAAAUAUAAUUAAAACUAAUUAAAAAUUUAGGUAUUUUUAAAUUAUUUAAUUUUUAUAUUAAUGAGCGAAAAUAAAUAAAAUAAGUUUAAAAUAACAAAAAAAAUAAUUUACCGAUUUUUAAUCUAUAUUUUAUUUUACUUUUUCUUUGUAUUUUUUUUUUCUUAUAUUUUCCCUCAAAUUUUCUGAAUCAAACAUAGCAAAAAAGGAGCUACCCCUUUCGAAAGAAACUCCCAAGAAUUUCAAAGAAACCUGCUGAGAUAAUGAAUGAGGGAUCACUGUCGGUAAACAGUAUCCAUUCUUUUGGGAGGACUUUCAAACUGAGAAGUUGUUUUCAUGACUUGGAAACAAAAUUUUGAGCUCUAAGGGGGUCUGUAUUUGGGCCCUAAAAUUCAAUCCAUCAAUCUGAAAAAUGCUUAGGAUAAUGAUUUGAUUUAGCCACAAUCACUAAACAAAUUCCAGAGGAAAAUUUCGCUACUCAUAGGUGGCUGAUUCUCAUAAAAAGACAUCGUGGUAGGGUGUCUCAAGUGCAGGCUCACCAUCAACUUGCUGCCCUUUUUAGAUUAUUGUAAAAUGAUUUCACAUGAAGCCCAAUGCAAAACUUUGAAAGAAAAGGUUGGUGGAGACGUGAAGAAUAUGUAACCCAUAGGCCAUAACUAGUACCGAAGAUUAUUGAACAAACAUUCAAGGUUUUUGUAUAGACGAAACUGAAAAGAAUGUGUACCAGACUCAGGCGUUCAGAUCAGAUGAUGCCGUAAUGUGGAUUGUGGAGGAGCAUUGUGCAGACAGAUAAUGAGAUUCUGAAAGCGAGGCCACUGAUGGGCCCUUGGAAGGGGGGCGUGCCUUCAAAAUUAUAUAUAUAUAUAUAUAUAUGUCAUUGAAAAUUGGAAGCAACUUUUCUUCUUAAGUUAUUUUAAUCGAAGAAGAAACAAAAAGUUAAAAACAUACAUUAUUCUUCCUUCUUACGAGGUUUCCGGGUCUAAAUUACUAUGGUCUCUGCAACUGGCGUCGUUUUCUCUCCCCUCUCUCUAUUUUCCCUUUAUUUUUUCACUUUUAGAAAGAAGCAUCCCAUCAAGAAUCUACUACAACCCUACGCUUCCAUUUUGAUUUAGAAAGUUAAAAAUAAGUUUAAGUUAAAAAAAAAUAUUUUCUUAUAUAAUUAUUUAAACUUAUUUCUUUUCCUUUUUAUAUAAAGAAACAAAUAUUUUGCAAAUAAAUAAAUUUCUAAUUAUUUUCAUUAACAUAAUAAUAAUAUUUUUCAUAUGACUUUAAUCACAAUUUUUUUUACCACUUGUCCAAGGCGGUGAGAGGUGAUAAAAUGUAUUAAAAAAACGAUUAAAUUGCAUUAGGUAUAGAAGUUUUGUGCUUCAAUUAUCACUUAUAAAAAUAAAAUAAAAAUAGUCAAAUUUGAGUGUGCAAGUUGGUAUUCGUAUGUAGAAGGAAUUGGGGGAUUUGGGGGUCCUAACAAAUUUGAUAUGAUUGAUGGAAGGAAAUGAUUAUUAUAGGAUAAAGUCCGAAUGAAACGCUGACGAGGGGGGAAAAACAACAGUGGCAAUGCACUAUCCACAGAUCCAUGAUUGAUUUAUGUUAGCAAUAAUGAAUUAUUUUGACUUUGAUAACCUUGGUUAAGAGAAUUUGGUCUUGUUAUUAUCAUUUUUUCAAAAAAAAAAAGUGUAGGUAACUAGGUAGUUGAUUUAUUAGAAUUUAGAAAUGAGGAUCCCCUCCUCCUGCAAGAGCCGUGACAGACAUGCCUGCUUUCUUGCCAGAUUAUACCAAUGUGCCCAAAUAAUCCCCCAUCUAUCAUCUCUGCACCCUGGAACACGUCACUCCCUCCUUUGAGCAAUAAAAUAUCUCUUUUAUUUUCUUUUGAACCACUCUUCUAUUUCUUUGUACCAGACUGGACCCAUUUAAAUUCUUCGCUACGCUGUUCCCAAGGACUACGAGAAUCAAAAUAGCAAAAUUCUUGAAUCAUUUUAAUGGGUUCAGAAACCACAUGUUUCUCUAGAUCAUAAGAGGAAAAUCUUUUUGGAUGGUGUUUGUGUUGUGUUGUGUUCAAUAUUAAAUACUCAAUUAAAUAAGCUAAAUCAAAUAUCACAUGAAAAAUAAUCAAAUUAAAAAUAGGGAGAAUUAUGUUUUGAGGGUAGAUGGACCCCAAAUUAACAAAAGGUUCAUGUAACUCUUCAAAUUGAGCCCAGACCCAAUGAAAAUAUGGAAAUUGAGUUGAAGUAUAUCAUCAUUCAGUAUUUCCAAAAAUGUCCUUUGUUGAUUUUGAGAAAAAAAUUAAUAUUUUUGAAAAAUAUUUUUAUGUAAUUUAAUAUUUUUUUAAAUACUUUUAUUUAAUUUAAUAUUUUUAAAAAAUAAAUUUAUUUAAUUUAAUAUUUUAAAAAAUAUUUAAUUUAAUAUAUUUUUUAAAUACUUUAAUUUAAUUUAAUAUUUUUGAAAAAAAUUUUAAUUUAAUAUUUUUGAAAAAAAAAUUAUUUAAUUUAAUAUUUUUUAAAACUAUUUUUAUUUAAUUUAGUAUUUUUGAAAAAAAAUUAUUUAACUUAAUUUUAUAAAAUAUUUUAUAUGUGUUCUUAAAGGGUAUAUUUGUCCGUUACUAUUUCAUAUCCUUCAACUCAAUUUAAAGAGUUAUAUGGACCUUUUGUUAAUUUGGGGACCCAUCUACCCUCAAAAGAUAAUUCUCCCUUAAAAAUAUAAAUUUAAAUAUGACAUAAUUAUUAAAUAUGUUAGAUCUUGUAUGAGUUUAUAAGAUUUAUGUUUCAAAAUAACAUGUUUAUAAUUCAUCUAUUGAUUUAUAAUCAAAUUUUAAAUAAAUUAAAGUUAUUCAAGUUAAUAAAUAUGAUUUAUGUUAUAAAGACUAACUAAAAAAUAAUUUAUUAAUUAAACGGAUCCUGGUCAAUAAAAAUUUGAUUUAAAUACGAUCAUACUUAAUCAAAACUUAGGUCAAAUUGUAUUGAUAAAUUACAUCAAAACCUUGUUGUGUUCAAUAUUUUAUAUUAAACUAUUUUUUAAUAAAAUUAUUUUUAUAAAUAUAAUAUUACAUCAUUUGGAGAAACAAAAUAGUAUUAUAUUGAUUUUACAUAUAAAGCAACCAGUUAACCCCUCAUUAUUUUGAUCCAUUUCACAUCCAUAUCAUUCUCAUAAUUUUUUUAUAAUAUAUUAACAUGAUGGACGGUAAUUGAGGGUAGAAAAAAAAGAUGAGAAGAAUAAAAUAAUGUGAAUCCUCUCUAAAUGUUACAUCUUCUGACAAAUGAAGUCUAUAGAAAUGUGUAAAAAAAAAAAAAACACUUAAUUGUGAGGUUCACUUGAUUUAGCAAAAAAUUAAUAUUUUAUUUGUUGUGUGAUUUAAAAAUAAUAUUUUAUUUUUAAAAAUAAAAAAUUAUUUUUAAAGUUUUUUAACACUAUUUUACUAUUGUUCUUUGAAAUAAUUUUUAAAAUUAAAAUGAAAUAACUAAUAAUUUUUAGAUAAUAAAUUAAAGUUGUUUUUAUUAGAUUUUAAAAAUAAAAGAAAAAUAUAAAACCAUUUGAUCAAAUUUUUUUAAACUUAUUUUUAAAAGGUUUUUUUUUUUUUUUUUUUUUUUCUAUCCUAAGUUAAAAGAUAAAAAAUAAUUUUUAAAGAUAGGUUACGAGCAAAUGCCACAAACUUUUUUCUUCUCUUUCCCUUGUUCGGAUAGAAGUGAAAAAUAUCCUCCCAUGGAUCGACAUUACGUGAGCCAUCACCAUUCCCCAACUGCAAUUCAACCGCCAAAGCUGAGGUGUCAUUAUUAGUUUGAACAAAAGUCAGCAUUGUCCACGUGGUGACAAGCGGAACUGACCCAACUUGCAAGGCAAAAAAAUAAAUAAAAUAAAAUGAAAAAAUCAGAUCACCAUUAUGACGUCAGUCCAAUUGCUGACCUGGCCGCCGUCCCCCAUUUGACCCACGUGUUCAUUUAACCCAUUCGCCGUAUGCCGUGGCUCCCCACCCAUAUGGCCAUAUCUGCCAUUUAUUUUAUCCGUUGCCUCCAUUCGGUUUUUGGAUUUUACCCAUUCGCCCUCGUCUAUUCCCAUUUCCGUAUUUGCCCACCAAGGAAAUUCAAUUCCCAUGCUUUUGUUUUACAUUCAAAUCCUCCCCCCUCUAUAUAAAGGAGGGAGUAGGGCUUGAAAGUUUCUCAAGCCAACAUGGACUGUUGAGAGUGAAAGACAGAGGAGCCACAAACAAAUAUCACUCACUCAAACCAAAGCCAAAACCAAUACCGAAUUCAAUUCAAAUGACUUCUUUCUCUCUCAUCAAUUCCCUGAAUUCCGAUUCCGAUUUCAAUUUGUUAUCGGAUUCUUUUUCCUGGGAAAACUCCCUACCUUUCAAUGAAAACGACUCCCAGGAGAUGCUCCUCCUGGGCAUGCUGGCCAGCUCCACUCAGGAAACCUCAGAAACAGUUUCUUUGAAUCGAGUGAAGGAGGAAGAAGUGACUUCCCAGGAAAAUCCCGAGAAGGAGAAGUCAUACAGAGGCGUUAGGAGGCGGCCAUGGGGGAAAUUCGCAGCAGAAAUAAGGGACUCGACCAGGCAUGGCAUAAGGGUGUGGCUGGGAACAUUUGACAGUGCAGAGGCAGCUGCUCUGGCCUAUGAUCAAGCUGCUUUUGCGAUGCGGGGCCCUGCGGCAGUCCUCAAUUUCCCGGUGGAAAGAGUGAAGGAAUCGAUGCAGGAGAUCAAGUGCAUCUUGGAGGAGGGGGGCUCACCAGUGGUGGCCCUCAAGAAGAGGCACUCUAUGCGGAGAAAAAGUCCUUGCAAGAAACAUAAAAGUGAAGAGGUGAGGUUAGAAAAUGUGGUAGUGCUGGAGGAUUUGGGUACUGAAUACUUGGAACAGCUCCUCACUUUCUCUGAGACCUCUAGUCCUUGAUCAUCAUCAUCCAUCACCUGGAUAGCUUCUUCUCUUUGCUCUGUUUCUUACUUUUCUCUCUCUCUCUCUCUCUCUCUCUCUUUUUUUUUUAUGUAAUUUUUCUUAAUGUAUUUUUGGAGAUGGCGGGGGUGUAGUGGUGGCAAUUAUCCAUCUAGAAUUUUUCAAAAGAUAUGUUCUUUUGUUUCUUUGUAUAAAGUUGAAAAGUGGGGAUCAAUUGUGAUGGUGCUCUAUGUUCAUCCACCCAAUUUAUAUAAUCAAGGUGAUUAAUGUUUUUUGAUAUCAACAAUUUGUGAAUGACAUAGAGAGAGAGAGAGAGAGAGACCUUAUUUUCUACACUCAUUACGGUGGUUUCCAUUUGGGGAAGGAAAAGGAAAUGGCUAAGAAUGUUACCAAAAGAAGUGGGGUGGCUUUCAUAUGCGUGGUGGCAUACUUGCAUACAAACUUUUCAAUUGUGUUCUGCAUGCCACUCGGGUCAAUUUCAUUUCUUUUACUCCUAGUAGCCUAAUUGGAUUUCCUUUUUCUCAUGAGACAUCAAAUAAAUUUCAUUUUUUUAUAUUUAAAUAGUUAGGUAAGUUUGAUAGUGAGUUAUAUUUUAUACAUUAAUUCAUCUUUUAGAAUGUUGUCUACAAUAUAAACAGUGUAAUUAAUUUCAUCAUUACAGAACAGUCAUCUUAUAAAAUAACAUAAAAAUUAUUGGAUCACUUGUAUGGCACCACUGAUUUGGACUUGGUAUGGCUCUGUUUGGCUUCAUAGAAAAAAUUUGGACCCAAUUUGAAUGUCUUGCAUAAAAAGAGAUACGUCCCACUUUGAAUGAUAUUGAAGAAAAAAAUUUCUGAUGAAGAAUAUAUUGUUGGCAGGGUCAUGCAGGCCAAUAGGGAAACGAUAAAUUCAGAAGAAUGAGUCCAAACCAGUGGGCUUGAAAAUUAAGAAGAGAAUUGCUGUAUAAAACAAUCAUUUCUUAAUCGAGUUCACUUUCUGAAUAAUCGUCACUUUGAGAAUGCAUACUUAGGAAGAUGAUGAUCCUUAAUGGGAAUAAUCAAAGGCAUCAAAAAAUUGUUCUGGAACAAUUCUUGAUUGUCUCCAGUAAAAUUCAAAGUCAAAAGUCAAAAGUCCAGUCGGUCAACACCAAACCAGGCCAGUCCAAAAGACAUUAAUUUGCAAUCUAGAAUCUAUGAUGAGGUGGCGAAAUCAAACCUUGGCUUUUCACCAGGGAAUGGUACUCUGAAUUUGGUCAGUUCACUGUUUCGAGUGAAUAGGGUGUAGUAAUUAGUAAAUCAUAUUUUAGAUUUGUGUCACAAGUUACAAGGGAUAUGGGCUGACGUUCAAUUUUGGCGACAAUUUGUGGGCCCGUAUAUUUGUUGAGAUGUGGAAAUUGGGUGUGUGCUUUUUUCUGCUACCACAUAAAUAUAUUUCUUUGAAUUGAAGAGUGUUUCAGACCAUUUUUUUUCAAGUCACAAAUGGACAACUGAUUGAGAUUGUAUUGGUGAGAGUAGGAGUUUAUUUUGGGCUGGUUGAGCGAAGUUGAAAGUCGAGUUGGACCUAACCCUUGAAUUCAGCAGACUACAGUCCGAUCCUGUAUUUUGGAUUUAGGGAACCUUCUUUCCCAGAAGCUUCGUCUGGGUUUUAAAGUCUAAAUGUGGCUACUCUUAAACAUUGGAGAAAGGAUGAGCGUUCACAAGCAAAUGGGUAAUUGUGGAUGGUUCAAGGACCUGGCCAGCUGGUCUUCAAGUUUGGAUGCCGGUUUGGGCCUGAGAGAGUCUUUGCAAAGUGACUUCACUUCAGCCUAUGAGAUCAAGAUAUCAUGGUGAUGUCCGAUCACUUAGGUUUCAUUUUCACCUCGGAUUACCGUUACCAUGUUCAUGAAUAAAAAUAAAUAAAUAAAUGAAGCCUUAUAGAGAAAUUAAUGAAGUGAGCUAUACAAGCAACUGGGCCAGGAGCCUACAAGGCAGAAAUUCCCUGCCCUAGACUAGGCCGAAUAAAUUAGAUGAAUGAAUUGGGGAAACCUGGGCCAGCCACACAUCCUCCUGAAGGCUGAUGUCGAACUCGCUUACGAGGAAUGGACAUGGGAGAUUGGGCUGGGACCAAAUAACCAAUUGACAGCCCUAUCCUUGUGGCAAGACGUCAGUAAAAUGGUUCAUUCUGAUUUUACGCUGCCAUUCAAUUUAAUUUUAAUUUUUGUUUAAAGCGAUGUACAAAUUGAAUGGUGUCUAGUCACUUAAAGAGUGGUUCAUAAUACACUUAAUUUAAACAAAAAAGAAAUUAUUAGAUAGGGGAUUCUCCAAUAAAAACCACCCCAUCUUGUCAGCAAGUCCGGAAACUUCCUUCACUUAGGGCGUAUUUGUUUUUUUAACUUUAAUAUUAAAGAAAGUUGGUUAAACCUUAUGACACUUUUAUAUUAUUUUAUGAAUUUUUUUUAAUUUUUAUUUUAAUGGAAUUUUAACUUUAAUACAAGUUGGAGUAAUUCUUAUCUUAAAAACAAAUCAAAAUUACUUUAAUUUUAUAUAGAAAUAAACUUACAGUAAAUUUACCAUGAAAAUUUCUAAGUCAAAUACACCAUAAGUGCUAGUAUUUUAUAAUAUUUAGAAACAUGUUAAAUUAUUAUUAUUAUUUUUUAAAAUUAUUAGUUUUCAUAUUAGUUUUAGGGAAACUUGUGCUUUAGGUCUUUUAUUUGCAAAUAAUAUGGUUUUCAAAUCCUAAGAAUAGAAAAUAUGAGAAUCAACUGUUAAUGUGGAAAAUAAUAUCAAUUUUGUGCAAUCUCUAUUGACUCAUUUUUUUGUGCCUAGAUUGCCUUCACCCACUUCCAUGUCAACAACCACAUUAAUAGAUUGUUUUUUUUUUAUAAAACAAAUAAUUAUUAUGUUUAAAAUUUUGGGGAAACUCUCUAUCUCUCUUACUUCUUCACUACAUCCGAGACCCAUCUUCCUUAAACGUUUGCCUCUCAUUUUGCCCUAACCCCAAAUCUCAUAAAUUUCUCAUUUUCUUGCCUCAUUUGAAAUAUGAAGAUGACCGAUUCUCAAACAUCUCUGUCUCUCUCUUCACGUUUUGACCAGUCUAAUUGGAAACCCAUUUUCCAAAAACCUUCUUUCUUUCAUUUUGCCCUAACCCCACUAUCUCCCUCUUCAAGACCUAAUCACCCAAACUCGAUAUCUAUCUUCCCAAAACCUUCAAGCAAACUGAACUAGACCCAUAUCUUCUUUUUUCAUCAUCAAAGGUGAAAUUUUUUUAAGGCUUUUGGAAACCGAAUUGGAGCUUUCCCUUCUUCUGGGAUUAAUCAUUCGCAAGUGAGUUUUCCAUUUAAGGCUUUGUUUGGCUGUUGAAAUCUUGGGAUCAAAGGUCUUUUAUUUUCAGGUUUCUUGUAUUUUGCUUUAUUUUCUUGUAUAUAACAAUAAUCAUUGUAACAUAUGCUAGUAGUUACCCUUGGUGCAACUUUACAUUUCCAAAUACCCUAAAGUCCAAAGCUUUUAAUUCCCUUUUCAAAGCUUUCAACUUUGAAAGCAGACUAAACCAUAAGAACUAUGAAACUUAUAUCUCUAUCACCACUAAUUAAGCAUGUCUAUGAAUCCUUCCACUUUAAGUCACUUAUUCUCAAACCAAGAAGGGCUCCUCUCAUUCUCACCCCACCUCAUCUAAAUGAGGGAAAUGAUCAAUUGCAGCCAUGCUUUGCACCAAAUUAGAGAAGUGAUCCUCCCAAUCAUCCAUUACCAAAAAUUGAUCAUGCUGAUGAGAUCAUAAGAGUCUAUUCGGAACUCCCAGUUUACUUGCCUCUUAUCUCAGGAUCCUCCAUUACCCCCUGUCUUUCCAACAUCAAAUCAACUUGCAAACAAUUCCUUUGUAGAUAAAAUGUUUUUAAUAUUGCAAAAGGGGACUUAUCAUAAUGGUUGAAUCGAUUUAUUUGAUAUAAUCACUCAAAUUCAAGCUUAAAAUUGAUCAUAAUAAAAUGUUUUUAAUAUUGUUAAAAGGAGAUUAUAAUGGUUUUAUUUGAUAUCAUUACUAAAAUUCAAGCUUUCAAACAUGCUCUACAAAGAAGUUCUAAAAGACUACAAGAAAGAGUUUCCACUAAAGAAAAACAAUGAAACCAUUUCUACUAAAGACAAACAAUGAAACCACAGAUGCUUUGUGAAAUAUGUACCCGCACAAUCCAACAAACUUUAGAAAUUCACAAACACUACCUAGAAUUUUUGCUGACCAGCAAAAAAUUUAUGCAAUUUAAUUCUUAUUGUUAUUAUUAUUUUCAAUGUGAACAAAUAUGAUUGAAUUAUGAAGUAUUUGGCCAGAAGAGGAUCUUGCCUAAUUAUAGUCAUUAAACAACCAUUUAUACCAUAGCCUCUAGACUUUAAAAAGUUUAUAAAACUCAAGGGCUUCCACCCAAUUUCUAGAUAUCUCCAUAACAUUCUUCUGACUAUUAGAAAGCAAUUACCACUUUAAUUUUUCAUUUCAUGAGUGUUCAAUUCAGAAAAAGACCAGGAUCGAACUUGCGAUCAUGCAGUCGAAAAUCCACCUGUGCAUGAAACUAUUGCCUCACGAUUGCAAACUCAAGUUGGAGUCCAGUAACAACUCUAGGUUUGCUGAUGUGCUCCAUUUGAAAUAAAGGAACUAAAGAAUACUUUAUAAAGAUUAAUUACCUUCAUAUUUUAGGUUGGGGUUAAGGCAAAAUGUGAUAGAUUGAGAGGAAGAAAAUAUAUCUUGUUCAGGAAGCCAAUAUUUUGGAGUUCACCUUUCCAUUCGAGUCCACUCUGCUAUAGCAAAAUCAGAGUCACAACUAUGCCUCUUUAAGCUAUCCUUUAAUUGGAUGAAUUGCAGAUUUGGUUGCUGAGAAAGUGGAUAAGAAAGAAAAAUGCAUACUGUAGCUUGAGAUUAAGAGUUUGUUUUCUAAAAUGAGAGAAAGGGAAAGAGAAAAAAUGCAUAUUGUAGCUUGAGAUUAAGGGUUUGUUUUCUAAAAUGAGAGAAAGGGGAAGAGAAAUGUUCGACAACUUUGAGAUGACAAAUUUUUAGAUUUGGAAAAUUUGAGAUGAGUCUCAGGUUUUUUUUUUUUUUUUUUUGUCUUUGUCUUUGUUUUUUUUUUUUUUUUUUGUUUUUUUCCCAAAAACAACCUGUUAAUGUGGUUGUUGACAUAGAAGUGGGUGAGGGCAAAAUGGGCAUAGAAAAAAGAGUCAACACAAAGUGCACAAAACCCAUAUUAUUUUCCACAUUAAUGACUGAUUCUCAUAUUUCUUGUUCUUGGGAUUUGAAAACCAUAUUAUUUGCAAAUGGACCUCCCAAAGCACAGGUUUCCCUUAGUUUUAUGUCUCCAUCUACAUUUUACAUAUAAAUAGAUUAUUUUAUAAAAUUUGUUUUGUAGAUAUAUUAGUUAAUAAUUAUAUAAUUAAUGAUAUAGAAAACAUAUAAAAAUCAUAUUUAAAAAAGAUAAUUACAUAUUCCUCAACAAUCCAUCCCAAGAAUUCGAGGUUGAGUUGAAAACAUGUAGAGUCUUUGAUGUUAUUAUAAUCAUAUCCAACACAUAUGAUUAUUGUUUAUGAGAUAUUAUUAGAAAGUUUGUCUUAAAAUAAUUGAUUUAUUACCCACCUUUAGCAAAUGCCCAUUUUUGCGUCUUUCAAAAUUUUCAUUUUUUUUUUGUUUAAAAGAAGUAUUGUAAAGAAUGAUGAAAUAAGAAAUUUGUUGAGAAAGUGUGAGUAAAUAAUUUUACAUAAAAAGAGAUUUAAUACUUGAUAAAUAAAAUAAUAAAAUCAUGAUUUCUAGUUGUAUAGGGCCGGGUGGAUGGAGUGGCUAAGAUGUAAUUCUUGAAAUAGAGGAGACAACAUCAAUGUAUAAAAGUUUAACAGAGAAGGAAAGUGUGUUUGAAUGACUUUAUUUUCUUCAUUUAAAGUUUUGACGAUGAGUGUUUAUACAAGAUAAAUUUUCAAAUGAUAGGACUCCUAUUUACAUGGAGUUUGUGAUAUACUAUGAUUAUACAAAUUUAAAAUUCAAACAGAUUCAUGAGUUGAUAGGAGUCUGCUCAAUACGCCCCUUCAAAAUGGUGGGAGAUAGCACACCAAUCUUGACUCGAAGGGCCUAAACUCGUGCAGAAGAUGAGGGCUUUGUUAGAGCAUCGACAAGUUGAUCCGUGGUUGACAUAUGGGACACCUUGAGCUCACCUGAUUAAACCUUGUUUCAAACAAAAUGAAAAUCAAUCGCCGAUGUGUUUCAUGGAGAGUGAAACAUGGGAUUUGCACAAAGAUAUGUUGCACCCACGUUAUCACAAGAGAUAGGAGGUGGUGAUAAAUUUGAAACACUAAGUUUUGAGAGAAGAGAAUUAACCCAAAGAACCUUUGAGGCUGUAGAGGCCACGACGUGAUAUUUCGCUUCAGUGGAAGAGCGUGCUAUGAACUUUUGUUUCCUCGAUGACCAAUACACAAGAUUGUGACCAAGAAAAACAAUGGGAGCAUUGGUGGAGGAUCUGACAUAAGGAUUCCUUGCCCAUUCAACAUUCGAAUAUGCAUGUAGAUUGAUGGGCGAUUUCUUAUGCAAGAACAGACCAUGCACCAUUGUGCCGACUAAGUAUCUAAGCAAUCUUUUAACACAAGACCAAUGUGUUGAUGUUGGAUGGUGCAUAAAUUGAGAUAAUUUAUUCAUCAAGAAGGUGAUGUCAGGGCUAGUAAGAGAGAAGUAUUGAAGGCUUCCAACAAUUGACAUAUAUUUAGUGGGACCAGGAAAAGAGGUGUCAUCACACAGAUUUGGAACAUUGUUGAGGAACAUCAAUGAUUGAACUGGUUUGGUAGCCACCAUUUGUGUUUUCUUAAGAAGCUCUCGAAUGUACUUGAGAUAAAAAUAAUCCUUUGGAAGUAUGUAUCAUUUCAACACCAAGAAUAAAAGAUGAAGUCCUGAGAUCCUUAAUGGAGAAUUUGACUGCUAAUUGAGAGAUCACGCGAGCACGAAAAACAUUAUUGUUACUUGUUAAAAUAAGAUCAUCAAUAUAAAUAAGUAGGUAAACAAUGAGACCACUCUUUUUAAAAAUGAAGAGGGAUGUCUCGGUUUAGGAGUUGACGAAGGCUAUUGAGAGGAGAAAUUGGCAAAGUUCAUGAUACCAUGAUCGUGGAGCUUGUUUAAAGCCAUAAAAAGCCUUACAAAGUUGGCAAAUGUGAUGAUGUGUGUAUUCGUGAACCCAGGAGGUUGAAUCAUGUAAACAUCUUCAUGAAGUGUCCUAUGCUAGAAUGCAUUAUUAAUGUCCAAUUCAUGAGUUGAUAGGAGUCUGCUCAAUACAAUGUGGGAGUGUGAUUUCAAAAUUAGGGUAAUUUCGAAAUGGAUUUUGUAUUCACAAGUUGAAUUUCAAAAUUAUUUUGAAAUGGUCUUUUAACUUUAAGCAGUUGUGUUCAAAAGGUCAUAACUUCUUCGUUUCAAUUUUGAUUUACACAUUGUUUAAAACAUUGGACUCUUUACUUCCCGAGCUUCAAAACGAUAUAUAGUAUGCUCAAAAAUGACAUCAGGAUUGGUUCAAAUUUCAUCUUGAUAUUAGAGUACAUGUUGUGAUUAGAUUUUGAGUUCCAAAUUUCCAUGUAAACUUGAUUGCAUUUGCUUCAAACCUCCUUCAUUAUGGUUGCUUGCCCUCUAUCUCACUUUGCAACAUUUGUUACUAGUAUUUUAUGUCCAUGACUUACUCAUUUCAACCUUUCUUGGAUUCUUCAUGGUUCACAAAUUAUGGAUUCUUCAUGGUUCACAAAUUGAGUCUUUCAAUUAUGCAUGUUUAACUCCUAUUUCCUUGGUUGAUAAUGACUUUUACACUUAUCAUUUUCUUUUAUUCUUUAAACCUGAAUUUAGACUUACAAAAAAAAGUUAGAUCCAUAACUAGGGUCUUAGCAUCAAUUUGAGUUAAGUUGGAUGAUUUGAAAAUUUUAUAUUACAUAAAUCAUAUCAUACAUGUGCCAUUGGAGUGCACAUUUUGGCUCUAAUCAUGUUCCAACCCAUUGUUUUACUCUUGCAUGAAGUAUGUGGCCAUUGAUUUUAAUUUUAUUUGCGAUUAGGUUCAAAAUGGUGCUUUUGUGUUGCUCAUGUGUCAUCAGAAGAUCAACUAAUGGAUUCUCUAACAAAACUACUACAUCAUAGUCAUUUUUUUUUUUCUUAAGACCAAGAUUGAGAUCUCCAAUCGGAGCCAACUCCAUCUUGGGGGCAUGUUAGUGAAAGAUAAAAUUUAUCUUUAAUUUAAAUAUUAAUAUUUAUCAGUUAUUAGUUUUAAUUAGAGUAAAAGAUAGAGUUUAAAUUGGAGUAGGAGAUAAACUUGUGUUUGAACUAGAAUAGAAGAUAAAGUAUAAAGAUUUAUGUUUGAAUUAGAAUAAAAUAUAAAGUUUGAAUUAGAGUAGAAGAUAAACUUGUUCUUUAUUUGUAUAUAAAUAUUCAUCAAUUCUUGAGAAGAAGAUUAUUUCAUAGUUUUUCUAUCUUCUUUUUUCUUCAUACAUAUCUGCAAGAAAUUGAAGAUUUCAAGUAAAAUAUUUUCUGUUUUAAAUAGUGAAAAAAGCUAGAAAUUCACUUUGUUAUCUCUUGGGGUAAAUUGACAAGGUUUAACGUUAAGAAGGUGAAUUAUUUUUUCAGAAAAACUGAAGUAGCUAGGAUAUCUGGCCAGUUGUGAUCGAUAAAAAAGUUGUAAAAUCUCUCAUAUACUAAACAGGUUUUGGAUGUUGGUAUGGUAAAUCCAUCUGCAGUCAUUCGUCAUCUCAUCUAGUGAGAUGUUUGGGAGGUGGUGACCGCCGGAUUGGGUUUCAUUUGGUUAAAUCUGUCAGUGGGUUGGCUACUACCCGAGCCUCUUGCUUUGGGGGAGGUGGGUUCUAGAUAUAAUGUUCAAACCAUUUUAGUUAUCAUAUGCAUGACAUGUAAGCAUAAUCUCUUUAUCACUUCUUCAAUGGGAGUUCAUGGUUAGGAAUUGACUUCUUUUCUUCUGGGAUGCUUGGCAUGUAAUGGACAAAGUUACUUUUAUAUCGAUCGAAUUUCUAGUAUUAUAGUGAAGACUUACCCUUUUGACAUUUUAUAUCGAAUUAUAGAAGAUGAAAGGGACAUACAUGCAAUCGACUGACGCUUUAGUGAAUAUGCUGAAAAUAUGCUGAUGCUGUGGAGAUCGUAUGAGGACAGAGGAAAAAGAUAGAAAUGGAUAUAUAAUUAGACCUAGGUUUUUAUUAAAUGAGAUGGGGAACAUAGAGUGAGGGAAAAUCAAAAUUUUUGGCUGCAGUUCACAUUGGUGAUAUUUUGGAUUGACAAAGACUAACGACUUUUCUAUUUUUCUUUUCGGCCUGACUGGAUAGUUGGACAUGGACAAUACAGAAUCCACAGAAGGAUUGUUGGGACCGCUGAAAAUUAGCUAGAAGAAGCUGAGGAAGUAGUCUACGUAGUCAAAUACCAAACACAAAGAAAGAAAGAAAUGGAUAUCAUGGAUGCCUAGAGUUAUACUCCUAAUACCGUCACAGGUAUUUUUCUUUCCUCCUUUUUUUUUCUACGAUAAUUAGAGCAUUUCUCCUCCUCCUCCUCCUCCUCCCCCCACCCCACCACCAAAAAAUAAAAAAAUAAAUUAUUGCAAGUAACACUUCAAAUAUUAAUUUAUACAUUCUAAAGUAUAUAUUCAUGAAAUAACUUGAGUAUCAUACAUUAGUUCUCAAAAAAAAAAAAAAAAAAAAAAAAAAAUUACUGGAAGAGAAAAGUUUAAGAAAACAUAAAAAUAUUCAACUACUAUUUUAAAGAGAAAAUUUAAUUUUUACACUAUAAAUUUGAAGAGAACUUUUACAUGCAUCUUAUAUAAACUACCAUUUUUUGCUAAAAGGCUUAAAUUUGUCAAAAAUACCCCUUAGGUGCUUAACGUUCUGGUCAUAAUAUAAUUGGCAUCUUUUCUCAAACAUAAGGCCUGUGUGUGGGAACAAGAUUUAAUGUUAAUGAGCUUCGCCACCGACAUUUAGUUCCAGAAAUCAUUAUUUUAAUAGAGUGGGCUCAAUUUACAACUUUAAUUAAACUCUAACCAACUGCAUUGUGAAAUGAAUAUGUUUCUUUCGUGGUGAAUCCAAUGAGUUGGGAGUCAAACUUUGCUUCAUUGUGUAUAGAUGAAAUGUUAAGACUCCAUGUAACCUCAAACAUUUCCGCAAUNNNNNNNNNNNNNNNNNNNNNNNNNNNNNNNNNNNNNNNNNNNNNNNNNNNNNNNNNNNNNNNNNNNNNNNNNNNNNNNNNNNNNNNNNNNNNNNNNNNNUUCUUUCGUGGUGAAUCCAAUGAGUUGGAGUCAAACUUGCUUCAUUGUGUAUAGAUGAAAUGUUAAGACUCCAUGUAACUCAAACAUUUCCGCAAUGAGCGGGAGUUCUAAAUUUAAUAAUUGAAAUUGUCAGUGGAACCAGUGGACAAGAGUUGGUUUGUGGUUGACAAACUUAUCCGUUUGAUCUUUACUUGAACAGUUCCAGUGUGUGGAUGGGUACUGAUGAAGUGUGCGCAUUUAUUUUGAGAAGCCUGCUUGUUCGCAUAGAUUUUAACGACAUGAACAUUGUGGUAAGGUUAGAGAGUAAUGCGAAUGUAGGAGCUUAUAUUAGAAAUGACACAAACACGUAAAUAGAAGUAAUCUAUAUAUGAUAUUACUCAUGGACUACAAGCAAAGAAGUACAAUACAUGGAGUAAGUGAUGAAAUGAGCAUUCCUCACUACUACUGCUUGACUGAUGGAACAUGAUGCACGAGAUAGCAUAAGUAGUAGUAGGAAGCAGCUCUUAUUUGUGGCGUCGGUAUACAUCAUACUAGGUAGAUGGUUCAAUUGGCAUGGAUGGGUGGUGGAGCCUUGAAGUGCUUGUGAUGGGGAGCCCACGGCUUCUUCUCAGGAGUUGGUGGCUUCUUGUAUGGAGUUGAUGGAGGUGUUUCUACUGGAGGGUGGCCAGGGUAGUGACCCUGGGGUGGUGAAGGUUCUUUUGUCGGUGGUGGCCUCACUAUUAUUGGCGGUAGAGUUGGUGGCUUGGGCGUUGGCGGUGGUCUCACUACUCUUGGGGGUAGAGUUGGUGUCUUGUGUUUUGGUGGUGGAGGUGGCUUAACAGGAGUUGGUGGCUUGUAUUCUGGGGGUGGUUUCUCCACCGGAGGUGGCUUAUAAACUGGAGUUGGUGGCUUGUAUUCUGGGGGUGGCUUCUCCACUGGUGGUGGCCUGUAAACAGGGGUUGGUGGCUUAUAUUCUGGGGGAGGCUUCUCCACUGGAGGCGACUUAUAAACAGGGGUUGGUGGCUUGUAUUCCGGGGGUGGCUUCUCUACGGGAGGUGGCCUGUAAACAGGGGUUGGUGGCUUCUCCACCGGAGGUGGCUUAUAAACGGGGGUUGGUGGCUUGUAUUCUGGGGGUGGUUUCCCCAGUGGUGGAGACUUGUAAACAGGAAGAGGUGGUUUGUGCUCAUAUGGGGGUGGCUUGUGGUCAUUAGCAAGUGAGGGAGUGGUGAGGACCACCAAUCCAAGGAACAACACGAGUGAGCAAGCAGAAGACAUGUUUGGGCUCUGGUGAUGCACAAGUAGAAGAAAUGGGAACCAUUUAUAAUGCUUCGAGACCUUGGUUAGCACCAAAAUAUGUCAAAAUCUUGAUUACUUCAUUUCAUACAUAGAUUUAAAAUUAUUUCAAUCAACCAUGAUCCUUAAUUUUCUGGGUGGUCCAUAAAUGUAAUGGGGUCAAUUUGGGACCUAACAAGCUGAGAAGUUUGACAAUGCUGCAAGGCUUCAUCCGAAAGUCCGGGGAAGAAUAUUAGGAGUUACACUCCGUUUCCUUUUUUGGGUGCAUUUUUCUCCUUUAACAUUCUAUUCCCUUUUACAUUAGCAUUUGAUCUUAGCUCAUUUCAAGUACAAGUUUCUUGAACCCUAUACCAUUGUCAAAGUUGAGUAACCAUCUCUACUUUGCUCAAGAAACAUAAAAGACAAUGACAAUAAAGAAAAAGGAGAGAGACCAUACGUGACUUGGUUUAUAGGUGGCUUUGUGUUGACAUUUGAGUAUGGAAGCCGACAUGCAUCUUAGCUUCGAUUUUAAUUAAAUUUGUACAUUAGUGUCUGUGUCAUUCAUUUUGGUAUAAAAGGUCUCUUGAUUUCGUAAGUUUGGUAAGAACCGUUGAAAAUAGCAGUAGCAGCACAUGGUCCACUUUCUUUCACAAAAUAAUUUUAAAAGUUUAGAAGCAUAGGAGGUAACAUUAGUGGCCUUGUGGCUCAGCCACGAGUACUAUGUGGUGCUCGAGAAAUUGAGUUUAAUUUCCUUCCGAUAGUUCAUGAUAAGGUCCGUCACUGUCCUGAGACAGAUUGCGUUUUUUCUUUUUUCCUUUUUUAGUGUUUUAUUGACUAGCUAGGUGUGACUUUUCCUACUUUAAGGCACGAGGCAGAAAAGAAACUGGGAUUUAGUGCUUAAGAAGGCAAAUUUAAUUCGAUUUGGAUCUAAAAUUUGCCAGCAACAUGAGAUUUUCCAGCCUAUCGUUGCUCCACAUAUAGACAAGGCACUUGUAGAAGUGGCUUGUUUGUAGCCAUUCCCGAUAUUUGGACUCACUUGAUUCACCGGACACUUUGAUAAAAUUUAAUAUUUAUUAUUUAAUAAUUUAAAUUGAUUUAAAAUUAAAUUAUACCGAAGUUGUGAUUUAAAAAUUAUUAUUUAAUUCUUACUUUUAAAUAUGAAGAUUAUUUGAUAAAAAUAAUUUAAAAUUUAUUAUAAAUUAUCAAAUUAACAUAUUUAUCCUUAUAAAUUAUAAUUAAAACAGAAAAGGUCAAAUGAUUUGAGUAUCCAUAGAUGUGGUAAAAUAAUAAAAAAGAUUAUAAAAACAAUUAUGAUAAAUAAAGAUAAAAAGUAAAAUGAAUAUGUGAAUUUAAAGAAUAAAUUAAUUAUUUUUAUUUAUUACUUAAAAUUAUUUUUGACUUUAAAUUAUAUUAUUAAAUUAUUUUACCAAACAUACUUAAUUUAGUUAAUAAUUUAAAUUUAAUUUAAGUUAUUAAAUUGAUUCACCAAAUACCCACUUAAUCAAAGACUGAAGUAUACAUUAUUUGGCCAAAUGCAGCUAUUGAAAUUUAACUUUUUCCAAACUUAUUCAUUUUGUGGAAAUAUUUUUAGAAAUGAUUUUAAAAAUGCACUAUUCUGUGUGUUGAUUUUAUAUUUUGGCAUUAAUCCAACAUAGAAAACGGUUCUUAUUUUCGCUGUUAAAUAGGUACCAGAUCCUUAAUUAGUGCCGUGAAUCCGGCAGCUUCCAAUGAGUAAUUUGGACUUGGGUAUUGACAAUGUGUGGCCAUGCUUCUACUAUUUUAUUAUUCUUGAAACAUAUAUGAUAUAUUGGACUUUAUACAGGGAAAAAAAAAAAAAAAAGUCUUCACCAAAAAUGAUUCCUCCUAAAAAAUAGACUCCACAAACUAGGUUUAACAGGAAAAUGAUUCUAAUCUAGUAGUUUCCAGCCACAUGAGCAUUUACGUAACAAUAGUAUAGUUGAUAACGACUUUUAUUUUAUUUAUUUUUAAAUAGUUAAAGGGAUAAUUUUUGAGCUUAAAUUUUAUUUUUUUAUUUAGAAACAUUUUACUUUAUUUUUUAAUCAUAAUUCUAUUAUAUUAAUGUUUUAUUUUCUAUUUUUUAAUAUAUAAGGAGAUACUAAAUUUAUGUGAUUAUUUUUUAAAAAUUUAGUAUAUGAAAUUAAAUAAUUGGAUAUAUAUACAUAUAUCAUAUAAUGUUUUUUAAGUGUGAUUUUUGAACUUUUUAGUCAUUUUAUAAGUUUAAGCUUUUGAUUUUUUUUUUUAAACUUUGGUAUUUUUUAUUUUAUAUAAAACUAUUUUGAUUUAAUUUUAUUAAAAAAUAUUGGUAUUAUAAAUUAUUGUAUUAAUUAUUUUUUUAUAUUAUAAUGUAACUGGUAUAUACUAAAAAAUGUAUGCAAGUUCAAUUUAAGUUUCAAAUUAAAAAAUUUCAUUUAAAUAUUUAAUAACUUGUUCAUAAUAAAAAAUUAAACAACAUAAUACAAAUGAAAAGAAACAUAAAAGAAAAAGGAAAAAAUGGUCCUCUCUGUGUGUCACAUUACUAGGUCAUCCUCUUUUUCUAUGACCCUUACAAUAGAAUGGCAUAUUUGUCAAAUCUACUUAUGAAAGUUGGAAUGUUUCUACAUGUGUAGGGUCCAUUGGAACUAAUGGAGGAAAGGCUUAACGUCUAUGUAAAUCACAACGUUGCCUAGGUGGGCAUAGAUCUAGUUGUGUAACAUGAGAUGGUGUGAGAGUACAAUAUAUGCAUUGUAGUCUCUAUGGGAAGAGAGAUAGGUAAUGGUAGGGUGGUAGACGGUAGGGUGAUCUCUAAUAUAAUGACAUUUGAUGUGGUGGCUUCUAAGAGAGGAGAUAUAAGAGAUGGUAGAAUGACAUUUGGUGUAAUGGUCUCUAGUGCAAUGACAUGUGAUAUGGUGACCUAUAAAGAAGAGAUAUAGGUGAUGGUGAAGUGGUAUGUGGUGUAGUGACCUUUGAGAUAGAAAAUAGAGGUAAUGGUAGGUUGGCAGGUGGAGUGGUCUUUGGUGUAGUGACAUCAAUUAUAAAUGUCUCCAAGGGAGGAAAUAAAGGUGAUGGUAGGUAGUAAAUGUUGAGGUGGUCUUUGAUAUGUUAUGCUCUAAGAGAGAAGGUAUAGGUAAUGAUAAUAGGGAAUUUGACAUAGUGGUGUUGGAAAUAAAAAGUGAAAGUGACCGUAGAGGUGAAAGGGCAAGUGUAAAAGCCUCAAGUACGAAUGGAGUAAUUAAUGUGGAUGGUGCUAACAUAGUCUUAGGUGGAUACACAAAUAGUCAUAGUCAUCAACUAGCUUGCCCACCAUCUGUCUUUCUGCUAGUGAUAGGUUACAUCUUAAUAGUAAUGGCCAACAUAAGUGGUGUGGAUCCGAUUUUUUUACGUGUGUCCCCACUCAAUCGACAAGACUUAUUUUUUAUUAGUGAAAAAUUAAUUUUGGAAAAGUUGGAGUCACCACUUAUUUUAUUUUAUUUUAAAAAGGAAAGUAAAACAAGAAAGAGAACUCUAAAGAAGUGACUUCAUAGUUUUGGAAAAGUUAGUCUUAAAAAAUCCAAGUCUUGGUCCGGAGAUCAGGUUACUUAUUGGGAAGAUACCUCUAAGAGGUAAUACCCCUCUAAACCCUAAAGAAGUCUCUAAUGACUAAGUUGAGGAGAAUGUGGUAAUUAAUUAAUUGAUUGAGGGUACCUAGGUAGACUAAGGUGAUUUCAGAAUUAACAUACCAAGCUAGAAAGUCCAAUCAUGAUCAUAAAAGAGAGUCAAAGUAUGUACCUGAACUGCUUCUCAAACGCUAUCAUAAAACAUCAAAGUUAGUAUAGAAAUAUAACACAUAAUAUUUGUUUUAUCCAAGCAAAUAAAGCAUACAUCUAAGCACCCAAGAAUCACAUCAAGUAUGGAUAUAGUCAUCAAUAGCAUACGUGUCCAUAGAACUAUCGAAAGUAAAUGUGGAGGAGCGUAUCUGGACAACAUAGAUAACUUAUAAUGUGCUUCCACAAGACAUGGGGGUUAGAUAAAAGUUAUAAUAAUAAUUAGUAAAUGAAAGAAUUCUAGCAUGUUUGGUAUCUAAAUAACAUAGCAAAAAUGAACAAGAGUACACGAAAACAUCAAUUAUCACACGAGUCAUAUUGGCUAGUAUUUAAUCAAUAAACCAACAAUAAAUGACUAUAAACAUAUAAAAUGACAUAUUCAAAGAGACCCAAACAUAAAGAGCCUAGAACACAAGCUUACACUAAAUUUAGAAAACUAAAACAUGGAAUUUUAAAAGCAUAAAUUAGCAAACAAAUUGAUGGAAACUAAAUUUAGAUAACUUAAGAAUAUUUUUCUUAUCCUUCAAUUUAAAUCAGUAAGCCAACAAUAAAAAAUUAUAGAAACAUGGAAUAUCAAGAUCAAUGGGAUACCUAAACUAUAAUUUUUAAAAGAAAAUAAACUAAGCAUAAUAUCUACAAAGCAACUAAACUAACAUUUUUUUAAAAAUAAAUUAAACAUGACAUUAAUGGAGUAACCAAACUAAAUUAAAGUAAACUAAAAACAUUUAUGAAUUUUCAAACAUGGAAUCAGCUUUCUUAGUAAAUUAAAAUUAUUAAAAUAAAAUCUAAGCUUAAAAAUGAAUUAAAUACUAACUAAAGCAAAUCUAAAACCAAAUAUUUAACACAUAGGAUCAAUUAUAUUAACAAACUAAAAUUUUAUAAGAACACUUAAACCUAAAGUUGAAUUAAAAACUAACCAAUUUUUAAAACUAGAUCUUUAACCCAUAGGAUCAAUUAUAUUAACAAAUAAAUAAUAAAUAAUAAAUAAAUAAAACUCAAACCUAAAGAUGAACUAGAAAUGUACCAAAGUAAAUUCAAAACAAGAUCUUUAACACAUUAGAUCAAUUAUAUUGACUAACUAAAAAAAAAAAAAAAAAACACUCAAACCUGAAACGAUGUAUUAGAAACUAACCAAAGCAAAUUUAAAAUAGAGUCUUUAACACAUAGGAUCAAUUAUAAUCACUAACUUAAAUUACAAUUUUUGAAACAUGAACUAAUUAGUGUUGGAUUAAUUAAACUAAUUAACUAAAAAAAACUAUAAACUAGAAUACGGUGAAUCAAGAAUUCAAAUCAACAAACAUAAAAUAUGGGUACAAUGAAAUGAAAAUCUAUUAAACUAAUAAGACGGAAAUAUGACAAACUCAUGAACCCACAUUUUGAUCAACUAGGAAAUAGAAAUUAAUAGACCUGUAGCAUGGAUACAAUGAAAUGAGAUCAGUUAAAUUUAUUUGCCGAAAUUCUAAAAAACACAUACACUCAAAUAAGAUCUAAAUCUAAGACCAAGCAAAACUCAAACUUUCUCAAUCUAAUGCAAUGAAUCAAAACUAAAAUUAAAUAGAAAUCAAACCAUUUUUUUUUUAUCUAAUAUAAUAAAUCAAAGCUAAAACUAAACAAAAUCGAAUUUUCUUAAUUUAAUAUGAUGAGUCAAAGCUAAAAUUGAACAAAGUUCAAACCUUUAUAUAAUGGAUCAAAGUUAAAUCUAAAUGAAAUCCAUACUUCCACAAUUUGAUAUAACAAAUCAAAAAUAAAACUAGAUAAAAAAAAAGUCAAAGCCUUUCAACUUGACAUAGUGAAUCCAAACUGAAACGAAACAAAAUUUUAACUUUUCCAAUGAAACCCAAUAUAGAAAAAAUUAGCUUACCUUCUUUAGAAUAUAUGUAUGGGCCAUAAAGAAGUCACCUUGGUGCAUGUGUUCCUCACUUUGACGCCAAUGGACGACUUUCUAUGGUAGCAAAUGGAGAUCCUUUUUGGUGGUAACUUGCGUGUGGAAACCUAUGGUACAACCAAUGUCAUCUUUUAUUGUGCGUGUGGACCAAUUUCUUCUCGAGAACUCAUGUGUGUUGUGCUCAAAAUAUGUUGCCUGUGAGAAUCUAUUGGUAUACCCCACAUAUGGUUUCCUUGAGAGAAUCUGUGGUUGUGUGUGGGCGUUUUCUUCAUGACAGCAUGUGGAUGUUCCCAUCUAUGGUAGAUUGGUUGUGAUGCUUUAGUGCAUGGUCUCCAUAGGAAUAGUGUGUUAUGGAAAUUUGGUUUUUUUAUUGGUGCAUGUUGUCUAGACUUUCCCAUAUGCGUGGACUGUGUGUUCAUGCUUUUCUUUUCGGAUGGUCGCCUGUGUUAAUGUGUGGCGGUGUCUACAAUGAAAGAUACAACCCUUUCUCUCCUUCUGCGUGAUAGAAAAGUCAAUCCCCCAUGGUGCGACUAUGUUCCCUCGUCCUUUUUGAAAAAUUUUGGUGUUUUCCCCCCAAAAAAUCCCCUCCAAAAAUCUAAUUAUAAAUGUCUGCUUUGGCCUAAUGUGUGUGCUACUUUUUUUUUCCUUCUUUUUAUGGUUGUGCGUGCUUUUCUUGAUACGUGGCUUAUUUCUUAAGGAUAUGAUUCGCUCCCAAUUGGUGUCUCAGCUGAUUCAUGUCCUUUCAAUGGUCCCUGACAGUGGUGCCAUUUGAUUCGUGUCCAGCUGGUGUCCCUUGAUUGUGGUCCUCAGAAGGGAGUAAUCAAUAAAAUUUAUAACCUAUUACACCAUGUAUUAGGAUAGCCUUAGCUAGCAUAGCAUAGUGGCUCUAGGGUCGUUUAUUGGGAUGAGUUUUCACUUCACAAUUGAUAUUAAUUCAAGAGCUGAAUUGGUGCCUUUUCAUUUCAAGGUUAGCUUUAAAAGAAAACAUAAUCUUUGGUGGAAAAAGGUUUGGUUUUAAACUAACCAAAAAUAGUAACUGAUUUUACUUACAAAGAAAAGUGUUCUUUGGAGUUUAGAUCACUAGGCUCAGGUUCCUCAUACAAAAAGGAGAGUUCCGAUCAUUUGUUUCUUUUCCUCGCAUUAGAGAAUUAACAUAUAGUUAAUUCUCUAACCGGUGCGGUACAUAUGCUUCCCAUUAAUGGGUUCAAACACUAAAUACCUCUCACUGAUGCACCUUGCAAUGGCUCGUGCCUCUCACCUAGCAUUUAUCAUUCAAGGUGAUCUUUAACCUUGGAUUACCCAUCAAAAGCUCGCAAGAGAUAACUAAAGGAUGUCUCCUUAGAGUCCAAAAGCUUACCAAGUGUUGGUUAUUCUAGAAAAUCCUACCUUCAAACCACCUCCCAAAGGCUCGCAAGAGAUAAACAAGUGCAUCUCAAUGGAUGAAGAUCACUUGCCUUACCAAGUUUUGGCCCAGAUGAUUUAAUGACAUUUUAAGUUAACUAAAAAGAUAAAAACCAUUAACGGGUCACACUUUCUCUUCAUUAAAAACUAAAACAACAAAACUUCCAAUUUAUGCAUGAGGAAACUUACCUGGCUUUCUUCACUUCAAGAGAUGAAGAGCCUAGCCACUCAUCAUUUGAGGAAAAAUCCUCAGAGUUUGAUUUGCUAGAAAUAAAAAUAAUGAGAAAACAAAAAUAUAUAUAUGAAAAACAGAGCAAGUUCUCUGUAAUAUAUUUUUCUUCCUUAUACAAAAGGUUGUCUCUAAGAACAAGUUCCCGAGAUCUAUCUGAUUGUAAAUAAAAUUACAACUAUAUAUAAGAGGUUAUUCACCCCUUUGUUCUUUCUUAAAGACUAAGGAAUCCUAUGAUAGGUGGGUUACAAGGAGAGUUUGGGGAUUUAGACAUCAAAUAUCUAAAGCAAAAUAUCUCAAGAUGUUAGUCGGAAAUAUCAGGAAGCUUCAGGAGAACACCGCGACACUGUAUACUGAGAGAAAAACUCUCCGGGUAAGCUCUAUCAAAGGAUCCAGACAUGUCUGACUGGGAAAGUUGAAACGUCCUUCUCUCCCAUCCGGAUGUGAGAUAUCCGGAGAAAGUGAAAUGUCGGUCGGACAGAAUUCUUUCCCCGGGUGGAAUGAGUUGUGUUGCGCGUCGCAAGGGGGACCGUCUGCGUGUACAAGUUGUAGGGACCCCUCUCCCGGAUGACACCGAGCGCGUAAGGCUAUCCGGAUCAACUCCAUUCGGAUUCCCCAAGAGGACAUGUGGCGUGCUCCCCUAUCAGGACUCCCUUAGGGAGAAGCACACGACACUCGUGAACAUCAUACCCGGACGAUAGCAUGUCCUAUCCGGAUGUGUUGUCCGGAUCAUUGACUAAAGUGAGCAAGCCUUGCUACGUCAUUCGGACAGCUUGCCACAUACCAUGUUCCGUCGCCAUCUGAUGGUGUGUCCGAACGCCUUGUCCGGACAUCUUUUGCUCCUUGCAUUCCGGAUUUGCUUAUGACAAAGGACUUCAAAGCUUCGGUUCUUCAUGUUUCUGAGCUUUCCAUUGCUUUGCCAUGGAUUCCAAAGAACUCUCCUUAAUCACGGAUUGCUUUGGUGAUCAAAAAGUUAUCAAAACACAAAAACUUAACAUAGUUUGAUUAGAAUUGAUUGCAAGGGUUCUUAAUAUGUUAAUUGGGUUAAAAGGUGAUAACUACUACUCAAAAGUGUUUAUAAGAAUUAAUUACAAGCUAUGAAAUAACACUUUUUGAGUAGUAAUCAGGAUACAUCCUAGUUUUUCAUGGAAUUGAUAGUGGGUUGUUGUGCAUGAAUGCCACCAUUUCAACUAUGCUGUUGUUAUUUUUAAAAAAAAUAUGGAUUAUGCGCGAGUGGCAAUUCUCCACUAUGGAAAGUGGAUUGCUCCUUCAACCCAUGCAUGGCUACGUAUUCCUAUGUCUUUCUACUUGUGUUUGAUCCUCCAAAAAAAAUUUCGGUUUAGUGCUAGUAGAUUUUAAGUGGUGGAUCCCCAUUUUUUGAAAAUGAAGUGGCAGCCUCCCAUUUCAAGACAAAAUGGUAGCCUGCCUUUAAUCUUUGGAGAAAAAUCUGUGCAUGACCUUUUUUUUUCCCAAAAAAUCCGUGCAUGGUGUCCUUUAAUAUUUGGAGAAAAAUCUAUGUUGGAUCUUUUCUUUUCUAGAAACAUUUGUGUGGUCUUUUUUGUUAGCCCAAGGGUUCUUCUAAUCAAGUUUUGAUGAUAACAAACCAUGGUUAAGUGACUAAUUGGUUUAAUGAUUAAGAAUCUCAAACAUAAAAUCGAAAAUUCAUCAAAGGACCAAAUGGAUACAAGAUCGAGACGCUUGGAAGACUUGUAAUCAUAGGAAACUAAUGUAAGAUGAAUGCAUGAGUGCACUUAGGAUUUUCACACGUUUCAUGCAACUUAGAAAACCCAGUUUAUUCUUUAAAACUUCAUCCCAGUUUAUUCUUUUUAUGGUUGUGUGUGCUUUCCUUGAUACGUGGCUUAUUUAUUAAGGAUACAUCCCAGUUUUUCAUGGAAUUGACAGUGGGUUGUUGUGUGUGAAUGCCACCAUUUCAACUGUGCUGUUGUUAUUUAAAAAAAAAAAAAAUGGAUUGUGCGCGAGUGGCAAUUCUCCACUAUGGAAAGUGGAUUGCUCCUUCAACCCAUGCAUGGCUACGUAUUCCUAUGUCUUUCUGCUUGUGUGUGAUCCUCCAAAAAAAAUUUUGGUUUAGUGCUAGUAGAUUUUAAGUGGUGGAUCCCCUUUUUUUGAAAACUAAGUGGCAGCCUCCCAUUUCAAAACGAAGUGGUAGCCUGCCUUUAGUCUUUGGAGAAAAAUCUGUGCAUGACUUUUUUUUUCCCAAAAAAUCCAUGCAUGGUGUCCUUUAAUAUUUGGAGAAAAAUCUAUGUGGGAUCUUUUAUUUUCUAGAAAAAUUUGUGUGGUCUUUUUUGUUAGCCCAAGGGUUCUCCUAAUCAGGUUUUGAUGAUAACAAAUCAUGGUUAAGUGACUAAUUGGUUUAAUGAUUAAGAAUCUCAAACAUAAACUCGAAAAUUCAUCAAAUGACCAAAUGGAUACAAGAUCGAGACGCUUGGAAGACUUGUGAUCAUAGGAAACUAAUGUAAGAUGAAUGCAUGAGUGCACUUAGGAUUUUCACACGUUUCAUGCAAUUUAGAAAACCCAGUUUAUUCUUUAAAACUUCAAUUUCAUUAAAACCCGAGUUUUUAACUAAUGUACCUUAGGCAAAAUGUUUUAUAAUUGGCUUAAUAAUUCACCUAAAUACAUUUUCUAAGUGUUAGAAAAGAAAGGAAUUAAAAAAAGGUUUUCGGGGCAAAAAAGGCUCAACCGGUCGAGGCUAUGGUCAACCGGCUCAACCGGUUGAGGAACCAAUCGAUCGGUUGUGCUUGUCCGAUCGAAGACCAAUCGAGGGAUGCCAAAAAAUUUCUCUCUCUCCUAGUGGCCUUCUCUUCCCGGUCGAGGUUCGGUCUAGGCAACGGUAACAUGUCAAGCAUUAAAUGCUCCGACGACUAGUGAAUCGGUCGACCCCUAGCCCGAUCGGACGAGGUUGCCUUUUGCUGUUUUUGACUCCCGAGCUUAGAAACCUAUAAAUUGAGAGCUCCACUUCAUUUAUUGAUAAAAGAGAACACUUGCAUUCAAUAGUCUACCUACCUUUUCUUGAUCAAAAAGCUCUCAUUUCCUUCAUAGUGCAUUAAAUCAUCACUUGCAUAUCCUUUAGUGCACUAUUGUGUGUCAUCCUAGCUUUGUUUUGUAUUUGAGCUAUCCUUAAGCUAGGUUGAGGGAUUAUUUCUUAUAAAAAUCUGAGUGUUAAAGCCUUCAAGAGAUUUGAAUCUUGAAGAGAUUGUGUAAGAGCCCAUUGGAGCCGGAGUCCAAGUGUAAGAAGAUUGGAAGCUUGGUUGAAGCUUCAAGUUAGUGGAACCCUCACUCGGUUAGGAGGUUGAGGAGAGUGGACGUAGGUAAGGAAGUGUCGAACCAUUAUAAACCCGAGUUUGAAUUCUCUAACUCUAUCUCUUUAUUUUGCUUAUAUUGUGUUUGAAUUUGUUGUGAUUGAAAAGAUUUUAAAAACCUAAUUCACCCUCCCCCCUUUUGGGUUUUUUUUUCUUAAUUAAGCAUAACCUUUGUUUUCUAAUUUUCUUUUUAGGAAAAUCCAUGCGUGGUAUGUCCAAACUCUCCAAGUGGCAGUCUGCCUUCUUCUAAAAAAUUUGUUUCUAUUUCUUUAUUCGACUACCUUCCAUGUCUUCCUAAUGAGUGCUUGUGCUCAAUGGUCAAUCCCUGGUGGUUGCCUCCUUUUCCCAUAUAUACGUGUUGCAAAAUCAACAUCCCACUAUAUGUGGGUUGCCUCUAUGGCAAGUUCACAUUUCCCACAUGAAACCUAUGAGUUUCCACCAAAAAUUGCCAUGAAAAAGUCUUUAUAUGCAUCUCAUGCAAUAAAAAGUCAAGCCAAUACUCAUCUUAUCUCGAAAAAUAAGUAACCAAAAUCAAGAUCAUGCCUAAGUGAACUAUGCCAAAAGAAGUGUCCAAGUGACCUAUUAUGAAAAAAGUGCCUAAGUGACCUAAGGUGAAUGUGUGUAAGCUGGAAGGUGUCUAGGAUGUUUAGGACAAUGCCUAAGCCUAAAAUAGGGUUGCCAAGGGUCACAAUGGGGUUAGAUAAAUCUCUCAAUCAGAGUCUCCAAGGUGGCUCAUAAAAGAUAAGCUACACGAGUAAUGAUGGGCCACCAGGGAAUUAUUGUAAAGCACCAAACGAACACAUAAUAGGACAUGUGUUAGAAUGAAAAAAUGGAGGGUUUACAAGUGGUCUCAUGGAUGAGCUUGAUAAUUUAAAUGACUCACAUAAUGAACGUAUGUGAUGUUUCUCUCCAAUAACAAGCAAAACAUCACUAGCAAUAUGAUGAAUGUCUCCUAAAUCACUUGAAGUAGUCCUAGCAAAUCAAUUAGAAAAAUCACACAUAUUGCUCUAAUGUAAUAUUAUAUACAUCUGUCAAUGAAUGGGAGAACUAAUGACACAACCAUCAUGUUGAUAUCUCGAACCCUCUAAUCUCAUAUGUAGGUGGGAUCACACUUAGAAACUCAUAACACAGUAAUGACCAAUCUAAGUCAAAAUGUGUUGGUGAUCGGAGGCCCAUGAAUAUGAAGUUCUAGGAUGAUAAUGACAUCUUAUAAAGUAAUGAUCAUCUCCUUAAUAGAUAGGUGAAAUGUGUGUGUCUUAGGACACCAUCUCUCAACAAGACUUGUGAUCAAUCCCCAGUCUAGUGUAACAUGCCUAUUAUGACAUCCAUCGUAAAAUCUAGACUAGAUAAUAUAAGGACAAAUGUGAGGGUUCAUCUCCCUUUCCCACAUAAAUUUAAAAAAUUAUUAUUGACAAGUUAAGACCAAACUAAGUUGCAAAAUAUAAAUAAGUCCAUUAGAUAACAAAUUUAUGUUUUCUCAUUUUCUCAUUUUUAAAGAGAUAUUAUGUGCUUCCAUGUACAUACAUGCUAAAGUCAAUUAUACGAGACUUAUAUCCAUCUUGUAGAACCAAAUCGAACCUAUCUAAUAGAUCCAGAUUAGAAGUAUGUCCUCUAUACUCCAUAUUUAUAACACAUUUAUAAAGAUAAAUGCUAAAAAAAUGUUAAAGAUAUAAAUUUAAUGAACCAUACUUUAUGAUUUUAAUUCUCAAUUAUUGUUCAUAUUUAUAAGAGAAAAGUUAAAAAAAUUGAUAGAGUUUUCCCUCUAUCAUGGACAUUAUCCCAAAUAAAAAUAAAUUGAUUAUGCAAAUUACAUUAAUAUUUGUAACCAAAUGAUCAAUAACUAUCUUGUAUCAAUUUAGUAAAUAAAUUUAAGUAUAUCUUUUCAUUUAUGACUAACAAAUAACUCAUACUUGUCCAAUAAAAGCCACACCUAAUUUCUAAAAUUUUGUCUUCACCUCAAGUGAGUGUUACAUUGAGAAAGAAAAAAUAUGAAAGAAAAAAUGAACACCUUUUUCUUUUAAUAAAAAAAGGCCAUAACGAAACAUUAAAUCUCACUGUUACACCUAUCUUCAAUGGAAACAUGAGGAUGUGAAUGGUGGCGGUGAUAUUCUUUGCUUGAAGCUCAUAAACAAAUAUUCCUUACUAAGCCUAUGCCAUUUAGUAUUUCAAUAGUGGACCCCCCCCCCCCCCCCCCCCCCCUCCUUGCAUUUCAGAUUUAGCAAACUUAGAACCAAAUAACAAAGUGCAUUUGAACCCAUAAAGAAGUAAUGAGACUCUCCUAUAUUGGCAAUAGAAGAAAUUUUUGGAGGUAUAGGAGAUUCACGGAUGAAGAAGUUGGGCCCCAAUUGAGAUAAGACCCAAGAAAAGAUGGGGUAGAGAGGGAUGGUUGGAAAUUGUAAAGUAAGAUUUUCAAAAUGUAGUUGAUGACUAAGAUUUUGACAAUUUAAAAAAGGUUUAAAAAUGUAGUUAGCAAUCGGGGUUUUGUAACAUUUAAAAAAUAAAAUAAAAUCUCAGGCCACAUGGUAGCCCAUGUGAUUCAGAAGCUUGAGAAUUAUUUUAUAAGAAGACUUAAUUUGUGAUUUUUUUAUAACUAUAUUAUUUUUUUUCUUAACACACGAAAAAAAUUAUGAAAUAAGACAAUUUUCCUAAGAAAGCAUGUAAGUGACUCUUGGUUAUUUUAUUUAACUUCUUCUAGUUUGGAGAGGAUUAAUACCUUUGCUUUUACUCACUUGCUUGGAUAUGUACACGUUGUUCAUGUCACUUUUCAUUUAAUUUUCUGAUUAAGGGAAUUGGAACCGUACGUAACUGUCUUUAUUCCCUCUGAAACUUGGACUUGGAGUUGGACUUUCAAUCUCAUCAGUCGUGUUUCCAUAAAAAAGAAGAUGGAUUAACCAAUUUUCCUAUGCCUACUAAUCAUACACAAAACUCCACUUCCAAAUAAAAAGGAAUGGGAUAUCACUUGUUAAUAGUGGCUAAAGACUAUUAAUAACCAUGCAAAGAAAUGUCACAUUUUUUGUUCUACGCAAAUUUUAUUCAUCAACUACUAGAACCAUUUCAUACAAUAGUAGCUUUUCGAUCCUUUGAUAAAUGGACACUUGAUGUGAUAACACCAACUACACCUAUAUAUUCAAGCAAUCAUGCGUAUAUAAUAGUGGAUAUGGAUUACUUCUCUAAAUGGGCAAAAGUUUUGUCAUUCAAGGAAAGUGAACGAGGAAACACAAGUUUACUUUCAUCGGAACUAAUAUUAUAUAUUGAUAUGACUUCCCAUUAUUACUUACGAUGGAAUAUGCUUCCAUAAAAUGGCCUAGAUGAACAAACUAUCCAAGAAGUUUGGGAUCAAAUAAUAUAUAUAUAGUUCAUGUGUGAUUCUUUGGUUGACAACCUUGUUAAGGGGUGAGUGAAGCACUUUGGGCAUACCACAUACUACAUGCUAGACUUCCACCCAAGCUACCCUAUAUUCCUUAUGAACAAAGUAGAAGUUGUCAUCUCUCUUGAAUACCAAAUCCUUUCACCUAAUAAUGCUAUCUAAAAAGGUCUUAAAAAGGAUAAAAAUGCGCAUAUUUGAAUUUUUGAAUUAGGAGUGCUACUUAAAAAGAAGCUAGAUAUACAAUAAUAGAAUGUUAUCAAGCAUAUCUCUUCAAAGUUUUUGACCAAAAAAUAUAUGAUUUCUCAUUUUAGGUAGGAGACUUAGUACUCACUAUUCAAAAACCAAUUAUCAUUACUCAUAAAAACUAAUAGAAAGUUUGGGCCAAAGUAGGAUGGACCUUAUAUUAUGCAACAAUUAUGCCUAUAAAAUUGUUGCAAAAGAGGUUUUAGAAUCAAAUCAAUGAAUGAAAAAUUAUUAAAGCAUUACUAUGCUUGAAGGCUAGUCAUUUUCCCUUAAAGUGCAAUAUUAAGUUGCAUAGUACUAUGUGGAUCCGCAUUUUUCACAUGCGUUCCCACUCAUUGUCGAGACUCACUUUUUAGAAGUGAAAAAUUAGUUUUAUUAAAGUCGAAGUUGCCACUGGGGAUUUGAACCCUAACAAAAGGUUCAAUUUAAGGAUAAAAAUAUCGAUAAUCACAUAUAUAUAUAUUGGUACUUUGAUUUUAUGAAUAUAUUGAAGAAAUAUGGACAAAUAUUUUGACACAAAAUAUGUACAAAAUAAAAAUUAUAUAAAAAGUAAAAAUAAAUAUUUUAAAAUUAUUUUUUUAAAUAUAUAUAUAUAUAAUUUGACAUAUUUGAUAAUAAUAUAUAAGGGUCUCCAAAAAGCCCGUGGCCCGCUUUAGGCCCGGUCCGACCCGACAGGCUAAAGCCCGGCCCAAGCCCGCCGGGCCCAAGCUCGGCCCGAGCCCGUUUAUGGGUGGGCCGGGCCGCGAGCCCGUAGGCCUGCUCCUUUAAAAAAAAACUACAAAAAUAAAAAGUAUUAAAAAAAAUAUUCAUUUCAAAAUUUUAUUCAUUGAAUGUAUAAUUACAUUUGAAAAUGUGGGAAAAGUUUACAUCACUACAAAAUAAAUACAUCCCAACUAGGUUGGCACCUAUUUAUUUGUCAAUCAUCUGUAUUUUUCAACCACAAAAAAUAAAAAUAAAAAUAUAAUAUACAUUUAGUCAUUAUUUUCUGGCGGUGAUGGCGAACUAUCAUGCAUCCAUGAAGAUCUUGAUAAUUUUAAAGAUUCCAUAUCGGUAAGCAUCUUUGUUUCUCGAAUGGAAUCAUACAUCCUUUUAUCUGCUAUUUCCCAAUCUUUCACACAUAUCCCUGCUUUAAUAACAUCUGACGCUAAGUUGCAUCGUUUUUUACUAACUACUCUUCCACCUGCACUAAAAGCAGCUUCUGAUGCAACUGUACUCACAGGAACUGUUAGUACAUCACGAGCAAUUAUAGAAAGCACAGGAUAUUUGUGUUGAUGUGAUUUCCACCAUAUUAAAAUAUUAAAAUCUUCUUGAUCUUCAAAUGAAAUUAUAUCAGUAUUAAGAUAUUUAUCUAAAUCAGAUGUAUUAUUUGGAGAAUUAUUUGUUGUCUUUUUUCGACUUUUCAACAUUUCUAGAGCUCCUUUAUAAAAAGAUGAGGAGUUUGUAGAUGUAGGUGGUAAUUUAAUAGUAUUAAUAUCAUUACCAUAUUUUUCUUUAUAAUAGUUAUAUAAAUUAUAUAAUAAUGAAUUUAUUUCAUUUUUAAUUUCUUCAAUUUUUAUUUGGUCAUUAAAAUAAAUAAUUGUUAACCAUUCAUCCAAAGCUUCAAAUUUCAAUCUAGGGUCCACAAUUAAAGCAAUAUAAAAAAUUAAAGGUAUUUCUCCCCAAUAUUUUCUAAAUUUUUAUAUCAUUACAAAUAUUGUAUCAUUAAAUAUUUCAAAACUUAAAUAUUUUUGAAGUACAAUAAAAAUAUUAGUUAUUUGCGUAAUAACUCGAUUUGAAGUUGGAUAAUAUACACCACAAAAAAUGUUUGUUGAAGUAUCAAAAAUUUCAAAAAGAUCUCUUAAAACAUCCGCAAUAUGCCAAUCAUAAUCAUUUAAUGCAUAAAUAUCUGCUUCAUAAUCAUUGUUAAUUAAUUGUAUUUCAUAUAAUUCGACUACUUUUCUAUAUUUUGUAAUAUUUUCUAAAAGUUUAUAUGUGGAAUUCCAUCUAAUAGCCAUAUCCAAAUUUAUAUUUUUUCUUUUCAUAUUUAACAUUUUGCAACAAUCAAAAAAUAAUUCAUGUUUUGCUUGAAAACUAUUAAUACUAUAUGCAAUGCCUCUAAUUUUUUUCCAAUGUACUAUCAACAUUUUUUAAUCCAUCCUUUACAAUUAAAUUUAAAAUAUGUGCACAACAACGCACAUGAAAUAUUUUAGCAUGAUCUUCUUUUACUUGCCAAUAUCGUUUUAGUCUAUGUAUUGCUGCAUCAUUAUUAGCAGCAUUAUCUAAUGUUAUUGUCAAUAUUUUAUCACGAAUGCCUAAAUCUAUAAUUUCAUCAUUUAUUAAAGAUGCUAUAUUUUUACCACUAUGUGGAGUAUUUAUUAAUUUAAAUAAAAUUAUUCUUUUAUUUAAUUUCCAUUCAUUAUCAAUGUAGUGAACAAUUAUAUAUAAAAAACCAGUAUGAGUUAAAGAUGUCCAAAUGUCAGAUGUUAAACGAAUAUUUCCUUCAAAAUUUGCAAAAUUUUUUUUUAAAAUUUCUUUUUGUGUAUAAAUUUUUUUCAUAAUAUCUCUUUUAACUGUAUUUCCAGAUCAACCUUUAAAUUGAGGAUUAAUACCUCGUUGAAUUGUUCUUGCAAAAUCAUGAGUUUCCAUCAUGUUGAAAGGUUGUUCUGCUCUUAUUAUAUAAUCAAUCAUUUCUUCACAACAGUUAGAUUCAUCAUAAGAAAAUGUUUUUAAAUUUCCACUUUCAUUUUUACUUAAUUGCAUAUAAUUUCUAAUAUCUACAUUAUUUUUAGUUUUACAAUUUUCAUGAUGUCUUUUUAAAUGACUUGUAUCUGCAUUUGAGCCACCAGUAAGAAAUUUAUUACAAAUUUUACAUUUUGCUUUUAUUUUUUUUUUAUUAUUUUCUAAAAUUAUUUCUAUUCUAUCAAAAAAAUUCCAUAUAUUUAAAGUAAAUUUUUUGUUUGAUGAUAUUUCAUCACAUGGACUAGACGAAGAAGCACUUGUCAUAUUAUAAUUAUUGAUAAAAUAUUAUGCCAAAAAUAAUAAAGUAAUAAAUAUAAAAAAAAAUGUAACAAAAAAAAUAAAGUAGUAGGGGUGAAGUAUGUUACUCAAUUAGAGAACCUAUGCAGAAAUUCCUAGCAAAUUUGAACUCUUGGAGCCACCAAUGCUUGUUUUGCACCAUCAACAAUAUUGUAUAAUUUGAGGGAAAAAUAAAAGAAUUUAAAAUAUUGUAGAAUGUGAGAGAAAUAGAGAGAAUUUGAUGAAAAAAUGAAAAGGAAGAAAAUGUAUUUAUAGGAAGGUUAAAAAUAAUAAUAAUAAUAAUAAUAAUAAUAAUAAUAAUAAUAAUAAUAAUAAUAAUAAUAAUAAUUGGCCAUGUGACCGUUGGAGGCUUAGCUCCAACGGUCACAUGGGCUGGAGCUAGGCUCCAACAGUCACAUGACCGUUGGAGCCUUUAAUUUUUUUUUUUAAAAUAAUAUACUUUAUUUUUAUAUAUAUAUAACUAACUCAAUUAAUAAACAUAAAAAGAAUAUAGUUCAGUUGGUUAGAACCUUGAAGUUUAAACAUGAGGGGAGGGGUUUGAAUCCCUCCCUCUCCCUUAGGGGCUUUUUUAAAAGCCAUUUUGGCUUAUUUCAAAAAGCCUGUCGGCCCGACCCGCCCUGCAGCCCGCGGGCCUAGCAUUUUAGCAUGGCCUGGUCUGUUGACUAGUCAAAUGGCUCAUAGGCUCGGCCCGAACUGGGCCGCGGGCCUCUUAUUUACGGACCGGCCCGACCCGGCCCGCCCGUUGGAGACCCUUGAUAAUAUCUUCUAUAUUAAGUUACAUUAUAGUUUAUUUUACAAUAUUAUUAUGAUAAUAUGUCUAAUUUUAAAAUAUAUUUAAUAUUAAAAUUAUGAUCUAUUUUAAUUUAAAUGUAUUCAAUGAUAUCAAAUAAAUAAUAAUAUAUGUAUAAUUCUUUUAUUAUUUAUAUUUAUUAUUUUUAAUAAAUAUAUAGAUUAUAUAAAAAAGACCGGAUAUAUCUUUUCAAAUUUUGUAUCGCUCUCCAAGGAUAUUAGAUGUAUGGGAAUUUGUAUUGCUAUCUACGGAUACGUUGAUAUAUGGGUGAUUUAUCAGGAUAAUUAGAAAUUCUAAUUAUGUAAGCAGGUACGGAGUUCUGUGUCGGUGCGAUCUUGUCGACAACAGCUCCAAAUUGUGCAUCUUGCUCAUAGAGAGUAGCGGAAUGCACCAAUCGUAGGCUCAGAGUACCACUGAGUCGUCUGGCAGAGACCCAACUGAAGGUGCCUGUGUUGUUCCUGAUCUGAUCAGGCUUCAAACUACAAGGUGGAAUACUGGUUCCCCUAUAUCAGAAGCUGGAGAUACCCACCCCAUAUGCUCGUCUGGAUGUGCUCCUACCCUUUGAAGCCUUCUUCCGAGUCAAGUCCGAAUUGAUAAGGCUAGUGAGUUCCCAACCAACUGUACUCAGCAUGCUGCCAGGUGGAGACCCUCCAUAUUUGAUGGCUUCCUAAUAUUAAAAUGCUGACCACUGGUCUUCAUGUUCCACAGGCUUAAUUGUGUCCUUUGCUGAAAGAAUGGAUAGUGAUCCAUUUUAACACAUGAUUCACGCCGUCUUUGCCAUUCUUCAUGGUCUAGCCCUUUUAUAUAUAUGCUUCCUGAACUGUUGCUAUUAAUAAAAUGUGGUAUCUAUCCCGUACACCUUCCUGAUGGCCAGCGAAUGCAGAAGCUACAGAAACGGUUCCAUCUUUUGCUUCCGCCACUUUGGCAUCCUCCAUGAUGAGAUCGAAGGUGAAUAAUCAUAUUCUGGGGAUUUAUGUCCUGGAUAUUCUCAGUAAUGCCCAAUUUCCUGGUGCCGGCCUCAUUUCCAUGGGAACUGAUGGAUAACUUAAGGCUUCUACCAUCUGCGUGGUUCGCUUCUAACACAGGAAACUUCACGGCUAAAAGCAAGAUACCAAGAACAUCAAGGCUGUGACAAAAAUUAGUAUUUUUAACUUGUAGGAAUUUGAAAGGCAACCAACCAUCUAGCUCUGUUCUUAAAGCUCCCAUAGGAGGAUCAGAGGCUGGAUUGCUCAAGAUGAACUCAUCCAUUGUUGCACUUAAAAAGAAUUGGCAUGAAUUGUGGCCGCUCUAAUAGGUUCCCUAAACCAUCAUCCAAGUGGGCUUGCGGAAGGUAGCGAGUUUAAAACACCUAGGGCGAUGAACAGUGGACUGUGAUGCUCACAAAAGAGAAAAGGAAGAAUUCAAUAAUUCCUAAGAAUCCAUUUGCCUGUCAUCCAAAUUUUUAUAUUCUCUUCAGUCUGACGCGUUAUGCCAUAUAUUAAAAAUAGCGGCUUCUUCCAAGCCGAGACAGACUGUGCAAAGUUCGCAAGGCCAAUCAUCACCAUAAUCUGAAGUUGGCCUCCUCAAUCGCAGCUUGUAUCCGAAUGCUCACUUCACGGGAUGGAUUGUAAUGAAAACUAAUCUCAGUCCCAGCUAUGGCAGCAUCCUCACUUGACAGCAUUUUCUGCAUAUUCUAGAACAAAGCAAUAAACCCUCAAAGGCUCCUUCGGAUCAGAGUUAGAAGACUGUCCCUCAGGAACGUGAACACUAUGGUGGUUCUGAUAAGCAGUGAUAUUGCAUUAGAGCCUUUUGGAACAAGAGGAUCUUUUCAGGUGGAAACUGUAAACUGCUUCAUGUUGGGCUGCAACCUUUUCUUCAAGCAAUACUUUCUUUCUGUAUCACGACUUAUGUUGCUUCCGGAGCCAUCCCGUGUGGACUGCCCUUCAGUGAAAGAAUAUGUGUGUUGACAUGUUGGAUUGUAAUCUUUGUUCCACUCUAAUGGCUUUUGGUCCUCCUCUUUCUCUUUAUGACAGAGAACCAUUUAGUGAUCCAUCUCUAUAUUGUAGCAUUGCUGGUGCUUUGCAAUACUACACUCUCACCAAGCAUAACAUCUAUUUUUCCGUGACCAAAGUAUGUCGGUUUAUGCAUGCGCAAACUCUUAUUCAUUGGCAAGUUGUCAAGCGUAUCUCAUGAUUUCCCAAAGCCACAAGUUCUUAUGGUCUUUCUGUUCAAGCUUACAAUGAUCUAUCUUUUCUUGGUUAUACUGAUGUCGAUUGGGCUAGUUGCCCUGAUAACAAGCACAAUACUAGUGGGUACAACACUUUUCCUGGUCCUAAUCUCAUUUCAUGGGCAUUUUCAAAGCAGAAGGUUGUGUCUCACUCCAAUAACGAAUCUGAAUAUAGGGGACUCACUAAUUAAUGUUGUUGCCAAGGUCACUUGGAUUGAAUCUGUCUUACGUGAGUUGCGUGUUUCUCUACCCCAACCACCAAUUUUGUUGUGUGACAACAUUAGUGCUACACACUUGGACAAACCAUGUUGAAAUACACUAUCAUUUUAUCCAUGAAAGGCUUAUGCAUCACACACUCAAAAUUCAAUACACCUCUUCUAUAGACCAACUAGUCAAUGCUAUGACCAAAGCUCUUCCUUCAUCUCACUUGUACAAUCUUCAGUGCAAGCUGAUUGUUCUUCCCAAACCACUCAACUUGAGGGGAGAUGUUAAGCCAAUUUAAUAAAUUGAUUUCUUUUGGUUAAUUUGUUAGAAUCAUUUUUAUUAGAGGUUUGUUUGUACAAUUACAUCCAUUUAUCAGGAGAGUACACGUGUACAACUCCUCUUUUAAUCUCACCAUUGUAUAUAUAUGAUACACGACCUUACUCAGAAUUGCAUAACAUUUCCUCUGCUCAUUCCUUUUCUUCUUUGAAUUUUCCCUUACCUCACUGAUUUUGAUUUAUACCUGGUGUUUUCACCUUUGGUCUCUACCUUUCUAGCCAGUUUUCUAAUUAAUCCGUAUAUGGUAUACCUGUCAACUAAUGAGGAGAAAGAGAAAAGGGGAUUGCUGUUCCACCAGCUACAUAUAAUAAUUAAUUACAAUCAUGGUAAUGGAUCCUGAAAUCCAUCCUUUGUGGAUUUUGUACGGAAUAUUGUUGUUAUGUAUGUGGGCUCACUUAGAUGUAUAUUGCUAGCCUGUCUGGGAAAUGUGAUUGCAGGUCCAGAUUAUGAUGUUGAUAUUAGUGGGAUAAGCAAGAGAUGCAGUUAACACGUAUGUGAUGGACUUGAGUAACUUUUCCAUUUCAGUCCAUUUUUUAAGAUUAUGCUUAGUCUUAUUACAAGGAAAGACCAUAAGAAUCAUGAGUCAUUGGCAAGGUAAUAUCAUUCCCUCUUUACAGGCUUCUUCACCUUUUGGUUUUUUUAAUAUCCAUCAAGAUCUUUUAAUUGGAGGACAAUUACAAGUAUAUAUAUAUGUAUUAAAAGGGGAAAAUAUUAAAACAGGAAAUUUUAGGGAAAAUAUAAUAAUUAUUUCUUCCUUCUUUCCCAUAUAGAACUACACAAAAUAAAACUUUAAUAAUUUUUUCUUAUCUUUUUUAUUAUUAUUUUUUCUUAGAAACAUCCGUGGUCUCACAAGCUUGUAAUCCUAGAUUGUUAGGCUCCUUUAACAGUGCCCCAACAUCGUGGUCCAAUGACAAGCUUCCACGCCUUAAAAUCAGAAAAUGCCAUUAAACUUUAUCAGACAUUACAGUUCAAGACAAAGCUUUCAUUUGCUUAAUGUGAUAAUGAAAUUGUUAAUUUCAUUUCGUGGGCAUCUAAAUUUGGACGAGCAAGACCUCUGAAUUCCCUGUUUUUAUCACCAGCAGAGGAGAUAAAAUCUUAAUGGUGAGAAUCUCCACGUGAAAUUUAUGUGUACUGUCAACAUAUUUUUGUUUAUAUAGUCCAGUAGCUGCAGGAAGUCUAGAUUAUAUAGGUAGCAGUAGCACUAUUUAUAGCACUCGAUAUUCGCUGUAUGAAUACAUUAAACCUUGUUUUCAAUACGCAUCACAAGCAAGUACUAGAUACUACAAGGAGUGACAGUCGCAUCAACAUUUCUUGAUAAUAGCAGUGACUGAUUUAUACACAGAACAGUACUGUACACGUACCAGUCACCAGAGAUAGGAUCUUAUUCCUACAUACGACUCUUAUUGAUCGAAGUCACUCAGUUGGGGUAGCCUGGAGUUGGAGGUUUGUGUGGUGGCUUCUUCUUUGGAGGAGGCUUUAUCUUUGGAGGCAUCAUCUUUGGAGGCAUCUUGUGUGAGUCUUCUUCAGCAUUCUCUACAGGAGGAUGGCCAGGCUUAUGACCCUUAGGUGGUUUGCCAACUGGGAUUGGUGGCUUGUGUCCUGAGAGUGGCUCCUCUUCUUCGGGAGGUUUGCCAACUGACGUUGGUGGCCCGUGUCCUGGGGGUGGCUUGUGUUUUGGGGGUGGUUUCACUCCACCGGGAGGUUUACCAAUUGGUGUUGGUGGUUUGUGCUCAAUCGGUGGCCUCUCAACUGGGGGGCGCUUGGGGUAAUCAGCGAGUGAAGAAGUGGUGAGAACCACCACUCCAAGCAACAACACUAGCAAGUAUGUGGAAGACAUCUUUGAGUUUGGCUCAGAUGGUGUAGAACUAGAAUCCUGGGUGGCCUUUUAUAUUAGUUGGGCCCUAUGCCCGAACGACAAGUGUCAUGGUGACACAUAAAGUGAUGGGGUCGAUUUGGGCCUACCGGAUUUGAAAACUUGGACAAUUCGAGAAGCGUCUCCUGACUCCGGGUUGUAAAGUGAAAGAUUAGGUAUCGACCAUUGAAGUAUGAUCACAACUUUUGGCCUUUGGCUCUCUCUACUGCCGUAUAGCUUUUUUCCUUUGGAUAUUUUUCUUAGCUAGACACAAUUAUUGAGCAGUCUAAUCUCGAAAUGGGAUUAGUAUAGCUUUAAGCAAAUUUAUUAUAGUUAGUGGAGGACUUUUAAGAGUGCAGACGACAUUUAACACAUGCAUGCAGUAGUAUAGGGGACAUAACACUAUUCUUUUUCCAAAGAUUCACAUGAUUUUUAUAUUAUAGUAUUGGCACAUUGUAUGUAGCUGGUUUUGUGGUUAAAAUUCCAUAUGUAGACACUGGCGUUUCUCCAUUUCUCACAAUUGAUGUUUACCUCCACGAUUACUAGAUUAGAUAUACCAAACAAUAACACAUUGUAUAAUCUAUCCGCCCUUCAAAAUCUACUGUAUGAUGAAAUGUUUCAUGUGUGUGUGAAGUGUUAGAAAUGCACUAUAGGCAACAUCAUCUUCUUUUGUCUAGGCUUGGGCCUCAAAUUAUACUCCCAUGCCAUGAUAAAUUUUCAUGUGCAUUCUCUAAAGAAGAGUGUCUUGAAUGUGCCAAAUCAUUUUGAUUGAUUUUAUGAUGUUAAUUGCUCCGCAUAUGGAUGGGUAUGUGCUUUAUUUGCUUAUUCAAUCCACAAUUACCUUGAACUGAAGUCCUAUUGGAGCUCUAUUAUUUUAGCAACGUCCUGUCAAAUAGGCUGCUAACUUGGGGUGGUAUGGACCCAAUGAUCCAUCUUAAUCUUGGGUUGAUUUUGUCUGACUCUAUCUAUCUCAGAGAGAACCAGGAUCACCAGUGCUGGUCUGCUUAAAGAAGACUCAGUACUGGAUUAAUAUUGGUUUGGGUCAAUAGCUUAUAAUGCAUUGAAUGCAGAAUAAACAAGAUCAAUGAAACCCAAAACACACUGCCCACACAACUUCACUCUGGUGUCUGUUAUUCAUCAAUUCUAUUCCCACAUGAACUGGUUCAAGUUUAAGAAAAUGACAACGGAUCCACUGUAUUAACUUGGUUUUGCUUGGUUUUGAGCUAGUUGCCAAACCAGCCAUGAGUUUUACCUCUAAUGUCAAUGAACAAACCCCAAAUGAACAACUGCAACAGCUUAAAGAGAAGGAAUGGAGAUGAAAAUCCCUGUUUCUUCUCAUUCUGGGGACAAAUUAGAACAUAACUACAAAGGUUCUAUUAAUUGACUUACUCUACCAUGAAUUAUGGUUCUUUGGUUUUCCAAAUUUAAAUUGUACAUGAGAUUAUUUUUUUCCUUUAUAUAUAAACAUAUUAAGGUUUUCUUAUUUCGUGGGCAAAUGCGCUAAGGAUGAAAGUCAUUUCAUUUGGCUGCAACAGCAUCUUAUAAUCAACAUGCAUAAGCAGCAGUUUUAAUUGAUCGAUUGAACACCGACUCACAAGAAUAGAUAGAAUGGUACAAGACAGCUCUUAUUAAUUUAUACUCGUUACUCAUUUUAUGUAGCCCCAUUAAGAUGGCUGGCUGGACCACCGAGGUCUGGGGGUGGUGUUGCUUGUGUGAUGCAGCGGGCCGGGCAGACACUUCUCUAGUUGCUUCUAUUUGGAGUUAGAGGAUCAGUCUCUGCCAACCUUGAGGACUCUCUACCUCAGAGGGUCCAGGUGGUGGACUCUGGUGUCGGUAGCUUUGAACUCUCAGUAGACUAGUGUGUCUUAAUCAGUCACUGCCAGAGGCUGGCGUAGGCAGUGACGAUAAGGUGAGACAAAUUACCGAAUAGUCAAUAUCGACUGCACUUGACCAUUAUAGAUUUGUUCUGACAAAAGUGAGAAAAGGGAGAAAAUCGGAUGUUGACCUUUAUAGAAAAAGAUAAGAUUUACUGCAACACAGAGCACUGAUUUGUUACUUGGAAACCAAGUUAUGCUAUUAGCUAGCCUCCAUUAGCAGCAGGGUACCUUGCUGCCUGAUCCUAAUCUGAGUUCCCAAGGUUUCAAUCUUCGUUUGUUAACGCUUCAGGAUUUGGAUAUUUCAGCUUCGUUUCUCCAUUUAGCCAACGCUGCCUGGUUUGGAUUUCAAUCCUCAUCUGGAACAUUCUUUUUUCGGUCUGAUUCAGGAAGUGUUUGGUGAUAGUUGAUUAAAAUUAAACAGUACUAUCAUACAAAUAAAGCUGAUCUAAUUUUGGUGGGCAAUAUACCAACUCAUUUAUUCUUGAAAACACCAUGGGGAAUUGGAGGUCCAUCCGAAGUACUAUUUGAUGGGACUCACAAAAAGAACAGGUGCACAUUUAUGAGAUCCGUGGAAGAGAUAACUAUGACAGCUAUGCAUGUACAACAGAUUUAUGUCGAGUUCACCUCGUAGAUAUUUUGUUUUCAGUGUCGGUGGACCCCAAAAUGGAAAUCGGAAAUUAAGGUUAUAUUUAUUUUUUUAUUUAAUUUUAAAUAGAAUUUUAAUUUUUAAUAAUAUUAAGUAUUAAAUUAUUUUUUUAAGGGUAUUUUAUUUUUAUUAAGUAUUAAAAAGUAAAAAAAAUUAAUAUGUUGCUUUUUUAUUUUAAAAAAAUUAUAUAUUUUAAUUUUUUCUAUUUACUAAAAAGUUUAUAAUAAAUUAUAAAAAAAUAAAAAAAUAAAAAACUUAAAUUCUGAAAAUAAAUUAUUUUUAAUAAAAAAAUCCAAAAAAGCAAACACCACCUAAAUUUGAGAUGACUCAAAAUUUUAUAUUUUUUUUCACCUAAAUUAUAUUCAUAAAUUUAAAAUUAAAAAAUUAGGAAGUUGAAUUUUAUUUUGGAUAAUUGGAAACUACAAGAAAUCAAUAAAAAUAUUUGGAAAAAAAAGAAAAAGAAAAACUAUCUAUAUAUUCACCCCCUUCUAAGAAACAUAACUUUAGUUUUUAACUAUUUUUUAAAAUAAUUUUUGAAAAAUGUUAUAUAAUAUUUUAUAAAACAAAAAAUCUGUUUGACAAUUUGAUAUGUCUUUAACUUAUUUUUAAUAUUUAUAUAUAUAUAUUUUAAAAAUAAUUUUAUAUUUAGAACUUUAUCUUUAAUUAUUAUAUAUAUUUAUAUAAUUAUUUUUUUUAAAACAACUCUUAAAAAAUAAGUGAAAGUAAUUGAAAACAACUCAAAGAUAUUUGAUGAAAACACUCUAAUUUGUAUUUUUGAGAAUAAAAAAAUAAAUAAAUAAAUUUCUAGUUAUCAAAUGUAUUUUUUAAUUCUUUUAUUCUAAAAAAUAGAAAAUCGUUUUUGAAAAUAAUUAUUAAACAACAUUCUUAAAAAUUCACUCGUUACAAUCUAGAUUUAAUGCAAGAAUGAUUGAAGGAGUCCUCCAAUAGAACCCAAAGUUAUAAACAUGAACAAGAAGCCCUAGAAACACCAAAGAUCUCAUAUGGUAUAUAUAUGAGCUUGAUUGAGAACUGUUUUAAAUUCAGUUUUUUUUUUUUUUUUUUUUUUUUGUUUUCAAAGUCAAAACAAGUUUACUUUUAAUUUUUACUUCUUUUUUUUAAUUUUAUAAAUAACAGUUUUUUAAUAAUUUAUUUUGAAAACAUGAUUAUUUUUAAAACUUAUAAUGAAAAUAGGAAUUUUUUUUUUAAUAUCAUGGUUAUUUUCCCUUCUUUUAAGGAGGGCUAUUUUAAAAAUAAAUUUACAAAUAUGAAAAAUGAUUCAAACUAAAGCAGUACAAAUAAAAAACAUUUUUAAGAAAUAUUUAAAAAUAGAGAAAAUUAUUUGAGAACAUUUGAAGUCCUUAAAUAGACUUUUGUUUUAGAAAAGGCAAGAUAAUUAUUUUUGAAAAUUGUUUUCAUAAUGAUAUGCAAAAACCUACGUAAAAACCAUAAUUAUAAUCGGCCACAUAUCAAAUCUACUAAAUAUGAAAAGUAAGUACAUAAUUAUAUUUGACUUAGAUGCAAGGAGGAAAAUGUCGCGAUAUUAUCGCCGAAAUAUCGUGUGUCGAAGGGUAUCGACACGAUUUUUCUUGCAGAAAUAUCGGCCAGUCGAUUUUUCGGGAUAAAUCUCGAGAAAUCGGCAAUUUAUCGCGAUAUAUCGGCGAUUUUUCCUCGAUAUAUCUUCUGGUCAACGCGGGUCAACGGAGUCAACACGCUACAGUGAAAGUCAAAUGUGCUACAAUGUCCCCGCUACAAUCACCUCCCCAAACAAAUUGCCAAAUUGCUUCCGAGGGGAUUUGAACCAGCCUUCUUGCCAUUUGGGCUAACUCGCCCUUAUGAUAUAUAUUGCAUUAAACAUAUAUAUACUUAAAGUCCUUAUAUAAAGAAAAUGUUAAAAAAAUAUUUUAAAGAGCAAAUUAAUUAUAAUUAUUUUAUAAUUAAAAGCAAAAUUUUCUUUUAAUUAAUUACCAAAAAUAUAAAAAUUAUAUAAUUUUCUUCAUAAUGUUUUUAAUAUCAUUAAUAAUUAAUUAAAUAUUAAAAAAUUAUAUAUAUAUAUAUAUAUAUAUAUAUAUAUAUUAUAAUUUAUUUUAUAUUGUUUAAUACAAUUGAAUUAAAUGGAUCAUAUUUUAAUAUUAAUAUAUAUUUUAAAAUUAGACAUAUUGUAAUCAAAUAUCAUAAUAUUAUAUGUAAUUUAAUAAUAAAUGUACACUUAUAAAAUUCAUAUUUUUAUCGAUGCAUACAAUAUUAUUAUCAAAUAUGAUAAAUCAUGUUAUACAUAUAUCAAAAUUUUCAAUAAAAUAACUUUAAAAUGUCUAUUAUACUUCUAAUUAUAUUAUUAUGAGGUUUUCUUUACAUUUUCAUGAGUUUUAAACAAUUUUAAGCACCAAUAUUUUUUUCCAAAAUAUCCACCGAUAUAUCUCCGAUAUAUCCAAUAUAUCUCCGAUAUCUCCGAUAUAUCCGUAAAAUCGAAGUACCGAUAUAUCCGUGAUUACCGAUAUUUUCAUCAUUGCUUAGAUGCAACCUUCUUCCAAAUGACAUACUUUAGUCAAUACUUAUAUUUUUUCGUUUCACUUCUUUGAUACAACACCUCAUGGAUUUAUUGUUUAAUUUAUUUGUAAUUAUAAAACUAUUUUUCAUUUUUAAUAAGACUUGAAUUAAUUUAAUAAAUAUUAUAUAAUUUGAAUUUAUAAUUCUUUUUAUAAAAUCAAAGUAUAUUAAAAAAAAAACAAUUUAUCCGAAGAAAGUUUUUUAUUUUUUAUUUUUUAAAACCGAUUUUAAAAAUAACUAGCUAGACACCCUUAUUUUGAUAAAAUACGAAAUAAAAGUGUAAAAACAACAUGGCCAAAUAGGGGCUUAAAUUUUAUUUUUAAAACAUUUUUUUACACUAAAGUGCAUUUUAAAAACACCAUCAAAACCAACUACAAGUUAUGCUUCUUCCCGUAAUAGAAAUAUUUUAGGCCAAAAUAGAACCUCCCCAAAUAAAGACCCUAUACUAAACUCCUUUUCAUUUUAUUAAUACAAAAGUGGGGAAAAAAGGUCUAUGCUCACCUAAAAAACAUGAAUAUUGUGAAUUCACCAUUUCUAUAAGGAAGUUGAAAACUUCAAAAUUUUAUCAACAAAUUCUCUAAAAUCCUCAAAAUAUAUAGGGCCUGUUUCACAAAGUUUUUUAAAAUUUGUUUUUAUAAAUUGCUUUUAAAAUAUAGAAUAAAUAACAGUUUUUUAGAUUUUUUGAAAAAUAAGAGUGUUUGGUAAGAUGUUUUUUUUUUUUUUUUUUUUUUUAAGAAUUAAAUAAAAAAUAAAAAAAUUGUUUAGAUAAAAGAAUUUGUAUUGUUUUUAAAAACAAUGUCUUACUUUUAUGUUAUAAAAAUUUUAUUAAUUUAAUUUAUAAUAAUAUGAAAUGAAAUUCAAGUUAAGUCUUAUUAAAAAAUACAAAUUAAAUCUAUAAUUAUGCAUGAGUUAAAGAUAAAUAUAUAUUUUUUAAAACUAUAAAAUAAAUUUUCUAUUAUAGUGAAACAAAAAUUACUAUAAAAUAAAAAUAAUUUUAAUAUUCAUUUUUAAUACAAGUCAAAUAAGUACUUUAAUUAAUUUUUUUUAUCAUGAUUUCUUAUGUUUUUUUUUUUUUCUAGAAAUUAUUUUAAGUAAUAUAACUAAUUUUUUUUUUAAUGUUUUAUAAAAAUAAGGAUAUUUGGCAAGUUGUUUUUAUAAAAGGAUUUUAAAAAUAAAUGGAUUUUUUUUUUUUUUAAAAAAAGAACAAAAUGAUUUGUUUGAAUAAAUUGUUUUGAUUUUGUAAAAACAUUUUAAAUUCAAUUUAUAUAAUAUUAAUUAAUUAAAUUAAAUUGAAGUUUUAUUGAAAAUAAAAAUAAUUUUGUAAUUAAAAUUAGAUUAAAAAAUAUAUAGGUUUUAAUAAAUCGUAAAUAGUAAUAUUAUAAUAAAAUUAUAAAUUAUAUUUUUAACAUAAAAUAUACUAUUUAUUACAUAUUAAAAAAAAUAUUUUAUUAUAUUAAUAAUUUUAUGGUAUUAAUGAGUUUAUUAUUUAAGUUUUAAAUUAUUUUUAAAAAUUAAUAAAUUUGUUAACAAAUGCAAUGUACUAAAUGUGGUUUAAUUUGGAGUUAAUUUGUUUAGGGAAAAAAAUAAAAAAUAAAAAUCUUAUGUAAAAGAGAAAUAAUAGAGUGUGUGUGUUUUUUUUUAUUAUUUUUAAAAAUCAGUAAAAAGAACUUUUACUUAUUGCCUAAAAAUUAUUCUCUAUUUUAUUUUAUUUUUUAAAUCUAGAAAUAGAUAACAAUAAUAAAAAAAAUUAAAAAAGAAAAAUGUUUUUUAAAACUCAGACUUAUAAUUGCUUUUGUUUCUCAUUCGCACCCCUGGAUUCCUGGAUUCUAAACACAAAAUUAAGUUGAAUCGUCCAUCUAUCUUGUAAGCCAAGAAUUCACAUAGAAGAAAUAAUCGGAAUUUGAUUUGAUAUCAGAUUUAGAGUGGCUCACUACUCAUGCAUUGUCCCACAAUAGUAAUGCUUUGGGCCGAGAUAAACCCAUUUGUGGGCCCAAAUAAAACCCCUGGUUUGAAAACAUCGAUUUUACAGUGGCCCAAAAGAUUAUCUAUGAGGGGAAGAUAACUUGGAAGUCAAGCAAACACAUUUAUCGCUAACUUUUCUCUAAUUAUAAAAUUAUAACUUGGUCUUCUACACGUCUCACUUAAGAGGCGGAGCCACUUGGCACUACCUUUCCAUAUUGUAAAAGGAGAAGAAGCAGAAGGAGAAGAUUCUUAUGCCAUUCCACACACCAUGGCUAGUACUGCUAUGCUGCUUGGCCCGCCGGCUCUCCGCCAUCCUAAUUCUCCCGCCGGCACUGUCUUUGAAGAUGGGGUCAUUCUAACGGAUUCCCUGAUCGUCCGCACCAGUAAUCUGGAGCUUUCUGAAAAACCGCCACUGGAAUCCCUGGCGUAGUGCUCUGUCAGUGGGGAUAUUGCUAUGGAUUGUUUGGAUUCCCAAGCCCACAAUCUUCAUCUUCCCGGGAAACCGCCGAUGGGCUUAACGGAAAACAAGUCUCCGACCUUUUUGUCUUCCGGGAACCCGUGCUUGGACUUCUUCUUCCAUGUGGUUCCCGAUACGUCGUCUGAUGAUCUGAUCCGACGGUUUGAGUUGGCUUGGGAAUUCAAUCCGCUGACGACGUUAAAACUGAUAUGCAACUUGAGAGAGGUGAGAGGCACCGGAAAAUCUGACAAAGAGGGUUUCUACACGGCGGUUCUCUGGCUCCACGACCACCAUCCCAAAACCCUAGCCUGCAAUGCUAGGGUGUUGGCCAGCUUCGGUUAUUUCAAGGAUUUUCUCGAGAUUCUCUACCGGCUUCUGGAGGGCCCUAAAAUUCGAAGAAUCGAAAAGAAAGACUGGCUGGAUCGAAAAGGAAGGAAGAAAAAUUCCCGGAAAAGGAACUCAAUAUUCAAGCGAGAAAAUAGGCCUGGAGUUGAAUUUCCUGUAGAAGAGAAGGAUGUGGAGUAUAUGGUGGAAGAAUUUGUGGAUAAAGAAAAGGCUAGGGUACUGAGAAAGGAGAGAGAACUUGCUCUUGCCAAAAGAGCCCUGCACAAGUAUUCUACUGAUUCUAAUUAUCAGUUCUUACAUGAUCAGAUUUCAGAUUUAUUUGCUGAACUUCUGAAAUCUGAUAUUCAGUAUUUAAACUCCGGUGAGCUUUACAAGAUUAGUCUCGCAUCCAAAUGGUGUCCCACAAUUGAUUCUUCUUAUGAUAAAUCCACCUUGAUAUGUGAAAAUAUUGCUCGAAAGGUUUAUUCUCGCGAGGAAUAUAUAUCCAGAAUACCAAGGAAUUGAGGAGGCUCACUAUGUUAAUAGAGUCAGGGAUAGGUUGAGAAAACAAGUACUUGUUCCAUUACGUAAGGCCCUGGAGUUGCCAGAGGUUUUCAUGUGUUCGAACCAGUGGGGAUCACUUCCCUACAACCGUGUGGCUUCAGUGGCCAUGAAAUCAUACAAGAGCCUCUUCUCAAAACAUGAUACAGAGCGGUUUGGUGUGUAUCUUGAGAAAGUGCAAACUGGGAAGGCUAAGAUUGCAGCUGGUGCAUUACUUCCCCAUGAGAUUAUAGCUUCAUUGAAUGAGGAGGAUGGCGAGAAAGUUGCAGAGCUUCAGUGGGCGAGAAUGGUGGAAGAUUUAUCAAAGAAUGGGAGGCUCACAAAUUGCAGUGCGGUAUGUGACGUAUCAGGAAGUAUGAGUGGAACUCCAAUGAAGGUGUGUGUGGCUCUGGGGCUGUUAGUUUCAGAGCUCAGUGAAGAUCCAUGGAAAGGUAAUGUAAUUACUUUCAGUGCAAGUCCUGAGCUUCACAAGAUCCAAGGAGACAGCCUUGUAUCCAAGACUGAAUUUGUGAGGAUGAUGGAAUGGGGUGCGAACACUGAUUUUCAGAAAGUUUUUGACAGAAUCUUACAAGUAGCAGUGGAGGGAAAUCUGAGUGAAGAUCAAAUGAUAAAGAGGGUUUUCGUUUUCACUGAUAUGGAGUUUGAUGAAGCUUGUGGGAGGUAUAACUAUUGUGAAUAUGACUAUGAUAUGGAGGAAAUUGAUGAGAGUCAGAAGGCAUCUCAGAAGUGGGAGACAGAUUAUGAAGUGAUACAGCGGAAAUUCCAGGACAAAGGAUAUGGAAAAGUUCCGGAGAUAGUGUUUUGGAACCUUAGAAACUCAUCAGAGACUCCAGUGAUGGCCACAGAGAACGGGGUGGCCUUAGUAAGCGGGUUUUCGAAGAAUCUGUUAGACCUUGUUUUUGGAAGGAGGUGGAAUUCUGACCCCUCAGGAUGUGAUGGAAUUAGCCAUCUCUGGUGAAGAUUACAAGAAACUUGUUCUAUUUGAUUAAGAUAUCAAGAGAUUUAUCAAUAAUAAUAUGUUUUUUUUUUUCUAUGUGAAAUACAUGUAAUAUUAACUAUGGAGUUAUCAAAGUUCUGGAAAUUUAAUUAUUUCUUCUUUUCAAGUUUUGUUUGUCUUUGUUAGGAAUUCCCCUUGGGCGGACCCAGCUGGGGACUUGGAUUGAGGAAGUAAGGAGGCGAAAUUGUGUUCUUCUAUGGACAGAGAAAAAAGAUAAAAAUAAAAAAUAAAAAAGGAGGUUAUUUGCAUUUGGAUGUCAUGUGGUUUCAGGGUACAACUACAAGUUCGAAAUUGUACAUAAUGUGAAAAUUCCUGUGUGGAGAACAGCAUAAAUAUGUAUCUCAGUGUGUUUUGUUUGAGCUAAUUGGCAAAUUCGCUUUAAACAUGGUCACAUGGAUGCAUAUUUAUUUGUGAAAUGAUAGUAGUCGAUUACUUGGUCAGUAAGGUUUGUAUCUCUAACUCCAACAUCUUAUUGUAGUCUUUUAAAAUGUCAAAAGUUUAAUGCUAGCUUGAGAAAUUUUGGAAUGGAGACAUUCUAAACAAAGUUAAUAAUCCAUGAGACUUGGUAAAACCGAUCAGAUGAUGCUUACGUACAUGAAUGCCUUCUUUAAGCCGUAUCCUAUUUUCAUUGAAUGAGACGUGCCAUCUAGUUUUGUUCUUGUCUUGAUUGGAUCAUGAUCCCGGGAAUUGAUUACUGUUCUGAAUUUGCGAAUGUUCAAGGUAUUAGAGAAAGUUAAUAUUAUCGUUAAUUUACAUAUUAGUAUUUAUCUAGUUAUUAUAUAUUAGUUUGAAUUAUAAUAUAAUAUAGAAUUUGAAUCAAGUUUACUAUUAGUUUGAAUUACAAUAGGAAAUAAAGUUUGAAUUAUAGUAUAACUCAAAUAUAUUUGUAUAUAAAUAUCCAUCUUUAUCAAUGAGAAUAGUAAACCAUAUUUUUCUCUAUCUUCUUCUUUCUCUAUAUAUAUGGUAUCAAAGCCUCCAAAUCCUAAACCUAGUCUCAACUUAGAGCAAAUUUAGGGUGCAGGGUUUAGGCCCCGCCUCCCCCAACCCUUACCACAAAUGGUAGUGACCUUGUUAUGCCUAUGUAUUGUCAAUGCCUCAUUUUCUAUGGUCUUCAAUACAAUAUCUAGUUUCAAUGUCUCUUUCCUUACUAUCUCCAAUGCAAUAUAUUGAUUUCAAUAUCUCUUUACAACCAAGAGCUCCAAAUUUUCCUGGUUCAAAUCUACCAUAAUUUUUAUUCUCCUUUGCUUUUUACCAAUAUUAGUUCCCCUAAUUUAAUAUAUAUCUCUUUAUUACCUUCAACUCUACCUCUCUCUUUCUUUAAAAGCUUCCUCAAAGAUUUGAUUGCUUUCUUGCAUGUUUUGGGAAAACAAACAUGCUCAUAUUCUAUUACCUCUACUUGAGAUCUGCCUUAUACUCUACCUUCUUCUUUACCUCCUAUAUCAUCUACUACAUUAGCUUCAAAAACAUUAUUUAGUUUGAUGCUAAAUAAGGCUCCUAAUCCUACCCUUCCUUCAACUAACUUUCUUUUACAAGUCCCUCAAAGUUUUUUUUUUUUUUUUUUUGGAAAUUUGGCUUAGAAAGAUUUCAUUACUCUUACCUAAUCUUUCAACCAUCAAGUCGAAUCCACUUAUCUCUUGAAUCCAAGGAGACUACCCUCCACAAAAACAAGGAGAUUGACCCCCACAAUAACAAAGAGAUUGUCCUCCAUAGAAACAAAGAGAGCUUCCUUCAUGGAAGCCGAAUACAUCGCAAUCUAUUUUCUUUCUCUCAAGAUCAAAUCUCCAAUCGGAGCUCCAUCUUGUGGGGAUAUAUUAGAAAAAGUUAAUAUUAUCCUUAAUUUACAUAUUAGUAUUUAUCUAUAUUAUAUAUUGAAUUAGAAUAGAAUAUAGAAUUUGAAUUAAGUUUACUAUUAGUUUAAAUUACAAUAGGAAAUAGAGUUUGAAUUAUAGUAGAACUCAAAUAUAUUUAUAUAUAAAUAUCCAUCAUUAUCAAUGAGAAUAGUAUUCCAUAUUUUUCUCUUUCCCUGAGGCUUCAGAAUGUGAUCUUGAACAUUUGAUCUUUUGGAUUCUUCUUGUUUCGGUGGUUUAAUAUAAUGGAAUGUUUAAUUAUAGCCUACUUUAUCACCAUGGAUGUGCUCCUGCAGAUUUCUUGAGGGUGAUGGUUAUUUUGUCAUGUUUCUUGAAUGGUUUGCAUCAGCUGCCUGAGCUGUUGUUGCUGGUCACUUUUGCAACCAGGGAAAGAAUCAUGGCUUUGGAGAAGCCAGCUUCUGUUUUUGUUGCCCAGCUGUUAGUUCACUAAGAUUGGGGGUCCUAACAUGUAUGUAUAAUCAUAAGCAAGGAAAUUUUAUGUCUUACGCUAGAUAGGUACCAUGAUAUGAUGUUUGAUUGAUUUAUUAACUCUACCUGUUUCAAAAGGCAUCAACAUUAAUUUUACCCUUUUAACACAUUGGAUUGUUUGACCUUACGAGAUUUUCUAUUUCUGUACUAUUUGAACUGCAAUCGUUAUGGUCCUUAGGUCUCUAAACCUUCGUUUAAAAUAAAAGUAAGGAGCACACAUAGUAAAAGUUAAUUUUGGGUAACUUUUAAAACAAAGAGAAAAGUAAAAGUUGUUUUUGAGAAAAACAUAUAGAAAUUGAAAGAUUUUUUAUUUUGAGAAAAAAAAGUCAUAGAAAAGAAAUAAUAUCCCCAUAUAAGUAGAUAUGAUCUAUCCGAAGUGUAGCUACUCUCCUGGAUUUAUUCUAACAUUUUAAAAUUUUUCUCAAUGGGCAAAGGAAUAUCAAAUCAAGCUUGAGUAGGAUUAAUUUCUUAAUUUUUAAAAUAACUUAUAAUUAAAAUUUUUUGGUGUUUUCUUUUUUGGACAAUUUUUUAUGAAGACUCUGAAUCAUGCAAGAGAUAUGGUUAUUUUAAAAAAAAAAAUAAUUUAAAACUCAAAUACAUAAUCAAUGUCACAAAUUUAUAAACAAAAGGUUUUUAAAAAAUACUAUUAUUUCCCCUCUACACAUAAUUUUACUUUUCCGAUUUAUUUAUUUUUGUUGGAAAACAGUCUUCAAAUCAAGUAAAAUUAAUAUGUUAAAUUUGUUAAACAAAUAAAUUUUAAAAUACAAUUUGGAACUCAAAAAUCAAUUCAAGUAAUGCUAAAAUUCAAAAAAUCAAAUUUGGAAUAAAAUGACUUUGUAAAUUUUUUUACUAAACAAAUGAAUUUUAAAUCAAGUGAGAUUUAAUACAUUGGAUUUUUAUGAGAAUAGUAAUUUUAAAAAUUAAUUUGGAACUCAAAAAUAGACACAAUAAAUACCAAAAAUCAAUGAACCAAAAUUGGUUUGGAAUAACUCCAUAAUUUUUUAUUUAUUUAUAUAUUUAUUUUUUUGUGCACACGAAUUUCUUACUAAGCAUAUUGCUUCCAAAUUGAGAAAAAUUUACUAUUUAGAUUUUUUUAAUGAGUUUAAUGGUAUUUAAAAAUAAUUCAAAAAUUCGAAAAUUGACUAAUUUAAUAUUAUAAAUUCAUAAACCAAGACUAAUUCAAAAUGCAUUGGGGGCUAAGGGGGUUGAAAUUAAUGCUCCAUUUGGUUGUGGCCACCAAUUGGCAAUGGCCACCAAUCAACCAAUCAAGGUGGCUAAGGGGGUUGAAAAUAGGGACAAUGGGGUGGGUUUGGGACAGGACACUCAUAUCCCAUUCCCAUCCCAAUUACACAGUUAUUUCCCAUCCUUAUUCCAAACUUGUGUUGGGGCAAGUUGAUUUGUUCCCAUCUUUGUUAACGAAAUGACUAAUAACCUCAUCCUCUCCUUGUCUUAGAUGUACAUUUUCUCAAAUUUGGUCAGGUAUGAUUGAUUCAAGCCCUAACCUUAAUUGGUAAUGAGUGGAUACCACACCUAAUUGCAUUCUUCUUUCGUUGCAAAAUAAUGAGAUUAUAAUAAUCUAGCAAAUAAGAAAAAAUAGUAUGGAAGUUCAAAUUAACACCAUAACUAUCAAUAAUUUUAAGCUUAUAGAUGACUUAAAUGAUUGAAAACUAAUGCAAAAUACUAAAAAAAAAAAAAAUCAUCUAAAGAAUUCACAAGAGAAUAGAACGAACAAAACCAAAUAGGAACAUGGGUCAACAUUAGUUACAGAUUUUGAUCCCUUUCAAGGCCAAUCUUUGAACCAAGACUUCAUCAAAUCUACUACUUCAAAGGCUUUUGUGUUCUUCUUGAGUUGUACUCUGGAACAAAGACUUCGAGGUGAUGCUUUAGAUGAUUGCAUUACACAUAUUUAGGGUAGGGAGAUUGGAGAAGCUUGAAGAUGCCAACGAUGGGUACAAUUGAGUGGUCAAUAAGAACAAUGUGGCCUAUGACUAGUUUGAUGUCAUGGUAUAGGAGUUUUGGGCAUUGAGGUGAAAGCAAGAGCAACAUGGAAUUGAUUUCAAAGUCUUUCAAUUAGUGUAAAGGAGGAAGAAGAAGUGGUAUUGAUCCUAGAAAUAGUGUUUUAGGUGUUGCAUUAGAGGAAAAGAAAAAGAAAAAGAAGGAACCAUUGGAAUUAGUACGAGUGUGAAGAGAGAAGUGUAUACAUAAGGGGAAGUAAAAGCAAAGUUCUAAAAAUUUAUUUUUUUAUUGGUGGUGUAUGGUUGCAUGAUUAUCCCUAUAAAUAAUAGGAGUUUUUUGGUGUUCUACUAGUAGUUGAAGGAUAAUUUCAUAAGAUAAUAUUUAGAGCGGGGUGGGGUGAGUUGUGACAAAAUCCAUACCCGUCCCAAACAUUGGUUCAGGUUUUUAAAAUAUUUUCAAACUUAUCAUAUACCCAAUUUUAUAUUUCAUACUUGUCCUAAUAGAGACAGGUUAGUCAGGGUUACUUGAGUAGCCUACAAAACUAUCAUCCCUAGUUGAAAUGCUCUUUUUGGCAGUGGCAGCUAGAAGCUCGAUCGAUUGACCUACAAGACUAGUUGUCAUCAUUUUAAAAAGAGUUUUGGCUUUGGUUGUGAGUGCAAUUGAAUCUAAACUAACAUUUCCUUAAUGCAUCUACUUCAAUCCUAAACUUCUUACUUAAGCCUCAAUUGUUGUUAAGAUUUUGGAAAACCCAUUUCCUUAAAUUGUAAAUUUAAGAAAAAAAAAAUUAAAAGUGAGACAUUUCUUGAUUGAAUGUUGUUAAAGGUCCCUUGGAAUUAAGACUUGGUUGAAGCCUUGGAAGAUUAGCAGAACUCUCAACUUAUGUUUGAACCUUGAGGAGAGUGGACGUAGGCCAAAAUUUUGUCAAACCAUUAUACAAAUUGAGUUUGAAUUCUCAUUUCUUGAUUUCUUAUUUAUUUGCUUUUUCUUAUUAUUACUUGAAUUGUCAUUUGCAUUCAUUAAUGUUAAAAUUGGUUAUAAUUAGCCAACACUAAUUCUCUUUCCCCUUCCCUUAAUUUCUUGGGUGUAAACCUAGGUUGGAUUAACUAGAUUUUAUCAAAUCUAUUAAGAUGGUAAAAGAAUAAUUAUUCUUAACAUACAUAAGAUCAUCUUCAAUCAAAUGACUCAUUGGCUGAUAUGUUGAAUUUGCUUAUUACUUGCAACUCAAAAUUGUGUUCUAGUUGAUAUGUCAAGUCCUGAGUGUAUGGACAUUAAAUUUGUAGUACGUGAUGAGUAUUUAGAUGGUCCAAUUCCAAGAAAGUGAUUGAAAACUAGUUCAAGAAAGGUGCAAAAGGGAAUUGUUUUGGUAUUUUCGUUUUUAUUCUUGAAGGUGGCAGAGCUAAAAUUUGAGAAAUCAAGCAAAACAUACUGAAAUUACAUUGAAAGAAAGAAAAUGGGAGUUAAUGUCUUGCAGUACAUGAUAAGGACUUCAUGCAUGUAGUGUGACCCAUGUCUUGGACUGAUGCCACACUCACGGUUACACUUAUACCCUUAGUUCUCUCUUUACUACCUUAGCUAACCUAGAUCAGGUUAUGAGAUAGGCACCUCACCACACCAUUACUUGCCCAUUAAUUAGUGACAUUUUCAAGCAAUGAGGUAACAUGGUGACACCAAGAGGGUAUAUUCCUCACCCCCAACAAGCCUAGACCUGGUCUAAAAAAAAUGGAGAAAAAUGACGUGUUGUUAUGCAGAAAUAUAGCAACCAUGCCUUCCUCAUUACUUAGAUUCAGAAUGUGAAGGUGAAAUUGAGAAACAGAAACUCUUGAAACCAAAAUGAAAAUUGAUACUUUUACGAAGAAUUACAACAACAUUAGAGGAAGACUACAUUCUUCCUCUUUAUUCCUACAUUUCUACACUACUUCUACUCCACUCCAUAUUUCUACAUACAUCUUUAAUCAGUCUUCCCUCCUUUAUAUAGAGCCAUCUUCACACAAAUUCCGCAAGGUAGAAAAGAGGAAUGAAACUUGGAGCAAGGUUCGACUACUGGCUGUAGCUUGUCAAGGCUGAAAGUGAACUUUUUUUCUUGGCUUUUCUGGGCAUAGGUAGUAACUUGUAGGUUCCUUUUUGGAAUGAAAAUGGUACGGCUAGAACAUGUGGCACUCUCUUGUUGGAUGAUGUGUCAAGCAUGUGGCAGCCAUCUAGUGGAGAUUAUGUCAAUUUUGGGAUGGAGAGUUGGCAUCCAAUUGCAAAGAAAUAUGACAUCUACCAACAUGCAAUGUCAACCUAUGUAGAUCAUAUGAAGAUAGAGAGGAAAAAUAUAGAAAUGGAUAUAUAACUAGAACUAGCUUUUUAUUAAAUGAGACGGAGAGCCAACAAUGAAGGAAAAUCAAAAUUUUUGGCUCAUAUCAAAGAAUUCACAUUGUGUUACCCUAGGUUUUCUUAAAACUUACUUUUAUGAUAAUAAAAAAUCAUUAUUGUUUAAUCCUUUGUUUUAAACGCAUGUUUAGCAGGUUGUAAAAUGUAAAUAUCUUUCGAAAUUCAAAUAUGAAGAUAUGACAUCAUUUCAAGCAAUAUAGUCUCUAGGAAUUAAUGUAAAGCUAAAUUAAGGUGCAAUUAAGUUAGUUCAAUGCAUUAUUUUAAGAAACUUGACCUAUCAAAACCUUGUCUUACUUCAAAGCCUCUUUUUCUUUUCUUCCAACUAACAUUUUAAUAAGUGAUCGCAAAAGUACAAAAUUAGAUGAAAUCCAUUUCAAUGGUUAAAAUGAUCAAAUUCAAACUUUUUCUAAGUAUCUUUUAAAAGCAUCAAUAUUGAAAGACAAUUUUAUAUUUAGUCAAAGCUUGGACAGAGCCAAAAAGCACACAAAAAUUUAUAUUUUCUAGCUCUCUACCUUGGAUGGUCUCUUGAUCCUACUUGGAGAUGUGCAUAAAUAAAAGGAUUUGAAAAUGACAAUUGACUAAGUAUGUAGUCAAUCAAUUACUCAUUGAUUGACUAGUUGAUCAAUUAACUUUGCAACAUCAUAUGCAAUCCUAAUAGCUAGUCAUCUAAUCAACUAGGUAGUAAAUCAAUAGGCCAAAAAUAUGUUUAUAAUGACUAUUUUGUACAAAAACCACUUAUAUAGUUAAAUAUAAUGCAUUUCAUUUAUAAAUCUUCUAAUUCUUGAAUAACAAUCCUAUCAUCCUUUGAAAGUUUUUAUUACACCUUUUCUACAUUUGUUCUAAAACUUAUACAUCACCCUUAAUUGUACCAUGAGAACCUAGCAUUUUUUUUUUUUUUUUUGUAUUUCAUCAAAGUUAGCUCUUGUACUCAUUGUUGUAUUAUUUUUAUUGUAACUUAGAGAGCGAGUGUUUUCAAGUGAGUGAAAUUGACUUGUAAAUAUUGUAAAGAUUCAUUGAUAUGUAUCUCAAACUAGGUGUACAAGUUGAAACAUUUGCUAGUAGAUUUUCUCAAGAUUUAGAAUGAGCUUAAGGCUAUCGAAUUAGGUGGGGUUGCGCCAAACCAUAUCACAUCGUUGUUUGCACCUUUUUUUUCACUCUCUUUUACUUAGUUGCUCUAUAUAUAUUGUCUAGCAAUAUCCUAAAGGCUUGAUGGGCUAGGGAGCAUCCCUCUGAAUGAAAAAUUUUCAUUCAAUUCUUAGUUGUAUUACGCAUAUAUAAAAUGCCUCAUUGUUUUAAUGGUAUUCAGUCGUGGCACCACAGAUAUGGACAUCUAAAUUUUAAAAGUUUGAAACUUUUAGCUAAAGAAAAUAUGGUGCUUUGCCUUUUUGGAAAGCAUGUUGAUGAAAUCCAUGAGAAUUGUAUACUUGGAGAGCAACAUCGAGAUAACUUUUUUUUUUUCUUUUUUUAUAAUGCAUUGUUUGUCCAAAUUCCGUACAAAUUAGGCCACCACAUGUUCAUAAUUCUCCCUUCUUGAAUUUGAAAACUCGGACAAUUUGACAAUGCGACACCUAAGUCCGGUUUUUAAAUGCUAAAGUGAAAGGGCAGGUAUGGACCAUUGAAAUGUGAUAACAACUUUUGGCCUUUUCCUUUUCUCUGUAGCCAUGUUGUCUCUUUUUAAUUUCUUUUGCAUGAUUUUCUUACCUAAACAGAAUCAUAGACUUGUUUAAUCUCUAAGUGGGAUUUCAUCCACCUUAAGCUACUGUAUUAUAUCUCGGUGGAGGACAACCGACAUAGAGCACAUGCAAGUGGGUAUAUGGGACAUGAAAUAUCUUCUUAUAAAGCUUGUUUUGCAGUUAAAUUAAUUGGAUAAGUAGACACUGGCGUUUCUAAAUUUCCCACCUAAGAUAAUGACCUUAUCCUUGACUGCUAGAUACACAAACAAUUAUACCUUCAAAAUCUACUGUGAAGUGCUUCAUGUAUGUGUGAAGUAUUAGAAAUUUCUUUCUUGGCAACUUGUUUUUUUCUUUGCGGUCUACUGAUAGGUUUGACUAAAAUUAUAUUCCCUGUCCUGCUAAUUAAUUUUCACGUGCAUGCUCAAAAGAAGAGUAUGACCUUAGUGCACCAAAAUCACUUUCAAUAAUUUGUGAUAAGUUUUUUUGCAUGACAUUAACCUUAUUCAUUUAGAUAAUGUUUAGUUCUCAUAAAUAUUAAGAAAAUGAAAAUAAAUAUUAAGAAAAAUAUUCUUAUAUUUGAUUGUAUUAUGAAAAAUAUCAUAAAAAAUCAAAUAUAAUUAAAAUUAAUUAAUAAUUUAUAUAUUUUAAAAUUAUUUAAUUUUUAUAUUAAAGAUAUAAUAUAAAUGAAAUGAGUUUUAAGUAUUAUAUAAAAAUGAUUUAUUUAUUUAUUUAUAUAUAUAUAUAUAUAUAUAUUUAGUUUUUCUCUUUAUUUUAUUUUCCUUAUGUUUUCCUCACAUUUUCCGGAAUCAAAGAUAGGGAAAUCCACAAUUACCUUCAACUGAGUAGAUUCUAUUGUUUUAGCAAUGUUAGGCUGCUAACUUGUGGUGGUACGAACCAAAUGAUCCAUGUUAAUCUUGGCUUGAUUUAAUUUGGCUCUAUCUCAGAGAACUCAAGGAUCACGUCAACUCUGGUUUCUACUAUUCAGGUCCAUUCCCAGAUGAACUGGUUCAAAUUUGAGAAAAUGGUAACAGACCUUUAGUGAUAUUGGUUUGGAGCCAGUUGCCAAACCUGCCCUGAGCUUUACCACUAAUGUCAAGGGACAAAGCCAUUUGAACAAAAACAAUAGCUUCAAGAGACUGAAUCGUGGAUGAAAUCUGAUCCACAUUUCUUCUCAUUUUGGGAAAAAAUGAGGACUUAACCACAAAGAUUCUACUGCCUCAUAGUGCUUUUCCUGAUCUAAGGUUGGCUCGUUUCCCAAAUUGUGAGGUGCACGUGCCACUCUCACGCUCAGGAGUGUAUCCACGUGGUGGACAUAAGAUGGUGGCUUAAUAUCUGGUGUCGGUGGCUUUACUUUACUAGGAGAGUAGUGUGUCUUCAUCUCAUUCACUGCCAGAGGGUGGCGUAAGCAGUGACGCUAAGGUGGGGCACAGUCAAUAUCAUUUGCAUUUGACCAUUAUAAUUUUCUCCCGGCUUUAAAGUAACCUUAUCGUGAUAAUGGAUUACUAGCACUAGUUCAGAUGACAGUCAUGUUAAAUUCGGACCAUGUUUGUGUCACAUUAUCAGCAACCAUGUGCUUGUGGUUCAUGCUAUCUGCAACUAAACUUGAUAUAUAACCAGGUGAACUUCAAUCUAAAUUCUGGAAGUACUCAUGUGAUAGAUGGUGCCUGUCUGCAGUGAGUGUAUCUAUAAGAGGGAAGGCUUGGCAAAUGUUCAGUUUUCUGGGAAUUCAACAGGGAUCUAAAAUAGAUUGUUUUCUUUGCUGAUUUCAAUGGUUGAAAUUUGAGAAGAUUGUGUCCACAUAACACAACUAUUACUGGUCCUUCUGUUGCAAUUUAUCCUCUAAGGCUCUAACAUGUCUUCCAAUUCCCACUUCCCACUUCCCUGUUACUCCAGGAAAGCUGUUUCUGUCAUUGUGAAGAAGAAAAGAGACUGUACAUAUCGAUGCUUUUAAGUGGACUGGAGAAUUCAUAUCAGGUGGUCUGCAGCCAUACAUGCCACUUUGUGAAGGUUGGAACAGUCAAUCACUAGGCUAUAUUAGUGGGGCCCAGCCACUUCAAUCAAGGACAAGUCUUCAUACUUAAAGUCAAAUUCUGCCUUUAGUCUCAUUAUAAAUUGCUGUUUAAAUAUCAAGCAAACAUUUGUUUAAUGCGAUUAAGACAGCACUAACUCAAUACUUGUUCUAUUUUUGGAUGCAAAUGCUUGAUAGUUUCAUCAUUGGAGGGGAUAAAGGUGCAUUCAUGAUUAUGAAUACUUGUAGUUAUAUUUUCAUUCUCUUUUUUCUCAAUGGGACUUGUUGGCACAAUUUUGCUGUUCAGAAACCUACCUCUCCAUGGAAAAUCAGUUGUGAUUGAUAUUACUGGAUAUAUUCAAGAAAGCUAAAUGUAGAUAGCACAAAAUAUUAUCGACAUAAAUAGCAUUAACAGCGUACGUAUGUCUCAAUGCUCAUCAGCUAUAAGCAAGGGGCAAACACUUACUAUGAGCAACUUACGUCAAAAUUCCGGAAUAGGACAUAGAAGUGACAGGUCAGUAAAUAUAGAACACUGCAUAUGAGUCACAAGAAAGGAAAUUACGGGUACAUAGCAGCUCUUAUUUUACAUCCUACUCAUACUGAUCAAAGUCACUCAGUUGGGAUGGGUGGGAGUGGGAGGUUUGUGGGGUGGCUUGUGCGGAGGAGUUGGCAGCUUCUUUCCAGGACCUGGUUGCUUCUCUGCUGGAGUUGAAGGAGGCUUAAUCUUCCGAGGUGGCUUGUAUGAGUCUUCAGCAUUCUCAGCAGGAGGGUGACCAGGGUUGUGACCACAAUGUGGUGGCUUCUCUCCCUUAGGUGGUUUGCCAACUGGGGUUGGUGGCUUGUGUUCCGGAAGUGGCUUCUCUUUGUGUUCAGGAGGUGGCUUCUCCACUGGAGGCUUGUGUUCAGGAGGUGGCUUCUCCACCGGAGGCUUGUGUUCAGGAGGUGGCUUCUCCACCGGAGGCUUGUGUUCAGGAGGUGGCUUCUCCACCGGAGGCUUAUGCUCUGGUGGUGGCUUCUCCACCGGAGGCUUAUGCUCUGGUGGUGGCUUCUCCACCGGAGGCUUAUGCAAUGGUGGUGGCUUCUCCACCGGAGGCUUGUGUUCAGGAGGUGGCUUCUCUACCGGAGGCUUAUGCUCUGGUGGUGGCUUCUCCACCGGAGGCUUAUGCUCUGGUGGUGGCUUCUCCACCGGAGGCUUGUGUUCAGGAGGUGGCUUCUCCACCGGAGGCUUGUGUUCAGGAGGUGGCUUCUCCACCGGAGGCUUGUGCUCUGGUGGUGGCUUCUCCACCGGAGGCUUAUGCUCUGGUGGUGGCUUCUCCACCGGAGGCUUGUGUUCAGGAGGUGGCUUCUCCACCGGAGGCUUAUGCUCUGGUGGUGGCUUCUCCACCGGAGGCUUGUGUUCAGGAGGUGGCUUCUCCACCGGAGGCUUAUGCUCUGGUGGUGGCUUCUCCACAGGAGGCUUGUGUUCAGGAGGUGGCUUCUCCACCGGAGGCUUAUGCUCUGGUGGUGGCUUCUCGAAUGGGGGAUGCGUAGGGUAAUCAGCUAGUGAGGGGGCGGUGAGAACCACCAGGCCAAGCAACACUACUAGCAAGUAUGUAGGAGACAUCUUUGGGUUUGGGCUCAGAUGGUGCAAAACUAGGAGAAUUGGCUAGCCUUUUAUAGCGGAUCGUACCCAAUAAUGAAAUGACACGUGUCAUUAUGACCCAUGUGUCAUGUGGUCGAUUUGGGUCCUACAGUGUUGAAAACUUCGACAUCCACUUUUUUGGCCUUUUGCUUUCUCUACAGUCGCCUUGCUUUUUCCCUCUUUUCUUUUGUUUUCCUCCUGCCCCAUUCUAUCAACUAAUCACAAUUAUGUAGUUGUUUAAUUCUUAAAUGAGAUAUUAUCCGUCAAUCAUAUUAUCUUUUAUCAAGAGAGAACGGAGUGAAAAGUGGCAAUCCAAAGAAAGAAGAUCCAUAAUGCAGCUGUAAUUUUAUCGUUUACUUUUAUCUCUAGGACCACUGCAUUUUUGUUGAGAGGUGCAAUAAUACACGUCUUUAUCUGCCAUUCAAUGUUUACAGUAAAGAGAGGGCACAAAACUCUUCACUGCUCUGCAUGUGCCCCAAAAAUGCAAUUGGACAAAUUAUGAUUUGCAUGCUAAAAAGAGGCAAAUGAGGUUAAUUAGCACCAAAAUUAUUUUGUUUUCUGGACACCCCGGGGCCCUUUGGUUGGUUUGGGGGUCAGAAAAUGAACAUCAUAGGGGGUUUUUCCCUAAUGUGCAUUUGCAUUUGUAUCUGAUGGCUUUAACUCGCCUUGUUACUACAAAGAAAUUGUCACAGAUAGGAACUUAUUCCAGGCUGAGUAUCUCCGCAUGGACCCUAUAAAAGAAGACAAGUCAUAAUGAACAUCUAACCUUUGUUCAAUUUGAUUCAAUGCCCCUAUUGUGUCCAUCUCACAAAUCUGAAUUAUUAUAUCCAUUGAAUACAUAAAUUAAUGAAGAAAAUAUGAAACCCAAGAUACAUCUCUGCACAACCUCAACCCUGGUUGCUAUGUUUCACUUCUAUUCACAUGAGGAUAUUGAUUACGGAAUAAGGAAACCUAGCAAGGGUUUACUCGGCUCUGGUUUGAUGCUAAUUGCCAAACUUGCAACAAGCCCUGAGUUUGACACCUAAUCGAUGGGCGAAUUAAAAGUCUCCUCCAAACAUAUAUUCCACAGCUUGAAGCUCACAGAAGAUGCUAUACAGGCAGGGAAAAACCUUCAGAGUUAGCUACCAAAGAUAAUUAUCAAGGAGAUAUCACCAAGAGAAUUCCAUGGAGUCUGAAUCAAAGACAAAUUGCUCGCUCGUGGGGGUUCUUACUUAAUUUCUUUUGGGUAUAACUCACUGAGGGCACUGGCUUUGUUAUUUGCAUUUCGCAUUUAGAGUUCUGUUCUGGAAGGUUUGUUCUGGAAACAUAUAAAAGGAGCAUCAUUUUGUUCUAGGGUAACCCAUAGUUGUGAGUGGGUCCAUUUGCAUGCUACUUAGUUGAAAAGUUGGACAAUUUGCUCCGACGCCUACCUCCUGGAUUCCAUGCUCGGAUAAAGCAAGAAUAAUAAAAUAUUUAUAAUUUACAAAUGGGGGAAAGAAAAAAAUGUCAACAACAAACUAGGAAAAAAGAGUAGUAAAAUUUAUGCCACAUGCUAUUGAUAGAAGGGGCAUGUAUUAGAUCCAUCACCAUUUGGUAAGAUUUUAGUAUUAUAUUUUUCAAGGUUCAUUAUUUGAGGGUGUGUUCUUCAUCUCUGUUGCAUUGCUUCUUACUAGGCCCACUGAGGUGGGUUCUUCACCUUUUGUAUAUUCUCUGCACUAGAUCAAUGAGAAAGGGGGAAUUUUGGUGAAUUUGCAGCCGUUGGAUGAUUGAUUCUAGGCUCAGUCCACCAAUGAUGCUCUCUUCACUCUUUCUCAUCUAGUGUCAUUCACAACUAUGUUUUGAUUCAUAUUUGUACUAUCAAAGAUAUCUCAUUAUUCUAGCUCAUUAGGUAGAGUUCCUAAUCUUCCUCCUUUUUGGUCUAUGGACAGUAUUGGCUUCAUAUUAAGAUCAUGUUUCAAUAAUUGCACAUUAAUGAAUGGAUCAUGACCCACAUAAACAGAGUCAGGGUUGAGUCAGUGAACCCUAAAAUUUCACAAUUCUAAAUUUGGGUUCUUUAACAAUGCAGGGUCAAGGACGCGUGGUGAUGAAGGAAAGCUGGUAAGCUCAGUGUUACUUCAAUUCCUGCCAUGUAGGAUGGUGAGGAGAUAUUCACUAUGCAAUUAAUAAUAGACAAUAUUCACUAUGCAAUAAUAAAGCAUAAAUUAAGUUGAAUGAAAAGCAUUUUCUUUGCAAGGAGUUGAUUUUGGUUUCAUAGUUUGUUCAACUGCUAUUUUGGAUAGGAAAGUGUGAGGAGAAGAAAAUAAAAAAUAAAAAUAAAACAAAAAAUAAAAAAUAGAUUUUAUAAAUUCAUUUAAUUUAUUUUUUUUUUAUAAAAAUUAACUAAUUUAAAAUAUAUGUAAAUUUCUAAUUAAUUUAAUUACAUUUUUUUUUUCAGUUUUUCAUAAUAAACCAAAUAUUAGAAAAUUAUUUUUAUUAAGACACCCAAGAUGAGGUAAUAUGCAAUGAAAACAUGAAUUAUAUUAAAAUUCAAAACAAAUUAAGAGAAAUCGGAAAAUAUACAUAGAUAUCUAAACAAAGAAAUUUAAAGAGAAGGAACCACAAACUUUAUUUACAUAAUUUGAAAAUAAAAAACAUAAAACAUACUUAUAGUAAGGAGAAAUUGAAUAUCUUACAAUGGAAGAAGGGAGAAAAGCUUUGAAGAAAGCUUUUGCUUGGAAGCUUACAUGGUGAGAGGUAGAGAAAGGAGAGAGAGAGAAGAAAAUGAAAAAUGAGAAGUGGAGAAAAUUGGAAGUUUUGUGUGCUUACAACUGAGGAUAGAGCCUCCUUAAAUAGCAAAAAAUGGAAUAUUAAAUAGUACCAAUCAGGAGACAAAAUAUUGUUUGCUUUUGAAACCCGUGCAUGAAUAGUAAUCCCGUGAGUGAAUAGUGAAUAAUAAAAGUGAAUAGUAAAAGUCACUUUCUACUAUAGCACUUUAGACUUUUUCAUCGAGAAUCUUACUUUCGGCUGAGUGAUGAUAGCUGAUAGGUUGCUUUGGAUUGUGGAGUCAUAUGUUUGAUGUUUUCGGUGCUGAAACCGCUUAGUUGGAGAAUAAUCUCGUCAGUAGAGCAUCAUGAGAAGCUUGAAUGGAGAGAGCUUAAUGAUGCCAUAUGAUUGGAAGGAAUCCUAUUUUAAUUUCCUUAUUGGAGGGAGAAUACCCUCACAAUCAUCUUCAUUAUCUUGAAGGUAGUUUGAUAUAGAGUCAUCUGACUCAGCAUAAGAGUCCUCUUGGGAGAAGCUUGAACUGCUUUUGUCAAGGAUUUUCUGAAAUUCUUGAGGGGUUUUUGCUAUUGCUAACAUGGUUUGGAGUUGCUGUUUCUUAAGAAGAAACUGUGCAAUAUCAUAAGAUGAUGAAGCUUGUGUAGGAUGCUUUAGGAAAUAUUGCUUUAUUGCUUGUAGUGAGGUAUCAUUUUUCAAGGCAUCCCACCACUUAGACUUGAAAGUCCUUCCAAGGGUUGGAAAGGCUGCUGAUUCAUCUGCUAUAAUGAUAUAAUCCCACUGGACUAUCCAGGCAAGGCCAAAUUCACUAAAAAAGAAUAAUAAUUGGGGAAAACUGAAAGUUCUCUAGGGAUAACAAAAGAACUUUGGAAUAGCUCAAAGCCAUCCAAAAUGGGUUUUGGGAGAAUUUUAAUAGUUGGACCAAAAUAUGUCCACCAAUUGUGGAACCAAAAUGGAAAAGAGGGGAGUUGAUGCUUAGAUGGGAAAUAGAACAUCCCUGAAUGAUGGAAGUCCUUGUUCUGGAUCAGAAAAGCAUUGAACCAUACUCUUUGGUAGUCUCAAUAAUUGAAAAUUUUAGGUUUUGAAGGCUUAGAAAAUUCUCUUGAAAAAUUAGGAUUCCCACCCCACUGCUUAACUGUAAGGAUUUUAUAAAUAUGGUAAGUGGAGAAUGCCAAAUCCAAAUUGCUGAAUUUAUCAGCAUUGUGCUUGAUUUUAACAGAGCCGGUUUCCAUAAGGAUUGCUUCAUAAAAUUCUCUUGUUUUUAAAAGAUCACCAAAGGGAUAAUGAAAAUUUUCAUGAAAAGCUUUUGCUGCAAUAUCUCUAGGGUUUUUAGAGAAAAACUCUUUUUCAAUAACCAAAAGAGGUUGAUUUAAAUCUUUUUGCCAAUAUCUUGCUUUUGCUGAAAGAGGUGUGGGGUUGGCUACCACCACAAUUUGCUUAUUUGAAAAAGAAGAGCUUGAUGCUAAUUCAUUUUGAGAGGGAUUAGCUUUAGUAACCUGCUUAAAGGUCUGAGACACAGUAAUAGUUGGAUACUGAGUAGCCUUGACUGGUUUAGAAGGAUUCGAAGGAUCAUAGUACAAGGACAAAAUCUUAUUAGGCAUAUGGUCAGAAGAAUGAAGCCUUGCUUCUUCUUCUAGCUCAACUUGUUGGCUCCAAAGUAUUUUAUGGGGAGAAGGUUCUUUGCUGGUUUUAGAAGACUAGGAUUCUGGAAGUUUAGGAGCUUGGGUAUUCUUUUUAGGGGCCAUGGUUUCGUGAAUCCUGUAAAAUUCACAAGUUAAGAAAUCAGGGCUCGAAGAAUGUUCUCCUUUAAUAUACUCAAUUUGUAAAUUAAAAUUGCUUAAAAUAGCUUGAUAUAUAGCAAAAAUAUGCUUAGAAGUUAUAUUCUUAACAUCCUUUUGUAAAACUAAUUUUGCAAAUUUACAAUCAACUCUUAAUAAAAACUUUUGAUUCAAAAGAUCAUCUUGAAAUUUUGAAAUGCAUAAAACAACGCUUAAAGUCUCUUUUUUAAUGAUGUUAUGAAUGAGUUGGGUAGUAUUCCAGGUUCUUGAAGUAUACCUAACUAACAUCUCAAGGUUACCAACACUUUGCUUAAGAAUCCCACCAUAACCUAUGUCUGAGGUAUCGAUCCCAACAAACUCAAAGGUUUCUGGAUUGAUAGAGCCUAAACAUGGUAGGGUCUUGACUUUGGACUUAACAUCAAUAAUGAAAACAAUGGUGAAAACAGAAAACUGGUUAAAGUUUUCAUCCAUUAUAUUCUGGAAUUCUGAGGUGCAUUCUUAAGAUCAAAGGGCAUUAUGAACCAUUCAUAAUGUCCAAGAGAUACCACAAAGGUGGUCUUAUUUGGAAUAGGACACCUAAUCCAACUUAAUGUAUCAUUAAGAGGCAUGUAGUUGACGACUAGUCUAGGUGUUCCUUUUUCUGAUUCAACUUGUUCCUGAACAUAGAAGGUUGAACAACUCCAAAGGGACUUAGACUUCCUUAUCAACUUUUUAUCAAGAAGAUCCCAAAUCUCCUUAUCACAAUAGCUUAACAAACCCUUGUUCAUCUGGAUAGGUCUUGAUUUAGUGGGAAUAUUCUUGUCACUAAAGUCUAGUUCAUAAGGUAAUUCUACCUCAUGUUGUUUCCUAUGCCAAAAUGCAUUAGGAAUGUUAGAGCAAACUUCUUCAACAAUCAGAUUAAUUUCUUGCUCAUGACUUUCCUUAGCUUGAAUCACCUGAUCCCUUAAGGUGUUUAUAUUUUUCUUAUUAGGUGGUUGGCAAAUUCAAAAAUAAUUUCCUUAUCUAAGAGCUUUGUUCUUAUACUUUGGUCAUCUACCCACAUGGGAUAGAUGGAGCUUAAAAAGGGGAUUCCAAGGAGAGCUUUCUCCUUAAGAUCCUUAACUAGAAUGAAGGUUUGCUUGAUGCAAAUGCCUUGGUUAUUUAUGUGAGCAUCUGACAGCUUAUACUCAAUGUCAAGCCUUUUACCAUUAGCUCCAAAGAGAGAUUCUUUGGUUUUCUUACAAAACUUAAUAGGACCUAGACCUUCUUGUAGGCAAUUCAAAGCUGUUCCUGAAUCAAUCAAAGCAACAAUAUCAAUGACAAAUUUACUCUUAAUUACUAUAGUAAGGGAGACUUUCCACCUCUGGAAAAUAACCCUACUAACAGUAUUUAAGUAUCCAUCCGUCUUUUCAUCAUUAGCAUGUGAAGAUUCUAGAACCUCUUCAAGGUUUUCCUAGUUAUCAACAAGAUUUUCUAUAACAAUCCUAUUUAUUUGUUCUUGGAGAUCUGAAAAACCUAAGCUUGUGUAUUGUCUUAAAUCUUUAAUUUCCUUCUUAUACUGUCUUACUUCUUCUUGAAGAUCCUUAAUGGUUACGUCUUUGGUAGACUACUGGUUAAAUCUUCCUAAGAUUUCAUUUAAGUUAUAAGAAUUUACUGUCUUCUUAAUCUCUUGCUUAUCGACAAAUUUCUUAAAAACUUCAUAAAGAUCUUGUUUAGUUUUUUCAUCUUCAACUUUCCUUAAAACAUCUAGGACAAGUUCUUGAUCUUGGCUUAUGACAUUUAUAGUCUUAGGUUGGCAAUCACAAUUAUCCUUAAUGUAUUCUUCUUGGUCACUAGAAGUUUGGCUUGAGAUUUCCUCACCACUACUAUCUAGUUGGUUAAUACCAUUUUCAUUAUCUGAAUCAAUCCUUGAUUCAGACUCUGUGGAAUUUAACAUUACUUUACAAAGCAUAUCUUUUAAGUCUUCUGUGACAUUUAAGUUAUUAAUUUUCUGCUUAACCCUACAAUCUUUCUUAUAGUGGCCUAUCUUACCACACUUAAAACAAACUGGCUUAGAUUGUGAAGGAGCUUCUAGCUUUUUAUGGGCUUCUUUGUUCAUCAUUCUUUGGAUGUGCCUUUGUUUCUUAGUUUCAUUCAUCCUAUAGUUGCCAUGAGUUCCUCUCUUGUUGUGAUAGGACUUUUCCUUACUAGGCUUUGUACUUACUUGUUUCUUACGUUGCUUAGAGGGGGGCUUAGUUUCUUUUUGGUUGAAUCCAAACUAGCUACAAAAUGAACCAAACUCAUUCUUGUAGAUCCUUUGUUCAUUUUUCAUCUGUUGCUUAAGCUUAAAGUCAUUGCACAGUUUAAUUGCUUCUGAUGUGACAAUGCUUAUAAUUUCUCCAUAAGAAAGCUUAUCAUAAGGGAUUUGUCCAUUAAACUGUUCCCUUAUCUUAAUCCUAAUCCUCUCAGAGAAAAGUCUAGGUAGUCCUAAGAUGAAUUUUUCUUUCCAAAAAGACUGGUUAUAGUUUGAUCUUAGUAUGACUUUGGUUAGGAAAACUUCUCUAUACCAUCUAAAGUCAUGAAGCUUGGGACACUUAAGGUUGGUUAAGAGAUCUACAAUCUUAUCCUUAAUCUUUGCAGGAUCUCCAAUGAAGUGCUUUGAAAUUGAAUAGAUUAGAGUAGCCACUACAUCCUCUAUAUCUUGUCCAUCUUCAUCCUUAACCACUUCAUUUUCCUCAUUAAUCCUAUAGGCUUUUAGGAUACCAUUUCUAUCCUCAAAGGUGAGAUAAUUAUCCCACCAACCCUAAAGUUGACCUGUAAACCCAACAACAAUUGUUUGAGCUACAGCAUGGCCUGACAAUCUAUUGUUUAACUUAUAGGUUGUACUAACCAUGGUCAUUUCUUGAAGCUUAGUGAGUAUGUUGUACUCAAUCAUACCAUCUAUGUUCCAUUCAUAGAUAGUGUCACUAGUGUAGGAAGCUUGAGUAUGCUGGUUUCUUUCCUCAUACUACAUAUCAGGAAAAGUUGGUCUAGGGUAGUAAUUCCUAGUUCUUGGUUGUUGAUAAUCCUCAUAACUGUUUGGUUAGGAGGUUCCUUAAAAAUCUUAAUUAGUUCAUCAGCCUCUGCUUCAGAACUAAUUUCUCCUUUAACCAUAUUGAUUCUCUUGUGAGAUGGUUGAGGUGUCUCAGAGACAACAAGGCUAUCCUUAACCUUUUGGCUUAUCCUAUCAAUGAGGGCUUGAUCAAUAUGGAGAUUCUCUAGGAAUUUCUUAGAGAAUUCAAAAGGCUUAAAUAAAGACUUAUUAUCUUUCUUAACAAACGUAGUCUUAAUGUAGUCUUGUGUUUCAAUGAUAUCCUCAAACUUGUUGAGUUGAUCGCCUGUAGUCUUAAGAAACAUGUUAGUGUAGUUGUUUUGUUCCAUGAUUCUUCUAACGUCAACAACACUAUCAAUUCCUUUAUUCUUUGGCCUAGUCUUAAAAGGUGAAGCUUUGACUAUGGUUCAAUUAAUGUUCUUUUAUAUCUUAGCUUCUAGAGGGUGGAUGGAUUCUAUGAUAGUAUCGUCACUAGUUUUCCAUAUCUUAGUUUUUUUGGAUGUGUCAUUGACACGCUUACUAGGGUAAUCUAGAUAUUCCUCUUGUUUGAAGAGUUCAAACCAGAUCCAAUACUUAAUGUUCUUCUUUUCUUGUCUUAAGUAUGUGUAGAAUUCUUCUUGGUAGAGGGUUCUAAUGUCUUUAAGGACCUUGCUAAAGAACCAAACUCUCCUUUUCUUAUUGACUUCAGAAUAGAAGUCUUUCCUUAAGAGGUCCUUGUUGAUUCAAAGUCUUCGUUAAUUAGGCUUACAGUGUUAAUCAACUGAGAAUAAGUAGGAGACAUAUCAGGAGAUUCGUCCUGAUGUGAUUCUUGAGUAAACUCAUUUUCCUCCAUGUAAAAGGGUUUGGCCACGUUGGUGUGACUUCUAACACCUGUUAGCUUAAUAUUCUUAGGAUUUGCUGAACUAGAUCCUUCCUCUAUCCUAGUGGUUCUUAUUGGGAUAGAUGAACUUGAAGCUCUAGAGGGCUCAUAAUAUGAAAUUCUAAGGCUGCUAGAAUGAUGAAAAGAGUUGGAGAAAAUUAGAUCUCGUUCUCCAUCAGGAUAUUGAACAAUCUGUUCAAUUCUUUCAGAUCUUUGCUCUAUGGCUGGGACAACAUUAGCAAAAUGCCAAUUUUCUGGAAACUCAACCUCAUUCCACUUGAUUUUCAUGGGGACUAUGAAAUUAGACUUGUUUAUCAUAUCUAAGUGGAAGAUAGUGGUUUCACCCUUGGGACUGGUGCACAAUGCUCCAAAUCCAACGCUUAUGGUCAUGCUCUUAUAGGCAAAUCUGGUGAUGAUGGAAACAUGAUUGUUUCCUUGCUUGAACUUAAAGUCAUGGGUCUUAACAUGAAGGACAACUGAAUCUAAGAUGUUGACAUCUCUUAGUCUAACUGUGAAGUUAGGGAAACACUGGAAAUAAACAGGACCAUCAUUUAAUCCUGCUUGGGUAGCUCCAAUAAUAGAAUCUCGGUAAUCAAGAUGUCUAUUAUCUCUUAAACACAUGACAAUAAAGGUGUUUAGACCUAGUCUUGUCAAGGGCUUAGCUGCAACUUGAAUCAUGCCAAAGUGUAUGAAGUUGUAGUCUCGCUUAUGCUUAUCAAUGGACUUACUAUCCAAGAGUCUUAUGACUUGAUCGUCGUGUUCUAAACUUACUGACAUUUCAGGGGUUUUAAUGGUGUAAUCUGUAAAGAACUUAAAGGUUCCUUUCUUAUAAAUUUCUUGAUUAGGUACCUUGGGUAACUUCCAAUCAUCUAAAUCAUCUUGGAUCUUAGGAUAAUUGAUCUCUUCAUUGUUUACUCUUGAGAAUUUGUGGAUUUCCUAGACAUGGUUCUGAAAAUCAAACUCAUUUUAAGGUUUUAAUCUAGAGCCUAAUAGCAGAUUAACAGACCUAGUGAGUAAUCACCCCAACCCUUUUCCAACCUUAACAAACGCCUAUCUCCAGCUAACAAUGGGCUCAACUCGGCAAGGAUCGCACUCAGGCACACUACUAUCUUUCCUAGGAUAGAUCAAAACACCCAAAACAAACCCGACUUCCUUUUCCUAGGAUAUAUAUAGUAUUUUGGGUUUGAGUAGGAGUUCAUGUUUUGUAUGUAAUUGUAGUCUACGUUGGACUAGGUUGUUUGCUCCUAAUUGAAAUAGGAAUGGUUGGUGUCACAUCUCAUUCAUUUUCUCAUCUAUUUCCAUGUUUAGAUAACUCAAGUAAUCAUAGGAAUGAAAUUAAGAAUGAUUUGAGGGAAAUGAAAUCUCACUUGUAAGUGGGAUCUCAAUUCAUCAUUAAUAGAAGGUAUUUUGAUUACAUAGUGCAAGUUAUUUUUAAAAACACUUUUCAAAAAUUGAAAAACCAAAAACUCUCUUGGAUAAGUUGUUUUUAAAAAGAAUUUUUGUAUUUUUAUUUUGUAAAAAAAAAAAAUAGUAAUUCAAUUUAUAUAAUAUAAAUAGACUUUAAUUUUAUUAAAAAUAAAAAUAAUUUUUUAAUUACAAAUAAAUUAAAAAAUAAAUAUUUGUAAUAAAAUAUGAAUAGUAAUAUUAUAAUAAAAUCAUAAAUAAAUUAAAAAUAUUUUUAAAAACAAAUAAGUUUAAUUUUUUUGAGGUACAAAUGAGCCAAAUUUUUCAUUAGGUACACAACCAACAAUUUUUAUUGGAAACAUUCCUCAAAAAAGAAUUCGUUUCCCAUAUAGCAAAGAUAUUUAUUAUUUAGUAUCUAACCAUCCGUAGUAAUCAUAUCAAUUCUACUAAGUUAUUUAAUAAUUCAUUUAUAUAUAGUACUCAAUUAUGAAUUUUUUUAUUUGAUGUAUAAUUAAUUAAUCAAUGUUUUGAAUUUUGAAUUAUUCUUAAAAUUUAAAACAUUAAUUAUGUCUAUUACUUUUUAUAGUCAUUAUAUAUAUAUAUAUAUAUAUAUAUAGAGAGAGAGAGAGAGAGAGAGAGAGAGAGCUUAAAUUUAUCUUUAAAAAUUAUUAAAUUUAUUAAUAAAUUCAAUACAAAGACUCAUUUGAUUUGAAAUUCAUUUCUUUAGUGAAAAUUUUGAAACUAAAUAGUACUUUGUUUUACUUUGUUUUUAAAUCAUACUCACAAAUAAGUUUUUAUCAUUUAGCCAAAAAAUCUCAAAGAUGUUUCUAAUUUUAUUUAUUUAUUUAUUUGUAAAUGAAAAUAAAAAAUUAGUUUAAACUAAAUAUGCGGAUAUUAUUGUUAAUUUAUUUCAUUUUUUAUUUCCAUUGUUAUUUAACAUUGAAACGGAAACAAAUAAUCAUUCCAAUCUUACAUUCUUAUAUGCAUCUAAACACAAGAAUUGAAAUCACCAAAUUCAUAUUCAAGGCAAAAUAGAAAUGGAAAAAAAAUAUUCAUUUUCAUUCCUCAUUCUCAUGUGCUAAACAUGACAUUAGUUCUACUACCUAUUUCACCAUUCUUCUUGAUAAAUUUGGUAUAUGCAAUAUUGAUCUAAGUGUGAGGUGAAUAAGAAUGAUGAUGGGAUGGGCUUGGAAAUAAGGGCAAAGUUUCUAGGUGCUAUCUAGAGGGGCAACGCGACUUUUUCAAAUUUCGAAUAUUUGUUCUCAACAUAAAGCAAAACUUUACUCACACAAUAGAUAAGACUCUGUUUGUUUUCUUCAUCCACGACUAUAUAAUGUAUAGCUCUUACUCAAGGGAUGAGCUACUUACUAUUAAGGAUUGGGUAAGAUAUUGCCUAAUGGCCAAGAAGGCAUGUCAAAAAAUAAAUCUAAUCACCAUAAAAAAUAAUAGGGGAAAAUUAAUAUAUUAUGAAUGAUGACUUUACUAUUUCUCUAUAUACAUAAUUAUAUAUUUUGAAUUUUCUCACUAGGUAAUGAGAUUCUAAAUCAACUGAAACAUAAUUAAUAAUUUAUAUUUUUAAUGAAUCUUUUAAUUUUUAAAAAUAAUUUAAAAUUUUAAAAAACAAUUCAAUUAAUUACAUAUUAAAUCAAAACAUUUCAAAAUAUUGUGUUUGUAGAUGAGUACUAAAUGCUUGCAUAUAAUAAUAAUAAUAAAAAAAUUGACUCAUUUAGAUGUUAAAAAAGUUAAAUGUUUUUCAUUAUUCAUUUUAAGUAAAAUAUUAUUGACAUUAUUAUUAUAAAAUUAUUAUUAUUCAUUUUUAACAAAAAACAAAAUAAGUUAUUCUUUUACCAAGAUGUCAAUAUCUAUAUUUUUCUAACAUAUAUUAAAAUAGUAUACUUUUCUUUUAUUAAAAAUAAUAAUUAUUAUUAUAUUAUUAUUCAAGUUUUAUUAAAAAAAUUUAUCUUUUAAUUCAUUUGUAAUUACAAAAUAAUUUUAUUUUAUUAAGAAUUUAAUUUAAUUACGCUUUUUUUUUUUAUAAAAAAAACAGUUAUGCUUUUACCAAGAUGUUAAUAUUCAUAUUUUUCUAGCUAACAUAAAUAGAAUAGUACACUUUUUCAUAUAAAAAAAUAAUUUAUGAUUUUAUUAUAAUGUUACUAUUCACAUUUUACUAAAAAUAUUUAUUUAUUUUAUUUAUUUUUAAUUAUAAAAUAAUUUUAUUUUCAAGAAUUUAAUUUUAAAAAAAUAGAAAUCAUUUAUUCUUUUACCAAGAUGUUAAUAAACAUAUUUUUCUAACAUAUACUAAAAUAAAAAAGUUUACUUGUUCAUUAAAAAAUAUAAUUUAUGUUUUUAUUAUAAUACUACUAUCUAUGUUCUACUAAAAAUAUUUAUUUAUAAUUAAAAAAUAAUUUCAUUUUUAAUAAGACUUGAACUAAAUUAAAUUUAUAAUUUUUUUUUAAAAUAAAAUAGAAAAUUAUUUUUUAAAAACAACUUAUUGAAAGAAAUUUUUUAUUCUUUACUUUUAAGAACUGUUUUUAAAAGCAACCUAUAAACCCCUUUGGGUCUGUUUGGCUAUGUUUCAUGCAACUUGUUUUUAAAAAUUGUUUUUUAUUCUUUAAUUUAAUUUUUUUUAAGUUAAAGAAUAAAAAACAACUUUCUAGUGUUUUAUAAAAAUGAGAGCUUUUGACAAGUUGUUUUUAAAAACCAUUUUUAAAAAUAAAAAAUAAAAAACUUAUUUAGAUAAAUUGUUAUAUAUAUAUAUAUAUAUAUAUUUGUAAAAACAUUUUAAAUUCAAUUUAUAUAAUAUAAAUUUAAUUUAAUUUAAGUCUUAUUAAAAAAAAAUUGUUUGGAUAAGUUUUUUUUUUUAAAUAGUUUAUUAUUUUUGUUUUGUAAAAACAUUGCAAAUUCAAUUUAUAUAAUAUAAAUUAAUUUAAUUCAAGUCUUAUUAAAACCAAAAUAAUUUUAUAAUUACAAAUAAAUUUAAAAAUAAUUUUUUUAGUAAAACAUGAAUAAUAAAAUUAUAAAUUAUAUUAUUGUGGACCCUGCAUUUAUGCUCAUGCGCUUCCACUUGUUGGCGAACUCAUUUUUUAUUUGAAAAUGAUUUAUUUUUUUAGAAAAUGACUUAGAGUCGCCACUUAUUUUUGUUUUAUUUUUAAAGGGCAAGCAAAAUAAGAAAGAAAACCCUAAGUGUGACUCCUUAUUCGAAAAAGGUAGUCUGUGUAAAACCGGAUCAGGGUUCAGGGAUCAGGUUACUUAUUGGGAAGGUAUGACAAUGACCGUAGCACUCCUCUAAGUCCUUAAAAACGGGCCUCUACUAAAAAAAAUAAAGUAAUCAUGGCAAUCAGUAAGGAAAUCACUGGAUACCCAGAACAAUUAUGCACAUGUGAGAAUUAAAACAUGCAUAAGAAUGGACAAAGUGAGAGUGGGUGCGUACCUUGACAACGAACCACAAUGCGUUAUCAAGAAAUGGGGUUAGUGCACGAUCAAUGAACAUAAAACACGUCACACAUGUCACUAAGCAGAGUGAGAAAUCAUCAGAUAUUACAAUUCAAUCAAAUUUAUUUUUAGAAGAAACAUCUGUUGAUGUAGAGCCCCUACCAAAGCCUAAUUUAUUUUUGCAUGAAUCAAUUUCAUAAAUUCAAUCGCUUGGAAUUACAGAAUUAAAUUCAUGCUUAUUUUAAAACAUCUUUUUAAAAUCAUGGAAGAUGUGAAAAUGGUUUUCCAAAGAGAAAAUGACAACUGAUUUUAUUGAAAAUGGGAUUUUGGGGACCUAAACGUUAAAGAGGGAUUAGGAAUUGAAAAUUAAAUCAUUUGAAAAUUGAAUUUUUCAAAAAUCAGUUUUGAAAGCAUGCAUGCAAGUAUGGACUGUGAAAGUGGGCCUAGGGAGGGUGGCCAUGCAAAAUGAGGUCAUACACGUGGGCCUUGGGUACAAUUGGGACUACUUUGCUGGUGCCAGUGGUGCUUGCAGCUGUCAUCCAUGAUUUCUUCAUUGGGAUCAAUUUCCAUUCUUACUGCCAAACAUUCCAUAACAAUUGACCAAACUAGUAACCCUGACCUUGCAUGAAAAUGAACGUUACCUAGAAACUCACUGCCAGUGAGAUUCAUUGCUCUUUCAAAAGGUCUCAUUUUCUUUCUCAUCCAAUUGCUUUAAGGAGCAUUCUAGCGUCACGAUUGGUGACUGCGCAUCAUCUAGAGCCUUCUUUCUUCUCAGAAUCAGGUUUGCGUGCAGAGGCCUGUGCUUGUUCAAGGUUGACCUAAAUUCAUCUAGGUUUAGAACCGACCAGUUGAGCUUGGGGAGCAACGACAAGAAUAUCAGUCACUUGCGAAGAGAAAACUCGAGAUCUUUCAAGUAAUGCCUGACAUAGAUUCCUCCAACCUGUGGCCAAUAUCUCAUUCCUUGUUGGCCAGACGCCUAUUAGGGCGUAUCUCAAUCAAUAAUAUGAUUUUUCGUUUGUUCACAAUAAAGACCGGAAGCCAUGGUUGUGAUUUAUGCAGUACAGAAGAAGUUGCCAUGGCUGGUAUCCUUACAAAUUCUGGUGUUUCUGCUAUCUGUUCAAGUGCAAAACACAACAGCUUUAUCAAGUUUGUCCCUAACAACUGAUAUUGAGCCCUCUGGAGGAAACCUUGAUAAAUUCAUAAUCACUUUUGACUCAUGCAUGGGCUGCCCAUCAAAUUUUCCUAGCAACGAGACGACUGCUGUCAUCUACUGCAAAGAGAAUUUCUUCUCGCAAAGACAAGAGGAGUUUAAGAAUACACACUAUUCUGCCAUUUCAUUUCCUCUUUCUCCACAACCAACAUAAACCAUAGUGUCUACAUUAGAGUACUUAGAAAGAGCUUAACUGAUGACCGUUUUUCCACAACCAAAUGCCCCAGGUAUGGCACAAAUUUCACCGAAAACAGAAGGGAAAAGGGCAUCAAGAACACGCUGUCCUGUAAGUAGUGGGGUAUCAGGACUACUCUAGGGAAGUUAUUUCUGUCAUUUUGAAAAAGAAAAAUUAAAGAAUGUACACAUGCUUUCAAGUGGACUGGAGCAUUCUACAUAUCAGGUGGUCUGUAGCCACAUGUGCCACUUUGUGGAAGUUGGAACAGUCGAUCACUAGGCUAUUUAGUGUGGCCAAGCCACGUUAAUCAAGGACAAGUCUUCAUACUUAAAAGUCAAAUGGUGCCUUUAGUCUCAUUACACAUGGCUAUUUAAAGAUGAACUAAUCUUUAGUGUAAUGUGAUUAAGACAGUACUAACUGAUCAAUAUUUUUUCUAAUUUUGGAUGCAAAUGCUUGCUGGCUUCAUCAUUGGAUGGGAUAAAGGUGCAUUCAUGACUCUGAAUACUUGCAGUAAUACUUGCAGUAAUACUUCAUUCUCUUUUUUCUCGAUGAGACUUCUUGGCACAAUUUUGCUUCUCAGCAACCUACCUCUCCAUGGAAAAUGAGUUGCGAUUGAUGGUACUGGAUAUUUUCUAGGAAGCUAAAUAUAGAUAUAUAGCACUCAAUGUCAACGAUAUAUAUAGCAUUAACAGUAUAUGUCUCAAUGCUCAUCAGCUACAAGCAAGGGACAAACACUUACAAUGAAUAACUCACGUCAACAUUCCUAAACAGGACAUAGAAGUGACAGAUCUAUAUAUAGAACACUGCAUAUGAGUCACAAGAAAAGAUAAUACGGGUGCAUAGCAGCUCUUAUAUUACAUAUUACUCAUACCGUUCAAAUUCACUCAGUUGGGAUGGGUGGGAGAAGGAGGCCUCUGGGGUGGCUUGUGCGUGUGAGAAGUGGAAGAAAGUUGAAUGGAAUGAAACUGAAAAACAGGGUAGAAUAGAGGUUUCUUGAAUCUUCUGAAAUCUUUAUUUUUCUGAGAUUUAUUCUCUGUUUUUGUGAGUCGUGACUCUACAUAUAUACAUGUAUUUAAAGUUAGUUAUGCCUUAUAACUAAUUAUCUAACAGUACCAAAACUAAUCAUCUAGUUGCAUGUUUCUAAUUAAUGCUAUUUAGUUACAACUAUAUAUGGCUUAACAUCCUCUCUCAAACUCAAAAGUCUAGCUAGAACAGUGAGUUUGCUUCAUAGAUUGAGAAAUUGUUGAAUAGGUAAGGCUUUGGUAAGAGCAUUAGCAAUCUGGUCAUAAGAAGGAAUGUGUUGAACCACCAAAGUCUUAUUGAGCACCUUUUCCUGAACAAAAUGGCAAUCUAGUUCCACAUGCUUAACUCGAGAAUGAAAAUAGGAUUGGCAGCAAGAAAGGUGGCUGAAAGAUUGUCAUAGAACAAAACAAAAUAGGAGAAUAAGAAGAUGAGAUAGAAAACUCCUGAAGAAGAUGUUGAAUCCAUUGAAGUUCAAAAGCAACAUUUGCUAAGGCCCUAUACUCAGCUUCAUUGCUGGAACGAGACACAACUUUCUGCUUACUGGAGUUCCAGGAGACUAGAUUAGAGCUAAAAAAGAUGCAAUGACCACUUGUACUUCGACGAUCAUCAGGGCAACCAACCCAAUCAACAUCAGCAUAAGCAGUAAGUUGAAAAUCAGGAGAAGAAUAAAAGGAAAGACCAAAGGAAGUAGUGCCCUUAAGAUAAUGCAACAAUCGUUUAACAACUUGCCAAUGAAGAUCAGUUGGUUAUUGCAUGAAUUGGCAAAGUUUAUUGAUAGAGAAAGAGAUGUCAGGCCUUGUAAUGGUACAAUAUUGCAGGGCUUCAACAAUGUUGCGAUAUUGAGAAGGGUCAGCCAAGAGGGAACCUUUAGAGGCAGAUAAAGUGUGAGAGGUAGUCAUUGGUGUAUCAAUAGGUUUAAAAUAUGGAAGACCAGCACGAGUUAACAAGUCCUGAAUAUAUUUGGUUUGGGAAAGAUGAAGAGAAGAUCCUUGCCAACAUACUUCUACACCCAAGAAGUAAUUCAGAAUACCAAGGUCCUUGAGAGCAAACUGAAAGUGUAAAGACGAAACCAUUUGGUGGACUAGCACGGUAUUAAGACCACUAACAAUAAUGUCAUCAACAUAGAUGAGAAUAAUGAUCAUGUCAGUCCCUUUCCGAAGAGGAGCUUGCUUCAGACCCUACAAGGCUUUGCGAAGUUUACAGAAAAAACCGGGUUUAGAAUGAUCAACAAAGCCUGGAGGUUGAACCAUGUAAACCUCUUCUUCUAACUCACCAUUGAGAAAGGCAUUAUUAACAUCUAAUUGUUCCACUAACCAACCAUGAGAAAUAGCAAGAGAAAGAACAAUUCAUAUAGUAGUUGGUUUAACAACAAGGCAAAAGGUUUCAAAAUAAUCAAUACCAUAUGUUUGAUUAAAACCCUUUGCAACUAAGUAGGCUUUAAAACGAUCAAUUGAGCCAUUAGCUUUGAGUUUCAGCUUGUAUAUCCAUUUACAACUAAUAAUGCGUGUAUUAACAGGUUUAGGAACCAAUGUCCAUGUGGAAUUGGUGAGAAGAGCAUCAUACUCAGUCUUCAUAGCAGCUUGCCAAUUAGGAUGCAAUAUUGCUUCUUUGAAAGAGGAGGGUUCGACAACAGUAGUUUGGAUAGCAAGGCUAAAUAUUUUUUUGGGUUUAAAAAUACCAUUUUGGCUACGAGUAACAAUAGUUCGGUUUGGAAGUGAAAGAGGAUCAGUGGAGGAGGCUGGAACAAGGGAUUGUGGUAAAGUAGGAAAGGAAGGUGGAUGAGAUGGAACAAAAUCAGUAGGGACAAUAAUGGGAGAAGAAAAAUUAGGUGGAGAAUGAUGAGGAUUCCUUGAAGAUGGUGUAGGAAUAGAGAGAAUACCAGAAUCAAGAAGUGUUAAAGAAGAGUUGGAUGAUGAUACUGGUUGACAGGAUAAAGACUUUGUUAAAAAUGGAAAUCGAGUUUCAUCAAAUACAACAUGACGAGAAGCAUAUAUCCGAGAGGAAGCCAUAUCCAAACAGAGGAAUCCCUUGUGUUUAGCACUAUAACCCAAAAAACAGCAAACAACAAAUAUAUUUGCUAGCUUGUGAGAAGCAUAAGGGCGAAGAUAAGGAAAACACAAGCAUCCAAAACUUCAAAGAGAUGUAUAAUAAGGUAAACGAUUAUAAAGAACUCCAUAAGGAGAAUUUUGUGAAAGAACAGCAGAGGGAAGGCAAUUUAUGAGAAAAAUGGCAGUUUGAAAUGCAAAUGACCAAUAUUUGAGAGGGUAUACCAGCUUGUAUUAACAAAGAAAGACCAACUUCCACAACAUGACGAUUCUUUCUUUCAACUCUUCAAUUUUGCUAAGGAGUAUAAUGACAAGAGACUUGAUGAAGAAGACCAUUUGUAGCCAAAUAAUUCUGAAAAGCUGAAACUGAAACUCAUCAAAUUGAUUUUUAGUAUCAAAUUUUCUUCAGACUGAACACAUUGAUUUUUAGUAUCAAAUUUUCUUUCAACCAUGGCUUGAAAAUGUUGGAACAUAAGUAAAGCUUCAUCUUUAGUUUCCAAAAGGUACAACCAUGAGAAUAUGCUAAAAUCAUCAAUUAGCAAGAGGAAAUAUUGAGCAUUACCAUUGACAGAAACUAUAGGAGUUGCACCCCAAAGAUCAACAUGGAUGAGACCGAAUGGUUUUAUUGCUCUAGAAGUGGAUAUUUCAAAUGGAAAACGAUGGCUUUUAGCCAACUGACAAGACUCACAUACAGAGUUAUUAUUGUCAUGUUUCAAAGGUAUUUUAUAAAGAGAUAAGAUUUUGGAAACUACAUUAAUAGAGGGAUGACCAAGUCUAUUAUGCCAAAGCCUCAAAGAACCAACGGCUAAAGUACUACUAGUAGAGUAAAAUACUAGUGGAUGACCAACAACUCUUGGUGUAGCAAGAAGUUUAUAGAGACCCUUCUCAAUUUUUCCUUGAAGAAGAGCAAGUCUCGUUUCCUGAUCCUUUACCACAAAAUGAGAAGAACGAAAUUCAAUAAAGGUGCCAUUGUUUGAGUAAAAUCGUUGCACGCUAACUAAGUUGGUGGUAAUAGAAGGAACAUGUAAGACAUCAUUGAAAAACAAAGAACCACUUGAAGAGGCAAGAGAAAAUUUACCAAUAUUUGCAAUGGAUAAACCCUUACCAUCUCCAACAAUUACUUUGUCACCACUGGUAAAUGGAUUAUGGAUUGUUAAAUUGUUAAGAUCAGAUGUGAGAUGAUGGGUAGCCUUUGUAUCAAGAAACCAAUAAGUGUCUCCCAUUGUUGCAGAAGUUGUAGUCAUAGCCUCAGGAUUGUUAGAGGUGGAAUGUUUAGAAUCUUUUGGCUGAUAAUCAGAGUUAAACCGAUACCAGCAUUGUAAAGCGGUGUGUCCGAACUUACAACCGAGAGAAAUAAUCUUUACUUAUUCUCUAAAAACUGUUCUUUAUUCCACACAUUAUUUCUAAAAACUGUUUCUAGAUAACAAUGACAAAAUAGUAUUAGGAAUUUUUAAAAAUAAAAAUUGUUUUUAAAUUACAUGAUCUAUAUCAUUCACAUUUGACCAUUAUAGCUUUGUUCAGGAAAACACUUGAAAGUAACCUUAUCGUGAUAAGAGAUAUAAGUUGGCUGUAGUUUCAAACUGAAAACAGAGGAUGGCAAUAGAAAGCAAAGCAUUAGUUAUCUGCAAUCAGUGGUGAUCAUGCCCCAUGUCAAUUUCGGACCCAUAUCUUAAAACCGUAUAAUUUGCAUUUCAACAUUUCUGAUUUCUCAGAUGUUUCAUACUCCACAGAAGAACAUUGUUUGUGAAAGCAUGCAUUUAUGCUGGAUUUUGGAUGAUGUGGGAACUGGGGCAAGGAUCAUAUGGAAGAGUGGUCGAUUUUUUCUGUACUUUAACAUUUGAAAUAGGAGCAGCACGGGCAUUUGUGGGGCUUAAUUGAUUUUGAAGCCUGAAAUUGCGUUUCUGUCAUUUUGUAAAAAAUAUGGCAGAUUCCAUGCUCUCAUAUGUUUGGUCUGUGGCCAUGUAUAGAUGCCACUUAGUGACCAGUUUGUAACUGUCAAUCAUAGUGUUUUGACUCUGGCUCAACAACAUCAGCCAUUGACGGAUUUUCAUACAUGCAAAUCAAAUAGUCUUCUUCCUCCCUUAGGAAUUUCGGUUUAAAUGUUAUUAAGCAUACAUUUGGCUGACAAUUAUUAACCACUUCAUGAUAUGGUUUCUUACCCUUAAUCAAUGGUUUCUAAGUGAAUAUAUGCAGAAGGAAAUCUGAACUGUAGACAGCAGUAUUGAUAAUUAUCAAUAUUCUUUAUAUAAGAGAAUAAACAACGUCAUAGUGAUCGUCGCCUACAAGAAAGGUACAUUUCCCAACAAGAUGUAGUUGUGACUGGUACAUGGACGUAAUUAACUCGUAGAAAAGGAUAAGACCAGUGCACGGCAGCUCUUAUUUUACAUGCUAAUUAUGCUAACCAAAGUCACUCAGUUGGGAUGGGAGGGAGAUGGAGGUUUGUGCGGUGGCUUGUGGGGCGGAGUUGGUGGCUUCUUUUCAGGAGCUUGUGGCUUUUUCGGAGCUGAAGGAGGCUCAAUCUUAUGAGGCGGCUUGUACGAGUCUUCUUUACUCUCGACAGGAGGGUGGCCAGGGUUGUGACCAUAAUGUGGUGGCUUCUCUCCCUUAGGUGGCUUGCCAACUGGGGUUGGUGGCUUGUGUUCAGGAAGUGGUUUCUCUCCCUUGGGAGGUUUACCAAUUGGGGUUGGUGGCUUGUGUUCUGGGAGUGGUUUCUCUCCCUUGGGAGGUUUAGUGGGUGACUUGUGUUCUGGAGGUGGCUUCUCCACCGGAGGCUUGUGCUCCGGUGGUGGCUUCUUGGUUGGAGGGGGCUUGGGGUAAUCAGCAAGAGAUGGGGGGGUGAGAACCACCACUCCAAGGAACAACACUAGCAAGUAUGUGGGAGACAUUUCUGAGUUUGAGCUGAUCAGAUGAUGCAAAACUAGAAGAAUUACGUGACCUUUUAUAGCAAGUAGCUCCCAAUACCCACAUGACACGUGUUACUGUGACCAUAAAUAUUAUAGGGUCCAUUUGUGCCCUACCGGGUUGAAAACUUGGACGCUUGGCCGAGGACACACCGAACUAUGGAGGACUAUUGACGUGUGAUCACAGCUUUUGGAUUUUUCUUCCUGUGCAGCUGUCUAGCGGUUGGCAUUAUUUUUUUAAUCUUAAAUAAAGGCAUAGUUAUAGAGUACAUUUAUAUAUCUUCAGAUAGCCAUUAAUAUAUUUGAUGAAGAAAGACAAGUGCAUACAACAUGUAUACGGCUUGCUUCAAUCGAGUACAUUUAUGAUCAGUUUUCCAGUGCAAGUAAACCAGUUUUUUGUUCCACAACUAUUUUGGAAUCUUGUUUAUCAGUUUCUAUCAUUAUAAUGUCACAUAGGCUGCAAACUUGGGCACCCAAAGAUCUAGUUGGGCAAAUUUGUUUCAGAAUUUCAAUGGUGGAUUCAGUAAUUGUUAAAAGGUGUUUCUUCAUUAAGGAAAGAGUCCUGUAAAAAUAUUGUUAAAAGGUGUCAUAGAAACUAUAAUAAUUAAAUAACUUCUUUUCCCCGUGGGUGGUGUUUCUUCUGGGGAUACCCAAAAUGAGUUCAGAUUAAAAUUGGUUCGAGUCAAAGCUGUCUCUUUUGUCCAGAAAUCAACUAUUUUGCGCAUUGCAUGAAUCGAUAAAGAAAAAAUGAAAGCCAAAUCACACCUCCCCUGCAAAACCUAAACCCCGGUUGCUAACUUUCUAUGUUUCAGUCCUAUUCAUACAGGAAUAUUGGUUCAAGUUUGAGAAAAAUGGCAACUUACCUAGGGAUUACUUGGUUGUGGUUUGCGACGACUAUUUACGCAACCAACCAUGAGUUUGACUUUAACGUCAUGGGUUGAAGCCUCCUACAAUCGUGUAUGAUAGUUCAAAGCUCGUAGUAGAAAUUAUACAGGAAGGAAGAAACCUCCAAAGCUAGCUCCAAAAGAGAAUUAUCACAUCGAUAGCUCCAGAGAUUCCCAAGGGGACUGAAUCAAAGACAAGUUCCUCACUUUUUCUUCUUUUGAGGCCAAAUAUGAACCAAGGAUCACACGACCUCAUUCAACUUCAUAAGUUUGAUUUCAUGCAGUUGAACACUGGGUGAAGGCCAUGACAAGAAUUGAUUAAAAAAUUCUACCACUGUUUUAAGUAAUGGAAGAUUAUUAUCUCUGAUUGGCACCACAACAGCACAUGCUGCUAGAUCUUUCUAGACACUCCAUGCAAUGAAAGUACAAUGGAUCUUGUAACGAUAGAAACUAAGCCAUGCUACAGUACUAGAUGACGAGGUAAAACUAUUAGACAUGGGUGGCAGCCUAUAUGGGAGGGACACAAGUCUAAUUGAUUUGCAUUUCAGCGUUCUAGAUGGGUAUGUUUUGGAAGAUUUGUUCUGGAAAUACCGCACCAAGUAGGAUUCUUUUUUCUCUUGAGUGGGUCCACUUGCAUGCCAAUUAUCGAGUUGAAAAGUAGAGCACCUACCUCGUGCUCGUGGAACCGAAGGUCAGUGAAGUGGGGCUCCUUUUGGCCUCUUGUGUUUCUGUUCCAACCAAGGCGGCGGAGGGAAAAACAGCAAUAUGUCUCCGCUAAAUAUCAACGCAUGAUAGCGAAUGAGGGAGAAAAAAAGUAAUUGGCAUCUCAAUCUCACAAACUUGGUACAGUAGUGACAUUAAUAGUCUUCCACAUGGUUUUUAUUUUAUUUUAUUUUAUAUUUUAUAUUUUCCAUUUUUUUAUUUUUUUGUAUGUCAAGGCUAAUGAAUAAAAUGCGUUAGCUUGUUUUGUGAUUGGAACUGCAAAUGUCCAAAUUGGAGUUUCUCCAUUUCUCAGUUCGGAUGGUUAACUUUAUAAACAAGAUAUAGGAAACAUGUGAACGUCUUGAGGAACAAUUCGAAUUAUUGAUUAGAACUCCUAGGUUGAGUUCCAAGAUUUAAAUCAGACCCCUCUAGCAGCUUCAGGGGUACCUAGCAAUUAGAACAUAUUAAUGAAGAUUUAGGAUUUAGACUCCGGAAUACAAAUUAAUAUGUAUCUUAUGCUCUGACUAGCUUCCCUGCAUAUGCACAAAAUGGAGAUGACCCAAAAAAUAGCAGAAUCGCCUUAGUUUAUGUGGUUAAGGUGAUUCUCCGGUUAAUAUCCACAUUGGCUCAUUAUGCAAAUCAACUGAGCUAUUUUUUUUUUAAUGUCAAAUAGGAACUCCUAAUUAACCUAACCAUUGGCCUGUGUAAAUUGAUUUCACAUGCACAAUGUUGUAGUAGAAGUCCACAUUUUGAAUUUUAUUUUUGGAAAGGUAAGGAAAAUGAAGCAUUGUGUAAUUAUAAAAAUAACUUCAUUGGAAUUCACAAGGUUCACCCAAAAUGGAGCUACAUCCGUAUUCUAUCUUACAGUAGACUAUAUAGAUUGUACAAUAGUAAAUUGCAAAUACAAUUAAUAAGUCUUGUGUUUCCUUACUAAUAAUCCUUUGACAUAAACAUUGCAGCACUAAGGUCCUCUUGGGCAGACACCUUGCACCCAUGAGAGCACUAAGAGGAAGCAAGGCGGAGUCAUGGGUGCAAUGUCAUGACUUGUUGCACUAAGAGAGGCUUGGUGAUGGCAUAGUGCUGCAGUAGCAAGAAUGUUGCCUUGGCAGGGACACGAUCUAGGGACAGAUGCCAAGAAAGGCUUAGCACUCACAUGAGUUGCACAAAGAUGAAUGAAAUAGAACAUCAAAGAGACAUCUUGGCAAGCUCAAGAAAGACAUGUGGGUUGGUAAAUGAAUGGAUGCAAGAGGCAACAACAUGAGGAGUUUCAAAUGGAUAGGGAAUGAGUCAAAGACAUUUGAAAGCUACAAGUUGGAUUCUAAUUACGAUUGCAAUUUGAGUUUGAGUAGGAGUUUAUAUUAUGAUUGUAAUUGUAGUAUGAGUUGGACUAGGAUUGCUUAUCCCUAGUCAAAAUAGGAGUUGUUCAUGCCACACCCUAUGAAAAGAGUUUGAGUAGGGACUAGGAUUGCUUGCUCCUAGUCAAAUAUGGAGUAGGUGGUGCCACACCUAUAAAAAAAAAAGGGACAACAUGAGAGAGAGAGAGAAUGAAUUCACCAAAGAUAUUGUGGGAGUUUUGCUUUGUUACAUCUUGUAUUAUUAUUUAGAAUAGUAAUAAAAUACAAGUUGGGGCUAGAGCCCCAUAAUCUCGUGUGCCUUUGUGGGUUAUUCUUUAUUUGCCAUCUCGUGUGGAUUGGAUUAGAUUGAUGAGGCGAAAUAUUAUGUGGGAAAUUUAUGUUGGGACACUUACCAUAACCAGGUAAAAUCUACCAAGUCUUUUGUAAUAUCUUCUACAAAUAUUUUAGACCAGUUCUUCACAAAACAUCAUAAUAUGUUUUGUGUUUCUCUUGGAUUUUGAGUUGAAUUGUCUUAGAUCAAUUGAAUGCAUCUCAAUAUUAUUAUCUUGUUUGAAGGCUUGAUGAUUUUCCAUUUAACUUUACUUUCUUUAGGUUAUGCUUGAUUCCUUAAAAGUACUAAGGAAAACAAAAAAUAAAAAAAAAUAAAAAAUGCAGAGGGUUAGGACAUGUGUUAUCUAAUUGUCCUAUCCAAAGAUAUUAAGAAAGUCAUGUAGGAAAGUAAUUGAAAACUAGGUCAAGAAAGGAGCAAAAGGGAAUUGUUUUGGUAUUUUCUUUUUUAUUCUUGAAGGUGGCAGAGCUAAAAUUUGAGAAAUCAAGCAAAACAUACUGAAAUUACAUUGAAAGAAAGAAAAUGGUAGUUAAUGUCUUGCAGUACAUGAUAAGGACUUCAUGCAUGUAGUGUGACGACCCAUGUCUUGGACUGAUGCCACACUCACGGUUACACUUAUACCCUUGGUUCUCUCUUUACUACCUUGGCUAACCUAGAUCAGGCUAUGAGAUAGGCUCCUCACCACACCAUCACUUGCCCAGUAAUUAGUGACAUUUUCAAGCAAUGAGGUAACAUGGUGACACCAAGAGGGUUUAUCCCUCGCCCCAACAAGUCUAGACUCGGUCUCAAAAAAAUGGAGAAAAAUGAGGUGUCGUUAUGCAGAAAUACAACAACCAUGCCUUCCUUAUUACUUAGAUUCAGAAUGUGAAGGUGAAAUUGAGAAACAGAAACUCUUGAAACCAGAAUGAAAAUUGAUACUUUUACGAAGAAUUACAACAUUAGAGGAAGACUACAUUCUUCCUCUAUAUUCCUACGUUUCUACACUACUUCUACUCCACUCCAUAUUUCUACAUACAUCUUUAAUCAGUUUUCCCUCCUUUAUAUAGAGCCAUCUUCACACAAAUUCCGCAAGGUAGAAAAGAGGAAUGAAACUUGGAGCAAGGUUCGACUACUGGUUGUCGCUUGUCAAGGCUGGAAUUGAACUUUUUUUCUUGGCUUUUCUGGGCAUAGGUAGUAACUUGUGGUUCCUUUUUGGAAUGAAAAUGGUACAGCUAGAACAUGUGGCACUCUCUUGUUGGAUUAUGUGUCAAACAUGUGGCAGCCAUCUAGUGGAGAUUAUUUCAAUUUUGGGAUGGAGAGUUGGCAUCCAAUUGCAAAGAAAUAUGACAUCUACCAACAUGCAAUGUAAACCUAUAUAGAUCAUAUGGAGAUAGAGAGGAAACAUAUAGAAAUGGAUAUAUACCUAGAACUAGCUUUUUAUUAAAUGAGACGGAGAGCCAACAAUGAAGGAAAAUCAAAAUUUUUGGCUCAUAUCAAAGAAUUCACAUUGUGUUACCCUAGGUUUUCUUAAAGCUUGCACAAAGCCAAAAAGCACACAAAAAAUUAUAUUUUCUAGCUCUCUACCUUGGAUGGUCUCUUGAUCCUACUUGGAGAUGUGCAUAAAUAAAAGGAUUUGAAAAUGACAAUUGACUAAGUAUGUAGUCAAUCAAUUACUCAUUAAUUGACUAGUUGAUCAAUUAACUUUGCAACAUCAUAUGCAAUCCUAAUAGCUAGUCAUCUAAUCAACUAGGUAGUAAAUCAAUAGGCCAAAAAUAUGUUUAUAAUGACUAUUUUGUACAAAAACCACCUAUAUGGUUAAAUAUAAUGCAUUUCAUUUAUAAAUCUUCUAAUUCUUGAAUAACGAUCCUAUCAUCCUUUGAAAGUUUUUAUUACACCUUUUAUACUUUUGUUCUAAAACUUACACAUGUACAUCACCCUUAAUUGUACCAUGAGAACCUAGCUUUUUUUUUUUUUUUUUUUGUAAUUCAUCAAAGUUAGCUUUUGUAUUCAUUACUGUACUAUUUUUAUUGUAACUUAGAAAGCGAGUGUUUUCAAGUGAGUGAAAUUGACUUAUAAAUAUUGUAAAGAUUCAUUGAUGUGUAUCUUAAACUAAGUGUACAAGUUGAAACAUUUGCUAGUAGAUUUUCUCAAGAUUUAGAAUAGAGCUUGAGGCUAUUGAAAUAGGUGGGGUUGCACCAAACCACAUCACAUUGUUGUUUGCACCUUUUUUUCACUCUCUUUUACUUAGUUGCUCUAUAUUUGUUGUCUAGUAAUAUCCUAUAGGCUUGAUGGGUUAGGGAGCAUCCCUUUGUGAAAAAUUUUCAUUCAAUCCUUAGUUGUAUCACGCAUAUAUAAAAUGCCUCAUUGUUUUAAUGGUAUUCAGUCGUGGCAUCACAGAUAUGGGCAUCUAAAUUUUAAAAGUUUGAAACUUUUAUCUAAAGAAAAUAUGGUGCUUUGCCUUUUUGUAAAGCAUGUUGAUGAAAUCCAUGAGAAUUGUGUACUUGGGAAGCAACAUCGAGAUGACUUUUUUUUUUUUCAUUUUUUAUAAUGCGACACCUAAGUCCGGUUUCUAAAUGCUGAAGUGAAAGGGUAGGUAUGGACCAUUGAAAUCUGAUCACAACUUUUGGCCUUUUCCUUUCUCUGCAGCCAUGUUGUCUCUUUUUUCUUUUGCAUGAUUUUCUUACCUAAACAGAAUCAUAGACUUGUUUAAUCUCUAAAUGGUAUUUCAUCCAGCUUUAAGCUACUGUAUUAUAUCUUGGUGGAGGACUUUUAAGAGUGAAACCGACAUAGAGCACAUGCAAGUGGGUAUAUGGGACAUGAAAUUUCUUCUUAUAAAGACUGCAUGGUUUUUAUAUUAGAGUUGUUGAGGCGCAAUGUAUUUAGCUUGUUUUGCAGUUAAAUUAAUUGGAUAAGUAGACAUUGUCGUUUCUAAAUUUCCCACCUAAGAUAGUGACCUUAUCCUUGACUGCUUGAUGAGAUACACAAACAAUUAUACCUUCAAAAUCUACUGUGAAGUGCUUCAUGUAUGUGUGAAGUAUUAGAAAUUUCUUUCUUGGCAACUUGUUUUUUCUUUGCCCUCUACUGAUAGGUUUGACUCAAAUUAAAUUCCCUGUCAUGCUAAUUAAUUUUCACGUGCAUGCUCAAAAGGAUCACGUCAACUCUGGUUUCUACUAUUCAGGUCCAUUCCCAGAUAAACUGGUUCAAAUUUGAGAAAAUGGCAACAGCCCUUUAGUGAUGUUGGUUUGGAGCCAGUAGCCAAACCCGCCCUGAGCUUUACCACUAAUGUCAAGGGACAAAGCCAUUUGAACAAAAACAAUAGCUUCAAGAGACUGAAUCGUGGAUGAAAUCUGAUCCACAUUUCUUCUCAUUUUGGGAACAAAUGAGAACUUAACUACAAAGAUUCUACUGCCUCAUAGUGCUUUUCCUGAUCUAAGGUUGGUUCGUUUCCCAAAUUGUGAGGUACGUGCCAUUCUCACGCUCAGGAGUGUAUCCACGUGGUGGACAUAAGAUGGUGGCUUAAUAUCUGGUGUCGGUGGCUUUACUUUACUAGGAGAGUAGUGUGUCUUCAUCUCAUUCACUGCCGGAGGGUGGCGUAAGCAGUGACGCUAAGGUGGGGCACAGUCAAUAUCAUUUGCAUUUGACCAUUAUAGUUUUCUCCCGGCUUGAAAGUAACCUUAUCGUGAUAAAGGAUUACUAGCACUAGUUCAGAUGACAGUCAUGUUAAAUUCGGACCAUGUUUGUGUCACAUUAUCAGCAACCAUGUGUUUAUGGUUCAUGCUAUCUGCAACUAAACUUGAUAUAUAACCACGUGAACUUCAAUCUAAAUUCUGGAAGUACUCUUGUGAUAGAUGGUGCCUGUCUGCAGAGUCCAUCAAUUGAAAAAUGGAGUGAGUGUAUCUAUAAGAGGGAAGGCUUGGCAAAUGUUCAGUUUUCUGGGAACUCAACAAGGAUCUAAAAUAGAUUGUUUUCUUUGCUGAUUUCAAUGGUUGAAAUUUGAGAAGAUUGUGUCCACAUAACACAACUAUUACUGGUCCUUCUGUUGCAAUUUAUCCUCUAAGGCUCUAACAUGUCUUCCAAUUCCCACUUCCCUGUUACUCCAGGAAAGCUAUUUCUGUCAUUGUGAAGAAGAAAAGAGAAUGUACAUAUCGAUGGUUUUAAGUGACUGGGGCAUUCAUAUCAGGUGGUCUGCAGCCAUAUAUGCCACUUUGUGAAGGUUGGAACAGUCAAUCACCAGGCUAUAUUAGUGUGGCCCAGCCACUUCAAUCAAGGACAAGUCUUCAUACUUAAAGUCAAAUUCUGCCUUUAGUCUCAUUAUAAAUUGCUGUUUAAAUAUUAAGCAAACAUUUGUUUAAUGCGAUUAAGACAGUACUAACUCAAUACUUGUUCUAUUUUUGGAUGCAAAUGCUUGAUGGUUUCAUCAUUGGAUGGGAUAAAGGUGCAUUCAUGAUUAUGAAUACUUGUAGUUAUAUUUUCAUUCUCUUUUUUCUCAAUGAGACUUGUUGGCACAAUUUUGCUGUUCAGAAACCUACCUCUCCAUCGAAAAUCAGUUGUGAUUGAUAGUACUGGAUAUAUUCAAGAAAGCUAAAUAUAGAUAGCACCAAAUAUUAUCGAUAUAAAUAGCAUUAACAGCGUACGUAUGUCUCAAUGCUCAUCAGCUAUAAGCAACGGGCAAACACUUACUAUGAGCAACUUGCGUCAAAAUUCCAGAAUAGGACAUAGAAGUGACAGAUCUAUAUAUAUAUAGAACACUGCAUAUGAGUCACAAGAAAGGAAAUUACGGGUGCAUAGCAGCUCUUAUUUUACAUCCUACUCAUACUGAUCAAAGUCACUCAGUUGGGAUGGGUGGGAGUAGGAGGUUUGUGGGGUGGCUUGUGCGGAGGAGUUGGCAGCUUCUUUCCAGGACCUGGUUGCUUCUCUGCUGGAGUUGAAGGAGGCUUAAUCUUCCGAGGUGGCUUGUAUGAGUCUUCAGCAUUCUCAGCAGGAGGGUGACCAGGGUUGUGACCAUAAUGUGGUGGCUUCUCUCCCUUAGGUGGUUUGCCAACUGGGGUUGGUGGCUUGUAUGAGUCUUCAGCAUUCUCAGCAGGAGGGUGACCAGGGUUGCGACCAUAAUGUGGUGGCUUCUCUCCCUUAGGUGGUUUGCCAACUGGGGUUGGUGGCUUGUGUUCUGGGAGUGGCUUCUCCCCCUUGGGAGGUUUUUCCAAUGGGGUUGGUUUGUGUUCAGGAGGUGGCUUCUCCACUGGAGGCUUGUGUUCAGGAGGUGGCUUCUCCACCGGAGGCUUGUGUUCAGGAGGUGGCUUCUCCACCGGAGGCUUGUGUUCAGGAGGUGGCUUCUCGAAUGGGGGAUGCUCAGGGUAAUCAGCAAGUGAGGGGUUGGUGAGAACCACCAUGCCAAGCAACAGGACUAGCAAGUAUGUAGGAGACAUCUUUGGGUUUGGACUUAAGACAGUGGAAAACUGCGAGAAUUCUCUAGCCUUUUAUAGCGGGUCGACCCAGUACUCACAUGACACGUGUCAUUAUGACACAUGUGCCAUGGGGUCGAUUUGGGUCCUACAGUGUUGAAAAGUUGGGCAUUUGAGGUGUGAGCACAACUUUUGGCCUUUGCUUUCUCUACAGCCGCCAUGCUUUUCCCUUUUUUCCUUUUCCUUUUGUUUUCCUCCUGCCUCGUGUUCUCAACUAAACACAAUUAGGUUGUUUAAUUGUUAAAUGAGAUUUUUGUCUGUCAAUCAUAUUAUAUCCUAUCAAGAGAGAACAGAGUGUAAUGUAGUACACAUAACACGAGGCAGUAGUAAUUUUAUCAUUUAUUUUUAUAGCUUGGACCACCGCAUUUUUUCUUCUAAAAUAUUCUGUCUUGUUAAGAGACGCAAUAAUACACAAUUUUAUCUGCCAUUCAACAUUUACUGUAAAGUUCUUUUAUCUCUUUGUAGUUCUAGAAAAGUACAAAAUGGAACAUCAUGUAUAUGGUGCCUUCUGUCCUAAAAAAGAAACUGGACAAAUUAUGAACUGCAUGCUAAAAAGAGGCAAAGGAGCUUAAUUCGCAGCAUAAUUAUUUUGGUUUCUAGAGAGCCCGGGGCCUUUUGGUUGGUUUGGGGUCAGAAAAUGAACAUCAUAGGGAUUGUGCCCUUAACUGGCCUUGUUACUACAAAGAAAUUGCCAUAGAAAUUUAUUCCAGGCUGAGUAUCUCCGGAUAGACCCCAGAAAAGAAGAGUCAUAAUGAGAAUCAACCUUUGUUGAGUUUGAUUCCAUGCCUCCAUUGUGUUCAUUUCAUGAAUCUGAUUUGCAUUUAACAUUACAGUUUUGUUCUGGAAACAAUCAAAGGAGCAUCGUUUGCUUCUUGGGUGACCCAUAGUGGUGGGUGGGUCGAUUUGCUUAGUUGAAAAUUGGACAAUUGGCUCCAUCGCCUACCUCUUGGAUUCCAUGCUCGGAUAAAACGACAACAAAUAAAUAUUUAUAACUUACAACUGGGGAAAGGAAAAAAUAGUACUAAAUUCAUGGUACAUGAUAGUGAGAGAAGGGGGUGUUACACUCAGCUAAAGUUCUUUUCUAAAUAUUGCAUGGUGUUUAAUUUUAUGUGUCGGCGCGCGUGUGAAUGGAACCUGCAAAAGUCCAAAUUGGCGUUUCUCCAUUUUCCACAUAGGAUGGUGACGUUAAUAGACAAAGAUACAAUAUCUGUAGACAUUGCUUAAAAAUCGAUGUGAAGUAUUAGAAAUUACAGGCCACUGUACUGGGGGAGCGGCUGCCCCGCCAAAGGAAGAAUGUAGCAAUUUCUUCUGUUAGCCAGGCCUUAGGAUUUAUGCAUGGGAUGCCUAAUAACAAACAGAGAAAAUAUGCUUUUGGGGAAGGUAUCCAACAACAGACACCAUCAUUCAGAUGGUGGGAAGGUAUCCAACAGAUGCCAUCAUUCAGAUGGUAACAUAUAUAUACAUUUAUUAGUGAGUUUUUUUAAUACCUAUAAAAAAAAUAUACACUUUGAUAUUGUGGCUGAAUCCAUUACAUACUCAACUAACCUUGCUCAUUAGGGAUUUGACGUAACAAGGGCAACGUUGCAGUAAAAGCUCGAAACUUUAUGCAGGUGACAUUACAUUUGGUAAAGAAGAGGAAAAUAAGGAAAGCCAUCCAUAAAAGCAAAAUUCCUCAUGGGAUGAAAUUCACAAACUUCAUUUACGUUAGAGUCGCAUCCAGGCAAUUAAUUCCACAUUAGACCGCCUUUUGACAUGUGUACGGAUCUUUUUUCAAAAAUUAUUUAUAAAUAAUUGAUACUUACAAAAAUAAUUUAAGAUUUAUAAAGGAUAAAAAAAUAUUUUCAAAUCUAUGACAAUUUAUAAAAUAUUAAUAAAAAAUUAUCUCUUAAACUUAGUAUAGUUUUAUCGUAUUAAACUUUUAUUUUGAACAAAUAAUUUUAAUCUAAGUUUUAAAUUCUAAAAUUAUUUCCUUAAAAUAAAAUUUUAAAAUUCAACACUUCAAUUGAAAUUGUCUUUUAAAAAAAAUAUCUUCUUAUUUUAAUCCUUAUAAACUAUAGUUGAUUGAAAAUACUAUUGAAGUUCUCUCUUCAAAAAAAGUCUUAUUUUAAUCUUCAUAAAUUGCCCUUGAUUUGAAAAUAAACUUUGGGUUAUCAUAUUUUAAAUAAUAUAUAUAUAUAUAUAUAUAUAUAUAUAUAUAUAUAACAAAUACUCUAUUUUUUUUUUAAAUGAACUAAUUUUAAUUAUAUUUUAUUUUAUUUUUUUAUAUAUUUUUAAUGAUAAACCAAACAUAGAAAAUCAUUUUUCUAAAUAUUUUAAAAUUUCUAAGCAACCAAACAUAAUCUUCAAAAUAAAAGGAGAAUAAGGAGGGACAAGUGAGAAAUGGCGAUUAAAAAAAAGUGUACAAAAGCUCAAUUAAUUUUCUUCUAGUCUUUUAUAUAAAAAAGUAUUGGUAUGUAAAUUAAUAUUUGGAUUUUAAUAGUAUUUUAUUUGUCUUUCUCUAUCUCAUGUAAAAGAGAAUUUAAGAUAUUUCCUAAAGCAAAGCAUUAGUUAUCUGCAAUCAGUGGUGAUCAUGGUCCAUGUCAAUUUCGGACCCAUAUCUUAAAACCGUAUAAUUUGCGUUUCAACAUUACUGAUUUCUCAGAUGUUUCAUACUCCACAGAAGAGUAUUGUUAGUGAAAGCAUUUUGUAACUGUUACUCAUAGUGUUUUGACUCUGGCUCAACAACAUCAGCCAUUGACGGAUUUUCAUACAUGCAAAUCAAAUAGUCUUCUUCCUCCCUUAGGAAUUUCGGUUUAAAUGUUAUUAAGCAUACAUUUGGCUGACAAUUAUUAACCACUUCAUGAUAUGGUUUCUUACCCUUAAUCAAUGGUUUCUAAGUGAAUAUAUGCAGAAGGAAAUCUGAACUGUAGACAGCAGUAUUGAUAACUCUCAAUAUUCUUUAUAUAAGAGAAUAAACAACGUCAUAGUGAUCGUCGCCUACAAGAAAGGUACAUUUCCCAACAAGAUGUAGUGGUGACUGCUACAUGGACGCAAUUAACUCGUAGAAAAGGAUAAGACCAGUGCACGGCAGCUCUUAUUUUACAUGCUAAUUAUGCUAACCAAAGUCACUCAGUUGGGAUGGGAGGGAGAUGGAGGUUUGUGCGGUGGCUUGUGGGGCGGAGUUGGUGGCUUCUUUUCAGGAGCUUGUGGCUUUUUCGGAGCUGAAGGAGGCUCAAUCUUAUGAGGCGGCUUGUACGAGUCUUCUUUACUCUCGACAGGAGGGUGACCAGGGUUGUGACCAUAAUGUGGUGGCUUCUCUCCCUUAGGUGGCUUGCCAACUGGGGUUGGUGGCUUGUGUUCAGGAAGUUGUUUCUCUCCCUUGGGAGGUUUACCAAUUGGGGUUGGUGGCUUGUGUUCUAGGAGUGGUUUCUCUCCCUUGGGAGGUUUAGUGGGUGACUUGUGUUCUGGAGGUGGCUUCUCCACCGGAGACUUGUGUUCUGGAAUUGAUUAAAAAAAUUCUACCACUCUUUUAAGUAAUGGAAGAUUAUUAUCUCUGAUUGGCACCACAACAGCACAUGCUGCUAGAUCUUUCUAGACACUCCAUGCAAUGAAAGCACAAUGGAUCUUGUAACGAUAGAAACUAAGCCAUGCUACAGUACUAGAUGACGAGGUAAAACUAGUAGACAUGGGUGGUAGUUGAUUACUACUCAAAAAGUACUCUUUUAUAGUUUGAAACUAACUGUUUUAAACACUUUUGAGUAGUAGUUAAUAAAUUUUAACUCAAUUGGCACAUUAAGGAACCUAGCAAGGGUUACUAAUAAACUUUUGGCAAGUUUUGGUGUUUUUGGUAGUUAUUCGAUCAUUGAAACAAGCCAAGAAUGAGGGAGAAUUUUGUGAAGUCCAUGGCAAUGCAAGUUAAAGCUCAAAUACACGAAGAAUCCAAGCUUUGGAGCACUACAUAGCCCUUUGCCAAGCCAAUUAGAGAUGCAAGGAACAAAACCAAAGGAAGAAAUCCAACAACCAACAUUUUCGCAUGGUUGUGUGAAAUUUCGCACACCAUGCGAAACCACAAGAGGUAGCCAAAGAAUUUCACAUGGUAUGCGAAAUCUUCUCAUGCACCGACUCCGUUAGAUUUUUAUCUUCAGAUAUUUUGUGUAAUUUCCUAGUUUCUCCUUGUAACCAACCUAGAUAUUUUCUUUUAUAUCUUUUUUUAUAUUUUUUAGGUAACAUCAUAUAUAAGGGGAGAGACAUAAGGAGGAUAUGGAUGUUUUUCAUAGAACACUUGUAAAUUUUCAGUAGUAAGAAAUAUACAAAGCUUUUUGCUAUGCCUUACCUUCUCAUUUUGUUUUCACCUGUCUUUCUAGCCAAACAACCUCUAAGGAUGAUUUCUCAGGGGAUGAGUGGCUAGGUUUUACGUUUCUUGGAGUGAGGGAAGCUAGGUGAAGGACCUGAAUGCAAAGAUGAGAGUUUUCCUUGCUUUAAAUGAAAGUAGUUGUUAAACAUUAAUGGUUUUUAUUUUAAGGUUUAGCUUUAAAUCCCUUAAAAACACCUUGAAUGACCAAUACUUGGUAAGCUUUUCGGAUUCUAUGGAUGCUUAUUGCUAGAUCCAUGGAUGUCUAUUAGUUAUCAUUUACGAGCCUUUGGAAGGUGAUUCAAGGUGAGGGUCUUUAGUGUUUGAAGCCAUUAAUGGGAAGCAAUUACCAUUUUUUCAUGAAUCCUUUGGAUCAAAUCUUAAUUGCUAAAUAUAAAACCGAUUUGGGAAAUAACCAUCCUUUAUGUUAUUAUCCCCAACGCAAGGAGAAGAUCCGGAAUCUUCCCUUUUGUCUAAGGAACCCGAUCCUAGUGACCUAAAGCUCCAAGAGACCUUUUCUUUGUAGUUAACUUCAUUUAUUGUUUUUGCUUAACUUAAAAUCAAUCUUUGCAACCACAAUUCCAUUUUCUUUAAAAGCUAAUUUUUAUAAGGAAAAACACCAUUUUAUUUCCUUCACUAAGUCAACUGUACGAUGAAAACCCAUCCCUGUGGACGAUCCUAGAGCCAUUAUACUAUGUUAGCUAUGCUACCCUAGUGUGAGGUGAUUUAGGUUUUAUAAAUUUUGUUGAUAACACCCAUCUGAGCCAGAAUCAAAUGGCACAACUGAACCAGGGACGAAUCAAAUGGCGCCGCUAUCGAGGAUGGUGCCAAAGUACAUUGACAUGACUUUUGGUGAACACUUGUGAUCUUCAUCACAAGUUUGGUGAUUUUUCUAUUACUAAUUUUUUUCUUUGUUUUUAUUUUAGCUUAUCUUUUAUUUAGUUUUUAGCUAACCUUAACUUUUUCUUAGAAUUGUAUUUCUUCUAUUUUCUUUGUUUUUGUUUCAGUGAUCUUUAGUUGUGCAUGCCCUAUUGGAUAAGAAAUAUUGAGGGAAUACUUGUGAAGAUUGAAAAUCCUCGAGAAACUGAGUUGGAAGUGUGAUUGAACAUCAUGGAUGUUCCACCUGAAGACCAGAAUAGCCAACAUGGUUAAGAGGAUAAUUUCAAAGCAUACCGAUCCAUGAGGGACUGCAUGCAUCCACCUCGUAUGAGUGCACCGUCAUGCAUAGUGCCUCCCACUGAGCAACUAGUAAUCUGACCUCACAUUGUGCCACUCCUACCUACUUUCCAUGGGAUGGAGAGUGAGAAUCUCUACUCGCAUAUUAAGAAAUUCGAGGAGGUUUGUAAUACAUUCCAAGAAGGAGGAGCUUCAAUUGACUUGAUGAGGCUCAAGCUAUUUCCUUUCACUUUGAAGGAUAAGGCUAAGAUUUGGCUUAAUUCUUUAAGGCCAAGGAGUAUCCGAACUUGGACUAAUUUGCAAGCCGAUUUUCUUAAGAAGUUCUUCCUUACCCAUAGGACCAAUGGUUUGAAAAGGCAAAUUUCGAACUUCUCAGCUAAAGAGAAUGAGAAAUUCUAUGAGUGAUGGGAGAGGUACAUGGAAGCUAUUAAUGCUUGUCCUCACCAUGGCUUUGACACAUGGCUCUUAGUGAGUUAUUUUUACGAUGGUAUGUCUUCUUCAAUGAAGCAACUCCUAGAAACUAUGUGUGGAGGAUACUUCAUGAGUAAGAAUCCGAAGGAAGCCAUGGACUUUUUGAGUUAUGUGGCUGAAGUUUUAAGAGGAUGGGAUGAACCAAAUGCUAGAGAGGUGGAAAGAAUGAAGUCUCAACCUAAUGCUAAGGGUGGGAUGUAUGUUUUGAAUGAAGACAUUGACAUGAAAGCAAAGGUUGUAGCUAUGGCAAGGAGAUUGGAAGAGCUAGAAAUGAAGAAGGCACAAAAAGUGGAAGCCAUUUCUGAGACAUCAGUGCAAGCUAUGCCUUGUUCCAUUUGUCAACCUAAUGCUAAGGGUGGGAUGUAUGUUUUGAAUGAAGACAUUGACAUGAAAGCAAAGGUUGUAGCUAUGGCAAGGAGAUUGGAAGAGCUAGAAAUGAAGAAGGCACAAAAAGUGGAAGCCAUUUCUGAGACAUCAGUGCAAGCUAUGCCUUGUUCCAUUUGUCAAUCUUAUGAGUACCUAGUGGAGGAGUGUCCUACAAUUCCAGUAGUGAGAGAGAUGUCUGGUGAUCAAGCAAAUGUUAUUGAUCAAUUCAAGCCUAAUAAAAAUGCUUCAUAUGGCAACACCUACAAUUCAAAUUGGAUGAACCAUCCAAAUUUCUCUUGGAAACCAAAGCUACCUCAAUACACACAACCUGCUCAAGCACCUUAGCAAUCCUCGAAUCUUGAACAAGCUAUUGUGAACCUUAGUAAGGUUGUGGGAGAUUAAAAGUCCAUCAAUGCUCAACUGAAUCAGAGAAUUGACAGUGUAGAGAGUACAUUGAACAAAAGGAUGGAUGAGAUGCAAAAUGAUCUGUCUCAAAAGAUAGACAAUGUCCAAUAUGCAAUCUCAAGGCUUACCAACCUCAACACAGUGCAAGAGAAAGGAAAGUUUAUUUCUCAACCUCAUCAAAAUCCCAAGGGUAUCCAUGAAGUGGAGGCUCAAGAGAGAGAAUCUUCAAAGGUGAGGGAAGUCAAAGCAGUUAUCACCUUGAGGAGUGGUAAAGAGGUUGAUCAACCCACAUCCAAGCCAAAGCAUAAUGAAGAGAGUUUUGUAGAAAAAGAAAAGAGAGGAAAAUAAAGGAAAGAGAAUAGAGAAAAGUACAAAGAAAGAUGACCAUGAGUCUAGUGUGGAUGAAGAGCCCAAGAGGAUAGUGAUCAAGGAAAAUAUGAUGAAGAAACACAUGCCUCCACCUUUCCCCUAAGCUUUGCAUGACAAAAAAGGAACCAAUAAUACAUCGGAAAUUUUUGAAGUAUUGAGGCAAGUGAAGGUCAAUAUCCCUUUGCUAGAGAUGAUCAAACAAGUGCCGACAUAUGCAAAAUUCUUGAAGGACUUGUGCACUGUAAAGAGAGGGUUGAAUGUGAACAAGAAAGCUUUCUUGACCGAGCAAGUGAGUUCCAUCAUACAGUGCAAGUCUCCAGUGAAGUACAAAUAUCCGGGCUACCCUACCAUCUCAGUGAGUAUUGGAGGUACUUGUGUGGAAAAAGCUUUGUUGGACUUGGGAGCAAGUGUGAAUUUGCUACCCUACUCUGUCUAUAAGUAGUUGGGACUUGGAGAGUUGAAGUCAACAUCCAUCACCCUAUCUCUGGCAGAUAGAUCAGUGAAGAUUCCAAGAGAGAUGAUAGAAGAUGUCUUGGUUCAAGUUGACAAAUUCUACUAUCCAGUGGAUUUUGUUGUUCUUGAUACGGAUCCGAUUGUCAAAGGAACUAAUUAUGUUCCUAUCAUACGAAGACCCUUCCUAGCUACAUCAAAUGCAAUCAUCAAUUGUAGGAAUGGAGUCAUGAAACUCACGUUUGUCAACAUGACAUUAGAGCUCAACAUCUUCCAUUUGUACAAGAAGCAUAUCCAUUCAGAAGAAAAAGAAGGUCUAGAGGAAGUGUGCAUGAUUGACACUUUAGUGGAGGAGCAUUGUGAUCGACAAUGCAAGAAGAUUUAGUUGAGAGUUUUGGGGAUCUUGAUGAAGGGUUACUUGAACCCUCAGAUUUGCUUGCUACCCUACUCCAUUGGAGGAAGAGAGAAGAAAUUCUACCCUUAUUCAAUGAGGAGGAGACACAAAGAGCUGCUAAAGAUAAGCCCCCAAAGCUUAUUCUUAAGCCACUACCCACAGAGUUGAAGUAUGCAUACUUGGAAGAAGACAAGAAGUGCACUGUUGUUAUAUCUUUAGCUCUUACCAUUCAUCAGGAGGAUUGUCUACUUGAAGUCCUUAGAAGAAGUAAGAAGGUAAUAGGGUGGCAAAUUUCUGAUUUGAAAGGGAUCAGCCCUUUUGUCUGCACCCAUCAUAUUUACAUGGAGGAUGAAGCUAAGCCAAUUCAUCAACCUCAGAGAAGGUUGAACCCUCACAUGCAAGAAGUGGUGAGAGUUGAAGUUCUUAAGCUACUUUAGGCUGGUAUUAUUUACCCCAUAUCAGAUAGCCCAUGGGUGAGUCCUACUCAAGUUGUGCCAAAGAAGUCGGGGAUCACGGUGGUGCAAAAUGAUAAGGGAAAAGAUGUCUCUACAUGUCUCACUAUAGGUUGGAGGGUGCGUAUCAAUUACAGGAGGUUGAAUGUAGUGACAAGGAAUGACCAUUUCUCGUUGCCCUUUAUUGAUCAAGUGCUUGAGAGGGUCUCUGGGCAUCCUUUUUAUUGUUUCUUGGAUGGCUACUCGAGGUAAUUUAAGAUAGAAAUUGAUGUUGAAGACCAGGAGAAGACCAUUUUCACAUGCCCAUUUAGAACCUAUGCAUAUAGGAGAAUGUCUUUCGGCUUAUGCAAUGCACCCACAACUUUCCAAAGAUGCAUGUUAAGCAUUUUCAAUGAUAUGGUGGAGCAUAUUAUGGAAGUCUUUAUGGAUGAUAUCACCAUAUAUGGAAGUGCAUUUGAUGAAUGCUUGGUCAACUUAGAAGUUGUUCUGAACCGAUGCAUUGAGAAAGACUUAGUGCUUAAUUGGGAGAAGUGCCAUUUCAUGGUACACCAAGGGAUUGUCCUUGGGCACAUCAUCUCCAAGCAAAGCAUUGAAGUUGACAAAGCAAAGGUUGAACUCAUUGUUAAGUUGCCAUUCCCAACAAAUGUCAAAGGAGUAAGGCAAUUCCUUGGCCAUGCCGGGUUCUAUAGGAGGUUUAUCAAGGAUUUCUCUAAGCUUGCAAGGCCUCUUUGUGAAAUAUUGGUGAAGGAUGUUAAAUUCAUAUGGGAUGAUAGAUGCCAAAGGAGUUUUGAAGAAUUGAAGCUAUUUUUGACAACCUCACCAAUAGUGAGGGCUCCCAACUAGCAACUGCCCUUUGAGGUAAAGUGUGAUGUCAAUGACUUUGCUAUAGGAGCUGUUCUUGGGCAAAGAGAAGAUGGAAAACCUUAUGUGAUCUACUAUGCGAGCAAGACAUUGAAUGAGGUGCAAAGAAACUACAUAACCACCGAGAAAGAAUUGUUAGCUGUAGUUUUUGCCUUGGAUAAGUUUCGUGCUUACUUGGUGGGAUCCUUCAUCGUGGUUUUUAUUGAUCACUUUGCUUUGAAGUAUCUAUUGACUAAGCAAGAUGCUAAAGCAAAACUGAUUAGAUGGAUUUUCUUGCUUCAAGAGUUCAAUCUCCAGAUCAAAGACAAGAAAAAAAUGGAGAAUGUGGUAGUAGACCACAUUUCAAGGCUAGCUAUCGCACAUAAUUCCCAUGCUUUGCCCAUUAAUGACGAUUUUCUAGAGGGGUCUCUCAUGUUGGUGGAAGUUGUCCCUUGGUACGCUCACAUUGCUAACUACCUGGUCACAAGAGAAGUUCCAAGUGAGUGGAAAGCACAAGAUAAGAAGCACUUCUUUGCAAAAAUUCAUGCCUACUAUUGGGAAAAGCCAUUUCUAUUCAAGUAUUGUGCGGAUCAGAUAAUAAGGAAGUGAGUUCCUGAAGAAGAGCAACAGGGGAUCCUCAGUCAUUGCCAUAAAAAUGCAUGUGGAUGCCACUUUGCUUAUCAGAAGACAACCAUGAGGGUGCUGCAAUCGGGUUUCUGUUGGCCAUCACUUUUCAAAGAUGCCCACACCAUGUGCAAGAGUUGUGAUCGAUGCCAGAGGCUUGGGAAGUUAUCAUGUAGGAACAUGAUGCCUUUGAACCCCAUUUUAAUAGUUGAUCUUUUUUAUGUUUGGGGCAUUGACUUCAUGGGACUUUUCCCUAUAUCUUUUGGCUACUCUUACAUCUUGGUGGGAAUAGAUUAUGUUUCUAAGUGGGUUGAGGCAGUCCCAUGCAAACACAAUGACCAUAGAGUGGUUCUCAAGUUUCUUAAGGAGAACAUCUUCUCAAGAUUUGGGGUGCCCAAAGCCAUAAUUAGUGAUGGGGGUACUCAUUUUUGCAACAAGCCUUUUGAAACUCUCCUAGCCAAGUAUGGGGUGAAGCAUAAGGUAGCUACACCUUACCACCCUCAAACUAAUGGGCAAGUUGAGUUAGCAAACAAGGAGAUUAAAAACAUAUUGAUGAAGGUGGUGAACACAAACAGAAAAGAUUGGUCAGUCAAGCUCUUCGAUUCACUAUGGUCAUGUAGAACAGCUUACAAGACCAUUAUCGGGAUGUCUCUUUAUCACCUAGUCUAUGGAAAAAAUGCCAUCUCCUUGUGAAAUUGGAAUACAAAGCUUGGUGGUCAAUCAAGAAGCUCAACAUGGAUUUGAGCAGAGCUGGGUUGAAGAGGUUCUUAGACCACAAUGAGAUGGAGGAAUUGAGAAAUGAUGCCUACAUCAAUUCAAAAAUUGUAAAAGAAAAAUUGAAGAGGUGGCAUGAUCAGUUGAUUUCCCGCAAGAAUUUUCAAAAUGGAUAAAGAGUCUUGCUCUAUGACUCUAAACUCCACAUCUUUCCGAGCAAGCUGAAAUCAAGGUGGAUAGGUCCUUUUACCAUUCACCAAGUGCAUUCAAAUAGAGUAGUGGAACUACUCAACUCCAACAACAUCGGGAGCUUCAAAGUGAAUGACCAUUGUCUCAAGCCCUUUGUAGAGUCUUUUUUCUCGCGACAAGGAGGAAUUCAUCCUCCUUGAUCCACAUCAAGCUUGACAAGACCAGUUUUUUUUUAUGGACUUAGUCUUUCUAAAGACUAUCGAGUCCAUAACUUUUUAUUUUAUUUUUUAUUUGAGAGUUUUUCGGUAUUAUUACUUGUUUUGUUUUUUAUUUUUCGUUUUACUUUUAUUUGGUUUGAUUUAACUUAGAUUUUUUAUGAUCAAUUGCAGGGGGGAUUUCAAAUAGAGGAAAAACCAAGAUAAUUCGCACACCCUGCGAAAAUUUCGCAAGGCAUGCGAAAUUUAUGGCUCAUUUCGCAUGGGAUGCGAAAUUUCGCACACCCUACGAACCAAUUUCGCACACUUUGUGAAAAUAAACCAACCCUACGAAAUCAUUUCAAAUACUCUACGAAAUUUUCGCAGAGCAUGUAAAAAAUUUCGCAGACCAAACACCAUUUCGCAUACUAUGCGAAAAUGUAAGGGGUCUACAAAACCAUUUCGCACCUCCAAAGCCAUUUCGCACAUUGUGCAAAAAUGAAAAGUCGCCCUAUCAUCCAUUUUUAAACCCCUUGAGCCCUGAAAUCCCCAUUUCGCAAGCACCCCUGUCCUUGCGAAUCCCUCAUUUUCCUCUGCCACCUUGCGACCUUGUCCCUCUCCAUUUGAUAUCGUGCCCUGCGCACAUCUCAUUUCAAAGACUCGCACUCUGCGCCCUCUCAAAGCACGAACCCAAGGCUCACAUUCCAUUUCCGACAUGGCACAGACCCGAGGAGCCCUUCCCGCCCCUUCAUCGAGACGCACACCAAGGUAGAGAGCCUCUUUUGCUCAGAUGCCAAGUGAUUCUCCAUUUCAGGCCACGGAGGCCCUGCGGAUUCCACAUUCCAAGGGUAGAACAGCCACUGGUCCUUCCUCUUCUAUUCCUCAGCGUAGAUAUGAGACGAGGAGACCACCUACUACACAAAGGGCGACUACUUCGCGCCAUGAGAAUUCGGUACGACACCCUCCUGCCAAGAGGGCCAGGACUUCAGGCCCAGGCGAGUCAUCCAAAGCUUCACAGCCUGAGCCUCCUGCAGAUUCCGAGGUUCCUACUGACAUAUCAUCGGAGUCUAUUAUCAAACGCCCGAUGCUCACAGCACCGCCCAUUGAGGGCAACUCUGAUUGUAGAGCGAGACCUUUCCACUUGGAGCUAUAUUUUAAUUAAGAGGCCAUGCCACAGCAGCCUGAGCUCCAAGACUCUUAUGGCUUACUACAGAGGUACCAUCUUGAGGACCUUAUGACUCCUCGUGAGUUCUUUUAUCCCAGAGUAGCACUAGACUUUUACCAGUCCAUGACUACUCGUGGCGUCCCGAGUCCUACCGCGAUGCACUUCACCAUUAAUGGACGUCAUGGUAUCCUCGAGGCCAGACAUAUUGGAGAGGCUCUACAGAUUCCUUUCGAGCUAGAGGACCCAUCUGUUUUCUGCCAAUGGUCCCCAAUAUCUCAGAGGGACAUGGUCCAUAUUUUAUCCAGGGGGACAUCUACAUAUUCGAUCCUUCUACGGAAGGAGCUUCGACCUGGGAUACUCCUCGUAGAUGUGGUGCUACUUUCCAACCUCUUUCCCUUUUAGCAUUCGAUACAUAGGCGAGGAGCUAUUUUGGACGCUUUAUUCUGUAUAUCAGAGGGCUUCUACUUUGGCCCGCACCACUUGAUCAUGGUUUCCCUCAUCCAUUUUGAGGAGAAGGUCCAUAGAAAGAAGCUUCAGAGGGCGAACACCAUUCCAUUACUAUUCCCGAGGUUGCUCUACUAGAUCUUGGAGUACAUGGGCUUUCCUACUGAGCCUCGGCUUGUGUGCCGCCGCCUUUGUCAAGAGCGAUCCACUCUCGACAAAUGGAAUCAGUUGGCGGGCUAUUCUACACCUCCAGGAGCCCCUCCCAUGGUAGCACCUCUAGUGUCCCCACAGGCAGAGUAGGGCAAGCUCCCGGUAGAGACUGCACCCCUAGUGCCCACACCUGAGGCUACUUCUGCUGUUCCGCCUACGACUCCUACUGUUCCACCAGUUGGUCCUUUUACAUCUGAGUCUUCCAUCAACAUCUCGACUUCGGAGUUUCGCGCCCUUGUGCAUACCUUUCAGACACUCACCACCACACAUACUGCUCUCUUCUAGAAAAUGGCUGAGAUGCGUGCCCAUCAGGACCAGCAGACUACUAUACUCCGCCAAAUUCAACAGCACCUGGGACUUCUGCCUCUGCCUCAGCUUGACCUUCCCACAUCAUCAGAGCCUCUAGCUCCAGUUGAGGAUACUAUUCCACCUGAGGACACUACCACAGUAGAGGUUCAGAUUCCACCACCUCAGGAGGCCACCACAGCUACAUUAGAGGAUGCAUCAUCUCCACCUGAGGCUCCCACUACUUGAUCAUAGGACAUCUCUUUAUCUUAUUGUAUUUACAUAUUAUAUUACUGGAGAUUUGUCUUUGUUUUGAUACUUUAUAUUCUGGCAUUGAAUGUAUUGCCUAAUGAUAUCUCAAUUGUACUUUCUCAUAUUAAUAUAUAGACAUCAAUUUUUUUUAGUAUACUUAGGAUUUUUCUAUUUACUCUACUCAUUACUCUUUUGUUUUUUUUUUUUUACUCAUGUGGUUUCUCCUAUACGACUCAGACUCCAUUUCACUCAGGAGGUACCACUUCUUCCCUUUAUUUUCAAUUGCUCUUGAAACAUUGAGGGCAAUGUUGAUCUUGGUUGGAGGGAGAGUUGAGGAAGGAAGUGAUUACUACUCAAAAAGUGCUAUUUCAUAGCUUGUAAUUAACUCUUUUAAAACACUUUUGAGUAGUAGUUAUCACCUUUUAACCCAAUUAACAUAUUAAGGACCCUUGCAAUCAAUUCUAAUCAAAUUGUGUUAAGUUUUGGUAUUUUGAUAGCUUUUUUAUCACCAAAGCAAUCCGAGAUUGAGGAUAUUUAUUUGGAAUCCAUGGCAAAAGAUGUUUGGACAGGACGUCCGGACACACCAUCGGAGGGCGGCGGAACGUGGGCUGUGGCAGGCUGUCGGAAUGACGUAGCAAGGCUUGUGCACUUUAGCCAAUGAUCGGGAUAACAUAUCCGAAAUUCUGCUCCGCCGACAUUCCACCCGGAUGUCUCACAUCCGGAAUUCUGCUCCGCCGACAUUACACCCAGAUGUCUCACAUCCAAAAUUCUUCUCCGUCGACAUUCCAUCCGAAUAUUUCACAUCCGACGCUUGACGCCGGAUGGGAGAGGAGGGCGUUUCAACUUCCCCGGUCAGACAUAUCCGAAUCCUUUGAUAACGCUUACCCGGAGAGUUUCGCAGCCAUUUUGCACAGUGCCGCGGUGUUCUCUUGAAGCUUCCCGAUAUGUGCGACCGACAUUUUGAGAUAUUUUGCUUUAGAUAUUUGAUGUCUAAAUCCCCAAACUCUCCUUGUAACCCACCAAUUAUAGGAUUCCUUAGUUAUUAAGUUUGGAAAAAUGGUGAAUAACCCCUUAUAUAUAGUUUGCAAUUUUCAUAAAAAAGAUAUGUAGAAUCUCGGGAGCUUGUUCCCAGAGAGACGCAUCCUUUGUACAGUUUUGGAAGGAAGUAAAAUACAGAGCACUUGCUCUGCUUUUCAUAUAUAUUUUUGUUUUCUCGUUCUUUUUAUUUCUAGCCAAUCAAAGUCUGAGGAUUUUUCCUCAGAGGAUGAGAGGCUAGGCUCUUCGUCUCUUGGAGUGAAGAAAACUAGGUAAGUUUCCACAUGCAUAAAUUGAAAGUUUUGUUGUUUUAGUUUUUAAUGAAGAGAAAGUGUGACCCGUUAAUGGUUUUUAUCUUUUUAGUUAACUUAAAACGCCUUUAAAUCACCCGGGCCAACACUUGAUAAGGCAAGUGGUCUCCAUCCAUUGAGAUGCACUAGUUUAUCUCUUGCGAGCCUUUGGGAGGUGGUUUGAAGGUAGGAUUUUCUAGAAUAACCAACACUUGAUAAGCUUUUGGACUCUAAGGAGACAUCCAUUAGUUAUCUCUUGCGAGCUUUUGACGGGUAAUCCAAGGUUAAAGAUCACCUUGAAUGGCAAGUACUAGGUGAGAGGUAUGAGCCAUUGCAAGAUGCAUUAGUGAGAGGGAUUUAGUGUUUGAACCCAUUAAAGGGAAGCAUCUGUACCACACCGGUUCGGGAAAUAACUAUAUGUUAAAUCCCCAAUGAGAGGAAAAGAAACAAGUGACCGGAACUCCCUUUUUGUAUAAGGAACCUGAGCCUAGUGAUCUAAACUCCAAGAAACACUUUUCUUUGUAAGUAAAAUCAGUUACUAUUUUUGGUUAGUUUAAAACCAAACCUUUUUCAUUCAAACAUCUUUAUGUUUUCUUUUAAAGCUAACCUUGAAAUGAAAAGGCACCAAUUCAUAUUUGAAUUAAUAUCAAUUGUGAAGUGAAAACCCAUCCCAGUGAACGAUCCUAGAGCCACUAUGCUAUAGUAGCUUUGUCUUUGCUACCCUAGUUCAUGGUUUAAUAGGUUAUAAAUUUUGUUGAUUACUCCCACAAUCAAAGGAGCACCAGUUGGACAUGAAUCAACUGAGACACUAAUUGGGCACAAAUCAGGAAGUUUUGUUAAUAAUGCUAGGUUAAUUUGUUAAUUUAGUUACUUUCUGCUUAAUUUUAAAAGUUUUCACUUUACUUUCCAUAGUUAUUAAGGAAAAAUUCUCAAAAUGAAAUGGGAGAAAUUGAAUUCUUACAUUUUUACUUGAAUUUUAGAAUUUGUAUUAUGCUUAUUGAAGCUGAUGAAUUAUUGAAACUCCUAUUGAAUUCAACCUUAUUUCUUCCACUUUAAUCUUACCACACACGGUGCACAUUAGGUUCCGAUUAUAAGAGGUGCGUUCUUAGCCUAUUGGAGGUUGGUCAAUUUGUUAAAGUUUGAGAAAGAUCUAGGUUAGGGGAGAGAGAAUAGUCUGACAUACUAUAAUCGAAAACUAAUAAACUUAACACUUAGAUCUUUGUGGAAGAGUAAGGAUUGGACCUUUGGGAGUGGAAAUUCGUUUGAUGCUUAAAUUUGCAUAAUGCUUACACUUUAUAAAUUGUGAUUAGGCAAGAGAUUUGAUGACUCUUGUUCAAGGUUGGGUUUUGCCUCUUUGAUGUUCCAUGAGAGAGUAUAAUCCUCAUCAUGCCACUUGAAAUUUUUUUUGGAGUGAUUAACAUGAUUUUGUAAAUUACUUUACUGUCUAUUUUUUUUUUAUCUCUCCUUCAUUGCUAAUGGACUAGCAAUAUGUCAGUUGAGGGGAGUGAUUACUACUCAAAAAGUACUCUUUUAUAGCUUGAAACUAACUGUUUUGAACACUUUUGAGUAGUAGUUAAUACCUUUUAACUCAAUUGGCACAUUAAAGAACCUAGCAAGGGUUACUAAUUAGUUUUUGGCAAGUUUUGGUGUUUUUGGUAGCUAUUUGAUCAUUGAAACAAGCCAAGAAUGAGGGAGAAUUUUGUGAAGUCCAUGGCAAUGCAAGUUAAAGCUCAAAUACAUGAAGAAUCCAAGCUUUGGAGCACUUCAUAGCCCUUUCCAAAGCCAAUCAGAGAUGCAAGGAAGAAAACCAGAGGAAGAAAUCCAACAAUUAGCAUUUUCGCAUGGCUGUGCGAAAUUUCGCACACCAUGCGAAACCACAAGAGGCAGCCAAAGAAUUUUGCACACUAUGCGAAAUUUCGCAUGGUAUGCAAAAUCUUCUUGUGCACCAACUCCGUUAUAUUUUUAUCUCAAAUAUUUUGUGUAAUUUCCUAGUUUCUCCUUGUAACCAACCUAGAUAUUUUCUUUUAUAUAUUUUUUAGGUAACAUCAUCUAUAGGGGGAGAGACAUAAGGAGGAUAUGGAUGUUUUUCAUAGAACACUUGUAAAUUUCCGGUAGUAAGAAAUAUACAGAGCUUUUUGCUCUACCUUACCUUCUCAUUUUGUUUUCACUUGUCUUUCUAGCCAAACAACCUCUGAGGAUGAUUUCUUAGGGAAUGAGUGGCUAGGUUUUACGUUUCUUGGAGUGAGGGAAGCUAGGUGAAAGACCCGAAUGCUAAGGUGGGAGUUGUCCUUGCUUUAAAUGAAAGUAGUUGUUAAACAUUAAUGGUUUUUAUUUUAAGGUUUAGCUUUAAAUCCCUUAAAAACAUCUUGAAUGGUCAAUACUUGGUAGGCUUUUUGGAUUCUAUGGAUGCUUAUUGCUAGAUCCCUGGAUGUCUAUUAGUUAUCAUUUAUGAGCCAUUGGAAGGUGGUUCAAGAUGAGGGUCUUUAAUGUUUGAAGCCAUUAAUAGGAAACAAUUACCAUUCUUUCAUGAAUCCUUUGGAUCAAAUCUUAAUUGCUAAAUAUAAAACUAGUUCGGGAGAUAACCAUCCUUUAUGUUAUUAUGCCCAACGCGAGGAGAAGAUUCGGAAUCUUCCCCUUUGUCUAAGGAACCCGAUCCUAGUGACCUAAAGCUCUAAGAGACCUUUUCUUUAUAGUUAACUUCACUUAUUGUUUUUUCUUAACUUAAAAUCAAUCUUUGCAACCACAAUUCCAUUUUCUUUGAAAGCUAAUUUUCAUAAGGAAAAUCACCAUUUUAUUUUCUUCCCUAAGUCAACUGUACGAUGAAAACCCAUUCCCAUGGACGAUCCUAGAGCCACUAUACUAUGUUAGCUAUGCUACCCUAAUGUGAGGUGAUUUAGGUUUUAUAAAUUUUGUUGAUAACACCUGUUUGAGCCAGAAUCAAAUGGCGCAACUGAACCAGGGACGAAUCAACAACUUAUAUGGGAGGGACACAAGUUUAAUUGAUUUGCAUUUCAACGUUAUAUAUAGGUAUGUUUUGGAAGAUUUGUUCUGGAAAUACUGCACCAAGUACGAUUCUUUUUGUCUUGAGUGGGUCUACUUGCAUGCCAAUUAACGAGUGGAAAAGUAGGAGCACCUACCUCAUGCUCGCGGAACCGAAGGUCAGUGAAGUGGGGCUCCUUUUGGCCUCUUGUGUUUCUAUUCCAACCAAGGCGGCGUAAGGAAAAACAACAAUAUGUUUGUGCUAAAUAUCAACGCAUGAUAGAUGUUUUUGUUUUUUGGUAUGUCAAGGCUAAUGAAUGAAAUGCUUUAGCUUGUUUUGUGACUGGAACUGCAAAUGUCCAAAUUGGAGUAUCUCCAUUUCUCACUUCGGAUGGUUAACUUAUAAACAAGAUAUAGGAAACAUGUGAACAUCUUGAGGAACAAUUUGAAUUAUUCAUUAGAAGUCCUGGGUUGAGUUCCAAGAUUUAAAUUAGACCCCUCUAGCAGCUUCAGGGGUACCUAGCAACCUAUAGCAUAUUAAUGAAGAUUUAGGAUUUAGACUCUAGAAUACAAAUUAAUAUGUAUCUCAUGCUUUGACUAGCUUCCCUACAUAUGCACAAAAUGGAGAUGACCUAAAAAAAUAGCAGAAUCUAGCUUCCCUACAUAUGCACAAAAUGGAGAUGACCCAAAAAAUAGCAGAAUUUCCUUAGUUUCUGUGGUUAAGGUGAUUCUCCGCUUAAUAUCACAUUGACUCAUUAUGCAAAAUCAACUGAGCUAAUUUUGUUUAUUUAUUUAAUGUCAAAUAGGAACUCCUAAUUAACCUAACCCUUGGCCUGUGUAAAUUGAUUUCACAUGCCCAAUGUUGAAGUAGAAGUCCAUAUUUUGAAUUUUAUUUUUGUAAAGGUAAGGAAAAUGAAGCAUUGUGUAAUUAUAAAAAUAACUUCAUUGGAAUUCACAAGGUUCACCCAAAAUGGAGCUACAUCCGUAUUCUAUCCUGCAGUAGACUAUAUAGAUUGUACAAUAGUAAAUUGCAAAUACAAUUAAUAAGUCUUGUGCUUCCUUACUAAUAAUCCUUUGACAUGAACAUUGCAGCACUAAGGUCCUCUUGGGAAGACACCUUGCACCCAUGAGAGCACGAAGAGGAAGCAAGGCAGAGUCAUGGGUGCAAUGUCAUGACUUGUUGUUGCACCAAGAGAGGCUUGGUGAUGGCAUGGUGUUGCAGUAGCAAGAAUGUUGCCUUGGUAGGGACAUAAUCUAGGGAUAGAUGCCAAGAAAGGCUUAGCACUCACAUGAGUUGCACAAAGAUGAAUGUAAUAGAGCAUCAGAGAGACGUCUUGGCAAGUAAAUGAAUGGAUCCAAGAGGCAACAACAUGAGGAGUUUCAAAUGGAUAAGGAAUGAGUCAAAGACAUUUGAAAGCUACAAGUUGGAUUCUAAUUACGAUUGCAAUUUGAGUUUGAGUAGGAGUUUAGAUUCUGAUUGUAAUUGUAGUAUGAGUUGGACUAGGAUUGCUUAUCCCUAGUCAAAAUAGGAGUGGUUCGUGUCACACCCUAUGAAAAGAGUUUGAGUAGGGACUAGGAUUGCUUACUCCUAGUCAAAUAUGGAGUAGGUGGUGCCACACCUAUAAAAAAAAAGGGACAACAUGAGAGAGAGAGAGAGAGAGAGAGAGAGAGAGAGAGAGAGAGAGAGAGAGAGAAAGAGAUAAUGAAUUCACUAAAGAUAUUGUGGGAGUUUUUCUUUGUUACGUCUUGUAUUAUUACUUAGAAUAGGAAUAAAAUACAAGUUUGGGCUAGAGCCCCAUAAUUAAUCUCGUGUGCCUUUGUGGUUAUUCUUUAUUUGUCAUCUCGUGUGGAUUGGAUUACAUUGACUUAGAGGGCUUCUAAGCACCACCUUUGUGGGUUAUUAUUUAUUUUCCAUUUCUUGUGGAUUAGAUUAGGUUGACUUUGAGGGCUUUUAAGCACCACCUUUGUGGGUUAUUCUUUAUUUUCCAUAUCGUGGGGAUUGGAUUAGGUUGACGAUGAGAAAAAUUAUGUGGGAAAUUUGUGUUGGGACACUUAUCAUAACCAGGUAAAAUCUGCCAAGUCCUUUGUAAUAUCUUCAACAAAUAUUUCAGACUAGUUCUUCACCAUAAACAUCAUAUUGUGUUUUGUUUUUCUCCUGGAUUCUGAGUUGAAUUGUUUCAAGUCAAUUGAAUGCAUCUGAAUAUUAUUAGCUUGUUUGAAGGCCUGGUGAUUUUCCAUUUAACUUUACUUUCUUUAGGUUAUGCUCACUAUAAGAAAAAUGAGAAAUAAUGACGCUUUUUACGCGUUAAGAAAGGCAACAGAUGAUGCUUCUCUAAAGCGUCCUCUUCGGCUCUGUCAUUAUAUGUGUUAGCCAAUAAUGACGCUUCUAGGAAGUGCCAUCUUUGAAUAAUGUUAAUAACGACACUCGUAAAAAGUGUCAUCUUUAAACAUAUUCUGGUCAAAUAAUUUUUACAAAAUUAGUAAUCUUCAAGCCGUUUCUGAAUCAUAUCUGAGCCUAUUUCUGGGGACCAGAAAACCAUCUUUUUUCCAUUCGCCUGAGAGGUCUGAUUAGCAUUUCUGGAAUCAAUCUCUAAACCCAAGCUUCCCUCAUCUACCCAUUUAACCCUCAUGCCCUCCUGUUUGAACAACUUUCCCACUAUAUACACAAAUUUUUUACCUUCUGUUGUUGGUAUUCGACCUCUUCCCAUUCCCAGCACAGAAUCCACCAUUAGUGCCACUUUGUGAAUAAAAUCAUCGAACCAGAUCUUUCGGGCGGAAGAUGAGCUCCAGAGAAAUAAAAUUUUUGGGGUCUUCCCAGCAUGAAAGUCAUAGGUAGCAUUAAUGACAUCAAGAAAUGGGGCACUGUUGAGAAAAAACAUGUUCCCAUCAACCACCCAAGAAUUGUACCAGACUCCAAACACUUCUGGAUUACAUAUGCCUUUACUAAGAUAUAUUUCUUGAUCUCCAUAUCAGAAUCUUGGAGACUCUUCAUUUUAUGAGCUCUGACACUACUGUGAAAUUGGUCCACAUCAAUCACAGGAUGACCCCUUCUAGCAAGAUCAAGCAGGAAGUCUGAAUUCGGGCCCAUAAAAAUGUAGUUCUGAAUAUUGAAACUCUCAAAGUGGCACAACAAAUUCCUUAUGACUCUUUCAGAUGCUCCAAACAGGCUCACAAGUAUAAUGGUAUCCUGUUUUUGCACAGAGUAAAGAAAAUAUCCGAGUUCUUCAAAACUCCUUACAACUAUUCCAGGAUGUACUUCUUUGAAACAGAAAUCGUACCACUUUAGCUUAGUCAGAGGUUGAAUCUAAAAUAACAAAACCCAAACUGAAAUCAAAAUCGAAAUCAACCCUAAUAGAUUUCAGAAACAACAAAUUAAAAGAGUAAAGCACAAAAGGGGGAAAACACAUAUGAAGCAAUCUCCAUACAAGCCCUAACCUUAGAUAAACCCAAAAAAAAAAAUCAAAGCAGAGAGUUACCAUAGAGCAUCUCUGUUUCAAGCUUAGAAAAUGUUUAAUGCCAUUGAUAACUAGUUGGCUAGUGGUGGACUUCAAGCUUCUCUAUUUCGGUGUUAGUAGCUCUCAAUGGCUAUGGUGAGAACAAAGAAAUGAGAGGCUUAGGGUUUGGGAUGUGAGGUUAUUGAUGAUGAUGAGGAUAAAGUUAUGGGCUCUUGGAGGGGUUAGGGAAAUUGAAGAUGGCUGAGAGUAAAGGCUAGGGUUUUUGAGAUAGUUAAUAGCUUUUUAGGGUGUGACUGUCCAUAGAUAGAAGAUAAAUGAGGGUGUGAGAAUUUAUAGAUCUCUAGGUGAUAUGGCGGGUGUGAGAAUGAAAUUUUAGAGGGAAUUGUGUGUUUGGUAGAAAUUUCACACAUGCAUAUAUAAUGUUUCAGAACAUGGCACUUUAAAAAUACGACAAGGAAGAAAUUAUUUAUUGACGCUUAAAUAAAGCGCCAAGGUCUCCAACAUUUUUGCAAUCAAUGACGUUUGUAAAAGGUGCCAUUGAAUAGGAGUGCCAUUGCUUUCCCACAAAGCAUCAUUGUUAAUCAAGCCUUUAAAAAACGCCAAGAUAUGUUGCCACUUAGGUUAAAUAUUGACGCUUUUAAAAAACGCCAAGGAAAAAAACGUCAUUAUUCAUGUUUUUUGUAGUAGUGGCUUGAUUCCUAAAAAGUAAAGGAAAGCAAAAAGUAAAAAAAUAAAAAUGUGGAGAGUUAGGACAUGCGUUAUCUAAUUGUCCUAGUCCCAAAUAUAUUAAGAAAGUCAUGUAGGUUACUUGGAGUAACGAGUCAAGUAAAGCAAGCCUUCUAGUGUUUAAGACAUUAGAUAUUACCGAACUGAUUAUGUCAUUAAUGUAUUGCAUUUGUUGUUUCUAAUAUAUAGAAGAAGAUGAAAUUAUUGGAAUAAGUGGGAAAUAGGAAUAAAUCCAAGGUACCAAAAAGUCACUUUAUCUUAGAUGUUGUUGGAAACAUAAGUGAUUUCACAAUAACGACUAUGAGACAAUCAAGGAUUAAUAAGAUAGACUUUAUAUGAUAUACCUCCCAAUUAGAGCCUAAAAAUAUGGAUGAAGCACUUAGAGAUGAAUCUUCAAUUUUUGUACUAUAGGAAGAAUUAAAUCAAUUUGUUAGCUAUUCUUUGGAUAUUUGAUUCAUCACAAGCUACAAAUCACUUUUGAUGACCAAACACGAAACUAAGAGGAUUGGGCCCAAUUCGAUGCCUAUCAACAAUGAUUUGUAUUCCACCUCAUUAAUUAUUCAAAGUUGGGAAGCUAGGUCUAACCACUUUCUCUACCUGUUCACCCUUAGAGGAGCAGAAGAAAAUUCUAACUUUGGUGCCUAAUGCCUUUGACAAUCUUUCGACAAAGAGAGUUCACUAAUUACUUUGAUUAUUUCUCUGUUGGUCACUGGGGGACAAGACUUUUGUAAUGAAGUCAACUAGAACUUGCCCUUUGAGGGCCAUUCAUGGACGAUAUUACACCAUGAAUUCCCUUAGGUCAUGUUUGGUAUGUGAGAAUGAGGAGUGGAAUGGACAUCUUAUUCAUUUUUUCAUCUAUUCAAAUGUUGGGAUAACUCAAGUGACCAUGAGAAUGAAAUCAAGAAUGAUUCAAGGGAAAUGAAAUCUUACUUAUAAGUGUGAUUUCAAUUAAUCUCUAAUAGAAAUUAUUUUGAAUCAAUAGUGCAAGUUAUUUUUAAAAACAUUUUUCCAAAAUUAAAAAAAUCAAUUUUUUUUUUUUCGAUAAGUUGUUUUUAAAAGGAUUUUUUUUAUUUUGUAAAAAGAAAAUUGUAAUUCAAUUUAUAUAAUAUAAACUAAAUUUUAUUUUAUUCAAAAAGAAAUAAUUUUUUAAUUAUAAAUAAAUUAAAAAUAAAUACUUUUAAUAAAAUAUAAAUAGUAUUAUUAUAAUAAAAUCAUAAAUAAAUUUAAUUUUUUUUAUAAAUAUUAUAAAAAUAUGGAUAUUAACAUUGGAUAAUUGAUUUAUUUUGUUAAAAUAAAAAAUAAUAAUUUUUAAUAUUAUUUUAUGUUAAAUGAAUUUUAAAAUAAAGAAAGUUUAAUUAUUUUAAGGUAUAGAAGAGCCAAAUUUUGCAUUACAUACAUAACAAACAAUAUUUAUUAGAAACAUUUCUCAAGGAGAAUCUUAUUCCAUCUCACAAAGAUACUCGUUUAUUCGAUGUUUGACCAUCCGUAACAAUCAUGUCAAUUCUACUGAUUUAAUAAUUCCUUUACAUUUAUUACUCACUUAUGAACAUGGUAUUGUGAUUUAUUUAUUUAUUUGAUGUAUAAUUAAUUAAUCAAUUUUUUAAAUUUCAAAUUAUUUUUAAAAACUAUUCAUUAAGGAAUUUAAAGCAUUAAUUAUGUCUAUUAUUUUUUAUAGUCAUUAUAUAUAUAUUGAGUUUUAAUUUAUUUUUAAAAAUUAUUAAACUUAUUAAUAAAUUCAAUAUAAAGUCUCGUUUCAUUUGAAAUUCAUUUCUUUAGUGAAAAUUUUGAAAAAAAAAUUGUUAUUUAUUUUACUUUGUUUUAAAAAAAUUGUUUCUAGAGAACAAUAAUCAAAUAAUGGUAUGAAUUUUUAAAAACAAUUUUGUUUUUAAAUCAUAUGCCCAAAUAAUUUUUUUUUAUUUAGCAAAAAACUUUGUUGUAGUAUGUGGCUCAUAUUGAGGGAAAGACAUAUAUGGAGAAAAAUGUGCAAAUGUUGGAGUGGAGCGGAGUGGAAUGACGACAUUUGUCAUUCAAACUUGUAUUUUUAUUGUUAAGGGUGACCGAUAGGUUGGUACGGUUUAGGGGUAUUUUUGGAAUUUCAUUACCUGAGGGUUAGUAUAAAUACCAUUUUAUGUAACCCUAAUUUUACAUAUAAUGUAAGUUUUCUUCCUUGUUCUUGUGGACAUAGGCAAUCCGUCGAACCACGUUAAAUCUGUGUGUUUUUUUUUCUUUUUUCUUUUUCUCUAAUUUCUUCACCAGGAAUCGUUACACUAAGAUCAACAAACUCUCAAAGAUGAUUUUUAAAAUGAAAAAAAUAAUGUAUAGUGUGAGAAUUUUUUAUUUUUUAUUUUUUUAAAAUGAAAAUAAAAAAUUGCUUUAAGGUAAAAGUGUGGAUAUUAUUGUUAAUUUAUUUCAUUUUUCAUUUUCAUUUCCAUUGUUACCUACAAUUGAAAUGGAAACAACUAAUCAUUACAACCUUACAUUCUUAUAUGCAUCCAAAUACAAAAAUUGAAAUCACCAAAUUCAUAUUCAAGGCAAAAUAGGAAUGAAAACAAAUAUUCAUUCUCAUUCUUUAUUCCCACGUGUCAAACAUGACCUCAAAGUUAUAAACAUGAACAAGAAGUCCUUGAAACACCAAUGAUCUCUUCUGGUAUAUAUAUGAGCUUGAUUGACAACUGUUUUAAAUACAGUUUUUUUUUUUUUUGUUUUCAAAAUCAAAACAAAUUUAUUUUUAUUUUUUAUAAAUAGUAGUUUUUUAAUAUUUUUUUUAAACCUUAUUAUGAAAAUAGGAUGUUUUCUAAUAUCAUAUUUUAAUUAUUUUCAAUUAUUUUCCCUUCUUUUAAGGAGGGCUAUUUUAAAAAUAUGAAAAAUGAUACAAAAUAAAGCAUUACAAAUAAAAAUCAUUUUUAAGAAAUAUAUGAAAAUAAUUUGAGAACAUUUGAAGUUCCUUAAUUAAACUUUUGUUCUAGAAAAUGCAAGAAAACUGUUUUUGAAAAUUGUUUUCAUAAUGAUAUGCAUUGAUCGUUUAAAAUUUAAUUACAUGAUAAAAAGACCUAUGUAAAAACCAGAGUUAUAUAAUCAGUCAUAGAUCAAAUCUACUAAAUAUGAAAAGUAAGUACAUAGUUGUAUAUGACUUAGAUGGAGCCUUCUCCGAAUGACAUUCUUUAGUCGGUACUCAUAUUUUUUUGUUUCGUGUCUUCAACAUAACACCUCAUGAUCCUUAAUAAAUCACCUGAAAACUAUAUUAGCACCUUAUUGUUUAAUAUUUCUCUAAAUUUUUUUAUUAAGCAAAUAAAUUCCAAAUUUAAAAUGACAAAUAAAAUUUAUUAAUUUUUAAAAAUAAUUUAAAACUCAAAAACCAAUUUAAUUGAUAUUAAAAGUCAUGAAACUUAAUAAUAUUAGAAAGUCAUGUAUCCAAAUUUAUUUUAAAUGACUUGUUUAAUUUCUUGUUUAUAUAUAUUAUAUUUUUAUAAUUUUUUUUACUAUACAAAUAAAUUUUAAAUUAAACAAAACUUAAUGCGUUGAAUUCAUUAACGAGUCUAAUAAUUUUUAAAAGUUACUUAAAAUUUAAAUACUAAAUCAAUUAGUACCACAAAUUCAUGGAAAAAAAUUGAUUUAUUACUACUAUAUUGUUUCUCUAUUGCAUAGAACCAUUAUUUUUCAAUUUUUUCAUUUGGCAAAUGAACAUCAAAUUAAACAAGACUAAGUGUAUUAAAUUCAUUAAUGGGUCUAGUAAUUUUUUAAAAUAAUUUAAAAUUCAAAUAUUGAUACUCCAAAUUAAACAAGACUUAGGUGGUGUUUGUUUUUUGGUUGAAUAGAAAAAGGUAAAAUAUUUGACUUUUUCUAUUUAGUUAAAAGUAACUUGUUGACAUCGUCCAAUAUAAUUAAAGUAAACCUAUUGAGGGCAAGUUCACUUUAAUUAUGUUGGACGAUGUCAACAGGUUACUUUUAACUCAAUAGAAAAAAUCAAAUAUUUUGACUUUUUUUUUAACUCAAAUAAUAAAUCCAUUAAUACAAAAAAAUUAUGGAUAAUUUGAAACUUUCUUUCUUUUUUUUUUUUUUUUUGCUACACAUAGCUAUAUUUUUAUAAAUUUUAUCAUUAGAGAAAUGGAUUUCAAAUCAAGUGAAACUUUGUAUUGAAUUAAUGGAUUUAACAUUUUUUAAAAAUAAUUUGGAACUAAAAAAAAAAGAUUUAAUUACUAAGAAAAUCAUAGAUCAAAACUAAUAUAUUCUGAUCCAUGAUUUUAUUAUUUUUCCUAUACAUACAAUUAUAUUUUUAUAAUUUUCUCACUAGGUAAAGAUAUUAUAAAUUAAGUGACACAUAAUUAAUAAUUUAAAUUUUUGAAUGAAUCUUUUAAUUUUAGGAAUAAUUUGAAAUUUAAAAAGUUGAUCCAAUUAAUUGUAAAUUAACUUAAAAUAUUAUAAAAUAUUAUGUUCAUAAUUAAGUACUAAAUGUAUAUAUGUAAUGAAAACUUAACUAGUUACAUGUUACAAAAGCCAAAAUUUAUUCAUUCUUUAUUUUAAAUAAAAUAUUAUUAAUAAUUAUUUUUUUUAAAAUAAUAUUUAGUAAUUAUUGUUUUUAAAUUAUUAUUAUUAAUUUUUAAUAAAAAAAUUGCAAAGUUAUUAAUAUCAUUAUAUUUCUAACAUAAAUUUAAAUAGUAUAUUUUUUAAUAUAUAUAUAUAUAUAUAUAUAUAUAUAUAUAUAUAUAUAUAUAUAUAUAUAUAAUUUAUGAUUUCAUUAUAAUAUUUUUAUUCAUGAUUGACGAAAAAUUAUUUAUUGUUUAAUUUAUUUGAAUUGCAAAACUAUUUUUCAAAAUUCAAGCGAGAAAAUAGGCCUGGAUUUGAAUUUCCUGUAGAAGAGAAGGAUGUGGAGAAUAUGUUGGGAGUAUUUGUGGAUAAAGAAAAGGCCAGGGUACUGAGAAAGGAGAGAGAACUUGCUCUUGCCAAAAGAGCCCUGCACAGGUAUUCUACUGAUUCUAAUUAUCGGUUCUUACAUGAUCAGAUUUCAGAUUUAUUUGCUGAGCUUCUGAAAUCUGAUACAGUAUUUAAACUCCGGUGAGCUUUACAAGAUUAGUCUCGCAUCCAAUUCCAAAUGGUGUCCCACAAUUGAUUCUUCUUAUGAUAAAUCCACCUUGAUAUGUGAAAAUAUUGCUCGAAAGGUUUAUCCUCGCGAGGAAUAUCCAGAAUACUAAGGAAUUGAGGAGGCUCACUAUGUUUAUAGAGUCAGGGAUAGGUUGAGAAAACAAGUAGUUGUUCCAUUACAUAAGGCCCUGGAGUUGCCAGAGGUUUUCAUGUGUUCGAACAAGUGGGGAUCACUUCCCUACAACCCUGUGGCUUCAGUGGCCAUGAAAUCAUACAAGAGCCUCUUCUCAAACCAUGAUACAGAGCGGUUUGGUGAGUAUCUUGAGAAAGUGCAAACUGGGAAGGCUAAGAUUGCAGCUGGUGCAUUACUUCCCCAUGAGAUUAUAGCUUCAUUGAAUGAGGAGGAUGCCGAGAGAGUUGCCGAGCUUCAGUGGGCAAGAAUGCUGGAAGAUUGAUCAAAGAAAGGGAGGCUCACAAAUUGCAUUGCAGUAUGUGACGUAUCAGGAAGUAUGAGUGGAACUCCAAUUGAGGUGUGUGUGGCUCUGGGGCAGUUAGUUUCAGAGCUCAGUGAAGAUCCAUGGAAAUUAAGGUAAUGUAAUUACUUUCAGUGCAAAUCCUGAGCUUCACAAGAUCCAAGGAGACAGCCUUGUAUCCAAGACUGAAUUUGUGAGGAUGAUGGAAUGGGGUGCCAACACUGACUUUCAGAAAGUUUUGACAGAAUCUUACAAGUAGCAGUGGAGGGAAAUAUGAGUGAAGAUCAAAUGAUAAAGAGGGUUUUCGUUUUCAGUGAUAUGGAGUUCGAUGAAGCUUGUGGGAGGUAUAACUAUUGUGACUAUGACUAUGAUAUGGAGGAAAUUGACGAGAGUCAGAAGGCAUCUCAGAAGUGGGAGACAGAUUAUGAAGUGAUACAGAGGAAAUUCCAGGAGAAAGGAUACAGAAAAGUUCCAGAGAUAGUGUUUUGGAACCUUAGAAACUCAUCAGCGACUCCAGUGACGGCCACAGAGAACGGGGUGGCCUUAGUAAGCGGGUUUUCAAAGAAUCUGUUGACCUUGUUUUUGGAAGGAGGUGGAAUUCUGAUCCCUCAGGAUGUGAUGGAAUUCGCCAUCUCUGAUGAAGAUUACAAGAAACUUGUUCUAUUUGAUUAAGAUAUCAAGAGAUUUAUCAAUAAUAAUAUAUUUUUUUUCUAUGUGAAAUACAUAUAAUAUUAACUGUGGAGUUAUCAAAGUUCUGGAGGUUUAAUUAUUUCUUCUUUUCAAGUUUUGUUUAUUUAAGGUUUUCUUUGUCUUUGUUAGGAAUUCCCCUUGGGUGGACCCAGCUGGGGAGUUGGAUUGAGGAAGUAAGCAGGCGAACUUGUGUUCUUCUAUGGACAGAGAAAAAAAAUAAAAUAAAAAAAUAAAAAAGGAGGUUAUUUGCAUUUGGAUGUCGUGGUUUGAGGGUACAACUACAAGCUCGAAAUUGUACAUAAUGUGAAAACUCCUGUGUCCAUUGCUGAGAACAGCAUAAAUGAUGGUGAUUUUCAAGUUGUGCCUGGUAUUCUACAGGAUGAAACAAGAAAGGAUCCAGGUGGUAUAUUGAACAAUAUCCCAAUCAUGUUGGUGGCAUCUUUAUUUAGUUAAUGGUAUUCAUUUGGUGGAAGCUGGUUGUUUAUGAUGUUUUUAAUUUUUUUUAACAUGAAGUUCGAUCAAAUACGUAUCUUAGUAUGUUUUGUUUGAGCUAAUUGGCAAAUGCGCUUUAAACAUGGUCACAUGGAUGCAGUUUUAUUUGUGAAAUGAUAAUAGUCGAUUACUUGGUCAGUAAGGUUUAUAUCUCUAACUUCAACAUCUUAUUGUAGUCUUUUAAAAUGUCAAAAGUUUAAUGCUUGAGAAAUUUUGGAAUGGAGACAUUCUAAACAAAGUUAAUAAUCCACAAGACUUGGUAAAACCGAUCAGAUGAUGCUUACGUACAUCAAUGCCUUCUUUAAGCCAUAUCCUAUUUUCAUUGAACGGGAUGUGCCAUCUAGUUUGGUUCUUUAAGCCUCCAAAUCCUAAACCUAGUCUCAAUUUAGAGCAAAUUUAGGGUGCAGGGCCUGCAUGCCUCCCCCUCCCCCUUCCACAAAUAGUAGUGACCUUGCUAUGCCUAUGCAUUGUCAAUGCCUCAUUUUCUAUGGUCUCCAAUGUAAUAUCUUAGUUUCAAUGUCUCUUUCCUUACUAUCUCCAAUGCAAUAGAUUGAUUUCAAUACCUCUUUACAACUAAGACCUCCAAAUUUUCUUGGUUCAAACCUACCAGAAUUUUUCUUCUCCUUUGCUUUCUAUCAAUAUUAGUUCCCCUAAUUUAAUAUAUACUUCUUUAUUACCUUCAACUCUACCUCUCUUUCUUUCUCUAAAAGCUUCCUCAAAGAUUUAAUUGCUUUCUUGCAUGUUUUAAGAAAACAAACAUGCUCAUAUUACAUUACCUCUACUUGAGAUCUACCUUAUACUCUACCUUCUUUCUUUACCUCCUAUAUCAUCUACUACAUUAGCUUCAAAAAUAUUAUUUAGUUUGAUACUAAAUAAGGCUCCUAAUCCUACUCUUCCUUCAACAAACUUUCUUUUUACAAGUUCCUUAAACUUUAUUUUUUAUUUUUUAUUUUUUGGAAAUUCGGGUUAGAAAGAUUCCAUUACUCUUACCUAAUAUUUCAACCAUCAAGUUGAAUCCACUUAUUGCCUAAAUCCAAGGAGUCUGCCCUCCACAAAAACAAGGAAAUUGAUCCCACAAUAACAAGGAGAUUGCCUUCCACAGAAACAAAGAGAUCUCCCUUCACAGAAGCCGAAUACAUUGCAAUCUAUUUUCUUUCUUGUAAGAUCAAAUCUUCAAUCGAGCUCCAUCUUAUGGGGGCAUAUUAGAGAAAUUUAAUAUUAUCCUUAAUUUACAUAUUAAUAUUUAUCUAUUUAUUAUAUAUUGAAUUAAAAUAGAAUAUAGAAUUUGAAUCAUAGUAGAAGUUUACUAUAAGAUUGAAUUACAAUAGUUAAUAGAGUUUAAAUUAUAAUAACUCAAAUACAUUUAUAUAUAUUUGACCUUACGAGAUUUUCUAUUUAUGUAUUUGAACUACAAUCCUUAUGAUCCUUAGGUCUCUAUACCUUCGUGAUGGGCUCCUUGACAUUUCAUAGGUUGUGCUACACAUGCAUUUGAAAUUUAGAGUGCAUUUGACAGUGAUUCUGGGAAGUGUUUUUGGCAUUUCUAACACUUAAAAUUUUUUAUUUUUCAAGUAUUAGAAAUGCUACAAACACUUUUGAAAAUUACUGUCAAACACACUCUUAGGAGCGCAUAUAGUAGAAAACUAGAAAUUGUGGUUUUUUUAGGAUUUACUGUAAUGUCAUUAGGAGGGUAGUAAGUUGAAACUGAGUAUGAAUAAAUAUUUCUUUCUUUGGGAUGUUCUUCUGGUAGGUGCUGAUGAAACUGUUCUUUUUACUGCCAAUGUCACAUAUCAGCCAGAAAUUGAAAAUUUCAGUCAAGGUGUCCUCGGUUUUAGUGGUGAGGAAAGCUAGAAAUUUUAAGGUGAAGUUCUGUUAAAAACCUUAAGUAGCUGGGAUAUCAGGCCUGUUUUGCUUGAAAAAAAAAGUUGCAAGAUAACUCAUAUGCCAAACAGGUUCUGAUAUUGUGAAUCUAUCGGCAGACAUCAGUAAUCUCAUCUUCUGAGAUGGAUGUUGGGGGUGCAUGUGGUGGUGGAGGGGCAAGGUUUCAUUUGGUUUAUUUUGUUGAUGGAUAUUGUCUAGCCCCCUGCGCCAAGUUUGAGGGGUGGUGGGUUGUGAUGGCCCUACAAUUACUAUUAAUUUCUUCCUCUUUUACCGAUUAAAGUGUCCGAACAGUCGAAGUUACCCUUAUGCAUGUCAACUUGAUCACUUACCUCUUCAAUGGAGUUUAUGCUGGUUCAUUUAGGAACUGAUUUUUAUUGUUAUGCAUUCUAUGCUGAUGUUUAGGCCUCUCCAUCAUCACUAUAUACAAAAAUUCUAGGUUGAUACUAUAGGUUGAGAUUUAUUUUUUAAAUAAAAAAUAAUAAAAAUAAAAAUUAUGGUGAUGUUUAGUUGUUUUAUGGAAAAUUUUAACAAGUUAUUUUUGGGCAAGUUUUCAAACAAAAAGAAAAGUAAAAGUUGUUUUGACAAAAACAUAUAGAAAAAAAAAAUCAUAGAAAAGAAAUAAUUUCCCCAUAUUCUAACUUUUUUUAAUUUUUCUCAAUGGGCAAAGGAAUAUCAAAUCAAGUUUGAGUAGGAUUUCUUAAUUUUUAAAAUAACUUACAAUUAAAAAAUUUUGGUGUUUUCAUUUUUGGACAAUUUUUUAUUAAGCAAAUGGACUCUGAGUCAUGCAAGAGAUAUGGUUGAUUAAUGGGUCAAACAAUUUUUUUAAAAUAAUUUAAAACUCAAAUACAUAAUCAAUGUCACAAAAUUUAUAAACAAAAAUAGGUUUAGAGAAGAUCUACACAUAAUUUUACUUUUCUAAUUUUAUUUUAUUUUAUUUUUUUGUUGGAAAAUAGUCUUCAAAUCAUGUAAGAUUUAAUAGGUUAAAUUUGUUAACAAUAAAUUUUAAAUUAUAAAAUAUAAUCUGGAACUUAAAAAUCAAUUCAAGUAAUGCUAAAAAAAAUCAAAUUUGGUAUAGAAUGACUACGUAAAAUUUUUUACAAAACAAAUGAAUUUUAAAUCAAGUGAGAUUUAAUGCAUUAGAUUUUUAUCAAAUAUAGUAAUUUUAAAAUUUAAUUUGGAACUCAACAAUAGACACAAUAAAUACCAAAAAAUAAUGAACCAAAAUUGGUUUGGAAUAACUCCACAACCUCUUUUUUUUUUUUUUGGUGCACACGAAUUUUCUUACUAGGUAUAUUGCUUUCAAAUUGAGAAAGAUUUACUAUUUAGAUUUUUUUUUUUAAUGAGUUUAAUGGUAUUUUAAAAUAAUUCAAAAUUUCAAAAAUUGACUAAUUACUAUUAUAAAUUCAUAAACCAAGACUAAUUCAAAAUGCAUUGGGGGCUAAGGGGGUUGAAAAUAGGGACAAUGGGAUGGGUUUGGGACAUGACACUCAUAUCUCAUUUCCAUUCCAAUUACAUAGUUAUCUCCCAUCCUUAUCCCAAACUUGUGUUGGAGCAAGUUGAUUUGUUCCCAUCUUUGUUGAUGAAAUGACUAAUAACCUCAUCCCCUCCUUAUCUUAGAUGUACAUUUUGUCAAAUUUGAUCAGGUAUGAUUGAUCCAAGCCCUAACCCUAAUUGGUAAUGACUGGAUACUACACCUAAUUGCAUUCUUCUUUCGUCGCAAAAUAAUGAGAUUAUAAUAAUCUAGCAAAUAAGAAAAAAUAGUAUGGAAGUUCAAUUUAACACCAUAACUAUCAAUAAUUUUAAGCUUAUAGAUGACUUAAAUGAUUAAAAACUAAUGCAAAAUACCAAAAAAAAAAGUUCAUAUAAAGAAUUCACAAGAGAACAAAAUGAACAAAAACCAAAUAUGAACAUGGGUCAACAUUAGUUAUGGAUUUGGAUUCCUUUCAAGGCCAAUCUUUGAACCAAGACUUCAUCAAAUCUACUACUUCAAAGGCUUUUGUGUUCUUCUUGGGUUGUGCUCUCAAACAAAGACUUCAAGGUGAUGCUCUAGAUGAUUGCAUUACACAUAUUUAGGGUGGAGAGAUUGGAGAAGCUUGAAGAUGCCAACGAUGGGUACAAUUGAGUGGUCAAUAAGAACAAUGUAGCCUAUGACUAGUUUGAUGUCGUGGUACAAGAGUUUUAGGCAUUGAGGUUAAAGCAAGAGCAACAUGGAAUUGAUUUUGGAGUCUUUCAAUUAGUGUAAAGGAGGAAGAAGUGGUAUUGAUUCUAGAAAUAGGGUUUUAGGUGGUGCGUUAGAGGAUGAAGAAGAAGAAAAAGAAGGAUCUGUUGGAAUUAGUGUGAGUGUGAAGAGAGAAGUAUAUAAAUAAGGGGAAGUAAAAGCAAAGUUCUAAAAGCUAUAUUUUUUUUUAUUGUUGGUGUAUGGUUGCAUGAUUAUCCCUAUAAAUAAUAGGAGUUUUUUUGGUAUUCUACUAGUAGUUGAAGGAUAAUUUCAUAAAUUUAUAUUUAGAGUGGGGUGGGGUGAGUUGUGACAAAAUUCAUACCCGUCCUAAACCUUGGUUCAGAUUUUUAAAAUAUCCUCAAACUUAUCAUAUACCCAACUUUUAUAUUUCAUACUUGUCUUGAUAGAGGCAGGUUAGGCCGGGUUACUUGAGUAACCUACAUAAUUGUCAUCCCUAGUUGAAAUACACUUUUUUGGCAGUGGCCACCAACUGAGCUAGAAGCUUGAUCGAUUGACCUACAAGAUUAGUUCUCAUCAUUUUAAAAAAAGUUUUGGCCUUGGUUGUGAGUGCAAUUGAAUCUAAACUGGCAUUUCCUUAAUGCAUCUACUUCAAUCCUAAAUUUCUUACUUCCUAAGCCUCAAUUGUUGUUAGGAUUUUGGAAAGCCCAUUUCCUUAAAUUGUAAAUUUAAGAAAAAAUAAAAUAAAAGUGAGACAUUUCUUGAUUGAAUAUUGUUAAAGGUCCCUUGGCAUUAAGACUUGGUUGAAGCCUUGGAAGAUUAGUGGAACUCUCAACUUGUGUUUGAAUCUUGAGGAGAGUGGACGUAAGCCAAAAUUUUGUCAAACCAUUAAACAAAUUGAGUUUGAAUCCUCAUUUCUUGAUUUCUUAUUUAUUUGCUUUUUCUUAUUAUUACUUGAAUUGUCAUUUGCAUUCAUUAAUGUUAAAAUUGGUUAUAAUUAACCAACACUAAUUCUCUUUCCCCUUCCCUUUCUUGGGUGUAAACCUAGGUUGGAUUAACUAGAUUAAUUUAUAAAAUCUAUUAAGAUGGUAAAAGAAUAAUUAUUCUUAACACACAUAAGAUCAUCUUCAAUCAAAUGACUCAUUGGCUAAUAUGUUGAAUUUGCUUAUUACUUGCAACUCAAAAUUGUGUUCUAGUUGAUAUGUCAAGUCCCCAGUGUAUGGACAUUAAAUUUGUAGUACGUGAUGGUAAUUAGAUGGUCCAACUCCAAGAAAGUGAUUGAAAACUAGUUCAAGAAAGGUGCAAAAGGGAAUUGUUUUGGUAUUUUCGUUUUUAUUCUUGAAGGUGGCAGAGCUAAAAUUUGUGAAAUCAAGCAAAACAUACUGAAAUUACAUUGAAAGAAAGAAAAUGGGAGUUAAUGUCUUGCAGUAGAUGAUAAGGACUUCAUGCAUGUAGUAUGACCCAUGUCUUGGACUGAUGCCAACUCACGGUUACACUUAUACCCUUGGUUCUCUCUUUACUACCUUGGCUAACCUAGAUCAGGCUAUGAGAUAGGCUCCUCACCACACCAUUACUUGCCCAUUAAUUAGAGACAUUUUCAAGCACUGAGGUAACAUGGUGACACCAAGAGGGUUUAUUCCUCGCCCUCCUCGCCCUCAACAAGUCUAGACUUGGUCUCAAAAAAAUGGAGAAAAAUGAGGUGUCGUUAUGUAGAAAUACAACAACCAUGCCUUCCUCAUUACUUUGAUUCAGAAUGUGAAGGUGAAAUUGAGAAACAGAAACUCUUGAAACCAAAAUGAAAAUUGAUACUUUUACGAAGAAUUACAACAACAUUGGAGGAAGACUACAUUCUUCCUCUUUAUUCCUACAUUUCUACACUACUUCUACUCCACUCCAUAUUUCUACAUACAUCUUUAAUCAGUCUUCCCUCCUUUAUAUAGAGCCAUCUUCACACAAAUUCCGCAAGGUAGAAAAGAGGAAUGAAACUUGGAGCAAGGUUCGACUACUGGCUGUAGCUUGUCAAGGCUGGAAGUGAACCUUUUUUCUUGGCUUUUCUGGGCAUGGGUAGUAACUUGUGGGUUCCUUUUUGGGAUACAAAUGGCUAGAACAUGUGGCACUAUCUUGUUGGAUGAUGUGUCAAGCAUGUGGCAGCCAUCUAGUGGCGAUUAUGUCAAUUUUGGGAUGGAGAGUUGGCAUCCAAUUGCAAAGAAAUAUGACGUCUACCAACAGGCAAUGUAAACCUAUGUAGAUCAUAUGAAGAUAGAGAGGAAAAAUAUAGAAAUGGAUAUAUACCUAGAACUAGCUUUUUAUUAAAUGAAACGGAGAGCCAACAAUGAAGGAAAAUAAAUUUUUUUGGCUUAUAUCAAAGAGUUCACAUUGUGCUACCCUAGGUUUUCUUAAAACUUACUUUUAUGAUAACAAAAAAAAAAAAAAACAUUAUUGUUUAAUCCUUUGUUUUAAACGCAUGUUUAGCAAGUUAUAAAAUGUAAAAAUCUUUCUAAGUUCAAAUAUGAAGAUAUGACAUCAUUUCAAGCAAGAUAGUCUCUAGGAAUUAAUGUAAAGCUAAAUUAAGGUGAAAUUAAAUUAGUUCAAUGCAUUAAUUUAAGAAACUUGACCUAUCAAAAGUACAAAAUUAGAUGAAAUCCAUUUCAAUGGUUAAAAUGAUCAAAAUCAAACUUUUUCUAAGUAUUUUUUAAAAGUAUCAAUAUUGAAAGACAAUUUUAUAUUUAGUCAGAGUUUGGACAAAACCAAAAAGCACACAAAAUCCAAGCGACCAUCUCUAGCUUGGAUGGUCGCUUGAUCUCUAGCUUGUGUACUUGGAAAGCAACAUCGAGAUGAUAUAUAUAUAUAUAUAUAUUUUAUAUAAUAUUGUUUGUCCAAAUUCCCUAAAAAUUAGGCCACCACAUGUUCAUAAUUCUCCCUUCUUGAAUUUGAAAACUCGGACAAUUGGACAAUGCGACACCUAAGUCCGGUUUCUAAAUGCUAAAGUGAAAGGGUAGGUAUGGACCAUUGAAAUGUGAUCACAACUUUUCUCUGUAGCCAUGUUGUCUCUUUUUUCUUUUGCAUGAUUUUCUCACCUUAACAGAAUCAUAGACUUGUUUAAUCUCUAAAUGGGAUUAAUUUCAUCCAGCUUUAAGCUACUAUAUUAUAUCUAGGUGGAGGACUUUUAAGAGUGCAACCGACAUAGAGCACAUGCAAGUGGGUAUAUGGGACAUGAAAUUUCUUCUUAUAAAGAUUGCAUGAUUUUUAUAUUAGAGUUGUUGGGGCGCAAUGUAUGUAGCUUGUUUUGCAGUUAAAUUAAUUGGAUAAGUAGACAUUGGCGUUUCUAAAUCUACUGUGAAGUGCUUCAUGUACGUGUGAAGUAUUAGAAAUUUCUUUCUUGGCAACUUGUUUUUUCUUUGCGGUCUACUGAUAGGUUUGACUAAAAUUAUAUUCCCUGUCAUGCUAAUUAAUUUUCACGUGCAUGCUCAAAAGAAGAGUAUGACCUUAGUGCACCAAAAUCACUUUGAUUAAUUUGUGAUAGGUUUUUGUGCAUCAUGACAUUAGCCUUAUUCAUUUAGAUAAUGUUUAGUUUUUAGAAAGUAUUAAGAAAAGGAAAAUAAAUAUUAAGAAAAAUAUUCUUAUAUUUGAUUGUAUUAUGAAAAAUGUCAUAAAAAAAUCAAAUAUAAUUUAAAUUAAUUAAUAAUUUAUACAUUUUCAAAUUAUUUAAUCUUUAUAUUGAAGAUAUAAUAUAAAUGAAAUGAGUUUUAAGUAUUAUAUAAAAGUGAUUUAUUGAUCUUGCAUAUAUGUAUUUCUUUUUUUUUUCUUCUAUUUUUUUUCUUUAUUUUAUUUUCCUUAUGUUUUCCUCAACAUUUUCCGGAACCAAACAUAGCCUUAGGAAAUCCACAAUUACCUUCAACUGAGUAUAUUCGGUUGUUUUAGCAAUGUUAGGCUGCUAACUUGUGUUGGUACGAACCUGUUAAGCCUAAAGAUGUAAUUAGUUAGGAUAUUCUUUUCCCUCUAGUCUUGUAGCUCCACGUGUAUAGUUGGUUAGGACCUCAUUGUAUAUAAUGCCUGCCCUGUUAUUGUUGAAGACAACAGAGAUAAAUAAUAUUAACAUUUUUCCUCUCAUCUCUCUUUGUUUCCCUCUGUUUUCAUCUCCUCUCUCAUCUUGGUAUCAGAGCCUCCAUGGAUUCUUUCAAAGAAACCUCCGAAUCACCUUCUGCUAGCAUUGUUAAUGUGCAAAACCCAUUAUCUCAGUCAAACAACCUUCCUUCACCAGCAGCCACACCCUCUUUUUCUUUCUUGUCUAUGAAUCAACCUCUCACAGUGAAGCUGGAUAAUGGAAACUACCUCAUCUGGAAGAAUUAGCUUCUGAAUGUCAUCAUUGCGAACAGACUCGAUGAUUUCAUUUAUGGAACUCGACCCUGCCCUCCUUGAUUUCUCAAUCUGCAACAACAAACCCUCACUCCAGAGUACUCGGUCUAGCAGAGAUACAAUCGACUUCUAAUGAGUUGGCUGUACGCAUCCUUGUCCGAAGAUAUAAUGACUCAGAUUGUUGGGUAUUCAACAACUGUGGAGAUUUGGAACGUCCUUAAUCAGAUUUACUCUGCCUCUUCAAUGGCGUGGGUUACCGAGCUUCACACCAAGCUUCAAACGCUCAAGAAAGAUGGACUCUCAGUUGGUGAAUAUAUUCAAAGGCUCAAAUCCAUUUGCAAUAGUCUUGCAGCAAUAGGAGAACUAGUUUCUGAGAAAGACCAGCUUAUCUAUUUGUUCAAUGGAUUAUAUUGUGAGUAUAAUUCUUUUGUUACCUCCAUUCAAAAUCGAUCUGACCAACCAACUAUUGAGCAAAUCCAUAGCCUAUUGCUUAGCUAUGACUUUCGGCUUGAACAACAAAACUCUGUUUCUCUCCAUUAUGCCCAAGUCCGUAUGGCUCAUCUGAACAAGAAACCUUAUAAAUCAACUCCUCAACCUACAUUCAAUCAUAUUCACAUUCAACCUAGAUACUCUUCUCCACCUUUUAAGCCAACCACUAGUCAAUAUCAACCCAGGAUUUUGGGCAAACCACAACCACAACCAUGACAGCCUCAACCUCAAUGGAAACCACAUUUUUCAAUCCAGAAUCAAAAGCCUCAGUGCCAAAUUUGUGGUAAAUUUGGACACACUGCUCUUAUUUGCUUCCAUUGCACAAAUUUGAACUAUUCACCCCAACCUUCUCCUAAAUCUUUCAAUACUGUUCUCACCACAAAUUCCCAGCUCCCUAAUCCUCCAAAAUUUUCUUACCCUACAAUGGCUCAUCCUGCUGCUACGCAUAACACGAUUCCUGAUACAAAUUGGUACAUGGACUCAGGUGCUACACAUCACUUUACUCCGGACAUCAACAUGCUUGACACUGUGACACCAUUUAGUGGUUUAGAACAGGUGACAGUUGGGAAUGGUAAGCAACUCUGUAUCUCACAUCUUGGUACUGCAAAACUACCAUCCUCGUAUUCUCCUCUUGUUCUACAUCAGGUAUAUCACACUCCAAAAAUUUCAAAUAAUCUUAUUAGUGUUAGAAAAUUGUGUUCUGAUAAUAAAGUUUUUGUUGAAUUUUAUGCCACUCAUUUUCUUAUCAAAGAUCAAGUUUCGAAGAGAGUUCUCUUUCAAGGUCAACUUGAUAAUGGCUUAUACAAAGUUCAGUCGUCAUGCUCUCCUUCUACUAUUUCCUUUCAUCCUCAAGUUUUCAUAGCCAACAUCAAGGAUCAAAAUUUGUGGCACAAGAGACUAGGCCACCCAGCUUUAUCUGUUAUUAAUCAAAUCUUGGAUUCUUGUAACAUUGCUCGAACACAGAAAAUUGGUUUUAAUUUUUGUAGUUCUUGUCAAUUAGCAAAAAGCCACAGGCUUCCUUUUUCUCUGUCUCCAUCCAUUGCAGAAAAACCUUUUGAGUUAAUUCAUACAGACCUAUGGGGUCUUUCUCCUGUUCGCUCUAUUUCUGGUGCUCGUUAUUUUUUACUUUUCAUUGAUGAUCAUACUCGUUUUACUUGGUUUUAUUUGCUCAAAACAAAAGAUGAAGCAUAUCCUACUUUUCUCAAGUUUCAAGCUCUCAUUGAAAAUCAAUUUAAUACCAAGAUUAAGGUUGUCCAAUCUGAUUGGGGAGGUGAGUUUCGAUCUCUCUCCAUACUGUUUUCAAAUAUGGGCAUUGUCUAUCGUUUAUCAUGUCCAUACACCUCACAACAGAAUGAGUGGGUUGAGCGAAAAAAUCACCAUGCGGUUGAAAUGGGAUUGUCCUUUCUUGCUCGCUCGGGUAUGCCCUUAUCUUAUUGGCCUUAUGCCUUUCAAACUGCCACUUACCUUAUUAAUCGUCUCUCUACCCCUGUGCUGCACCAUCAAUCCCCUUACUUCGCACUCUAUCACAAAUUCCCAGCUUAUACUCAUCUUAAGGUCUUUGUUCCUCUUGUUUUCCAUAUUUACGCCCUUAUAAUACCCAUAAACUCCAAUACAGGUCACUGGAGUGUGCUUUUCUUGGUUGCAGUUCACACCACAAAGGUUAUCUAUGUCUUGACAUUCAUUCUAGCAGGGUGUAUAUUUCUCGCCAUGUGAUUUUUAAUGAAGAUUCUUUUACAUUCAAGAAUUUGAAAUCUUCUCUCUCUUAGUCUAUUUCUUCUUCCUCUUCUUUAUUAGUUCCUCUGUUCAUUUCCUUGCCUCCCCUCUCCCCAUAUCCUCCUAUUUCUCCAUCUAUAUCUCAUUCUUUUCUCUCUUCUUCUUCUACCUCUAGUACUUGUUCCCCUCUCGUUGCUCCUACCUCUCUUCCUCCCUCUUCACACUUUGUGUCCCAUCUAUUCCACCUCCUUCUCCACCUUCUUCGAGUGUGGACCUGCUUGUACCUUGUGUGAAUACAAAUUUACUUACUUUUUCUCGCACUCACAAUAUUCAUCCUAUGGUGACCAGAUCUAAGGGUUUGUAUCUAUAAACCUAAGUUGCUAUUGAGUGUCUCCAUAGGUUCUCUCACUAAGCCUACUUCCUUUCUUCAAGCUAUUAAAGAUCCUUCAUGGAAGCAAGCCAUGGAAUUGGAGUUUGCUGCCCUUCAACACAACAAGACCUGGCAUCUAGUUCAUUCACCUUCCUCAGGCAAAGUAAUUGGUUGUAAAUGGGUCUAUAAGAUAAAGCUUUAGCCUGAUGGCUAAUUGAGAGAUACAAGGCCCGCUUAGUAGCUUAGGGUUAUCAUCAAACUGAAGGUAUUGACUACUUCGAAACAUUCAGCCUGGUUGUCAAGCCUUCUACUACCGUAUUGUGCUCAGUCUUACUUUUUCCCAGAAUUGGUGUAUUAGACAGCUGGAUGUUCAUAAUGCCUUCUUACAUGGUGACUUAGCUGAAGACGUUUUCAUGGAACAACCACCUGGAUUUGUUGAUCCUCUCUAUCCUACUCAUGUCUGCAAGUUGGAUAAGUCUCUCUACGGUCUUAAUAGUCACCUCGGGCUUGGUAUACUAAGCUGAGUACUUCUCUACUACACUUGGGAUUUGUUACUUCUAAGAAUGACUCUUCCUUAUUUAUUUGUCAUUCGUCUCAUGGGUUACUUCUUGUUCUUGUCUAUGUGGAUGAUAUAAUCGUCACUGGGAGCCACUCUCCUCAAGUUACUCACCUUAUCCAAUAGUUGCAUCAUCAGUUUUCUUUAAAGGAUCUUGGUCAUUUACACUAUUUUCUGGGCUUGGAGGUUCAUCACACCCCUACUGGUAUUCACCUCAGCCAAGCAAAGUAUAUCACUGAUCUCCUUACCCGGGCGGCUAUGUUGGAUGCCAAGCCAUGUCCCACUCCUAUGUCCUCCAACACAUAUCUUUCUCUUCAUGAUGGAGUGGCUCUUGAAAAUGGUUCAGAUUAUUGAAGUUUUGUUGGUGCCCUUUAGUAUUGUACCAUGACACGCCCAGAUAUAGCUUUUGCAGUAAAUAAAGUGUGUCAAUUCAUGCACCAUCCCUCUGAUGUUCACUGGCAGGCUAUAAAACGUAUUCUCCAGUACUUAAAGGGCACAUCUCAUUUUGGUCUCUUCCUACAGCCUUCCUAUGACUUCAACAUCACUUGCUAUACAGAUGCCGACUGGGCUUCCUGCCUUGAUGACAAGUGUAGCACCAGUGGCUACUGCCUCUUUCUUGCCUCUAAUCUGGUUUCUUGGUCAUCUUCCAAACAAAAAGUGGUCUCCCGCUCCAGCGCCAAAUCAGAGUACCGAGGGGUAGCAAAUGGGGCUGCUGAAAUUGCUUGGACUGAAUCUCUUCUUUGUGAACUUUCCACCCACUCGACCUCCCCUCAUUGUCUGUGACAAUAUCAGUGCCACAUACUUAGCUGUCAAUCCUAUUUUGCAUGCCCGCACCAAAACAUGUGGAAAUCGACUAUCACUUUGUCUCGGAACGUGUUCUUCAACGCUCUCUCUCUCUCCAGUUUACACCUUCGGAUGAUCAACUUGCUGAUUGCAUGACCAAGCCUCUCUCCACCCAACGUUUCAUCACUCUACGCUCCAAGCUCACUGUUCUCACUAGACCAAUGAGCUUGAGGGGGGAUGUUAAGCCUAAAGAUGUAAUUAGUUAGGAUAUUCUUUUCCCUCUAGUCUUGUAGCUCCACGUGUACAGUUGGUUAGGACCUCAUUGUAUAUAAUGCCUGCCCUGUUAUUGUAGAAGACAACAGAGAUAAAUAAUAUUAACAUUUUUCCUCUCAUCUCUCUCUCUGUUUCCCUCUGUUUUCAUCUCCUCUCUCAUCUGAACCAAAUGAUCCAUGUUAACCUUGGCUUGGUUUGAUUUGGCUCUAUCUUAGAGAGCUCAAGGAUCACGUCAACUCUGGUUUCUACUAUUCAGGUCCAUUCCCAUAUGAACUGGUUCAAAUUUGAGAAAAUGGUAACAGACCUUUAGUGAUGUUGGUUUGGAGCCAGUUGCCAAACCCGCCCUGAGCUUUACCACUAAUGUCAAGGGAGAAAGCCUUUUGAACAAAAACAAUAGCUUCAAGAGACUGAAUCGUGGAUGAAAUCUGAUCCACAUUUCUUCUCAUUUUGGAAACAAAUGAGAACUUAACUAAGAAGAUUCUACGGCCUCAUAGUGCUUUUCCUGAUCUAAGGUUGGUUCGUUUCCCAAAUUGUGAGAUGCACGGGCCAGACUUCAGAACUCUCACGCUCAGGAGUGUAUCCACGUGGUGGACAUAAGAUGGUGGCUUAAGAUCUGGUGUCGGUGGCUUUACUUUACUAGGAGAGUAGUGUGUCUUCAUCUCAUUCACUGCCGGAGGGUGGCGUAAGCAGUGACGCUAAGGUGGGGCAUAGUCAAUAUCAUUUGCAUUUGACCAUUAUAGUUUUCUCCCGGCUUGAAAGUAACCUUAUCGUGAUAAAGGAUUACUAGCACUAGUUCAGAUGACAGUCAUGUUAAAUUCGGACCAUGUUUGUGUCACAUUAUCAGCAACCAUGUGUUUAUGGUUCAUGCUUUCUGCAACUGAAAUUGAAAUUGAUAUAUAACCAGGUGAACUUCAAUCUAAAUUCUGGAAGUACUCAUGUGAGCGAUGGUGCCCAUCUGCAGAGUCCAUCAAUUGAAAAAUGGAGUGAGUGUAUCUAUAAGAGGGAAGGCUUGGCAAAUGUCCAGUUUUCUGGGAAUUCAACAAGGAUCUAAAAUAGAUUGUUUUCUUUGCUGAUUUCAAUGGUUGAAAUUUGAGAAGAUUGUGUCCCACAUAACACAACUAUUACUGGUCCUUCUGUUGCAAUUUAUCCUCUAAGGCUCUAGCAUGUCUUCCAAUUCCCACUUCCCUGUUACUCCAGGAAAGCUAUUUCUGUCAUUGUGAAGAAGAAAAGAGAAUGUAGAUAUCGAUGCUUUUAAGUGACUGGAGCAUUCAUAUCAGGUGGUCUGCAGCCAUAUAUGCCACUUUGUGAAGAUUGGAACAGUCAAUCACUAGGCUAUAUAUUAGUGUGGCCCAGCCACUUUAAUCAAGGACAAUUCUUCAUACUUAAAAGUCAAAUUCUGCCUUUAGUCUCAUUAUAAAUUGCUGUUUAAAUAUUAAGCAAACAUUUGUUUAAUGCGAUUAAGACAGUACUAACUCAAUACUUGUUCUAUUUUUGGAUGGAAAUGCUUGAUGGUUUCAUCAUUGGAUGGGAUAAAGGUGCAUUCAUGAUUAUGAAUACUUGUAGUUAUAUUUUCAUUCUCUUUUUUCUCAAUGAGACUUGUUGGCACAAUUUUUCUGUUCAGAAACCUACCUCUCCAUGGAAAAUAAGUUGUGAUUGAUAGUACUGGAUAUAUUCAAGAAAGCUAAAUAUAGAUAGCACAAAAUAUUAUCGACAUAAAUAGCAUUAACAGCGUACGUAUGUCUCAGUGCUCAUCAGCCAUAAGCAUGGGGCAAACACUUACGAUGAGCAACUUACGUCAAAAUUCCAGAAUAGGACAUAGAAGUGACAGAUCUAUAUAUAUAGAACACUGCAUAAGAGUCACAAGAAAGGAAAUUACGGGUGCAUAGCAGCUCUUAUUUCACAUACUACUCAUACUGAUCAAAGUCACUCAGUUGGGAUGGGUGGGAGUAGGAGGUUUGUGGGGUGGCUUGUGCGGAGGAGUUGGCAGCUUCUUUCCAGGACCUGGUGGCUUCUCUCCCUUAGGUGGUUUGCCAACUGGGGUUGGUGGCUUGUAUGAGUCUUCAGCAUUCUCUGCAGGAGGGUGACCAGGGUUGUGACCAUAAUGUGGUGGCUUCUCUCCCUUAGGUGGUUUGCCAACUGGGGUUGGUGGCUUGUGUUCUGGGAGUGGCUUCUCCCCCUUGGGAGGUUUUUCCAAUGGGGUUGGUUUGUGUUCAGGAGGUGGCUUCUCCACUGGAGGCUUGUGUUCAGGAGGUGGCUUCUCCACCGGAGGCUUGUGUUCAGGAGGUGGCUUCUCCACCGGAGGCUUAUGCUCUGGUGGUGGCUUCUCCACCGGAGGCUUAUGCUCUGGUGGUGGCUUCUCGAAUGGGGGAUGCUUAGGGUAAUCAGCAAGUGAGGGGGCGGUGAGAACCACCAGGCCAAGCAAGACCACUAGCAAGUAUGUAGGAGACAUCUUUGGGUUUAGACUCAGAUGGUGCAAAACUAGGAGAAUUGUCUUUUAUAGCGGAUCGCACCCAAUAAUGAAAUGACACGUGUCUUUAUGACCCAUGUGUAAUGGGGUCGAUUUGGGUCCUACAGUGUUGAAAACUUCGACAUCCACUUUUGGCCUUUUGCUUUCUCUACAGCCGCCUUGCUUUUUCCCUCUUUCCUUUUGUUUUCCUCCUGCCCCAUUCUAUCAACUAAACACAAUUAUGUAGUUGUUUAAUUCUUAAAUGAGAUAUUAUCCGUCAAUCGUAUCAUAUUUUAUCAACAGAGAACGGAGUGCAAUGUGGCAAUCCAAAGAAAGAAGAUCCAUAAUGCAGCUGUAAUUUUAUCGUUUACUUUUAUCUCUUGGACCACUGCAUUUUUGUUAAGAGGUGCAAUAAUACACGUCUUUAUCUGCCAUUCAAUGUUUACAGUAAAGAGAGGGCACAAAACUCUUCACUGCUCUGCAUGUGUCCCAAAAAUGCAAUUGGACAAAUUAUGAUUUGCAUGCUAAAAAGAGGCAAAUGAGGUUAAUUCGCACCAUAAUUAUUUUGUUUUCUGGACCCCGGGGCCCUUUGGUUGGUUUGGGGGUCAGAAAAUGAACAUCAUAGGGGGUUUUUCCCUUAUGUGCAUUUGUAUCUGAUGGCUUUAACUCGCCUUGUUACUACAAAGAAAUUGUCACAUAUAGGAACUUAUUCCAGGCUGAGUAUCUCCGCAUAGACCCUAUAAAAGAAGACAAGUCAUAAUGAACAUCUAACCUUUGUUCAAUUUGAUUCAAUGCCCCAUUGUGUCCACCUCACAAAUCUGAAUUAUUAUAUCCAUUGAAUACAUAAAUUAAUGAAGAAAAUAUGAAACCCAAGAUACAUCUCUGCACAACCUCAACCCUGGUUGCUAUGUUUCCCUUCUAUUCACAUGAGGAUAUUGAUUACGGAAUAGGGAAACCUAGCAAGGGUUUACUCGGCUCUGGUUUGAUGCUAAUUGCCAAACUUGCAACAAGCCCUGAGUUUGAAGCUCACAGAAGAUGUUAUACAGGCAGGGAAAAACCUUCAGAGUUCGCUGCCAAAGAUAAUUAUUAAGGAGAUAUCACCAAGAGAAUUCCAAGGAGUCUGAAUCAAAGACAAAUUGGUCGUUCGUGGAGGUUCUUACUUUCUUUUGGGUAUAACUCACUGAGGGCACUGUCUUUUUUAUUUUCAUUUCACAUUUAGAGUUCUGUUCUGGAAACAUAUAAAAGGAGCAUCAGUUUGUUCUUGGGUAACCCAUAGUCGUGAGUGGGUCCAUUUGCAUGCUACUUAGUUGAAAAGUUGGACCAUUUGCUCCGACGCCUACCUCCUGGAUUCCAUGCUCGGAUAAAACAAGAAUAAAAAAAUAUUUAUAAUUUACAAAUGGGGGAAAGAAAAAAAUGUCAACAACAAACUAGGAAAAAAGAGUAGUAAAAUUCAUGUCACAUGCUAGUGAGAGAAGGGGUUGUUACACUCACUCGAAGUUCUUUUCAAAAUAUCGCAUGGUAUUUUAUUUUAUGUGUGAGCGCAGUUGUGAAUGGAACGUGCAAAAGUCCAAAUUGGUGACCUUUAAUAAAUAUUUAAAACAAAAAACGAAAAAAAGGAGGGAAAAGGGAUCAGAAAAGAUAAAACAAUGUGUACAAAAGCUCAAUUAGUUUGCAAAUUACUGUUUGGAUUUUGAUAGUAUUUUAUUUGAUGUAAAAGAGAAUUUAAGAUAUUUCCGAAACAAAAGCAUUAGUUUGCUCCAUGUCAAUUUCGGCAUUUCUCAUAUGUUUCACACAUACACAGAAGAGCAUCGUUUUUUAAAGCAUGCAUUUAUGUUGGAUUAAUUUGGAUUUUGUGGGAACUGGGGCAAGGAUCACAUGGAAGAGAGGUUGACUUUUUUCAGUACUUCAAUGGUUGAGACAGGUGAAGGCCUGAUUGAUACUGAAGCCUGAAAUUGCGACUCCGUCAUUUGUCAAAACAUAUGACAGCUUCCAUGCUCUCGUUUGGUUGCAUUGUUCUGUGGUCAUGCAUACAUGCCACUUAGUGAUCAGUCUGUAACUGUCAAUCAUUGGGCUUUGACUGAACAACAUCAGCCAUGUAUAAAUACUUGCAAAUCAAACGGUCUUCUUCCUCCCAUAAGGAAUUUCGGUUUAAUUAUGAAGCAUGCAUUUGGCUGACCAUCAUAAACCACUUCUUUAAAUUGAUGAAUGAUAGUUUUUCAUUCAUUCUUUCAUUCGUUCAUAUACAGAGUAUAUAUAGAGGGUAAUCAUCAUUCUAAGAAUGGGAAAGAAUGAUACAAGGAAAUAAUGAUAUAAAGAAAUAACAACUAAUAUUCUAAUAUCUCAACUUUCCUAAUAUCUAAACAUUCCUAAUAUCUCAACACUAAAUGAUAUAAAGAAAGAAUGAUAUAAGGAAAGCAUUCCUAAUAUCUCAACACUCCUCCUCAAGUUGGUGCAUAGAUGUCAAACAUGUCCAACUUGUCUAAAAAUUUUGAGAACAGUUGACUUGAGACAUCUUUGGUGAGGAUAUCGGUCAAUUGAUCUUCUGAUCGAAUCUUAGGCAAUUCCACAAUCUUAUCAUCCAACUUUUCCUUAAUGAAAAAUCUAUCCAUCUCGACAUGCUUUGUACGAUCAUGUUGUACUAGAUUAUGAGCAAUGUCACAUGCUGCUUUAUUGUCACAAAACAAUCGGAUUGGUUGCCUAGAUAGGUAACCUAAAUCCUAUAAGAGGAGUCUUAGCCAUAAUGCCUCACAAAGUCCUAAAGUCAUACCUCUAAAUUCCGCUUCUGCACUUGAACGAGCGACGACAUUUUGCUUCUUACUUUUCCAUGUCACAAGAUUACCACCUACAAAGGUAAAGUAACCAGAUGUAGAUCGCCUAUCAUCCACUGCACCGACCCAAACAGCAUUAUACUUCUAUACUCUGAUGAUCAACAUUUUUAGCGAACAAAAUUCCCUUCCUAGGAGCAUUCUUCAAAUACCUCAAAAUACGCAUGACUACAUUCAUAUGUUGCUCUCCAGGAUUAUGCAUGUAUUGACUCACUACACUCAAUGUAUAAGCAAGAUCUAGUCUUGUAUGAGCUAAGUACAUUAAUCUCCCCACAAGUCUCUGGUAUCUUCCCUUAUCGAUUGAUACUUGAUUAGGCUCAACACACAAUUUCAGACCUUCUUCUAUUGGUGUAUUAAUAGGUUGACAUCCCGACAUUCCAGUUUCCUGUAGAAGAUCUAAGGCAUACUUUCUUUGAGACAGAAAAAUUCCUUCACUUGAUCGAGAAACUUCAAUCCCAAGAAAGUAUUUCAGACGACCAAGAUCUUUCAUUUCAAAUUCUCUAGAUAGAUACUUUUGCAAAGCUUUUCUUUCUUCAGGAUCAUUUCCUGUAACUACAUGUCAUCCACAUAUAUCAUAAGUGUCGUAAUCUUACCAUGUUGCUUUUUCAAGAACAAAGUGUGAUUUGAAUUACUUUGAUGAUAGCCAAAAGCUCUCAUUGAUUUUGUGAACCUUCCAAACCAUGCUCUCGGGGAUUGCUUCAACCCAUACAAUGACUUCUUCAAUUCGCACACCUUCUGACAUUGCUUUUCUGACACCAUGCAUCCUGGUGGAAGAUCCAUAUAUACUUCUUCAGAUAAAUCGCCAUGCAGAAAGACAUUUUUUACAUCGAACUAUUGUAAUGGCCAAUCUAGGUUUGCAGCUAAAGACAAUAAUACUCGAACUGUGUUGAUCUUAGCUACAGGUGCAAAUGUCUCUGUGUAGUCAAUUCCAUAAGUUUGAAUGUACCCACUAGUCUUGCUUUAAAUCGUUCAAUACUACCAUCUGCCUUGUACUUCACAGUAUAGAUCCAACGACACCCAACUAGCUUCUUUCCUGGUGGACAUUCUACGAGUUCCCAUGUUUCAUUUUUCUGCAAUGAUUUCAUCUCUUCAUUCAUGGUUGCUUUCCACUUUGGAUCAGCUAAAGCUUCCUGCACACUAUUAGGAAUAGCUACAGUAGAUAAUUGAUUUACAAAUGACUUAUUUGAUUCAGACAAACCAUGGUGUGGACCCGCAUUUUUCACGUGCGCCUCUACUCGAUCGGCGAGACUCGCUUUCUAUUUGUGAAAAAUUAAUUUUAGAAAAGUUGGAGUCGCCACCUAUUUUAUUUUUAUUUUGAAGGGAAAAUAAAACAAGAAAGAAAAACCCUAAAAAGUGACUCCAUAGUUUUGGAAAAAGCAUGUCUUUGGGAAACCUGAGUCUAGGUCCGGGGAUCAUGUUACUUAUUGGGAAGGUACCUCUAGGAGGUAGCACCCCUCUAAGCCUUAUGAAGGUCUCUACUAACUAAAUUAAGGGAAGUGUGGCAAUAAAUCGAUUGAUCAUAGAUACCUAAGUAGACUAGGUGAUUUUAAAGUGUGGCAUGUCAAACACAAUCAAAUUGCAAUAAAGGAGAGUUAGGGCGCGUACCUGAACCGCUUCUCAAGCGCUAUCAUAAAACAUCAAUGGUUAAUUUAAAUAAUAUAUCAUCCAGCAUGUAUUUUAUUAGAAAUAAUCAAACAAUGAAACAUGUAUAUCAGAACACUCAAGCAUUAUUAGACAUAAGCAUUAUUUCACUAUUCACAGAAUUCAGAAAGUAGGUGAUAGAGGACAUACCUGGAUAGCAUAGAUAAUUUGUAAUGUGCUUCCUCAAGUUGUAAGGGGUUAGAUAACAAAUAAUAAAAUAUAGAAAUCCUAGCAUGCUCGUUAUCUAAUUAGCAUAGCAAAAGUGAUCACAGUAUACAGAAUCAUCAAUUAUCACAUACAUCUUGUAUAUAAUUCCUAAAAAAAAUAGAUAGACAUGAUUUCAACAAGUGUCAAAUGUGGCAACAAAAAUAAAUUUUGAAAAGAUUUUCUUAUGUAGGGGUUUCACCAAUUCCCCAAAUUAAUAUACACGAAUUUAGCUUAGAAUUAUCCCAUUUAUUUGGGACUACAAGCUUUGAUUCGUGUUUUUGUUCAAAACCAAAAAUUUUUGUUGAAAAUCAAGAAGGAUGCGAACCGAACAAGAUAUGGUUGCAUAUUAUUUUUAAAUAAAUAAAUAAAUAAAUAAAGGAGAUUUUGAUCCUGAGGACUUUAAUGAGUUUUUUUUUUUAAAAUAGAUUUUUAAAAUGAUUUUUUUGAGAAAAGUAUUUUAUUUUAAAAUAAAAGGGAUUAAUUUGGGAAAAAAAUAAAAUAUAAGAAAUAAAAUACCAAACAAAACAAAAAUGAAACCUCAAAGUAAAAUUUUUUUAGUAAUUAACAAAAAUGAUAAUGGUGAUGGUAGAGGGCAAUCUUCAUGAUUUUCCAAUGGCCUCAGAAAGAAAAUCAAAUUAAAUGAAGGAUCACUAACAGGCAAGACAUUCUAAAUUAGACAAACUAACAAAGUAUCAAUUCAUGAACUAACCGCUAGGAUUUUGAAAGCAUAUAAGCUAAGAUAAGGGUGAUCAGGAACUAAUAUUAAUGAUUUUGAAAUAAAAACUAAAAAAAAGGAUCAAUUCGGGUAAGGAACUAAAAUUAUAAAAGUACCUAAACUAAUUAUGACGAGUUUGACUAAAUUAAACUAAAAACAUGAACUUUCAAACAUAGAAUUAAUUUUACUAAUGAACCAAAGCAAACUAAAAAUAUGUACUUUCAAGCAUAGAAUUAAUUUUAUUGAUGAACUAAACUAUAACAAAUAUCUAAACUAAAUAUAAUGAAUCAAAUUAAAUUAAAGCAACUUAAAAACGCAAACUUUCAAACAUAGAAUCAAUUUUAUCAAUGAAUUAAAACUAUAAAUGUAUUUGAACUAAAUAGAUGAAUCAAACUAAAUCAGAGCAAAAUUAAAAAAAAAAAAGAACUUUCUAACAUGAAAUCAAUUUUAUCAACAAAUAAAUGAAUGAAUAACAAGUAAUUAAAAGAAUAGCUACUACAUGAAUAACUGAAUGAAUAAAAUUCAAAUGUUUUCAAUCUGAAGCAAUCAAUCAAAAUUAAAUAGGGAUCAAAUCAAAAUAAUCGAAAUCGGAAAAACAAUAUGCAAUCUUUCUAAAGGUUUAACCAGACAAUUGAAUUAAAAUUAUGAAUAGAAUAAAUUAAUAAACCAAAUCGAAACCUAAAUUGUACCUAAAAAGAUUAAUUAAUUAAACUAAGAAAUCAAAAUCAAUAACAAAACUAAACUAAGGAGUAAAUUAAGACAAGACUAAUUAAAUUAAACUCACAAACACGUUUUAACUAUCAUAUGGAUUAAAACAAAAUUAGCAUGGACUUAUGAAUUACGAACAAAAAUAAUCAAAACUAUUUUAAAAAACUCACCUCUAUUAUAAGAAAAAAUCUGCCUUUGAUGCGUUGAGGUGGCUCCCCUCUCUGUGUGGAUCUCUCUGCUCCCCAGAAAAAAAAUGUCUCUUCCUCCGUUCUCUUUUGUUUCAGCAAAAUAAUAUAUCCCCUGCUGUGGAUCUCUCUACUCCCAGAAAAUAAUAUAUUCUCUCCGUGUCCUAAAGUGGACCUAGGGUGCCUAAGUGGACCUAGGGUGCCUAAAUGGGCCUAGGGUGCCUAAAUGGGCCAAGUGUAUCUAAAUAGGCUUAGGGUGCCUAAGUGGGCCUAAGUCUAAGUGAGCCUAAGUCUAAAUCAAGACUACCAAGGAUCAUAAUAAGGGGUUAGGCAAUCCCUUAACCAAAGUCUCCAAGGUGGCUAAAAAAAAGUAAGUAGUAUGAGUAGCUAUGGGUCACCAAGGAACUACUGUGGAGCAUUGAAAACGAAUUUAAAGACAUGUGCCAAAGGGACAAAAUUGAGGGUCUACAGAUGGUUAGACACAUAGUUGCUCAUGGGAUAUUUGACUUUGGUAAACAAUUCAGAUUCAUAUGUGGGUUUAGGAAUACCUUUAUUAUGACGGUGUGGUAAUCGUUUCAUGAAUGGAUCAGGUUGCAAAUUAAGAACACCCUCAGCAAACAACGAUUGGUUUGGUAUUUCAGUGAAGACAUCUUCGAACCCAAAUUGUUGACCACUCAUAUCCAACUCACCCGCUUCCUGGUUCACUAGUUCAGAUUGUCCAAAUUCAUCAUUCUCAUAGAUAUGAUAAUCAUAAUCGAGAGUCUGAAUUUCCUUAUGGUACUCCCCCUGAAGUUCAGACUUAGAUGAAAAAUACAUCGAAUAUUCAUGAAACAGCNNNNNNNNNNNNNNNNNNNNNNNNNNNNNNNNNNNNNNNNNNNNNNNNNNNNNNNNNNNNNNNNNNNNNNNNNNNNNNNNNNNNNNNNNNNNNNNNNNNNNNNNNNNNNNNNNNNNNNNNNNNNNNNNNNNNNNNNNNNNNNNNNNNNNNNNNNNNNNNNNNNNNNNNNNNNNNNNNNNNNNNNNNNNNNNNNNNNNNNNNNNNNNNNNNNNNNNNNNNNNNNNNNNNNNNNNNNNNNNNNNNNNNNNNNNNNNNNNNNNNNNNNNNNNNNNNNNNNNNNNNNNNNNNNNNNNNNNNNNNNNNNNNNNNNNNNNNNNNNNNNNNNNNNNNNNNNNNNNNNNNNNNNNNNNNNNNNNNNNNNNNNNNNNNNNNNNNNNNNNNNNNNNNNNNNNNNNNNNNNNNNNNNNNNNNNNNNNNNNNNNNNNNNNNNNNNNNNNNNNNNNNNNNNNNNNNNNNNNNNNNNNNNNNNNNNNNNNNNNNNNNNNNNNNNNNNNNNNNNNNNNNNNNNNNNNNNNNNNNNNNNNNNNNNNNNNNNNNNNNNNNNNNNNNNNNNNNNNNNNNNNNNNNNNNNNNNNNNNNNNNNNNNNNNNNNNNNNNNNNNNNNNNNNNNNNNNNNNNNNNNNNNNNNNNNNNNNNNNNNNNNNNNNNNNNNNNNNNNNNNNNNNNNNNNNNNNNNNNNNNNNNNNNNNNNNNNNNNNNNNNNNNNNNNNNNNNNNNNNNNNNNNNNNNNNNNNNNNNNNNNNNNNNNNNNNNNNNNNNNNNNNNNNNNNNNNNNNNNNNNNNNNNNNNNNNNNNNNNNNNNNNNNNNNNNNNNNNNNNNNNNNNNNNNNNNNNNNNNNNNNNNNNNNNNNNNNNNNNNNNNNNNNNNNNNNNNNNNNNNNNNNNNNNNNNNNNNNNNNNNNNNNNNNNNNNNNNNNNNNNNNNNNNNNNNNNNNNNNNNNNNNNNNNNNNNNNNNNNNNNNNNNNNNNNNNNNNNNNNNNNNNNNNNNNNNNNNNNNNNNNNNNNNNNNNNNNNNNNNNNNNNNNNNNNNNNNNNNNNNNNNNNNNNNNNNNNNNNNNNNNNNNNNNNNNNNNNNNNNNNNNNNNNNNNNNNNNNNNNNNNNNNNNNNNNNNNNNNNNNNNNNNNNNNNNNNNNNNNNNNNNNNNNNNNNNNNNNNNNNNNNNNNNNNNNNNNNNNNNNNNNNNNNNNNNNNNNNNNNNNNNNNNNNNNNNNNNNNNNNNNNNNNNNNNNNNNNNNNNNNNNNNNNNNNNNNNNNNNNNNNNNNNNNNNNNNNNNNNNNNNNNNNNNNNNNNNNNNNNNNNNNNNNNNNNNNNNNNNNNNNNNNNNNNNNNNNNNNNNNNNNNNNNNNNNNNNNNNNNNNNNNNNNNNNNNNNNNNNNNNNNNNNNNNNNNNNNNNNNNNNNNNNNNNNNNNNNNNNNNNNNNNNNNNNNNNNNNNNNNNNNNNNNNNNNNNNNNNNNNNNNNNNNNNNNNNNNNNNNNNNNNNNNNNNNNNNNNNNNNNNNNNNNNNNNNNNNNNAACCAAAGGAAGCAUGUUCCAGACGUCGAUGCCACAACCAAAUUUCAGACUUUUUCUUCUCCUCCUUAGAUCCAUCUGCCAUCAAGGCUUGUUGCAACUUAUUUGAAUCCUUUGAUUGCAAGUCCAAGUAUAGAGUUUCCCCCGCUUAAUACGACAACCAAUCGUCUGUCUUGUUUGAAUGUCCUUAAUCACACAAAAUUCAGGCCAAAAAAUGACAAUACAAGAUAAGGCUGCAGUGAUUUGAGAAACUAACAAAAGAUUGUAAUCUAAAGAUGGAACAACUAAAACAGAAUCCAAAUUCAAAGUAUCAGUAAGAGUUAAGGAUCCUUCCCCAAUGACUGGGGUUGUGUUACCAUUGGCUGUGGAAACAAUUUUUUGUGAGGAAGGUCUAAGGGGUGAAACCUGUCUAGAAUCAAAAGUCAUAUGAUCUGUAGCACCAGAAUCAAUUAUCCAUGCACUAUUAAUAACAGGUGUAAAAGUAUUUAAAAACUUACCACAAUGAUCUGUAGCGGCUACUAAUGCAGAGACUUUCUCAACAACAUUAGUCUUUGUUUUUAUUUCGGUAACAGUUGCAAUCAAGGUUUUCUUGGAAUUCUUCUUCCGUUGAUCACGAUUAUUAUCAUUAAUAACAAAGUGUUGAUAGCCUAAACAUGAUCUAAAGGUCCAUGGUGCAAACCCUCGGUUCCUCAUUGUUUUCCUGGUCAUACCAAGAGUUGUUGCUUUGAAAUUGUGGGAUAUCCAGACUGGUGGGAUCAGUUUUAUUGCAGUGAGUGCAUUUGAAUGUUGACUUAUCAAUAUUAGGGCUUGUCUUCGGAUGGUUGAUUGCUGUUGGACUACCAUAGCGACAAAAUAUCCAGGAUUUCAAUUCCAGGGCUCUGAUACCAUCUUCAAAUUGAUGAAUGAUAGUUUUUCAUUCAUUCUUUCAUGUACAGAGUAUAUAUAGAGGGUAAUCACCAUUCUAAGAAUGGGAAAGAAUGAUACGAGGAAAUAAUGAUAUAAGGAAAUAAUAACUAAUAUCCUAAUAUCUCAACUUUCCUAAUAUCUCAAUAUUCCUAAUAUCUCAACUUUCCUAAUAUCUAAACAUUCAUAAUAUCUCAACACUAAAUGAUACAAGGAAAGAAUGAUAUAAGGAAAACAUUCCUAAUAUCUCAACACCACUUCAUGAUAUAUAUAGUUUCUUACCCUUAAUCAAUGGUUUCUAAGUGAAUUUAUAUAGAAAGAAAUCCAAACUGUAGACAGCAGUAUUGGUAACACUCAAUAUUCUGUAUAUAAUAGAAUAAAUAGCGUCACAGUGAUCGUCGCCUACAAGCAAGGUACAAAUACCACAAAGAGUGACCCACAUAGACAUUCCCCAACAAGAUGUAGUAGUGACUGACACAUAGCCACAAUUAACACGUAGAAAAGGAUAAGACCGGUGCACAGUAGCUCUUAUUUUACAUACUACUUAUGCCAACCAAAGUCACUCAGUUGGGAUGGGAGGGAGAUGGAGGUUUGUGCGGUGGCUUGUGGGGCGGAGUUGAUGGCUUCUUUCCAGGAGCUUCUGGCUUUUUCAUCGGAGCUGAAGGAGGCUCAAUCUUAUGAGGCGGCUUGUACGAGUCUUCUUUGCUCUCGAAAGGAGGGUGGCCAGGGUUGUGACCAUAAUGUGGUGGUUUCUCUCCCUUGGGAGGUUUACCAAUUGGGGUUGGUGGCUUGUGUUCUGGGAGUGGUUUCUCUCCCUUGGGAGGUUUAGUGGGUGACUUGUGUUCUGGAGGUGGCUUCUCCACCGAAGGCUUGUGCUCCGGUGGUGGCUUUUUGGUUGGAGGGGGCUUGGGGUAAUCAGCAAGAGAUGGGGUGGUGAGAACCACCAGUCCAAGGAACAACACUAGCAAGUAUGUGGGAGACAUUUUUGAGUUUGGGCUGAUCAGAUGAUGCAAAACUAAAGCAUUACGUGACCUUUUAUAGCAAGUAGCUCCCAAUACCUACUUGACACGUGUUACUGUGACCCAUAAAUAUUAUGGGGUCUAUUUGUGCCCUACCGGGUUGAAAACUUGGACAAUUGGGCAAGGACCCGCCUGACUAUGGAGGACUACUGAGGUGUGAUCACAGCUUUAGGAUUUUUCUUCCUCUGCAGCCGUCUUGCCGUUGGCAUGAUUUUCUUAAUCUCAAAUAAAGGCAUAGUUAUAGAGUUGUUUAAUCUCUAAAUGGGAUUUUAUAUAUCUUCAGAUAGCCAUUAAUACAUUUGAUGAAGAAAGAAAGACAAGUGCAUACAACAUGUAUACGACUAGCUUUCAUGGAGUUCAUUUAUGAUCAGUUUUCCUGUACAUGUAAACCAAGAUCAUAUAUGUUUUUGUUCCACAACAAUUUUGGAAUCUUGUUUAUCCGUUUUUAUCAUUAUAAUGUCACAUAGGCUGCCAACUUGGGCGCUAAAUUAAAGAUCCAGUUGGGCAAGUUCGUUUCAGAAUUUCAAUGGUGGAUUCAGGAAUUGUUUUAUAAGAUAUGCAAAAUAGUAGAGGGAUGAAUAGUGUUUCAUUAAGAAAAGAGCCCUGUAAAAAUAUUGUUUAAAGGUGCCAUAGAAACUAUAAUCAAUAAAUAACUUUUUUUCCCCAUGGGUGGUGUUUCUUGUGGGGAUCAGUGACUGGUUUGAGUCAACGCCGUGUCUCUUUAGUCCAGAAAUCAACUAUUUUAUGCAUUGAAUACAUCAACAAAGAAAAUAUGAAAGCCAAAUGACACCUCCCCCGCAAAAACUAAACCCUGGUUGCUAACUUUCUAUGUUUCAGUUCCAUUCACACAAGAAUAUUAGUUCAAGUUUGAGAAAAAUGGCGACUUACCUAGUGAUAACUCGGUCUUGGUUUGCGAUUUGACUUUAACGUCAUGGGUUGAAGCCUCCUACAAUCAUCGUGUAUGCUAGUUCAAAGCUCGUGGAAGAAGUUAUACAGGGAGGGAGAAACCUCCACAGCAAGCUCCAAAAGAGAAUUAUCACAUUGAAAGCUCCAGUUGAACACUGGGUGAAAGCCAUAACAAGAUUGGUUUUCUAUCGCUCUUUUAAGUAAUGGAAGAUUAUUAUCUCUGCUUGUCACUACAACCGUGCAUGCUGCUAGAUCUUUCUAGACACUUCAAACAGUGAAACCAAGUAUGAUUCUUUUUCUCUUGAGUGGGUCCACUUGCAUGCCAAUGAACGAGUUGAAAAGUUGGACAAUUGGCCACAGCGCGCACUUACCUUCUGGAACCGAAGGUCAGUGAAGUGGGGUUCCUUUUGGCCCCUUGUGUUUCUGUUCCAACCUACUCCAGGAACCGAAGUUCAGUGAAGUGGGGCUACUUUUGGCCUCUUGUGUUUCUGUUCCAACCAAACAAAAAUGGGAGGGAAAAAUAGCAUUAUGCUUGUGCUAAAGAUCAACGCAUGAUAGCUGAAUAAGGGAGAAAAAGGCAUUGCUAUCUCAAUUUCAUAAACUUGAUAAGUAGUGACAUUAAUAGUCUUCCUCAUAGAUGGAUACAUGGUUUUAUUUUAUUUAUUUAUUUUUAUUUUUUUGUUUUAUGUCAAUGCUAAUGAAUGAAGUGCAUUAGCUUGUUUUGUGACUAGAACUACAAAUGUCCAAAUUGGAGCUUCUCCAAUAUAUUUCUCAGUGAGUUAUUGAUUAGAACUCUUGGAUUGAGUUCCAAGAUUUGAAUCAGACCCCUCUAGCAGCUUCAGGGGUACGUAGCAACCUAUAGCAUAUUAAUGAAGACUUAGGAUUUAGACUUAGGAAUACAAAUUAAUAUGUACCUCAUGCUCUGACUAGCUUCCCUGCGUAUGCACAAAAUGGAGAUGACUCCCAAAAAAAUAGCAGAAUCGCCUUAGUAUGUUUUUGUGGUUAAGAUGAUUCUCCACUUUAUAUAUCCACAUUGGUUCAUUAUGCAAAUUAAUCAACUAAGCUAUUUUUAUUUUUUCUUAAAUGUGAAAUAGGAGCUCCAAAUUAACCUAACCAUUGGCCUGAUUGAAUUGAUUUCACUUGCAUAAUGUUAUAGUAGAAGUCCGUAAUUUGAAUUUUAUUUUUGCAAAAGGUAACGUAAAUGAAGCAUUGUAAUUAAAUUUAUUUGUAAUUACAAACUAAUUUUAUUUUAUUAAGAAUUAAUUUAAUUACUCAUUUAAAAUAAAAAUCAGUUAUACUUUUACCAAGAUGAUAAUAUUCAUAUUUUUCUAGUUAACAUAUAUAAAAUAGUACACUUUUUCAUAUAAAAAAAUAAUUUAUGAUUUAUUAUAAUGUUACUAUUCACAUUUUACUAAAUUGAUGGUACAUGAUAGUGAGAGAAGGGGGUGUCACACUCAGCUAAAGUUCUUUUCAAAAUAUUGCAUGGUGUUUAAUUUUAUGUGUCGGCGCGCGUGUGAAUGGAACCUGCAAAAGUCCAAAUUGGCGUUUCUCCAUUUUCCACAUAGGAUGGUGACGUUAAUAGACAAAGAUACAAUAUCUGUAGACAUUGCUUAAAAAUCGAUGUGAAGUAUUAGAAAUUACAGGGCACUGUACUGGGGGAGCGGCUGCCCCGCCAAAGGAGGAAGAAUGUAGCAAUUUCUUCUGUUAGCCAGGCCUUAGGAUUUAUGCAUGGGAUGCCUAAUAACAAACAGAGAAAAUAUACUUUUGGGGAAGGUAUCCAACAACAGACACCAUCAUUCAGAUGGUGGGAAGGUAUCCAACAGAUGCCAUCAUUCAGAUGGUAACAUAUAUAUACAUUUAUUAGUGAGUUUUUUUAAUACCUAUAAAAAAAAAUAUACACUUUGAUAUUGUGGCUGAAUCCAUUACAUACUCAACUAACCUUGCUCAUUAGGGAUUUGACUUAACAAGGGCAACGUUGCAGUACAAGCUCAAAACUUUAUGCAGGUGACAUUACAUUUGGUAAAGAAGAGGAAAAUAACGAAAGCCAUCCAUAAAAGCAAAAUUCCACAUGGGAUGAAAUUCACAAGCUUCAUUUACGAUAGAGUCGCAUCCAGGCAAUUAAUUCCACAUUAGACCGCCUGUUGACAUGUGUACCAAUCUUUUUUCAAAAAAUAUUUAUAAAUAAUUGAUACUCACAAAAAUAAUUUAAUAUUUAUAAAGGAUAAAAAAAUAUUUUCAAAUCUAUAACAAUUUAUAAAAUAUUAAUAAAAAAUUAUCUCUUAAACUUAGUAUAGUUUUAUCAGAUUAAACUUUUAUUUUGAACAAAUAAUUUUAAUCUAAGUUUUAAAUUCUAAAAUUAUUUCCUUAAAAUAAAAUUUUAAAAUUCAACACUUCAAUUGAAAUUGUCUUUUUAAAAAAUAUCUUCUUAUUUUAAUCCUUAUAAACUAUAGUUGAUUGAAAAUACUAUUGAAGUUCUCUCUUAAAAAAAAGUCUUAUUUUAAUCUUCAUAAAUUGCCCUUGAUUUGAAAAUAAAUUUUCAGUUAUCAUAUUUUAAAUAAUAUCUAUAUUUAAAAUACUCUAUUUAAAAAAAAAUGAACUAAUUUUAAUUAUAUUAUAUUUUAUUUUUUUAUAUAUUUUUAAUGAUAAACCAAACAUAGAAAAUCAUUUUUCUAAAUAUUUUAAAAUUUCUAAGCAACCAAACAUAAUCUUCAAAAUAAAAGGAAAAUAAGGAGGGACAUUUGAGAAAUGGCGAUUAAAAAAAAGUGUACAAAAGCUCAAUUAAUUUUCUUCUAGUCUUUUAUAUAAAAAAGUAAAGGAAUUGAAAAGUAUUGAUAUGUAAAUUAAUAUUUGGAUUUUAAUAGUAUUUUAUUUGUCUUUCUCUAUCUCAUGUAAAAGAGAAUUUAAGAUAUUUCCUAAAGCAAAGCAUUAGUUAUCUGCAAUCAGUGGUGAUCAUGCCCCAUGUCAAUUUCGGACCCAUAUCUUAAAACUGUAUAAUUUGCAUUCAAACAUUACUGAUUUCUCAGAUGUUUCAUACUCCACAGAAGAGCAUUGUUUGUGAAAGCAUGCAUUUAUGUUGGAUUUUGGAUGAUGUGGGAACUGGGGCAAGGAUCAUAUGGAAGAGUGGUCGAUUUUGUUCUGUACUUUAACAUUUGAAAUAGGAGAAGCUCGGGCAUUUGUGGGGCUUAAUUGAUUUUGAAGCCUGAAAUUGCGUUUCUGUCAUUUUGUAAAAAAUAUGGCAGAUUCCAUGCUCUCAUAUGUUUGGUCUGUGGCCAUGUAUAGAUGCCCCUUAGUGACCAGUUUGUAACUGUCAAUCAUAGUGUUUUGACUCUGGCUCAACAACAUCAGCCAUUGACGGAUUUUCAUACUUGCAAAUCAAAUAGUCUUCUUCCUCCCUUAGGAAUUUCGGUUUAAAUGUUAUUAAGCAUACAUUUGGCUGACAAUUAUUAACCACUUCAUGAUAUGGUUUCUUACCCUUAAUCAAUGGUUUCUAAGUGAAUAUAUGCAGAAGGAAAUCUGAACUGUAGACAGCAGUAUUGAUAACUCUCAAUAUUCUUUAUAUAAGAGAAUAAACAACGUCAUAGUGAUCGUCGCCUACAAGAAAGGUACAUUUCCCAACAAGAUGUAGUUGUGACUGGUACAUGGACGCAAUUAACUCGUACAAAAGAAUAAGACCAGUGCACGGCAGCUCUUAUUUUACAUGCUAAUUAUGCUAACCAAAGUCACUCAGUUGGGAUGGGAGGGAGAUGGAGGUUUGUGCGGUGGCUUGUGGGGCGGAGUUGGUGGCUUCUUUUCAGGAGCUUGUGGCUUUUUCGGAGCUGAAGGAGGCUCAAUCUUAUGAGGCGGCUUGUACGAGUCUUCUUUACUCUCGACAGGAGGGUGGCCAGGGUUGUGACCAUAAUGUGGUGGCUUCUCUCCCUUAGGUGGCUUGCCAACUGGGGUUGGUGGCUUGUGUUCAGGAAGUGGUUUCUCUCCCUUGGGAGGUUUACCAAUUGGGGUUGGUGGCUUGUGUUCUGGGAGUGGUUUCUCUCCCUUGGGAGGUUUAGUGGGUGACUUGUGUUCUGGAGGUGGCUUCUCCACCGGAGGCUUGUGCUCCGGUGGUGGCUUCUCCACCGGAGGCUUGUGCUCCGGUGGUGGCUUCUUGAUUGGAGGGGGCUUGGGGUAAUCAGCAAGAGAUGGGAUGGUGAGAACCACCACUCCAAGGAACAACACUAGCAAGUAUGUGGGAGACAUUUCUGAGUUUGAGCUGAUCAGAUGAUGCAAAACUAGAAGAAUUACGGGACCUUUUAUAGCAAGUAUCUCCCAAUACCCACAUGACACGUGUUACUAUGACCAUAAAUAUUAUAGGGUCCAUUUGUGCCCUACCGGGUUGAAAACUUGGACGCUUGGCCGAGGACACACCUGACUAUGGAGGACUAUUGACGUGUGAUCACAGCUUUUGGAUUUUUCUUCCUGUGCAGCUGUCUAGCGGUUGGCAUUAUUUUCUUAAUCUUAAAUAAAGGCAUAGUUAUAGAGUUGUUUAAUCUCUAAAUGGGAUUUUAUAUAUCUUCAGAUAGCCAUUAAUAUAUUUGAUGAAGAAAGACAAGUGCAUACAACAUGUAUACGGCUUGCUUCAAUCGAGUACAUUUAUGAUCAGUUUUCCUGUGCAAGUAAACCAGUUUUUUGUUCCACAACUAUUUUGGAAUCUUGUUUAUCAGUUUCUAUCAUUAUAAUGUCACAUAGGCUGCAAACUUGGGCACCCAAAGAUCUAGGUGGGCAAAUUUGUUUCAGACUUUCAAUGGUGGAUUCAGUAAUUGUUAAAAGGUGUUUCUUCAUUAAGGAAAGAGUCCGGUAAAAAUAUUGUUAAAAGGUGUCAUAGAAACUAUAAUAAAUAAAUAACUUCUUUUCCCCAUGGGUGGUGUUUCUUCUGGGGAUCAGUGACUGGUUAGGGUCACCCAAAAUGAGUCCAGAUUAAAAUUGGUUCGAGUCAAAGCAGUCUCUUUUGUCCAGAAAUCAACUAUUUUGCGCAUUGAAUGAAUCGAUAAAGAAAAAAUGAAAGCCAAAUCACACCUCCCCUGCAAAACCUAAACCCCGGUUGCUAACUUUCUAUGUUUCAGUCCUAUUCAUAUAGGAAUAUUGGUUCAAGUUUGAGAAAAAUGGCAACUUACCUAGGGUUUACUUGGUUUUGGUUUGCGACUAUUUACGCAACCAACCAUGAGUUUGACUUUAACGUCAUGGGUUGAAGCCUCCUACAAUCAUGUAUGAUAGUUCAAAGCUCGUGGAAGAAAUUAUACAGGAAGGAAGAAACCUCCAAAGCUAGCUCCAAAAGAGAAUUAUCACAUCGAUAGCUCCAGAGAUUCCCAAGGGAACUGAAUCAAAGACAAGUUCCUCACUUUUUCUUCUUUUGAGGCCAAAUAUGAACCAAGGAUCACACGACCUCAUUCAACUUCAUAAGUUUGAUUUCAUGCAGUUGAACACUGGGUGAAGGCCAUGACAAGAAUUGAUUAAAAAAUUCUACCACUCUUUUAAGUAAUGGAAGAUUAUUAUCUCUGAUUGGCACCACAACAGCACAUGCUGCUAGAUCUUUCUAGACACUCCAUGCAAUGAAAGCACAAUGGAUCUUGUAAUGAUAGAAACUAAGCCAUGCUACAGUACUAGAUGAGGGGGUAAAACUAGUAGACAUCUUUCUAGACACUCCAUGCAAUGAAAGCACAAUGGAUCUUGUAAUGAUAGAAACUAAGCCAUGCUACAGUACUAGAUGAGGUGGUAAAACUAGUAGACAUGGCUGGCAGUUGAUUACUACUCAAAAAGUACUCUUUUAUAGCUUGAAACUAACUGUUUUAAACACUUUUGAGUAGUAGUUAAUACCUUUUAACUUAAUUGGCACAUUAAGGAACCUAGCAAGGGUUACUAAUCAACAUUUGGCAAGUUUUGAUGUUUUUGGUAGCUAUUUGAUCAUUGAAACAAGCCAAGAAUGAGGGGGAAUUUUGUGAAGUCCAUGGCAAUGCAAGUUAAAGCUCAAAUACAUGAAGAAUCCAAGCUUUGGAGCACUUCAUAGCCCUUUGCCAAGCCAAUCAAAGAUGCAAGGAAGAAAACCAAAGGAAGAAAUCCAACAAUCAGCAUUUUGGCAUGGCUAUGUGAAAUUUCGCACACCAUGCGAAACCACAAGAGGCAGCCAAAGAAUUUCGCAUGGUAUGCGAAAUCUUCUUGUGCACUGACUCUGUUAGAUUUUUAUCUUCAGAUAUUUUGUGUAAUUUCCUAGUUUCUCCUUGUAACCAACUUAGAUAUUUUCUUUUAUAUCUUUUUUUAUAUUUUUUAGGUAACAUCAUAUAUAAGAGGAGAGACAUAAGGAGGAUAUGGAUGUUUUUCAUAGAACACUUGUAAAUUUUUGGUAGUAAGAAAUAUACAAAGCUUUUUGCUCUGCCUUACCUUCUCAAGGGAUGAGUGGCUAGGUUUUCUUGGAGUGAGGGAAGCUAGGUGAAGGACCUGAAUGCAAAGGUGGGAGUUUUCCUUACUUUAAAUGAAAGUAGUUGUUAAACAUUAAUGGUUUUUAUUUUAAGGUUUAGCUUUAAAUCCCUGAAAAACACCUUGAAUGGCCAAUACUUGGUAAGCUUUUUAGAUUCUAUGGAUGCUUAUUGCUAGAUCCAUGGAUGUCUAUUAGUUAUCAUUUACGAGCCAUUGGAAGGUGAUUCAAGGUGAGGGUCUUUAGUGUUUGAAGCCAUUAAUGGGAAGCAAUUACCAUUUUUUCAUGAAUCCUUUGGAUCAAAUCUUAAUUGCUAAAUAUAAAACCGGUUUCGAGAGAUAACCACCAUCCUUUAUGUUAUUAUCCCCAACGCGAGGAGAAGAUCCGAAAUCUUCCUUUUUAUCUAAGGAACCCGAUCCUAGUGACCUAAAGCUCCAAGAUACCUUUUCUUUGUAGUUAACUUCAUUUAUUGUUUUUGCUUAACUUAAAAUCAAUCUUUGCAACCACAAUUCCAUUUUCUUUAAAAGCUAAUUUUUAUAAGGAAAAACACCAUUUUAUUUCCUUCACUAAGUCAACUGUACGAUGAAAACCCAUCCCUGUGGACGAUCCUAGAGCCACUAUACUAUGUUAGCUAUGCUACCCUAGUGUGAGGUGAUUUAGGUUUUAUAAAUUUUUUUGAUAACACCCAUCUGAGCCAGAAUCAAAUGGCACGACUGAACCAGGGACGAAUCAAAUGACGCCGCUACCAAGGAUGGUGCCAAAGUACAUUGACAUGACUUUUGGUGAACACUUGUGAUCUUCACCACAAGUUUGGUGAUUUUUCUUUUACUAAUUUUUUUUAUUUUAGCUUAUCUUUUAUUUAGUUUUUAGUUAACCUUAAAUUUUUCCUAGAAUUGUAUUUCUUUUGUUUUCUUUGUUUUUGUUUCAGUGAUCUUUAGUUGUGCAUGCCCUAUUGGAUAAGAGAUAUUGAGGGAAUACUUGUGAAGAUUGAAACUCCUCGAGAAACUGAGUUAGAAGUGUGCUUGAACAUCAUGGAUGUUCCACCUGAAGACCAGAAUAGCCAACAUGGUUAAGAGGAUAAUUUCAACACAUACCGAUCCAUGAGGAACCGCAUACAUCCACCUUGUAUGAGUGCACCGUCAGGCAUAAUGCCUCCCACUGAGCAGCUAGUAAUCUGACCUCACAUUGUGCCACUCCUACCUACUUUCCAUGGGAUGGAGAGUGAGAAUCCCUACUCGCAUAUUAAGGAAUUCGAGGAGGUUUGUAAUACAUUCCAAGAAGGAGGAGCUUCAAUUGACUUGAUGAGGCUCAAGCUAUUUCCUUUCACUUUGAAGGAUAAGGCCAAGAUUUGGCUUAAUUCUUUAAGGCCAAGAAGUAUCCAAACUUGGAUUGAUUUGUAAGCCGAGUUUCUUAAGAAGUUCUUCCCUACCCAUAGGACCAAUGGUUUGAAAAGGCAAAAUUUGAACUUCUCAGUUAAAGAGAAUGAGAAAUUCUAUGAGUGUUGGGAGAGCUACAUGGAAGCUAUUAACGUUUGUCCUCACCAUGGCUUUGACACAUGGCUCUUAGUGAGCUAUUUUUACAAUGGUAUGUCUUCUUCAAUGAAGCAACUCCUAGAAACUAUGUGUGGAGGAGACUUCAUGAGUAAGAAUCCGGAGGAAGCCAUGGACUUUUUGAGUUAUGUGGCUGAAGUUUCAAGAGGAUGGGAUGAACCAAAUGCUAGAGAGGUGGGAAGAAUGAAGUCUCAACCUAAUGCUAAGGGUGAGAUGUAUGUUUUGAAUGAAGACAUUGACAUGAAAGCAAAGGUUGCAGCUAUGGCAAGGAGAUUGGAAGAGCUAGAAAUGAAGAACAUACAAAAAGUGCAAGCCAUUUCUGAGACAUCAAUGAAAGCUAUGCCUUGUUCCAUUUGUCAAUCUUAUAAGCACCUAGUGGAGGAGUGUCCUACAAUUCCAGCAGUGAGAGAGAUGUUUGGUGAUCAAGCAAAUGUUAUUGAUCAAUUCAAGCCUAAUAACAAUGCUUCAUAUGGCAACACCUACAAUUCAAAUUGGAGGAACCAUUCAAAUUUCUCUUGGAAACGAAAGCCACCUCAAUACACACAACCUACUCAAGCACCUUAGCAAUCCUCGAAUCUUGAACAAGCUAUUGUGAACCUUAGCAAGGUUGUGGGAGACUUUGUGGGAGAUCAGAAGUCCAUCAAUGCUCAACUGAAUCGGAGAAUUGACAGUGUGGAGAGUACAUUGAACAAAAGGAUGGAUGAGAUGUAAAAUGAUCUGUCUCAAAAGAUAGACAAUGUCCAAUACGUAAUCUCAAGGCUUACCAACCUCAACACAGUGUAAGAGAAAGGAAAGUUUCCUUCUCAACCUCAUCAAAAUCCUAAGGGUAUCCAUGAAGUAGAGGCUCAAGAGGGAGAAUCUUCAAAGGUGAGGGAAGUCAAAGUAGUUAUCACCUUGAAGAGUGGUAAAGAGGUUGAUCAACCCACAUCCAAGCCAAAGCAUAAUGAAGAGAGUGUAGCAGAAAAAGAAAAGAGAGGAAAAUAAAGGAAUUAGAAUAGAGAAAAAUACAAAGAAAGAUGACCAUGAGUCUAGUGUGGAUGAAGAGCCCGAGAGGAUGGUGAUCAAGGAAGAUAUGAUGAAGAAACACAUGCCUCCACCUUUCCCCUAAGCUUUGCAUGACAAAAAAAGAACCAAUAAUACAUCAGAAAAUUUUGAAGUAUUGAGGCAAGUGAAGGUCAAUAUCCCUUUGCUAGACAUGAUCAAACAAGUGUCGACAUAUGAAAAAUUCUUGAAGGACUUGUGCACUGUAAAGAGAGGGUUGAAUGUGAACAAGAAAGCUUUAUUGACCGAGCAAGUGAGUUCCAUCAUACAGUGCAAGUCCUAGUGAAGUACAAAGAUCCGGGUUGCCGUACCAUCUCAGUGAGUAUUGGAAGGACUUGUGUGGAGAAAGCUUUGUUGGACUUGGGAGCAAGUGUGAAUUUGCUAUCCUACUCUGUCUAUAAGCAGUUGGGAUUUGGAGAGUUGAAGCCAAUAUCCAUCACUCUAUCUCUAGCGGAUAGAUCAAUGAAGAUUCCAAGAGGGAUGAUCGAAGAUGUCCUGGUUCAAGUUAACAAAUUCUACUAUCCAGUAGAUUUUGUUGUUCUUGAUAUGGAUCCGGUUGUCAAAUGAACUAAUUAUGUUCCUAUCAUACUUGGAAGACCCUUCCUAGCUACAUCAAAUGCAAUCAUCAAUUGUAGGAAUGGAGUCAUGCAACUCACAUUUGUCAACAUGACAUUAGAGCUCAACAUCUUCCAUUUGUACAAGAAGCAUAUCCAUCAGGAGGAAAAAGAAGGUCUAGAGGAAGUGUGAAUGAUUGACACUUUAGUGGAAGAGCAUUGUGAUCGAGAAUGCAAAAAGAUUUAGUUGAGAAUUUUGGGGAUCUUGAUGAAAGGUUACUUGAACCCUCAGAUUUGCUUGCUACCCUACUCCAUUGGAAGAGAAGAGAAGAAAUUCUACCCUUAUUCAAUGAGGAGGAGACGCAAAGAGCUGCAAAGGAGAAACCCCCAAAACUUAUUCUUAAGCCACUACCCACAGAGUUGAAGUAUGUAUACUUGGAAGAAGACAAGAAGUGCCCUAUUGUUAUAUCUUCAACUCUUACCAUUCAUCAGGAGGAUUGUCUACUUGAAGUCCUUAGAAGAUGUAAGAAGACAAUAAGGUGGCUAAUUUCUUAUUUGAAAGGGAUCAGCCCUUUAGUCUGCACCCAUCAUAUUUACAUGGAGGAUGAAGCUAAGCUAAUUCAUCAACCUCAGAGAAGGUUGAACCCUCACAUGCAAGAGGUGGUUCGAGCUGAAGUUCUGAAGCUACUUCAGACCAGUAUUAUUUACCCCAUAUCAAAUAGCCCAUGGGUGAGUCCUACUCAAGUUGCGCCAAAGAAGUCUGGGAUCAUGGUGGUGCAAAAUGAUAAGGGAGAAGAUGUCUCUACACGCCUCACUACAGGUUGGAGGGUGUGUAUCAAUUACAGGAGGUUGAAUGCAGUGAUAAGAAAGGACCAUUUCUCAUUGCCCUUUAUUGAUCAGGUGCUUGAGAGGGUCUCUGGGCUUUUUUUUUUAUUGUUUCUUGGAUGGCUACUCCGGGUACUUUCAGAUAGAAAUUGAUGUUGAAAACCAAGAUAAGACCAUUUUCACAUGCCCAUUUGGAACCUAUGCAUAAAGGAGAAUGCCUUUCGGCUUAUGCAAUGCACCCGCAACUUUCCAAAGAUGCAUGUUAAGCAUUUUCAGUGAUAUGGUGGAGCGUAUUAUGGAAGUCUUUAUGGAUGAUAUCACCAUUUAUGGAAGUGCAUUUGAUGAAUGCUUGGUCAACUUAGAAGCUGUUCUGAACCGAUACAUUGAGAAAGACUUAGUGCUUAACUGGGAGAAGUGCCAUUUCAUGGUACACCAAGGGAUUGUCCUUGGGCACAUUAUCUCCAAGCAAGGCAUUGAAGUUGACAAAGCAAAGGUUGAACUCAUUGUUAAGUUGCCAUCCUCAACAAAUGUCAAAGGAGUAAGGCAAUUCUUUGGCCAUGUCGGGUUCUAUAGGAGGUUUAUCAAGGAUUUCUCUAAGCUUGCAAGGCCUCUUUGUGAAAUAUUGGUGAAUGAUGUUAAAUUCAUAUGGGAUGAUGGAUUUGAAAGGAGUUUUGAAGAAUUGAAGCUAUUUUUGACAACCGUACCAAUAGUGAGGGCUCCCAACUGGCAACUGCCCUUUGAAGUAAUGUGUGAUGUCAAUGAUUUUGCUAUAGGAUUUUUUCUUGGGCAAAGAGAAAAUGGAAAACCUUAUGUGAUCUACUAUGCGAGGAAGGCAUUGAAUGAGGCACAAAGAAACUACACAACCACCGAGAAAGAAUUGUUAGCUGUAGUUUUUGCCUUGGAUAAGUUUCGCGCUUACUUGGUGGGGUCCUUCAUCAUGGUUUUUACUGAUCACUUUGCUUUGAAGUAUCUGUUGACUAAGCAAGAUGCUAAAGCAAGGCUGAUUAGAUGGAUUCUCUUACUUCAAGAGUUCAAUCUCCAUAUCAAAGAUAAGAAAGGAGUGGAGAAUGUGGUAGCAGACCACAUUUCAAGGCUAGCUAUCGCACAUAAUUCCCAUGCUUUGCCCAUUAAUGACGAUUUUCUAGAGGGGUCUCUCAUGUUGGUGGAAGUUGUCCCUUGGUACGCUCACAUUGCUAACUACCUGGUCACGGGAAAAGUUCCAAGUGAGUGGAAAGCACAAGAUAAGAAGCACUUCUUUGCAAAAAUUCAUGCCUACUAUUGGGAAGAGCCAUUUCUAUUCAAGUAUUGUAUGGAUCAGAUAAUAAGGAAGUGCGUUCCUGAAGAAGAGCAACAGGGGAUCCUUAGUCAUUACCAUGAAAAUGCAUGUGGAGGCCACUUUGCUUAUCAAAAGACAGCCAUGAGGGUGUUGCAAUCGGGUUUCUGUUGGCCAUCACUUUUCAAAGAUGCCCACACCAUGUGCAAGAGUUGUGAUCGAUGCCAGAGGCUUGGGAAGUUGACACGCAGGAACAUGAUGCCUUUGAACCCCACUUUAAUAGUUGAUAUUUUUUAUGUUUGGGGCACUAACUUCAUGGGACCUUUCCCUAUGUCUUUUGGCUACUCUUACAUCUUGGUAGGAGUAGAUUAUGUUUCUAAGUGGGUUGAGGCAGUCCCAUGCAAACACAAUGACCAUAGAGUGGUUCUCAAGUUUCUUAAAGAGAAUAUCUUCUCAAGAUUUGGGGUGCCCAAAGCCAUAAUUAGUGAUGGGGGUACUCAUUUUUGCAACAAGCCUUUUGAAACUCUCCUAGCCAAGUAUGGGGUGAAGCAUAAGGUAGCUACACCUUACCACCCUCAAACUCAUGGACAAGUUGAGUUAGCAAACAGGGAGAUUAAAAACAUAUUGAUGAAGGUGGUGAACACAAACAGAAAAGAUUGGUCAGUCAAGCUUCUUAAUUCACUAUGGGCAUAUAGAACAACUUACAAGACCAUUCUCGGGAUGUCUCCUUAUCGCCUAGUUUAUGGCAAAGCAUGCCAUCUCCCUGUGGAAUUGGAAUACAAAGCUUGGUGGGCAAUCAAGAAGCUCAACAUGGAUUUGAGCAGAGCUGGGUUGAAGAGGUUCUUAGACCUUAAUGAGAUGGAGAAAUUGAGAAAUGAUGCCUACAUCAAUUCAAAAAUUGCAAAAGAAAAAUUGAAGAGGUGGCAUGAUCAGUUGAUUUCCCGCAAGGAUUUUCAAAAUGGACAAAGAGUCUUACUUUAUGACUCUAAACUCCACAUCUUUCCGGGCAAGCUGAAAUCAAGGUGGAUAGGUCAUUUUACCAUUCACCAAGUGCAUUCAAAUGGAGUAGUGGAACUACUCAACUCCAACAAUAUCGAGAACUUCAAAGUGAAUGGCCACCGUCUCAAGCCCUUUGUGGAGUCUUUUUCUCACAACAAGGAGAAAUUCAUCCUCCUUGAUCCACAUCAAGCUUAACAAGACCAAUUUUCUUGAUGGACUUAGUCUUUCUAAAGACUAUCGAGUCCAUAACUUUUUGUUUUAUUUUUUAUUUGAGAUUUUUUCGGUAUUGUUACUUGUUUUGUUUUUUAUUUUUCGUUUUAAUUUUAUUUGGUUUGAUUUAACUUAGGUUUUUGAUGAUCAAUUACAGGGGGGAUUUCAAAUAGAGGAAAAACCAAGAUAAUUCGCACACCCUACGAAAAUUUCGCAAGGCAUGCGAAAUUUAUGGCUUAUUUUGCAUGGGGUGAAAAUUUUCGUACAUCUUACGAACCAAUUUCGAACACUUUGCGAAAAUAAACCAACCCUGCGAAAUCAUUUCGAUUACUCUACGAAAUUUUCGUAGAGCAUGCGAAAAAUUUAGCACACCAAACACCAUUUCGCAUACUAUGCAAAAACCUAAGGGGUCUGCGAAACCAUUUCGCACCUCCAAAUCCAUUUCGCACAUUGUGCGAAAACCAAGAGGCGCUGUGCGAAAAUGAAAAGUCGCCCUGUCAUCCCUUUUUAAACCCCUCGAGCCCUAAAAUCUCCAUUUCGCAAGCACCCCUGUCCUUGCGAAUCCCUCAUUUUCCUCUACUACCUUGCAACCUCGUCCCUUUCCAUUUGAUAUUGUGCCCCGCGCACAUCUCAUUUCAGAGACUCGCACUCCGCGCCCCCUCAAAGCAUGGACUCGAGACCCACCUUCCAUUUCCGACGUGGCACGGACCCAAGGAGCCCUUUCUGCCCCUUCACUAAGACACACACCAAGGCAGAAAGCCUCCUUUGCUCAAGUGCCUAGUGAUUCUCCAUCUUAGGCCUCAGAGGCCUCGGAGGCCCCGUGGAUUCCACCUUCCGAGGGUAGAGCAGCCAUUGGUCCUUCCUCUUCUACUCCUUAGCGUAGAUACGAGACGAGGAGACCACCUACUACACAAGGGGCGACUACUUCGAGCCUUGAGAAUUCAGUACGAUGCCUUCCUGCCAAGAGGGUCAAGACUUCAGGUCCAAGUGAGUCAUCCAGAGCUUCAUAGCCUAAGCCUCCUGUAGAUUCCAAGGUUCCUACUGACAUAUCACCGGAGUCUAUUAUCAGAAGCCCGAUGCUCAUAGCACCGCCCAUUGAGGGCAACUCAGAUUAUAGAGCGAGAUCUUUCCACUUGGAGCUAUAUUUUGAUCAGGAGGCCAUACGACAGCAGCCUGAGCUCCGAGACUCUUAUGGCUUACUGCAGAGGUACCAUCUUGAGGAACUUAUGACUCCUCGUGAGUUUUUUUAUCCCAGAGUAGCACUAAACUUUUACCAGUCCAUGACUACUCGUGGCGUCCCGAGUCCUACCACGAUUCACUUCACCAUUGAUAGACGUCAUGGUAUCCUCAAGGCCAGACAUAUUACAGAGGCUCUACAAAUUCCUUUCGAGCUAGAGGAUCCAUCUGUUUUUCGCUAAUGGUCCCCAGUAUCUCAGAGGGACAUGGUCCGUAUUUUAUCUAGGGGAACAUCUACAGAUUCGAUCUUUCUACGGAAGGAGCUUCGACCUGGGAUGCUCCUCUUAGAUGUGGUGCUAUGCUCCAACCUCUUUCCCUUACAACAUUCGGUACAUAGGUGAUGAGCUAUUUUGGACGCUUUAUUCCGUAUAUCAGAGGGCUUCUACUUUGGCCCGCACCACUUGAUCAUGGUCUCCCUCAUCCACUUUGAGGAGAAGGUUCAUAGGAAGAAGCUUCAGAGGGUGGACACCAUUCCAUUACUAUUCCUGAGGUUACUUUGCCAGGUCUUGGAGUACAUGGGCUUUCCUACUGAGCCUCGGCUCGAGCUUUGCCGCCUUUGUCGAGAGUGAUCCACUCUCGACAAAUGGAAUUAGUUGGCGGGCUAUUCUGCACCUCCAGGAGCCCCUCCCAUGGUAGCACCUCCAAUGUCCCCACAGGCAAAGUAGGGCGAGCUCCCGGCAAAGACUGUACCACCAAUGCCCACACUUGAGGCUAUUUCUGCUGCUCUGCCUAUGACUCCUACUGUUCCACCAGUUGGUCCUUUUACAUCCGAGCCUUCCAUCACCAUCUCGGCUUCGGAGUUUCGCGCCCUUGUGCAUACCUUUCAGACACUCACCACCACACAUACUCCUCUCUUCUAGCAAAUGGUUGAGAUGUGUGCCCAUCAGGACCGGAAGACUACUAUACUCUGCCAAAUUCAGCAGCACCUAAGACUUUUGCCUCAACCUCAACCUAACCAUCCCAUAUCAUCAGAGCCUCUAGCUCCAACUGAGGAUACUAUUCCACCUGAGAACACUACCACAGUAGAGGUCCGGUUUCCACCACCUUAAGAGGCCACCACAGCUACAUCAGAGGAUGUGUCAUCUCCACUUGAGGCUCCCACUACUUGAUCAUAGGACAUAUCUUUAUCUUAUUGUAUUUACAUAUUAUAUUACUAGAGAUUUGUCCUUGUUUUGAUACUUUAUAUUCUGGGAUUGGAUGUAUUGCCUGAUGAUAUCUCAAUUGUACUUUCUCAUAUUAAUAUAUAGACAUCAAUUUUUUUUAGUAUACUUAGCAUUUUUCUAUUUCCUCUACUCAUUACUCUUUUGUUUUUUUUUACUCAUGUGGUUUCUCUUAUACAACUCAGACUCCAUUUCACUCAGGAGGUACCACUUCCUCCCUUUAUUUUCAAUUGCUCUUGAAAUAUUGAGUGCAAUGUUGAUCUUGGUUGGGGGGAGAGUUGAGGAAGGAAGUUUUGUUAAUAAUGCUAGGUUAAUUUGUUAAUUUAGUUACUUUCUGCUUAAUUUUAAAAGUUUUCACUCUACUUUCCAUGGUUAUUAAGGAAAAAUUCUCAAAAUGAAAUGGGAGAAAUCGAAUUCUUGCAUUUUUACUUGAAUCUUAGAAUUUGUAUCAUGCUUAUUAAAGUUGAUGAAUUAUUGAAACUCCUAUUGAAUUCAACCUUAUUUUUUCCACUUUAAUCUUACCACACACGGUGCACAUUAGGUUCCAGUUAUAAGAUAAAAAACUAUCUCACCCCCUAAACUUAGAAAAAUUUACACUUGGUACCUUUGACAUCGUUUUAAUAGUGUUGGGACACCUUAUAAAAGGCCAAUGAGCCUUUAAAAAAAAAAAAAAAAAAAAAAAGAGAAAGAACAAAGUAUUGCACUUGCCUUGAAACCUGAGCAAGAUCCGAGGGGUAUACAGUGAAAGUCUUUAAAACCUGGUGCCCUAAGCCUUGAUUGGUUGGGAGUCACCGACCUCAAUGCUCGUUAUAAGGGUGAAUAGGUGGAGUUUAACAUAUUGUAGGUGCUUGGGUAUUGAAUUUCAAUCUCAAAAGUCCGGGAAAAAAUCUAAGGAGUUAGUGGUCAAAAGAUCCUUAAAGCUUGAUGCCCUAAACCUUGAUUGGUUGAGAGUCAUUGAUGGAUCCCCGCUACAUGGACAUUUUAGAAAACAAUACCUUUAGCAUUGCACGCCUACAAUGAAAAAAAAAUGUGAAAUAAAAGAGGUGCGUUCUUAGCCUAUUGGAGGUUGGUCAGUUUGCUAAAGUUUGAGAAAUCUAGGUUGGGGGGAGAGAAUAGUCCGACAUACUAUAAUAAAAAACUAAUAACCUUAACACUUAGAUUUUUGUGGAAGAGUAAGGAUUGGACCUUUAGGGGUGGAAAUUCUUUUGAUGCUUAAAUUUGCAUAAUGCCUACUCUUUAUAAAUUAUGAUUAGGCAAGAGAUUUGAUGACUCUUGUUCAAAGUUGGGUUUUUCCUCUUUGAUGUUCCAUGAGAGAGUAUAAUCCUCAUCAUGCCACUUGAAAUCUUUUUGGAGUGAUUAACAUGAUUUUGUAAAUUAUUUUACUGUCUAUUUUUCUUUAUCUCUCUUUUAUUGCUAAUGGACUAGCAAUAUGUCAGUUGGGGGGAGUGAUUACUACUCAAAAAGUACUCUUUUAUAGCUUGAAACUAACUGUUUUAAACACUUUUGAGUAGGUGUUAAUACAUUUUAACUCAAUUGGCACAUUAAGGAACCUAACAAGGGUUACUAAUAAGUUUUUGGCAAGUUUUGGUGUUUUUGGUAGCUAUUUGAUCAUUGAAACAAGCCAAGAAUGAGGGAGAAUUUUGUGAAGUCCAUAGCAAUGCAAGUUAAAGCUCAAAUACAUGAAGAAUCCAAGCUUUGAAGCACUUCAUAGCCCUUUGCGAAGCCAAUCAGAGAUGCAAGGAAGAAAACCAGAGGAAAAAAUCCAACAACCAGCAUUUUCGCAUGGCUGUGCGAAAUUUUGCACACCAUGCGAAACCACAAGAAGUAGCCAAAGAAUUUUGCACACCAUGCGAAAUUUCGCAUGGUAUACGAAAUCUUCCUAUGCACCAACUCCGUUAUAUUUUUAUCUUCAGAUAUUUUGUGUAAUUUCCUAGUUUCUCCUUGUAACCAACCUAGAUAUUUUCUUUUAUAUCUUUUUUUUAUAUUUUUUAGGUAACAUCAUAUAUAGGGGGAGAGACAUAAGGAGGAUAUGGAUGUUUUUCAUAAAACACUUUUAAUUUUCUGGUAGUAAGAAAUAUACAAAGUUUUUUGCUCUGCCUUACCUUCUCAUUUUGUUUUCACCUAUCUUUCUAGCCAAACAACCUCUGAGAAUGAUUUCUCAGGGGAUGAGUAGUUAGGUUUUACGUUUCUUGGAGUGAGAGAAGCUAGGUGAAAGACCCAAAUGCUAAGGUGGGAGUUGUCCUUGCUUUAAAUGAAAGUAGUUGUUAAAUAUUAAUGGUUUUUAUUUUAAGGUUUAGCUUUAAAUCCCUUAAAAACACCUUGAAUGGCCAAUACUUGGUAAGCUUUUCGGAUUCUAUGGAUGCUUAUUGCUAGAUCCAUGGAUGUCAUUAGUUAUCAUUUAUGAGCCAUUGGAAGGUGGUUCAAGAUGAGAGUCUUUAGUGUUUGAAGCCAUUAAUGGGAAACAAUUACCAUUUUUUCAUGAAUCCUUUGGAUAAAAUCUUAAUUGCUAAAUAUAAAACUGGUUCGGGAGAUAACCAUCCUUUAUGUUAUUAUGCCCAAUGCAAGGAGAAGAUUUCGAAUCUUCUCAUUUGUCUAAGGAACCCGAUCCUAGUGACCUAAAGCUCCUAGAGACCUUUUCUUUGUAGUUAACUUCAUUUAUUGUUUUUGCUUAACUUAAAAUCAAUCUUUGCAACCACAAUUCCAUUUUCUUUAAAAGCUAAUUUUUAUAAGGAAAAGCACCAUUUUAUUUCCUUCACUAAGUCAACUGUAUGAUGAAAACCCAUCCCUGUGGACGAUCUUAGAGCCACUAUACUAUGUUAUCUAUGCUAUCCUAGUGUGAGGUGAUUUAGGUUUUAUAAAUUUUGUUGAUAACACCCGUCUGAGCCAGAAUCAAAUGGAACCACUGAACCAGGGACAAAUCAACAGCCUAUAUGGGAGGGACACAAGUUUAAUUGAUUUGCAUUUCAGCGUUAUAGAUAAGUAUGUUUUGGAAGAUUUGUUCUGGAAAUACUGCACCAAGUACGAUUCUUUUUCUCUUGAGUGAGUCCAUUUGCAUGCCAAUUAACGAGUUGAAAAGUAGGAGCACCUACCUCGUGCUCAUGGAACCGAAUGUCAGUGAAGUGGGGCUCCUUUUAGCCUCUUGUGUUUCUGUUCCAACCAAGGCGGCGUAGGGAAAAACAACAAUAUGUCUGUGCUAAAUAUCAACGCAUGAUAGAUGUUUUUUUUUUUUUUUUUGGUAUGUCAAGGCUAACGAAUGAAAUGCAUUAGCUUGUUUUGUGACUAUAACUGCAAAUGUCCAAAUUGGAGUAUCUCCAUUUCUCACUUCGGAUGGUUAACUUUAUAAACAAGAUAUAGGAAACAUGUGAACAUCUUGAGGAACAAUUCAAAUUAUUCAUUAGAAGUCCUGGGUUAAGUUCCAAGAUUUAAAUCAGACCCUUCUAGCAGCUUCAAGGGUACUUAGCAACCUAUAACAUAUUAAUGAAGAUUUAGGAUUUAGACUCCGGAAUACAAAUAAAUAUGUAUCUCAUGCUUUGACUAGCUUCCCUACAUAUGCAUAAAAUGGAGAUGACCCAAAAAAAAUAGCAGAAUCUAGCUUCCCUACAUAUGCACAAAAUGGAGAUGACCCAAAAAAUAGCAUAAUCGCCUUAGUUUCUGUGGUUAAGGUGAUUCUCCGCUUAAUAUCCACAUUGACUCAUUAUGCAAAAUCAACUGAGCUAAUUUUAUUUAUUUAUUUAAUGUCAAAUAGGAACUCCUAAUUAACUGAUUACUGUCGAAAAGUGCUAUUUUGUAGACCUAAUUAUAAGGGUUUUAAGCACCUUUGAGUAGUAAUCAUAUUCAUUUAACCUAAUUAAUUCAUUAAGCUCCUUAGUAAUUAGUUCUAACCAUUUUUAGUGGCAAGUUUACAUGUUUUUCAUCAGCUUAUGAACCAAUUCAAGCAUGCCAAUUGAUGGAGGAGCUACUUGGGCGAGUUAAGCAAGGAUUUUGGACGUUUACAGGCUUGAAUUUCAAGUGGAAACACGAGCACAAGCAAUGGGAACACCAUUUCGCAAGGGGAGGCAAUUCACCUUGCCAAAUGACCAAUUUCGCAAGGGGAUUUUCCUCAUGGUGCAAAAUUUGGUCAUUUCGCACCAUGAAGAAACCACCUUGCAAAAUUUCGCAAGGUGGAUUUAGGCACCUUGCGAAAUGCCAAAUUUCACAAGGUGGCUUUUCACCUUGCGAAAUUUGGACCUUUCAUCUUCCCCCCUUGCGAAAUGCCUUUGAAAUCCCCUGUUUUGAGACGCUGUUGAUGAUAUUCCACUGCCGGUUCUCCAAGAUAUUUUGCUUGACUUUUAGCUUUAUAAAUACCUAUUUUACCCUUGUAAUCAACCAAUGAAAAGGUUGCUUUUGUAAUAGCUCUUGUAAUUUAGCUUUUUAUUGUCUUUAAAUAGAGGUGAAGAGCCUCAGACACGAUCAUCUUGUAACCUGUAACUUUAUAAGUUAUAAGAGCACUUUUGUUCAUACGCUUCUUUUCUCUUUUCUUUCUCAUUUUCUUAGUAGCCAAACAUCCUUGGAGGAUGAAAUCCCCAAGGAUGAGAGGCUAAAACCUUUUAGUUUCUUGAAGUAAUGGAUGCCAUGUGAAGCUCCCGUGUCAGGAUGGAGAUUUCCAAGCCAUAAAUGUAAGUAGCUGAGCGUCAUAAAUGUUUUCAUUCAAAGUAAAGCUUUUAAUCCCUCUGACUUGCUUUGAAUGGCCAAUACUUGAUAACCUUUUGGUCUCAAUGGAUUCUUAUUGUUAGAUCCACUGACGUUCAUUAGUUAUCUCCUACGAGCCAUUGUAUUGCAAGUCGAGGAGAUGACCUAUACCAAUAAAAGAGCAUUUAUGAGGUUCAACUACCCUUUUUGUAAGUUUUCAAGGACUAAAACUCAGUUGUUAAACUCAUACCGGUUCGAGAAGUAAGCAUCACCUUAGUUGCUUCCCCAACUCGAGGUGAAAAGUCCCAAAAUCUCCAUUUUUACACAGUGAGUUAAGCAUGGCUAUCCAAAGCUUUAAGAAACUUCUUUUUCCAUCUUUUAACCUAUUUUCAUGUUAGUUUAGUUUACAACACCUUCAUCUUUUUAUGUUUUCAUCUUAACCUAAUUUUUAUUAAGAAAAGUUCACUCCAUCCUCCGAACUUCACCAGUUAAAGUAAAAACCCUUCCCAGUGUUCGAUCCUAGAGCCACUAUGCUAUAGUAGCUUUGCUACUUUAGUGUAAGGACCUUAGGUAUAAAUUUUGUUGAUACCCUUACAUGCCAAGCUACCAAGAGUCGGGUUAUCAUUAACCUAACCAUUGGCCUGUGUAAAUUGAUUUCACAUGCACAAUGUUGUAGUAGAAGUCCAUAUUUUGAAUUUUAUUUUUGUAAAGGUAAGGAAAAUGAAGCAUUGUGUAAUUAUAAAAAUAACUUCAUUGGAAUUCACAAGGUUCACCCAAAAUGGAGCUACAUCUGUAUUCUAUCCUACAGUAGACUAUAUAGAUUGUACAAUAGUAAAUUGCAAAUACAAUUAAUAAGUCUUGUGCUUCCUUACUAAUAAUCCUUUGACAUGAACAUUGCAGCACUAAGGUCCUCUUGGGAAGACACCUUGCACCCAUGAGAGCACUAAGAGGAAGCAAGGCAGAGUCAUGGGUGCAAUGUCAUGACUUGUUGUUGCACCAAGAGAGGCUUGGUGAUGCCAUGGUGUUGCAGUAGCAAGAAUGUUGCCUUGGCAGGGACACGAUCUAGGGAUAGAUGCCAAGAAAGGCUUAGCACUCACAUGAGUUGCACAAAGAUGAAUGUAAUAGAGCAUCAGAGAGACGUCUUGGCAAGUAAAUGAAUGGAUCCAAGAGACAACAACAUGAGGAGUUUCAAAUGGAUAAGGAAUGACUCAAAGACAUUUGAAAGCUACAAGUUGGAUUCUAAUUACGAUUGCAAUUUGAGUUUGAGUAGGAGUUUAGAUUUUGAUUGUAAUUGUAGUAUGAGUUGGACUAGGAUUGCUUAUCCUUAGUCAAUAUAGGAGCGGUUCGUGUCACCCUAUGAAAAGAGUUUGAGUAGGGACUAGGAUUGCUUACUCCUAGUCAAAUAUGGAGUAGGUGGUGCCACACCUAUAAAAAAAAGGGACAACAUGAGAGAGAGAGAGAGAGAGAAAGAGAGAGUGAAUUCACUAAAGAUAUUGUGGGAGUUUUGCUUUGUUACGUCUUGUAUUAUUACUUAGAAUAGGAAUAAAAUACAAGUUGGGGCUAGAGCCCCAUAAUUAAUCUCGUGUGCCUUUGUGGUUAUUCUUUAUUUGUCAUCUCGUGUGGAUUGGAUUAGGUUGACUUAGAGGGCUUCUAAGCACCACCUUUGUGGGUUAUUAUUUAUUUUCCAUCUCUUGUGGAUUAGAUUAGGUUGACUUAGAGGGCUUCUGAGCACCACCUUUGUGGGUUAUUAUUUAUUUUCCAUCUAUUGUGGAUUAGAUUAGGUUGACUUAGAGGGCUUUUAAGCACCACAUUUGUGGGUUAUUCUUUAUUUUCCAUAUCGUGUGGGUUGGAUUAGGUUGACAAGGAGAAAAAUUAUGUGGGAAAUUUGUGUUGGGACACUUACCAUAACCAAGUAAAAUCUACCAAGUCCUUUGUAAUAUCUUCAACAAAUAUUUUAGACUAGUUCUUUCAGUUAGUGUAAAGGAGGAAGAAGUGGUAUUGAUUCUAGAAAUAGGGUGUGUGUAUUUGAACUACAAUCCUUAUGAUCCUUAGGUCUCUAAACCUUCGUGAUGGGCUCCCUGACAUUUCAUAGGUUGUGCUACACAUGCGUUUGAAAUUUAGAGUGCGUUUGACAGUGAUUCCGGGAAGUGUUUUUGGCCUUUCUUACACUUGAAAAUUUUUAUUUUUCAAGUAUUAGAAAUGCUACAAACACUUUUGAAAAUUACUGUCAAACACACUCUUAGGAGCGCACAUAUAUAGUAGAAAACUAGAAAUUGUGGUUUUUUUAGGAUUUACUGUAAUGUCAUUAGGAGGGUAGUAAGUUGAAAUUGAGUAUGAACAAAUAUUUCUUUCUUUGGGAUGUUCUUCUAGUAGGUGCUGAUGAAACUGUUCUUUCUACUGCCAAUGUCACAUAUCAGCCAGAAAUUGAAAAUUUCAGUCAAGGUGUCCUCUGUUUUAGUGGUGAGGAAAGCUAGAAAUUUUAAGGUGAAGUUUUGUUAAAAACCUUAAGUAGCUGGGAUAUCAGGCCUGUUUUGCUUGAAAAAAAAAGUUGCAAGAUAACUCAUAUGCCAAACAGGUUCUGAUAUUGUGAAUCUAUCGGCAGACAUCAGUAAUCUCAUCUUCUGAGAUGGAUGUUGGGGGUGCAUGUGGUGGUGGAGGGGCAAGGUUUCAUUUGGUUUAUUUUGUUGAUGGAUAUUGUCUAGCCACCUGCGCCAAGUUUGAGGGGUGGUGGGUUGUGAUGACCCUACAAUUACUAUUAAUUUCUUCAUCUUUUACCGAUUAAAGUGUCCGAACAGUCGAAGUUACCCUUAUGCAUGUCAACUUGAUCACUUACCUCUUCAAUGGAGUUUAUGCUGGUUCAUUUAGGAACUGAUUUUUAUUGUUAUGUAUUAUAUGCUGAUGUUUAGGUCUCUCCAUCAUCACUAUAUACAAAAAUUCUAGGUUGAUACUAUAGGUUGAGAUUUAUUUUUUAAAUAAAAAAUAAUAAAAAUAAAAAUUAUGGUGAUGUUUAGUUGUUUUAUGGAAAAUUUUAACAAGUAAAAGUUAUUUUUGGGCAAGUUUUCAAACAAAAAGAAAAGUAAAAGUUGUUUUGACAAAAACAUAUAGAAAAAAAAAUCAUAGAAAAUAAAUAAUUUCCCCAUAUUCUAACUUUUUUGAAUUUUUCUCAAUGGGCAAAGGAAUAUCAAAUCAAGUUUGAGUAGGAUUUCUUAAUUUUUAAAAUAACUUACAAUUAAAAAAUUUUGGUGUUUUCAUUUUUGGACAAUUUUUUAUUAAGCAAAUGGACUCUGAGUCAUGCAAGAGAUAUGGUUCAUUAACCGGUCGAACAAUUUUUUUAAAUUAAUUUAAAAGUCAAAUACAUAAUCAAUUUCACAAAAUUUAUAAACAAAAAUAGGUUUAGAGAAGAUCUACACAUAAUUUUACUUUUCUAAUUUUAUUUUAUUUUAUUUUUUGUUGGAAAAUAGUCUUCAAAUCAUGUAAGAUUUAAUAGGUUAAAUUUGUUAACAAUAAAUUUUAAAUUAUAAAAUAUAAUCUGGAACUCAAAAAUCAAUUCAAGUAAUGCUAAAAAAAAAUCAAAUUUGGUAUAGAAUGACUUUGUAAAUUUUUUUACAAAACAAAUGAAUUUUAAAUCAAGUGAGAUUUAAUGCAUUAGAUUUUUAUCAAAUAUAGUAAUUUUAAAAAUAAAUUUGGAACUCAACAAUAGACACAAUAAAUACCAAAAAAUAAUGAACCAAAAUUGGUUUGGAAUAACUCCACAACCUUUUUUUUUUUUUUUUGGUGCACACGAAUUUUCUUACUAGGUAUAUUGCUUUCAAAUUGAGAAAGAUUUACCAUUUAGAUUUUUUUUUAAUGAGUUUAAUGGUAUUUUAAAAUAAUUCAAAAUUUAAAAAAUUGACUAAUUAAUAUUAUAAAUUGAUAAACCAAGACUAUUUCAAAAUGCAUUGGGGGCUAAGGGGGUUGAAAAUAGGGACAAUGGGAUGGGUUUGGGACAUGACACUCAUAUCUCAUUUCCAUUCCAAUUACACAGUUAUCUCCCAUCCUUAUCCCAAACUUGUGUUGGAGCAAGUUGAUUUGUUCCCAUCUUUGUUGACGAAAUGACUAAUAACCUCAUCCCCUCCUUAUCUUAGAUGUACAUUUUGUCAAAUUUGAUCAGGUAUGAUUGAUCCAAGCCCUAACCCUAAUUGGUAAUGAGUGAAUACUACACCUAAUUGCAUUCUUCUUUCAUUGCAAAAUAAUGAGAUUAUAAUAAUCUAGCAAAUAAGAAAAAAUAGUAUGGAAGUUCAAAUUAACACCAUAACUAUCAAUAAUUUUAAGCUUAUAGAUGACUUAAAUGAUUAAAAACUAAUGCAAAAUCCUAAAAAAAAUAAAAAUCAUAUAAAGAAUUCACAAGAGAACAGAAUGAACAAAAACCAAAUAUGAACAUGGGUCAACAUUAGUUAUGGAUUUGGAUUCCUUUCAAGGCCAAUCUUUGAACCAAGACUUCAUCAAAUCAACUACUUCAAAGGCUUUUGUGUUCUUCUUGGGUUGUGCUCUCAAACAAAGACUUCGAGGUGAUGUUCUAGAUGAUUGAAUUACACAUAUUUAGGGUGGAGAGAUUGGAGAAGCUUGAAGAUGCCAACGAUGGGUACAAUUGAGUGGUCAAUAAGAACAAUGUAGCCUAUGACUAGUUUGAUGUCAUGGUACAAGAGUUUUAGGCAUUGAGGUUAAAGCAAGAGCAACAUGGAAUUGAUUUCGGAGUCUUUCAGUUAGUGUAAAGGAGGAAGAAGUGGUGUUGAUUCUAGAAAUAGGGUUUUAAGUGGUGCGUGAUUACUACUCAAAAAGUGCUAUUUGAUAGCCUUUAAUUAAUCCUUUUUAACACUUUUGAGUAGUAGUUUAGGCCUUUUAACUCAAUUGGCAUGUUAAGGAUCCUUUAAAGCAAUUUUGAUCACUUUGUGCAAGUUUUGGUGUUUUUGUUAGUAUUUUGAUCACCAAAGCAAGUCAAGAAUGAGGAGAACUAUGAGGAAUCAUGGGCAAAGCUUAGAAUUCAAUUGCCAAGAGUGAAUCCGGAUUGCAAGGAGAAAAAGCAAAGAGAAUCUGUCAUGAAGCCUAUUCUUGAUGACAGUCGUAGCAGCCACUUUUGGAGCACUUUCUGAAGUCCAAAUGAUGCAAGCUAUAUACCAUUUCAAAGAUCAGGAAGUCAACAAUCCAAUGCUUCAAACGGUGCGCGAUUCGGAGUUGAAACGAAGAAGUUGCAGCCAUUACAAGCCAGUCACUCUAAAGUGUUGCGGAAUCAGCCUUUUGUUGCGAGAAUUUCGCAGCACUUUUGUACAGUAAGGUGUUUCUCCUUCUGACGAUGCACGAACCAUGCCGCGAGAGGGAAGCUAGGAACUUCAAGAUGGAAGCCAACUUUGCAGCCUGGUGAAGAUAGCUUGGUCUUGCGAAAUAAUUUCGCAGCCCUCUUGGGUGUCUGCGAAAUUUCGCAGGCACCACUUUUUUCCUGCGAAAUGGCUCCGGAAGCCUCCCGAAGCUUGCUACCGACAUUGGGAGAUAUUUUCCAUUAGAUUUUUGUUGUCUAAAUUCCAAAAUACUCCUUGUAAACCACCAAUUACAUGAUUCCUUAGUUUUUAAGUUAGUAAAAAGACCAAAUAUCUAUGUAAUAAUUAGUUUUAUAUUAGUUUGCUAUAAAUACCUCUCGGGAGCAUGUUCUCAGAGAGGAGUUCCUUCUGUAACCAUUUUGGUAAGCAAGUAAAGUCUUUUCUUUCUACUGCCUUACCUUCUCACUUUGUAUUUUCAUUUUAUUUCUAAGUUAUGAAUUCUCUGAGGAGCUUUCCCCAGAGAAUGAGUAACUAAACCUCCAAUUCCUUGGAGCUAAGGUUGCCGGGGAAGGUUCCAAGUGCAAGAAUGCAAAGCUCUGUGGUUUUAGCUAGUAAUGAAGAGGAAGUGAAAUCCUUUAGUGAUUUCAAUGUUUUUAGUUAACUUAAAACACCUUGGAGUCACCUGGGCCAACACUUGGUAAGGCAAGUGAUUUCCAACCGUGGAAAUGCACUAGUUUACCCCUUGCGAGCCUCUGGUAGGUGACUUCAAGGUAGGAUUUUCUGGAAUUACCAACACUUGGUAAGCUUUUGGACUCCUAGGAGACAUCCAUUAGUUAUCUCUUGCGAGUUUGUGAAGGGGAAUCCAAGGUUAAAGAUCACCUUGAAUGGUAAGUGCUCGUGAGAGGCAUGAACCAUUGCAAGUUGUAUCAGUGAGAGAAUUAAAGUGAAAUCUAAUUGAAGGAGUCUCUGUACAUCACCGGUUAGAGAAUUGACUAUAAGUUGAAUCUCUAAUGCGAGGAAAUGAACCAUCUGACCGGAGCUAUGUCUUUUGCAUGAGGAACCACCCCAGUGAACCUAAAUCUCCAAGGAAUGCUUUUCUUCCUAAAUUAUUCCAAACUUCUGUUAAGUUAGUUAGUUUAAGUCUAAACCUUUACCAAUCAAACUUUGUGUUUUAUUUCUUAAGCUAACCGUGAAAUGAAACAAAACCAAUUCACUUGGAAUUGGUAUCCUUGAUUGCUUGCAAAUCAUUCCCAGUGAACGAUCCUUAGAGCCACUAUACUAUAGUAGCUUUGUAUUUGCUACCCUAGUGUAUGGUGUUAUAGGUAUAAAUUUUGUUGAUCACUUCCUCAAUCAAGGAACACCAGCUGAACACAAAUCAGCUGAGACACCAAUUGGGCAUGAGUCAAAUGGCGCCGUUGCCGGGGAAUGAGUGUCAAGAUCAUUGUGAUACCAUUUUUGAGCACUUGUGAUUUUCAUCACAAGUUGGUAAAGUUUCUUUCACUUUACUAAUUUUCAUUCUCUCUUUGUUUAUUUACAAUCUAAGUUUAUCUUUUUAAAAUUUAGUCUAGUUUAAUUUUGCUAUUGUAGCCUUGUUUCUCUUGUUGUCCUCUGUUCUUGUUGUCCUCUGUUUUCAUUUUAGUUGCAGCUGAAUACUAGUUGUGUAUGCCAAAGUGGAUACGAGACAUUGGAGGUAGGCUUAUUAAGUGUGAUACACCUCAGAGAGGAGAAUUGGAAGUAAUCUUGAAUAUCAUGGAGGCUGCACCUGAAGAUCAGCAUAGUCACCAAGGUCGUCAAGACAAUCUCAAUGAAUUCAGAUCAAUGAGGGACCGUAUGCAUCCACCUCGUAUGAGUGCACCAUCAUGUAUAGUGCCCCCUACAGAGCAACUAGUGAUCAGACCAUAUCUUGUUCCACUUCUACCAACUUUCCAUGGGAUGGAAAGUGAGAAUCCGUAUGCACACAUCAAGGAAUUUGAAGAUGUUUGUAAUACAUUCCAAGAGGGAGGAGCUUCAAUUGAUUUGAUGAGGCUUAAGUUAUUUCCUUUUAAUUUAAAGGAUAAGGCCAAAAUUUGGCUUAAUUCUUUAAGGCCAAGGAGUAUCCGCUCUUGGACUGAUUUACAAGCUGAAUUCCUCAAGAAAUUUUUUCCUACUCAUAGAACAAAUGGCUUGAAAAGGCAAAUUUCAAACUUCUCAGCUAAAGAGAAUGAGAAAUUCUAUGAGUGUUGGGAAAGAUACAUGGAAGCUAUAAAUGCUUGUCCUCACCAUGGCUUUGAUACUUGGCUACUGGUGAGUUAUUUUUAUGAUGGUAUGUCCUCCUCAAUGAAGCAACUCCUCGAGAAAAUGUGUGGAGAAGAUUUCAUGAGCAAAAAUCCAGAGGAAGCUAUGGAUUUCUUGAGCUAUGUAGCUGAUGUUUCAAGGGGAUGGGAUGAACCAACUAAAGGAGAAGUGGGAAAGAUGAAGUCUCAGUUGAAUGCUUACAAUGCAAAGGCUGGGAUGUAUACUUUAAAAGAGGAUGAUGACAUGAAAGCAAAGUUGGCAGCUAUGACAAGAAGAUUGGAGGAGCUGGAGCUGAAAAGAAUGCAUGAAGUGCAAGCUGUUGCUGAAGCACCAGUGCAAGUGAAGUUGUGUCCCAAUUGUCAAUCGUUUGAACAUUUGGUAGAGGAAUGCCCUGCAAUUUCAGCUGAAAGGGAAAUGUAUAGAGAUCAAGCAAAUGUUGUUGGACAAUUCAGGCCCAAUAACAAUGCUCCUUAUGGAAAUACCUACAAUUCAAGUUGGAGGAAUCAUCCAAAUUUUUCAUGGAAGGCCAGAGCAACUCAAUACCAACAGCCGGAUCCACCAUCUCAACAAUCUUCAAGUAUUGAACAAAUAAUAGCUAAUCUCAGCAAGGUAGUGGGAGAUUUUGUGGGAAAGCAAGAAGCCACCAAUGCUCGAGUGGAUCAAAGAAUGGACAGAGUGGAUCAAAGAAUGGACAGAAUGGAGAGUAUGUUGAACAAAAGAAUGGAUGGAAUGCAAAAUGAUAUGAAUCAAAAAUUUGAUAACAUCCAAUAUUCAAUUUCAAGGCUUACAAAUUUGAAUACACUGCAAGAAAAGGGAAGAUUUCCUUCUCAACCUAACCAAAAUCCCAAAGGUGUCCAUGAAGUGGAAAGCCAUGAGGGAGAAUCAUCACAGGUGAAAGAUGUGAAAGCUUUGAUCACUCUAAGGAGUGGUAAGAAAAUUGAGCAGCCAACACCCAAGCCACAUGUUGAGAAAGAAGAAGAGAUGAAGAAAGGGAAGGAAAUGGAAGAUAAAGGCAGUGAGAUCAGUGAAGAAAAGAAGGACUCUGAUGCAACAAUGAAAGUAAUUCCAGAGAAGGAGCUUCUGAAGGAAGAAAUGCUGAAGAAAUCAACUUUUCCACCUUUUCCUCAAGCAUUACAGGGGAAAAAGGGGGUUAGAAAUGCAGCUGAAAUCCUAGAAGUAUUGAGGCAAGUGAAAGUUAAUAUUCCACUGCUGGAUAUGAUCAAACAAGUUCCAACGUAUGCAAAAUUCCUAAAGGACUUGUGUACUAUCAAAAGAGGGUUGACUGUAAACAAGAAAGCCUUCUUGACUGAGCAAGUAAGUGCAAUCUUACAGUGUAAGUCUCCUUUGAAGUACAAAGACCCUGGAAGUCCUACCAUUUCAGUCAUGAUUGGAGGAAAGGUAGUGGAGAAAGCCUUGCUAGACUUGGGAGCAAGUGUGAAUUUGCUUCCAUAUUCUGUCUACAAGCAACUGGGACUUGGAGAGUUGAAGCCAACAGCAAUCACUUUGUCUCUGGCAGAUAGAUCAGUGAAAAUUCCAAGAGGGGUAAUUGAGGAUGUAUUGGUUCAAGUAGAUAAUUUCUACUAUCCUGUAGAUUUUGUUGUUCUUGAUACAGAUCCUACUGUAAAGGAAGCUAAUUUAGUUCCUAUCAUCCUUGGAAGGCCAUUUCUUGCAACUUCAAAUGCAAUCAUCAACUGUAGAAAUGGGCUUAUGCAACUCACUUUUGGUAACAUGACACUGGAUCUAAAUAUUUUCUAUAUGUCUAAAAAGCAAAUCACUCCAGAAGAAGAAGAGGGUCCAGAAGAGCUAUGUAUUAUUGAUACUUUGGUGGAGGAGCACUGCAAUCAACAUAUGCAAGAUAAGUUGAAUGAAAGUUUUGUGGAUAUUGAGGAAGGUUUUUCUGAAUCUCCUAAUGGGCUUGCUACUCUACAAAGUUGGAGAAAGAUAGAAGGAAUUCUACCUUUGUUCAAUGAAGAAGAGGAGGCAGCUGUUGAAAAAGAAAUUCCAAAACUCAAUCUGAAGCCUUUACCUAUGGAGCUGAAAUAUACAUAUCUUGAAGAAAAUAAUCAAUGUCCUGUCGUAAUAUCUUCAUCUCAAACCAAGUCUCAAGUGAAGGAUGCAAGCUUCAAAUGGGAUCCGGGCAAACUGAAUCAGGAAGGGCAAAAAGUUUUGAUGUAUGACACAAGACUCCAUAUCUUUCCUGGGAAGCUCAAGUCAAGGUGGAUUGGUCCAUUUGUUAUUCACCGAGUAUAUUCCAAUGGAGUGGUGGACUUAUUGAAUUCCAAUGGCAAGGACAGCUUUAGAGUCAAUGGAUAUCGUCUUAAGCCGUUCAUGGAGUCAUUCAAAUCAGAAAAGGAGGCAAUCAACCUCCUUGAACCUCAAAAAGCCUAAGUGAAAUGGGUUUGCUGGACGUGGUUUUACCACAGUCCAAAAAUUUUUGUAAAUUUUGUAAAUUUUCAAGUUGUUUCCAUGCUUUUAAUCUUAGUUUUUGAUUUUAAAUCAUGUUUUUAGGUGUGUUUUAAUCGUUUUAUAUGAUCCCAGGCGGAAGAAAUUUCAAGGGGAUUGAAAAGAAAAAAAUCGGGUCGAAAUUGGAGCCGAAACAGAGCAAAAACAGGGGAAAAACAGAGCUCUGCGAAAUUUCGCAGGGUGAAGGAAACUUCUGCGAAAUUGGCAUUUUGCUGCCAAACCAUUCCGCAGCACUGUAGAAGCCUCUGCGAGUGUAUUUCGCAAUUGCGAAAGUGGAUUUGGCACACGAGUGCCACUUCGCAGCACAGUGACAUCAAUUUCGCAGCUGCGAAACUCACUGCGAAGUUGCUGCGAAAAUGGCAAGUUGCUGCGAAAUUGGCGUUUUGUUGCGAAACGUAAUCUGACCCCUGGGCUUCCGUUUUUCCUAUUUAUACCUGUCAAAAGUGCUGCGAAAAAGGUUUCAAAAAUUAGAGCACCAUUCUCGCAGCCCUUUCAUCUUCUUCGCCAAGCCACGCCGUCCGUUUCUCCGGUCGUCUUCUCCGUUUAGCAGCGCCGGCCAAAGAUCGAUAGCCCAAAAAUGGCACGAACGCGAGGGGCAAAGUCUUCAUCCCCUUCGAACCGCAAAAGGAGUCUGCGAAAGGAGCCAAGUUCAGGCUCUGUUCCAGAACCUGCUCCAAAGCCUUCGCCGUCGAGACCACAACCUUCUCCAGUGAAGCCGGCGCCACCAAAGCCGCCGGCAAGGCGAUAUUUAACCAGGUCAGGUGGUCAGCCAUUGAAGAAGAAAGCCAGAGUUGAGAGCUCUGAACCAAUCGAUUUGACUGAGCAAUCCCCUGAGAAAUCACCAAAUCCUUCACCGGUACAAAUUCCAGUGCCAUCACCGGUUCCCUCGCCAAUUCCCUCACCAGAAGCAACUCCAAUUCCAUCGCCGGUACCAUCUCCGGCACCCCAAGAAAAAGCUCAGGAGCCUCAAGCGCCAAUUCCAGAGCCCCAAAUUGCAGCUGAAGCACCUCUGGAAGAAGUGAUCCGAAGGCCAAUGCUGCCUCAGCCCCCAAUCGAAGGAAACCUGGAUUGCCGAACUCGGGCAUUCCAUUCUGAGCUUUGCUUCGAUUUAACAGCAUUCAGAGUGAGGCCAGAGCUUGCCCAAUCCUUCCAACUGCUGAGGAGAUAUCAUAUGGAGCAUCUGCUAGCUCCAAGGGAUUUUUUCUAUCCCCGGGUAGUCACGGAUUUCUACCAAACCAUGACAACCAAAGAAGUAAGAAAUCCAACUCUGAUUCAUUUCAUAAUUGAUGGAAGGCAUGGUAUUUUGGGAGCAAGACAUAUUGCUGAAGCCCUGCAAAUUCCUUUUGAGCCAACUCAAUUCGACAAUUUUAAAGCUUGGACAAAUCCUACUGAGUUAGAGAUGGUUAGCACACUAACCAGAGGAGCUGCAAAUCGAUCGCAUUUGUUGAGGGGGGAGCUACCUCCAGUUAUGUUUUUGAUUGAUGCCUUUUUGAGGCAUAAUAUCUAUCCCCUGCAGCAUUGGACCCAAAGAAGGGGAAUUCUCCUAGAAGCCUUGUACAAAAUGUCUGAAGGAUUCUUCUUUGGGCCUCAUCAUCUGAUCAUGGCAGCCCUUCUAUACUUUGAGGAGAAGGUUCACAAGAAGAAGCUUCAAAGAGCAGAUUGCAUUCCACUCCUCUUCCCAAGGCUGCUAUGCCAAGUUUUGGAGCAUCUCGGAUACCCCUCUGAGCCUCAGCAGGAAAGAAAGAGAAUAUGCCGUGAGCCUUUUACCCUUGAUAAAUGGAAUAAUAUGACGGCCUACAAAAUUGAUCAGCCUGGGCAGCCUCAGCCAGCAGCAAGGAGAGUCUCCCCAAGACAUAUACCUGAAGGUAUAACACUUGCUACUCCUGCCAUCCCUCGAGCUCCACCAGCUGCACCUGCUCCAUCACAGCCAUCCACAUCAGCUGAGCCGAGGAUGGCCAUCCCUAUAUCCGAAUAUCGAGAGCUGUGCCGUGCAUUGGAGACUCUUACAGCUUCUCAGAGCAAUCUUGCUCAGGAGUUGGCAGCCAUUAAAGCAUGCCAGGAGCAGAUGUUAGCCUCUCAGACUCAACAAGCUGCCAUCCUAAGGCAGCUUCAAGUCCAUUUCGAUCUGCCACAAGCUGUAGAGCCCUCUAUUCCUACUCCACCAGAGCCACACUCUCAGCCUUCAGAGUCUCAUCCUCCAGAACCCGAAGCACCAGCUGAUCCACCUACUGAGGAGGCAGAUCCUUCUGCCUAGCACCAUCACCCCCCUCAUCAGACAUUAUAUAUAUAUUUGCUGUUUAUGUUUUUAUGCAUGUUUGUUUUGUUUUAGUUGAAAAGAAAUCCCAGUAUUUUGGUACUAUAUAUGGGAUUCCUUGUGUUACUUGUCUUUAGUAUUGUAAUCACAUGAACUCAAAGUAAUACAAGUUGACUAUUUCUUGUUAAAAGUUAGCAUUAAAGUUUCCUUAUUUCCUUUUCUCACAUAUUCUAUUCUUUUUGAAACAUGUGGUUUUCCCCAAUCAAUAUUCGAAUUUGAUAUCAGCAUGGAGGUACCACUUCCUCCCUUUUAUUACAGUCACUCAAAUCACAUUGAGGACAAUGCUCAGUUCGGUUGGGGGGUAUGAGGAAGGAAGUAUUCUAAACCUUUUUGGUAUUGCAAUUAUAUUGGUUAAUUAGUUGUAGAUUUUACUUUUUACUAGUGUUACUCUAUUCUCCAUGAAUUUUGAGGAAAAAUUUUCAAAUUAAACCAAGAGAAAUUGAACUGUUGUUUUUCACUUGACUUAGAGUAUGGAUUAUGCUUACUAAAGUGGUUCAAUUGUUGAAACUUCUACUGAAAUUGAAUUGAGUUCUUCCACUUUAAGCUAUCCACACACUGUGCACAUUAGUUUCCGAUUAUAAGAUGAAAAGCUAUUUCCCUCUUGACUUAGUAUAUUUUUGGGACUUGGUAUAUUUGACCUCAUUUGAUAAAAAUUGAAACACCCUGCAAAAGGCCAAUGAGCCUUUGAAAUAAAGAAAGUUGUUUGCUUGCCUUGAAACCCGAGCAAGGUCUGAGGGGUAUAUGGUGAAAAUCUUUAAAGCCUGGUGCCCUAAGCCUUAAUUGGUUGGGAGUCACCGACCUCAAUGCUCGUUACAAGGGUGAAUAGGUAGAGUUAGCAUAUGGUAGAUGCUUGGGUAUUAGAAAUUCAUUCUUAAAAGUCCGGGGAAAAAUCCGAGGAGUUAGUGGUUGAAAGAUCCUUAAAACUUGGUGCCCUAAACCUUAAUUGGUUGGGAGUCAUCGAUGGACCCCCAUUACAUGGACAAGUCAGAAAGAGUACCCCAUAAAGCUACCUUAAAAAAAAAAAAAAAAAAAAAAAAAAAAAAAAAGAUGAAAGUGUGUUCUUUUCUUAUUGAUUUUGGUCAGUUUGCUAAAGUGUUGAAAAGAGAUAGGUUGGGGGGUGAGAUUAGUAGCAUAUUAUUCUCGGAACCUAAGGAACCAAUACACAUAGAUUUUUGUGGAAGAUUGAAGUUUAGUUCUUAGAAAAUGAAAUGAUUUUAAAACUUCAGUUUGCAUAAUGCACUCCCUUGAUUGACAGUGUUUAGCAUAGGUGUUAUGACUCUUGUUGAGAUUUGGGUUUGUAUUUCUUUAAUGAUUCAUGUGAGAAAUAGAUCAUCAUGCCACUUGAGAAUUAUUUUCCUUUUAGCAUGAUGUUGUAAAUUUUAGAUUAGUUUGCUAUUUAUUUUUUAUUUUCUCUCCUAUAUUGCUAAGGGACUAGCAAUAUGUCGGUUGGGGGGAGUGAUUACUACUCAAAAAGUGCUAUUUGAUAGCCUUUAAUUAAUCCUUUUUAACACUUUUGAGUAGUAGUUUAGGCCUUUUAACUCAAUUGGCAUGUUAAGGAUCCUUUAAAGCAAUUUUGAUCACUUUGUGCAAGUUUUGGUGUUUUUGUUAGUAUUUUGAUCACCAAAGCAAGUCAAGAAUGAGGAGAACUAUGAGGAAUCAUGGGCAAAGCUUAGAAUUCAAUUGCCAAGAGUGAAUCCGGAUUGCAAGGAGAAAAAGCAAAGAGAAUCUGUCAUGAAGCCUAUUCUUGAUGACAGUCGUAGCAGCCACUUUUGGAGCACUUUCUGAAGUCCAAAUGAUGCAAGCUAUAUACCAUUUCAAAGCUCAGGAAGUCAACAAUCCAAUGCUUCAAACGGUGCGCGAUUCGGAGUUGAAACGAAGAAGUUGCAGCCAUUACAAGCCAGUCACUCUAAAGUGUUGCGGAAUCAGCCUUUUGUUGCGAGAAUUUCGCAGCACUUUUGUACAGUAAGGUGUUUCUCCUUCUGACGAUGCACGAACCAUGCCGCGAGAGGGAAGCUAGGAACUUCAAGAUGGAAGCCAACUUUGCAGCCUGGUGAAGAUAGCUUGGUCUUGCGAAAUAAUUUCGCAGCCCUCUUGGGUGUCUGCGAAAUUUCGCAGGCACCACUUUUUUCCUGCGAAAUGGCUCCGGAAGCCUCCCGAAGCUUGCUACCGACAUUGGGAGAUAUUUUCCAUUAGAUUUUUGUUGUCUAAAUUCCAAAAUACUCCUUGUAAACCACCAAUUACAUGAUUCCUUAGUUUUUAAGUUAGUAAAAAGACCAAAUAUCUAUGUAAUAAUUAGUUUUAUAUUAGUUUGCUAUAAAUACCUCUCGGGAGCAUGUUCUCAGAGAGGAGUUCCUUCUGUAACCAUUUUGGUAAGCAAGUAAAGUCUUUUCUUUCUACUGCCUUACCUUCUCACUUUGUAUUUUCAUUUUAUUUCUAAGUUAUGAAUUCUCUGAGGAGCUUUCCCCAGAGAAUGAGUAACUAAACCUCCAAUUCCUUGGAGCUAAGGUUGCCGGGGAAGGUUCCAAGUGCAAGAAUGCAAAGCUCUGUGGUUUUAGCUAGUAAUGAAGAGGAAGUGAAAUCCUUUAGUGAUUUCAAUGUUUUUAGUUAACUUAAAACACCUUGGAGUCACCUGGGCCAACACUUGGUAAGGCAAGUGAUUUCCAACCGUGGAAAUGCACUAGUUUACCCCUUGCGAGCCUCUGGUAGGUGACUUCAAGGUAGGAUUUUCUGGAAUUACCAACACUUGGUAAGCUUUUGGACUCCUAGGAGACAUCCAUUAGUUAUCUCUUGCGAGUUUGUGAAGGGGAAUCCAAGGUUAAAGAUCACCUUGAAUGGUAAGUGCUCGUGAGAGGCAUGAACCAUUGCAAGUUGUAUCAGUGAGAGAAUUAAAGUGAAAUCUAAUUGAAGGAGUCUCUGUACAUCACCGGUUAGAGAAUUGACUAUAAGUUGAAUCUCUAAUGCGAGGAAAUGAACCAUCUGACCGGAGCUAUGUCUUUUGCAUGAGGAACCACCCCAGUGAACCUAAAUCUCCAAGGAAUGCUUUUCUUCCUAAAUUAUUCCAAACUUCUGUUAAGUUAGUUAGUUUAAGUCUAAACCUUUACCAAUCAAACUUUGUGUUUUAUUCCUUAAGCUAACCGUGAAAUGAAACAAAACCAAUUCACUUGGAAUUGGUAUCCUUGAUUGCUUGCAAAUCAUUCCCAGUGAACGAUCCUUAGAGCCACUAUACUAUAGUAGCUUUGUAUUUGCUACCCUAGUGUAUGGUGUUAUAGGUAUAAAUUUUGUUGAUCACUUCCUCAAUCAAGGAACACCAGCUGAACACAAAUCAGCUGAGACACCAAUUGGGCAUGAGUCAGUGCGUUAGAGGAUCAAGAAGAAGAAAAAGAAGGAACUGUUGGAAUUAGUAUGAGUGUGAAGAGAAAAGUAUAUAAAUAAGGGGAAGUAAAAGCAAAGUUCAAAAAGCUAUAUUUUUUUAUUGUUGGUGUAUGGUUGCAUGAUUAUCCCUAUAAAUAAUAGGAGUUUUUUGGUAUUCUACUAGUAGUUGAAGCAUAAUUUCAUAAAUUAAUAUUUAGAGCGGGGUGGGGUGAGUUGUGACAAAAUUCAUACCCGUCCCAAACCUUGGUUCAGAUUUUUAAAAUAUUCUCAAACUUAUCAUAUACCCAACUUUUAUAUUUCAUACUUGUCCUAAUAGAGGCACGUUAGGCCGGGUUACUUGAGUAACCUACAUAAUUGUCAUCCCUAGUUGAAAUACACUUUUUGGCAGUGGCCACCAACUGAGCUAGAAGCUUGAUUGAUUGACCUACAAGAUUAGUUCUCAUCAUUUUAAAAAAAGUUCUGGCUUUGGUUGUGAGUGCAAUUGAAUCUAAACUGGCAUUUGCUUAAUGCAUCUACUUCAAUCCUAAACUUCUUACUUCUUAAGCCUCAAUUGUUGUUAGGAUUUUGGAAAACCCAUUUCCUUAAAUUGUAAAUUUAAGAUAAAAUAAAAUAAAAGUGAGACAUUUCUUGAUUGAAUAUUGUUAAAGGUCCCUUGGCAUUAAGACUUGGUUGAAGCCUUGGAAGAUUAGUGGAACUCUCAACAUGUGUUUGAAUCUUGAGGAGAGUGGAUGUAAGCCAAAAUUUUGUCAAACCAUUAUACAAAUUGAGUUUGAAUCCUCAUUUCUUGAUUUCUUAUUUAUUUGCUUUUUCUUAUUAUUACUUGAAUUGUCAUUUGCAUUCAUUAAUGUUAAAAUUGGUUAUAAUUAACCAACACUAAUUCUCUUUCCCCUUCCCUUUCUUGGGUGUAAACCUAGGUUGGAUUAACUAGAUAAAUCUAUUAAGAUGGUAAAAGAAUAAUUAUUCUUAACAUACAUAAGAUCAUCUUCAAUCAAAUGACUCAUUGGCUAAUAUGUUGAAUUUGCUUAUUACUUGCAACUCAAAAUUGUGUUCUAGUUGUGUCAAGUCCCCAGUGUAUGGACAUUAAAUUUGUAGUACGUGAUGAGUAAUUAGAUGGUCCAACUCCAAGAAAGUGAUUGAAAAGUAGUUCAAGAAAGGUGCAAAAGGGAAUUGUUUUGGUAUUUUCGUUUUUAUUCUUGAAGGUGGCAGAGCUAAAAUUUGAGAAAUCAAGCAAAACAUACUGAAAUUACAUUGAAAGAAAGAAGAUGGGAGUUAAUGUCUUGCAGUACAUGAUAAGGACUUCAUGCAUGUAGUGUGACCCAUGUCUUGGACUGAUGCCAACUCACGGUUACACUUAUACCCUUGGUUCUCUCUUUACUACCUUGGCUAACCUAGAUCAGGCUAUGAGAUAGGCUCCUCACCACACCAUUACUUGCCCAUUAAUUAGAGACAUUUUCAAGCAAUGAGGUAACAUGGUGACACCAAGAGGGUCUAUUCCUCGCCCGGAACAAGUCUAGACUUGGUCUCAAAAAAAUGGAGAAAAAUGAGGUGUCGUUAUGUAGAAAUACAACAACCAUGCCUUCCUCAUUACUUAGAUUCAGAAUGUGAAGGUGAAAUUGAGAAACAGAAACUCUUGAAACCAAAAUGAAAAUUGAUACUUUUACGAAGAAUUACAACAACAUUAGAGGAAGACUACAUUCUUCCUCUUUAUUCCUACAUUUCUACACUACUUCUACUCCACUCCAUAUUUCUACAUACAUCUUUAAUCAGUCUUCCCUCCUUUAUAUAGAGCCAUCUUCACACAAAUUUCGCAAGGUAGAAAAGAGGAAUGAAACUUGGAGCAAGGUUCGACUACUGGUUGUAGCUUGUCAAGGCUGGAAGUGAACUUUUCUUGGCUUUCUGGGCAUGGGUAGUAACUUGUGGGUUCCUGUUUGGCAUAAAAAUGGCUAGAACAUGUGGCACUAUCUUGUUGGAUGAUGUGUCAAGCAUGUGGCAGCCAUCUAGUGGCGAUUAUGUCAAUUUUGGGAUGGAGAGUUGGCAUCCAAUUGCAAAGAAAUAUGACGUCUACCAACAUGCAAUGUAAACCUAUGUAGAUCAUAUGAAGAUAGAGAGGAAAAAUAUAGAAAUGGAUAUAUACCUAGAACUAGCUUUUUAUUAAAUGAAACGGAGAGACAACAAUGAAGGAAAAUAAAAUUUUUUGGCUUAUAUCAAAGAGUUCACAUUGUGUUACCCUAGGUUUUCUUAAAACUUACUUUUAUGAUAACAAAAAAGAAAAAACCAUUAUUGUUUAAUCCUUUGUUUUAAACGCAUGUAAGGUGUAAUUAAGUUAGUUCAAUGCAUUAAUUUAAGAAACUUGACCUAUCAAAAGUACAAAAUUAGAUGAAAUCCAUUUCAAUGGUUAAAAUGAUCAAAAUCAAACUUUUUCUAAGUAUUUUUUAAAAGCAUCAAUAGUGAAAGACAAUUUUAUAUUUAGUCGGAGUUUGGACAAAACUGAAAAACACACAAAAUCCAAGCGACCAUCUCUAGCUUGGAUGGUCGCUUGAUCCCACCUAGAGAUGUGCAUGAGUAAAAGGAUUUGAAAAUGGAAAUUGACUAUGUAGUCGAUCAAUUAACUUUGCAACAUCAUAUGCAAUCCUAAUUGCUAGUCAUCUAAUCAAUUAGGUAGUCAAUCAACAGGCCAAAAAUAUGUUUAUAAUGACUAUUUUGUACAAAAACCACCUGUAUAGUUAAAUAUAAUGCAUUUCAUUUAUAAAUCUUCUAAUUCUUGAAUAACGAUCCUAUCAUCCUUUGAAAGUUUUUAUUACACUUUUUUUACUUUUGUUCUAAAACUUACACAUCACCCUUAAUUGUACCAUGAGAACCUAGCUAUUUUUUAUUUUUUUUUUUGUAAUUCAUCAAAGUUAGCUUUUGUAUUCAUUGUUGUAUUAUUUUUAGUAUAACUUAGAAAGCUAGUGUUUUCAAGUGAGUAAAAUUAACUUGUAAAUAUUGUAAAGAUUCAUCGACAUGUAUCUUAAACUAAGUGUACAAGUUAAAACAUUUGCUAGUAGAUUUUCUCAAAAUUUAGAAUAGAGCUUGAGACUAUUGAAAUAGGUGGGGUUGCACCAAACCACAUCACAUCGUUGUUUGCACCUUUUUUCACUCUCUUUUACUUAGUUGCUCUAUAUUUGUUGUCUAGUAAUAUCCUAUAGGCUUGAUGGGUUAGGGAGCAUCCCUUUGUGAAAAAAUUUUAUUCAAUCCUUAGUUGUAUCACGCAUAUAUAAAAUGCCUCAUUGUUUUAAUGGUAUUCAGUCGUGGCAUCACAGAUAUGGGCAUCUAAAUUUUAAAAGUUUGAAACUUUUAUCUAAAGAAAAUAUGGUGCUUUGCCUUUUUGUAAAGCAUGUUGAUGAAAUCCAUGAGAAUUGUGUACUUGGGAAGCAACACCGAGAUGACUUUUUUUUUUUUUUUAUAAUAUUGUUUGUCCAAAUUCCCUACAAAUUAGGCCACCAGAUGUUCAUAAUUCUCCCUUCUUGAAUUUGAAAACUCGGACAAUUGGACAAUGCGACACCUAAGUCCGGUUUCUAAAUGCUAAAGUGAAAGGGUAGGUAUGGACCAUUGAAAUGUGAUCACAACUUUUCUCUGUAGCCAUGUUGUCUCUUUUUUCUUUUGCAUGAUUUUCUUACCUUAACAGAAUCAUAGACUUGUUUAGUCUCUAAAUGGGAUUAAUUUCAUCCAGCUUUAAGCUACUAUAUUAUAUCUAGGUGGAGGACUUUUAAGAGUGCAACCGACAUAGAGCACAUGGAAGUGGGUAUAUGGGACAUGAAAUUUCUUCUUAUAAAGAUUGCAUGAUUUUUAUAUUAGAGUUGUUGAGGCGCUAUGUAUUUAGCUUGUUUUGCAGUUAAAUUAAUUGGAUAAGUAGACAUUGGCGUUUCUAAAUCUACUGUGAAGUGCUUCAUGUACGUGUGAAGUAUUAGAAAUUUCUUUCUUGGCAACUUGUUUUUCUUUGCGGUCUACUGAUAGGUUUGACUAAAAUUAUAUUCCCUGUCAUGCUAAUUAAUUUUCACGUGCAUGCUCAAAAGAAAAGUAUGACCUUAGUGCACCAAAAUCACUUUGAUUAAUUUGUGAUAGGUUUUUGUGCAUCAUGACAUUAGCCUUAUUCAUUUAGAUAAUGUUUAGUUUUUAGAAAGUAUUAAGAAAAGGAAAAUAAAUAUUAAGAAAAAUAUUCUUAUAUUUGAUUGUAUUAUGAAAAAUAUCAUAAAAAAAUCAAAUAUAAUUUAAAUUAAUUAAUAAUUUAUACAUUUUCAAAUUAUUUAAUCUUUAUAUUGAAGAUAUAAUAUAAAUGAAAUGAGUUUUAAGUAUUAUAUAAAAGUGAUUUAUUGAUCUUACAUAUAUAUAUUUCUUUUUUUUUUCCUUCUAUUUUUUCUCUUUAUUUUAUUUUCCUUAUGUUUUCCUCAACAUUUUCCGGAACCAAACAUAGCCUUAGGAAAUCCACAAUUACCUUCAACUGAGUAGAUUCUGUUGUUUUAGCAAUGUUAGGCUGCUAACUUGUGUUGGUACGAACCUAUUAAGCCUAAAGAUGUAAUUAGUUAGGAUAUUCUUUUCCCUCUAGUCUUGUAGCUCCACGUGUACAGUUGGUUAGGACCUCAUUGUAUAUAAUGCUUGCCCUGUUAUUGUAGAAGACAACAAAGAUAAAUAAUAUUAACAUUUUUCCUCUCAUCUCUCUCUGUUUCCCUCUGUUUUCAUCUCCUCUCUCAUCUUGGUAUCAGAGCCUCCAUGGCUUCUUUCAAAGAAACCUCCGAAUCACCUUCUGCUAGCAUUGUUAAUGUGCAAAACCCAUUAUCUCAAUCAAACAACCUUCCUUCACCAGUAGCCACACCCUCUUUUUCUUUCUCGUCUAUGAAUCAACCUCUCACAGUGAAGCUGGAUAAUGGGAACUACCUCAUAUGGAAGAAUUAGCUUCUAAAUGUCAUCAUUGCUAACGGACUCGAUGAUUUCAUUGACGGAUCUCGACCCUGCCCUCCUCGAUUUCUCGAUCUGCAACAACAAACCCUCAAUCCAGAGUACUCAGCUUGGCAGAGAUACAAUCGACUUCUGAUGAGUUGGCUGUACGCAUCCUUGUCCAAAGAUAUAAUGGCUCAGAUUGUUGGGUAUUCAACAGCUAUGGAGAUUUGGAAUGCCCUUAAUCAGAUUUACUCUGCCUCUUCUAUGGCGCGGUUUACUGAGCUUCGCACCAAGCUUCAAACGCUCAAGAAAGAUGGACUCUCAGUUGGUGAAUAUAUUCAAAGGCUCAAAUCCAUUUGCAAUAGUCUUGCAGCAAUAGGAGAACCAGUUUCUGAGAAAGACCAUCUUAUCUAUUUGUUCAAUGGAUUAGAUUGUGAGUAUUAUUCUUUUGUUACCUCCAUUCAAAAUCGAUCUGACCAACCAACUAUUGACAAAAUCCAUAGCCUAUUGCUUAGCUAUGACUUCCGGCUUGAACAACAAAACUCUGUUUCUCUCCAUUCUGCCCAAGUCCAUAUGGCUCAUCUGAACAAGAAACCUUAUAAAUCAACUCCUCAACCUACAUUCAAUCAUAUUCACAUUCAACCUAGAUACUCUUCUCCACCUUUUAAGCCAACCACUAGUCAAUAUCAACCCAACAUUUUGGGCAAACCACAACCACAACCAUGACAGCCUCAACCUCAAUGGAAACCACAUUUUUCAAUCUAAAAUCAAAAGCCUCAGCGCCAAAUUUGUGGUAAAUUUGGACACACUGCUCUUAUUUGCUUCCAUCACACAAAUUUGAACUAUUCACCCCAACCUUCUCCUAAAUCUUUCAAUACUGUUCUCACCACAAAUUCCCAGCUCCCUAAUCCUCCAAAAUUUUCUUACCCUACAAUGGCUCAUCCUGCUGCUACGCAUAACACGGUUCCCGAUACAAAUUGGUACAUGGACUCAGGUGCUACACAUCACUUUACUCUGGACAUCAACGUGCUUGACACUGUGACACCAUUUAGUGGUUCAGAACAGGUGACAGUUGGGAAUGGUAAGCAACUCUGUAUCUCACAUCUUGGUACUGCAAAACUACCAUCUUCGUAUUCUCCUCCUGUUCUACAUCAGGUAUAUCACACUCCAAAAAUUUCAAAUAAUCUUAUUAGUGUUAAAAAAUUGUGUUCUGAUAAUAAAGUUUUUGUUGAAUUUUAUGCCACUCAUUUUCUUGUCAAGGAUCAGGUUUCGAAGAGAGUUCUCCUUUAGGGUCAACUUGAUAAUGGCUUAUACAAAGUUCAGUCGUCAUGCUCUCCUUCUGCUGUUUCCUUUCCUCCUCAAGUUUUCAUAGCCAACAUCAAGUAUCCAAAUCUGUGGCACAAGAGACUAGGCCACCCAGCUUUAUCUGUUGUUAAUCAAAUCUUGGAUUCUUGUAACAUUGCUCGAACACAGAAAAUUUGUUUUAAUUUUUUAAAUUCUUGUCAAUUAGCAAAGAGCCACAGGCUUCCUUUUUCUCUGUCUCCAUCCAUUGCAGAAAAACCUUUUGAGUUAAUUCAUACAGACCUAUGGGGUCUUUCGCUCGUUCGCUCUAUUUCUGGUGCUCUUUAUUUUUUACUUUUCAUUGAUGAUCAUACUCGUUUUACUUGGUUUUAUUUGCUCAAAACAAAAGAUGAAGCAUAUCCUACUUUUCUCAAGUUUCAAGCUCUCAUUGAAAAUCAAUUUAAUACCAAGAUUAAGGCUGUCCAAUCUGAUUGGGGAGGUGAGUUUCGAUCUCUCUCCAUACCGUUUUCAAAUAUGGGCAUUGUCUAUUGUUUAUCGUGUCCAUACACCUCACAACAGAAUGGGCGAGUUGAGCGAAAAAAUCGCCAUGCGAUUGUCCUUUCUUGCUUGCUCUAUGCCCUUAUCUUAUUGGCCUUAUGCCUUUCAAACUGCCACUUACCUUAUUAAUCGUCUCUCUACCCCUGUGCUGCAUCAUCAAUCCUCUUACUUCGCACUCUAUCACAAACUCCCAACUUAUACUCAUCUUAAGGUCUUUGGUUCCUCUUGUUUUCCGUAUUUGCACCCUUAUAAUACCCAUAAACUCCAAUACAGGUCACUAGAGUGUGCUUUUCUUGGUUACAGUUCACACCACAAAGGUUAUCUAUGUCUUGACAUUCAUUCUAGCAGGGUGUAUAUUUCUCGCCAUGUGAUUUUUAAUGAAGAUUCUUUUCCAUUCAAGAAUUUGAAAUCUUCUCUCUCUCAGUCUAUUUCUUCUUCCUCUUCUUUAUAAGUUCCUCUGUUCAUUCUCUUGCCUCCCCUUUCCCCAUCUCCUCUUAUUUCUUCAUCUAUACCUCAUUCUUUUCCCUCUUCUUCUUCUACCUCUAGUACUUGUUCCCCUCUCGUUGCUCCUACCUCUCUUCCUUCCUCUUCACACUCUGUGUCUCCAUCUAUUCCACCUCCUUCUCCACCUUCUCCGAGUGUGGACCUGCUUGCACCUUGUGUGAAUACAAAUUUACAUACUUCUUCUCGCACUCACAAUAUUCAUCCUAUGGUGACUAGAUCUAAGGUUUGUAUCUAUAAACCUAAGUUGUUGUUGAGUGUCUCCAUAGGUUCUCUCACUAAGCCUACUUCCUUUCUUCAAGCUAUUAAAGAUCCUUCAUGGAAGCAAUCCAUGGAAUUCGAGUUUGCUACCCUUCAACACAACAAGACCUGGCAUUUGGUUCCUUCACCUUCCUCAGGCGAAGUAAUCGGUUGUAAAUGGGUCUAUAAGCUAAAGCUUCAGCCUGAUGGCUAAAUUGAGAGAUACAGCCUGCUUAGUAGCUAAGGGUAUCAUCAAAUUGAAGUAUGGACUACUUCGAAACAUUCAGCCUGAUNNNNNNNNNNNNNNNNNNNNNNNNNNNNNNNNNNNNNNNNNNNNNNNNNNNNNNNNNNNNNNNNNNNNNNNNNNNNNNNNNNNNNNNNNNNNNNNNNNNNAGCUUCAGCCUGAUGGCUAAAUUGAGAGAUACAAGGCCUGCUUAGUAGCUAAGGGUUAUCAUCAAAUUGAAGGUAUUGACUACUUCGAAACAUUCAGCCUGAUUGUCAAGCUUUCUACUAUCUGUAUUGUGCUCAGUCUUACUUUUUCCCAGAAUUGGUGUAUUAGACAGCUGGAUGUUCAUAAUGCCUUCUUACAUGGUGACUUAGCUAAAGACGUUUUCAUGGAACAACUGCCUGGAUUUGUUGAUCCUCUCUAUCCUACUCAUGUCUGCAAGUUGGAUAAGUCUCUCUACUGUCUUAAAUAGUCACCUCGGGCUUGGUAUACUAAGCUGAGUACUUCUCGCUACACUUGGGAUUUGUUACUUCUAAGAAUGACUCUUCCUUAUUUAUUUGUCAUUCGUCUCAUGGGUUACUUCUUGUUCUUGUCUAUGUGGAUGAUAUAAUCGUCAUUGGGAGCCACUCUCCUCAGGUUACUCACCUUAUCCAACAGUUGCAUCAUUAGCUUUCUUUAAAGGAUCUUGGUCCUUUACAUUAUUUUCUGGGCUUGGAGGUUCAUCACACCCCUACUGGUAUUCACCUCAGCCAAGCAAAGUAUAUCACUGAUCUCCUUACCCGGGCGGCUAUGUUGGAUGCCAAGCCAUGUCCCACUCCUAUGUCCUCCAACACAUAUCUCUCUUUUCAUGAUGGAGUGGCUCUUGAAAAUGGUUCAGAUUAUCGAAGUUUUGUUGGUGCCCUUUAGUAUUGUACCAUGACACGCCCAGAUAUAGCUUUUGCAAUAAAUAAAGUGUGUCAAUUCAUGCACCAUCCCUCUAAUGUUCACUGGCAGGCUAUAAAACGUAUUCUCCGGUACUUAAAGGGCACAUCUCAUUUUGGUCUCUUCCUACAGCCUUCCUAUGACUUCAACAUCACUUGCUAUACAAAUGCCGACUGGGCUUCCUGUCCUGAUGACAAGUGUAGCACCAGUGGCUACUGCCUCUUUCUUGCCUCUAAUCUGGUUUCUUGGUCAUCUUCCAAACAAAAAGUGGUCUCCCGCUCCAGCGCCGAAUCAGAGUACCGAGGGGUAGCAAAUGGGGCUGCUGAAAUUGCUUGGACUGAAUCUCUUCUUUGUGAACUUUCCAUUACUCCCCCUCCCCUCAUUCUCUGUGACAAUAUCAGUGCCACGUACUUAGCUGCCAAUCCUAUUUUGCAUGCCCGCACCAAACAUGUGGAAAUCGACUAUCACUUUGUCACGGAACGUGUUCUUCAAUGCUCUCUUUUUGUCCAGUUUACACCUUCUGAUGAUCAACUUGCUGAUUGCAUGACCAAGCCUCUCUCCACCCAACGUUUCAUCACUCUACGCUCCAAGCUCACUGUUCUCACUAGACCAAUGAGCUUGAGGGGGGAUGUUAAGCCUAAAGAUGUAAUUAGUUAGGAUAUUCUUUUCCCUCUAGUCUUGUAGCUCCACGUGUACAGUUGGUUAGGACCUCAUUGUAUAUAAUGCCUGCCCUGUUAUUGUAGAAGACAACAGAGAUAAAUAAUAUUAACAUUUUUCCUCUCAUCUCUCUCUCUGUUUCCCUCUGUUUUCAUCUCCUCUCUCAUCUGAACCAAAUGAUCCAUGUUAACCUUGGCUUGGUUUGAUUUGGCUCUAUCUUAGAGAGCUCAAGGAUCACGUCAACUCUGGUUUCUACUAUUCAGGUCCAUUCCCAUAUGAACUGGUUCAAAUUUGAGAAAAUGGUAACAGACCUUUAGUGAUGUUGGUUUGGAGCCAGUUGCCAAACCCGCCCUGAGCUUUACCACUAAUGUCAAGGGAGAAAGCCAUUUGAACAAAAACAAUAGCUUCAAGGGACUGAAUCGUGGAUGAAAUCUGAUCCACAUUUCUUCUCAUUUUGGAAACAAAUGAGAACUUAACUAAGAAGAUUCUACGGCCUCAUAGUGCUUUUCCUGAUCUAAGGUUGGUUCGUUUCCCAAACUGUGAGAUGCACGUGCCAGACUUCAGAACUCUCACGCUCAGGAGUGUAUCCACGUGGUGGACAUAAGAUGGUGGCUUAAGAUCUGGUGUCGGUGGCUUUACUUUACUAGGAGAGUAGUGUGUCUUCAUCUCAUUCACUGCCGGAGGGUGGCGUAAGCAGUGACGCUAAGGUGGGGCACAGUCAAUAUCAUUUGCAUUUGACCAUUAUAGUUUUCUCCCGGCUUUAAAGUAACCUUAUCGUGAUAAAGGAUUACUAGCACUAGUUCAGAUGAUAGUCAUGUUAAAUUCGGACCAUGUUUGUGUCACAUUAUCAGCAACCAUGUGUUUAUGGUUCAUGCUUUCUGCAACUAAAAUUGAUAUAUAACCAGGUGAACUUCAAUCUAAAUUCUGAAAGUACUCAUGUGAUAGAUGGUGCCCGUCUGCAGAGUCCAUCAAUUGAAAAAUGGAGUGAGUGUAUCUAUAAGAGGGAAGGCUUGGAAAAUGUUCAGUUUUCUGGGAAUUCAACAAGGAUCUAAAAUAGAUUGUUUUCUUUGCUGAUUUCAAUGGUUGAAAUUUGAGAAGAUUGUGUCCACAUAACACAACUAUUACUGGUCCUUCUGUUGCAAUUUAUCCUCUAAAGCUCUAGCAUGUCUUCCAAUUCCCACUUCCCUGUUACUCCAGGAAAGCUAUUUCUGUCAUUGUGAAGAAGAAAAGAGAAUGUACAUAUCGAUGCUUUUAAGUGACUGGAGCAUUUAUAUCAGGUGGUCUGCAGCCAUAUAUGCCACUUUGUGAAGAUUGGAACAGUCAAUCACUAGGCUAUAUAUUAGUGUGGCCCAGCCACUUUAAUCAAGGACAAGUCUUCAUACUUAAAGUCAAAUUCUGCCUUUAGUCUCAUUAUAAAUUUCUGUUUAAAUAUUAAGCAAACAUUUGUUUAAUGCGAUUAAGACAGUACUAACUCAAUACCUGUUCUAUUUUUGGAUGCAAAUGCUUGAUGGUUUCAUCAUUGGAUGGGAUAAAGGUGCAUUCAUGAUUAGGAAUACUAGUAGUUAUAUUUUAAUUCUCUUUUUUCUCAAUGAGACUUGUUGGCACAAUUUUGCUGUUGAGAAACCUACCUCUCCAUGGAAAAUAAGUUGUGAUUGAUAGUACUGGAUAUAUUCAAGAAAUCUAAAUAUAGAUAGCACAAAAUAUUAUCGACAUAAAUAGCAUUAACAGCGUACGUAUGUCUCAGUGCUCAUCAGCUAUAAGCAUGGGGCAAACACUUACUAUGAGCAACUUACGUCAAAAUUCCAGAAUAGGACAUAGAAGUGACAGAUAUAGAACAUUGCAUAUGAGUCACAAGAAAGGAAAUUACGGGUGCAUAGCAGCUCUUAUUUUACAUACUACUACUCAUACUGAUCAAAGUCACUCAGUUGGGAUGGGUGGGAGUAGGAGGUUUGUGGGGUGGCUUGUGCGGAGGAGUUGGCAGCUUCUUUCCAGGACCUGGUUGCUUCUCUGCUGGAGUUGAAGGAGGCUUAAUCUUCCGAGGUGGCUUGUAUGAGUCUUCAGCAUUCUCAGCUGGAGGGUGACCAGGGUUGUGACCAUAAUGUGGUGGCUUCUCUCCCUUAGGUGGUUUGCCAACUGGGGUUGGUGGCUUGUAUGAGUCUUCAGCAUUCUCAGCAGGAGGGUGACCAGGGUUGUGACCAUAAUGUGGUGGCUUCUCUCCCUUAGGUGGUUUGCCAACUGGGGUUGGUGGCUUGUGUUCUGGGAGUGGCUUCUCCCCCUUGGGAGGUUUUUCCAAUGGGGUUGGUUUGUGUUCAGGAGGUGGCUUCUCCACUGGAGGCUUGUGUUCAGGAGGUGGCUUCUCCACCGGAGGCUUGUGUUCAGGUGGUGGCUUCUCCACCGGAGGCUUAUGCUCUGGUGGUGGCUUCUCGAAUGGGGGAUGCUUAGGAUAAUCAGCAAGUGAGGGGGCGGUGAGAACCACCAGGCCAAGCAACACCACUAGCAAAUAUGUAGGAGACAUCUUUGGGUUUGGGCUCAGAUGGUGCAAAACUAGGAGAAUUGGCUAGCCUUUUAUAGCGGAUCGUACCCAAUAAUGAAAUGACACGUGUCAUUAUGACCCAUGUGUAAUGGGGUCGAUUUGGGUCCUACAGUGUUGAAAACUUCGACAUCCACUUUUGGCCUUUUGCUUUCUCUACAGCCGCCUUGCUUUUUCCCUCUUUCCUUUUGUUUUCCUCCUGCCCCAUUCUAUCAACUAAACACAAUUAUGUAGUUGUUUAAUUCUUAAAUGAGAUAUUAUCCGUCAAUCGUAUUAUAUUUUAUCAAGAGAGAACGGAGUGCAAUGUGGCUGUAAUUUUAUCGUUUAGUUUUAUCUCUUGGACCACUGCAUUUUUGUUAAGAGGUGCAAUAAUACACGUCUUUAUCUGCCAUUCAAUAUUUACAGUAAAGAGAGGGCACAAAACUCUUCACUUCGCACCAUAAUUAUUUUGUUUUCUGGACACCCCGGGGCCCUUUGGUUGGUUUGGGGGUCAGAAAGUGAACAUCAUAGGGGGUUUUUCCCUUAUGUGCAUUUGUAUCUGAUGGCUUUAACUCGCCUUGUUACUACAAAGAAACUGUCACAGAUAGGAACUUAUUCCAGGCUGAGUAUCUCCUCAUAGACCCUAUAAAAGAAGACAAGUCAUAAUGAACAUCUAACCUUUGUUCAAUUUGAUUCAAUGCCCCCAUUGUGUCCAUCUCACAAAUCUGAAUUAUUAUAUCCAUUGAAUACAUAAAUUAAUGAAGAAAAUAUGAAACCCAAGAUACAUCUCUGCACAACCUCAACCCUGGUUGCUAUGUUUCCCUUCUAUUCACAUGAUUUGAUGCUAAUUGCCAAACUUGCAACAAGCCCUGAGUUUGACACCUAGUAUCGAUGGGCGAAUUUAAAGUCUCCUCCAAACAUAUAUUCCACAGCUUGAAGCUCACAGAAGAUGUUACAGGCAGGGAAAAACCUUCAGAGUUCGCUACCAAAGAUAAUUAUUAAGGAGAUAUCACAAAGAGAAUUCCAAGGGGUCUGAAUCAAAGACAAAUUGGUCGUUCGUGGGGGUUCUUACUUUCUUUUGGGUAUAACUCACUGAGGGCACUGUCUUUGUUAUUUGCAUUUCACAUUUAGAGUUCUGUUCUGGAAACAUAUAAAAGGAGCAUCAUUUUGUUCUUGGGUAACCCAUAGUCGUGAGUGGGUCCAUUUGCAUGCUACUUAGUUGAAAAGUUGGACCAUUUGCUCCGACGCCUACCUCCCGGAUUCCAUGCUCGGAUAAAACAAGAAUAAAAAAAAUAUUUAUAAUUUACAAAUGGGGGAAAGAAAAAAAUGUCAACAACAAACCAGGAAAAAAGAGUAGUAAAAUUCAUGUCACAUGCUAGUGAGAGAAGGGGUUGUUACACUCACUCGAAGUUCUUUCCAAAAUAUCGCAUGGUAUUUUAUUUUAUGUGUCAGCGCAGUUGUGAAUGGAACGUGCAAAAGUCCAAAUUGGCGUUUUUCCUUUUCCCGUGUAGGAUGGCGACCUUUAAUAAAUAUUUAAAACAAAAAACGAAAAAAAGGAGGGAAAAGGGAUCAGAAAAGAUAAAACAAUGUGUACAAGAGCUCAAUUAGUUUGCAAAUUACUGUUUGGAUUUUGAUAGUAUUUUAUUUGUCCAUCUAUAUUUGAUGGAAAAGAGAAUUUAAGAUAUUUCUGAAACAAAAGCAUUAGUGUAAAACUAAAUUAAGGUAUAAUUAAGUUAGUUCAAUGCAUUAAUUUAAGAAACUUGAUCUAUCCAAAGUACAAAAUUAGAUGAAAUCCAUUUCAAUGGUUAAAAUGAUCAAAAUCAAACUUUUUCUAAGUAUUUUUUAAAAGCAUCAAUAUUAAAAGACAAUUUUAUAUUUAGUCGGAGUUUGGACAAAACCAAAAAGCACACAAAAUCCAAGCGACCAUCUCUAGCUUGGAUAGUCACUUGAUCCCACCUAGAGAUGUGCAUGAGUAAAAGGAUUUGAAAAUGGAAAUUGACUAAAUAUUUAGUUGAUCAAUUAAAUUUGCAAUGUCAUAUGCAAUCCUAAUAGCUAGUCAUCUAAUCAAUUAGGUAGUCAAUCAAGUGUUUGUAAUGACUAUUUUGUACAAAAAACCACAUGUAUAGUUAAAUAUAAUGCAUUUCAUUUAUAAAUCUUCUAAUUCUUGAAUAACGAUCCUAUCAUCCUUUGAAAAUUUUUAUUACACCUUUUUUACUUUUGUUCUAAAACUUACAUAUCACCCUUAAUUGUACCAUGAGAACCUAGCUAUUUUUUUUUUUUUUGUAAUUCAUCAAAGUUAGCUUUUGUAUUCAUUGUUGUAUUAUUUUUAGUAUAACUUAGAAAGCUAGUGUUUUCAAGUGAGUAAAAUUAACUUGUAAAUAUUGUAAAGAUUCAUUGAUAUGUAUCUUAAACUAAGUGUACAAAUUAAAACAUUUGCUAGUAGAUUUUCUCAAAAUUUAGAAUAGAGCUUGAGGCUAUUGAAAUAGGUGGGGUUACACCAAACCACAUCACAUCGUUGUUUGCACCUUUUUUCACUCUCUUUUACUUAGUUUCUCUAUAUUUGUUGUCUAGUAAUAUCCUAUAGGCUUGAUGGGUUAGGGAGCAUCCCUUUGUGAAAAAAUUUCAUUCAAUUCUUAGUUGUAUUACGCAUAUAUAAAAUGCCUCAUUGUUUUAAUGGUAUUCAGUCGUGGCAUCACAGAUAUGGGCAUCUAAAUUUUAAAAGUUUGAAACUUUUGUAAAGCAUGUUGAUAAAAUCCAUGAGAGUUGUGUACUUGGGAAGCAACAUCGAGGUGACUUUAUUUUUUUUUCCUUUUAUAAUGCCACACCUAAGUCCGGUUUCUAAAUGCUAAAGUGAAAGGGUAGGUAUGGACCAUUGAAAUGUGAUCACAACUUUUGGCCUUUUCCUUUCUCUGCAGCCAUGUUGUCUCUUUUUUCUUUUGCAUGAUUUUCUUACCAAAACAGAAUCAUAGACUUGUUUAGUCUCUAAGCUACUAUAUUAUAUCUCGGUGGACUUUUAAGAGUGCAACCGACAUAGAGCACAUGCAAGUGGGCAUAUGGGACAUGAAAUUUCUUCUUACAAAGAUUGCAUGAUUUUUAUAUUAGAGUUGUUCACGUGCAAUGUAUUUAGCUUGUUUUGCAGUUAAAUUAAUUGGAUAAGUAAACAUUGGCAUUUCUAAAUCGACUGUGAAGUGCUUCAUGUACGUGUAAAGUAUUAGAAAUUUCUUUCUUGGCAACUUGUUUUUUCCUUGCCAUCUACUGGUAGGUUUGACUAAAAUUAUAUUCCCUGUCAUGCUAAUUAAUUUUCAUGUGCAUGCUCAAAAGAAGAGUAUGACCUUAGUGCACCAAAAUCACUUUGAUUAAUUUGUGAUAGGUUUUUUUGCAUCAUUUAGAUAAUGUUUAGUUCUAAGAAAAAUUUAUAUAAAAAUGGUUUAUUUAUCUUACAUAUAUAUAUAUAUAUAUAUAUUUUUUUUUUUUUCAUUUUUUUUUCUUCUAUUUUAUUUAUUUAUUUUAUUUUCCUUAUGUUUUCCUCACAUUUUCCGGAACUAAACAUAGUCUUACGAAAUCAACAAUUGCCUUCAACUGAGUAGAUUCUGUUGUUUUAGCAAUGUUAGGCUGCUAACUUGUGGUGGUACGAACCAAAUGACCCAUGUUAAUCUUGGCUUGGUUUGAUUUGGCUCUAUCUCAGAGAGCUAAAGGAUCACGUCAACUCUGGUUUCUACUAUUCAGGUCCAUUCCCAGAUGAACUGGUUCAAAUUUGAGAAAAUGGUAACAGACCUUUAGUGAUGUUGGUUUGGAGCCAGUUGCCAAACCCGCCCUGAGCUUUACCACUAAUGUCAAGGGAGAAAGCCAUUUGAACAAAAACAAUAGCUUCAAGAGACUGAAUCGUGGAUGAAAUCUGAUCCACAUUUCUUCUCAUUUUGGGAAAAAAUGAGAACUUAACUACAAAGAUUCUACUGCCUCAUUCAUAGUGCUUUUCCUGAUCCAAGGUUGGUUCGUUUCCCAAAUUGUGAGGUGCACGUGCCACUCUCACGCUCAGGAGUGUAUCCACGUGGUGGACAUCAGAUGGUGGCUUAAUAUCUGGUGUCGGUGGCUUUACUUUACUAGGAGAGUAGUGUGUCUUCAUCUCAUUCACUGCCGGAGGGUGGCGUAAGCAGUGACGCUAAGGUGGGGCACAGUCAAUAUCAUUUGCAUUUGACCAUUAUAGUUUUCUCCCGGCUUGAAAGUAACCUUAUCGUGAUAAAGGAUUACUAGCACUAGUUCAGAUGACCGUCAUGUUAAUUCGGACCAUGUUUGUGUCACAUUAUCAGCAACCAUGUGUUUAUGGUUCAUGCUAUCUGCAACUAAACUUGAUAUAUAACCAGGUGAACUUCAAUCAAAAUUCUGGAAGUACUCUUGUGAUAGAUGGUGCCUGUCUGCAGAGUCCAUCAAUUGAAAAAUGGAGUGAGUGUAUCUAUAAGAGGGAAGGCUUGGCAAAUGUUCAGUUUUCUGGGAAUUCAACAAGGAUCUAAAAUAGAUUGUUUUCUUUGCCGACUUCAAUGGUUGAAAUUUGAGAAGAUUGUGUCCACAUAUCACAACUAUUACUGGUCCUUCUGUUGCAAUUUAUCCUGUAAGGCUCUAACAUGUCUUCCAAUUCCCACUUCCCUGUUACUCCAGGAAAGCUAUUUCUGUCAUUGUGAAGAAGAAAAGAGAAUGUACAUAUCGAUGCUUUUAAGUGACUGGAGCAUUCAUAUCAGGUGGUCUGCAGCCAUAUAUGCCACUUUGUGAAGGUUGGAACAGUCAAUCACUAGGCUAUAUAUUGGUGUGGCCCAGCCACUUCAAUCAAGGACAAGUCUUCAUACUUAAAGUCAAAUUCUGCCUUUAGUCUCAUUAUAAAUUGCUGUUUAAAUAUUAAGCAAACUUUUGUUUAAUGCGAUUAAGACAGUACUAACUCAAUACUUGUUCUAUUUUUGGAUGCAAAUGCUUGAUGGUUUCAUCAUUGGAUGGGAUAAAGGUGCAUUCAUGAUUAUGAAUACUUGUAGUUAUAUUUUCAUUCUCUUUUUUCUCAAUGAGACUUGUUGGCACAAUGUUGCUGUUCAGAAACCUACCUCUCCAUGGAAAAUAAGUUGCGAUUGAUAGUACUGGAUAUGUUCAAGAAAGCUAAAUAUAGAUAGCACAAAAUAUUAUCGAUAUAAAUAGCAUUAACAGCGUACGUAUGUCUCAAUGCUCAUCAGCUAUAAGCAUGGGACAAACACUUACUAUGAGCAACUUACGUCAAAAUUCCAGAAUAGGACAUAGAAGUGACAGAUCUAUAUAUAUAGAACACUGCAUAUGAGUCACAAGAAAGGAAAUUACGGGUGCAUAGCAGCUCUUAUUUUACAUACUACUACUCAUACUGAUCAAAGUCACUCAGUUGGGAUGGGUGGGAGUAGGAGGUUUGUGGGGUGGCUUGUGCGGAGGAGUUGGCAGCUUCUUUCCAGGACCUGGUUGCUUCUCUGCUGGAGUUGAAGGAGGCUUAAUCUUCCGAGGUGGCUUGUAUGAGUCUUCAGCAUUCUCAGCUGGAGGGUGACCAGGGUUGUGACCAUAAUGUGGUGGCUUCUCUCCCUUAGGUGGUUUGCCAACUGGGGUUGGUGGCUUGUAUGAGUCUUCAGCAUUCUCAGCAGGAGGGUGACCAGGGUUGUGACCAUAAUGUGGUGGCUUCUCUCCCUUAGGUGGUUUGCCAACUGGGGUUGGUGGCUUGUGUUCUGGGAGUGGCUUCUCCCCCUUGGGAGGUUUUUCCAAUGGGGUUGGUUUGUGUUCAGGAGGUGGCUUCUCCACUGGAGGCUUGUGUUCAGGAGGUGGCUUCUCCACCGGUGGCUUGUGUUCAGGAGGUGGCUUCUCCACCGGAGGCUUAUGCUCUGGUGGUGGCUUCUCCACCGGAGGCUUAUGCUCUGGUGGUGGCUUCUUGAAUGGGGGAUGCUGAGGGUAAUCAGCAAGUGAGGGGGCGGUGAGAACCACCAGGCCAAGCAACACCACUAGCAAAUAUGUAGGAGACAUCUUUGGGUUUGGGCUCAGAUGGUGCAAAACUAGGAGAAUUGGCUAGCCUUUUAUAGCGGAUCGUACUCAAUAAUGAAAUGACACGUGUCAUUAUGACCCAUGUGUAAUGGGGUCGAUUUGGGUCCUACAGUGUUGAAAACUUCGACAUCCAGUUUUGGCCUUUUGCUUUCUCUACAGCCGCCUUGCUUUUUCCCUCUUUCCUUUUGUUUUCCUCCUGCCCCAUUCUAUCAACUAAACACAAUUAUGUAGUUGUUUAAUUCUUAAAUGAGAUAUUAUCGGUCAAUCGUAUUAUAUUUUAUCAAGAGAGAACGGAGUGCAAUGCAGCUGUAAUUUUAUCGUUUACUUUUAUCUCUUGGACCACUGCAUUUUUGUUAAGAGGUGCAAUAAUACACGUCUUUAUCUGCCAUUCAAUGUUUACAGUAAAGAGAGGGCACAAAACUCUUCACUGCUCUGCAUGUGUCCCAAAAAUGCGAUUGGACAAAUUAUGAUUUGCAUGCUAAAAAGAGGCAAAUGAGGUUAAUUCGCACCAUAAUUAUUUGGUUUUCUGGACACCAUAAAAAGAUGUUAUACAGGCAGGGAAAAACCUUCAGAGUUAGCUACCAAAGAUAAUUAUCAAGCAGAUAUCACCAAGAGAAUUCCAUAGAGUCUGAAUCAAAGACAGAUUGCUCGCUCGUGGGGGUUCUUACUUUCUUUUGGGUAUAACUCACUGAGGUCACUGUCUUUUUUAUUUGCAUUUCACAGUUAGAGUUCUGCUCUGGAAGGUUUGUUCUGGAAACAUAUAAAAGGAGCAUCAUUUUGUUCUUGGGUAACCCAUAGUCGUGAGUGGGUCCAUUUGCAUGCUACUUAGUUGAAAAGUUGGACAAUUUGCUCCGACGCCUACCUCCUGGAUUCCAUGCUCGGUAAAACAAGAAUAAAAAAAAAUAUAUAAUUUACAAAUGGGGGAAAGAAAAAAUGUCGGAAAAAAUAGUAAAAUUCAUGUCACAUGCUAGUGAGAGAAGGGGUUGUUACACUCACUCGAAGUUCUUUUCAAAAUAUCGAAUGGUAUUUUACUUUAUGUGUCAGCGCAGUUGUGAAUGGAACGUGCAAAAGUCCAAAUUGGCGUUUUUAUUUUUCCCAUGUAGGAUGGUGACCUUUAAUAAAUAUUUAAAACAAAAGACGAAAAAAAAAAGGAGGGAAAAGGGAUCACAAAAGAUAAAAUAAUGUUUACAAAAGCUCAAUUAGUUUGCAAAUUACUGUUUGGAUUUUGAUAGUAUUUUAUUUGUCGUUCUAUAUUUGAUGUAAAAGAGAAUUUAAGAUAUUUCCGAAGCAAAAGCAUUAGUUUGCUCUGUGAUGUCCCACAUCGAAUAGGGGAGAAAGUUUCUGGCGCUAUAUAUGUAGAGGCUCCUCUUAACCAAGUAGAUGCGUUUUAAAACCAUGAGGGCCCCCUUAGGUCCAAAGCGGACAAUAUCUACAUGAUUGGGUGUAAGUCAUUACAAAUGGUAUCAGAGCCGAUCCCCGACCCCGGUGUGGGGGUUUGUUUGGCCCUGUAAGGGGUGUUUGUCUGUUUGACCCCACAAUCCCAUGGGACACAACGAGGACGUUGUGUCUGCAUGGGGGGGCGUUUGUGAUGUCCCACAUCGGAUAGGGGAGAAAGUUCCUAGUGCUAUAUAUGUAGAUGUUUCUCUUAACCAAGUAGAUGCAUUUUAAAAUUGUGAGGGCCUCUUUGGGCCCAAAGCGGACAAUAUCUACAUGGUUGAGUGUAAGUCAUUACAUGCUCCAUGUCAAUUUCAGCAUUUCUCAUAUGUUUCACACAUACACAGAAGAGCAUCGUUUUUUAAAGCAUGCAUUUAUGUUGGAUUAAUUUGGAUUUUGUGGGAACUGGGGCAAGGAUCACAUGGAAGAGAGGUUGACUUUUUUCAGUACUUCAAUGGUUGAAAUAUGUGAAGGCUUGAUUGAUACUAAAGCUUGAAAUUGCGACUCUGUCAUUUGUAAAAAAAUAUGACAGCUUCCAUGCUCUCGUUUGGUUGCAUUGUCCGGUCGAGAGGUGCAAAAAGCAUUCUCUCUCUUCUAAUAGUCUUUUCGUUUAAAUCAAGGGAUUUGCCUUCCCGGUCGAGGUCCAAUAGAGGGUAACGGUCACCUACUAAACAUUAAAUGCUCCAACAACUAGUGAACUGAUCGACCCCAGCUCGACUAGUUGAGGUUACUUUUUGGUUUUCUUGUCUCCCGAGGUUAGAAACCUAUAAAUAGAGAGCUUCACUUCAUUUAUGAGUAAGAGAACACCUAAAUUUAUUUGUUUACCUACUUGUUUUUGCCAUAAAAGCUCUCAUUUCUUUUCUUGGUGUAUUAAAUCUCCAUUUGCAUAUCCUUUAGUGCACCUUUGUGAUUCAUUCUAGCCUUGAGUUGUAUUUAAGCCUUUGUUGAGCUAGGUUGAGAGUUUCAUACUUGUUUAUUGAGUGUUAAAGCCUUCAAGUGAGUUAAAACUUGAAGAGAUUGUGUAAGAGCCCAUUGGAGUCGGAAUCCAAGUGUAAAGGUGAUUAAAAGCUUGGUUGAAGCUUCAAGUUAGUGGAACUCUCACUCGGUUAUGAGCUUGAGAAGAGUGGACAUAGACAAGGCAGUGUCGAACCACUAUAAAAUCUGAGUUUGAUUUCUCUAACCUUAUCUCUUUAUAUUUGCUUCUCUUGUGCUUAAAUUUUUUGUGUUUAAAAAGAAUUUUUAAAAACUCAAUUCACCCCCUUCUUGGGAGUUUUUCUCUUUUAAGAUCAGCUUUUAUUUUCUCAAUUGGUAUCAGAACUAUGCCUCUUGUUUAAGACUUAAUCGUCUAAGAGGAAAUGGCUAAUCCAUCAAGUUCAUCUCACAUUGAAAGUUUUGCAACCAAUAGACUUCUUUUUUUUUUUUUGCGGGAACUGAUUAUCCCUAUUGGAAAACUAAAAUGACUUGGUUUUUACAAUCAAUUGAUUUAGAUGUAUGAGAUGCCAUUGAAGAUGACCUAACUUUUCCUUCAAAACUAGUUGAUGGAGUCAUGGUUCCAAAACCUAAGCAAGAAUGGGAUGAGCGUGAUUGAAGAAAUUUUCAAUUAAAUGCUAAAGUCGUUUAUACUUUGCAAUGCUCUAUGGACAGAAAUGAAUAUAAUAGAAUAUGUCAAUGCAAAUCGGUUAAAGAAAUUUGGAGAUUGCUUGAAAUAACUCAUAAAGGAACAAAUCAAGUUAAAGAGUCAAAAAUCAAUUUACUUGUUCAUAGAUAUGAAUUGUUUUUUAUGAAAGAUAAUGAAACUAUUGUUAAGAUGAUCACUAGGUUCACCAACAUUGUUAAUGGUCUUAAAGCCUUGGGAAAGACCUACAAGGAAUCCGAAAACGUGAUGAAGAUCUUGAGGUCACUUCCAUCAAAGUGGCAUACCAAGGUCACCGCAAUUUAAGAAGCAAAAGACUUGAUCAAGCUACCUUUGGAGGAGUUCAUAGGGUCAUUGAUGACAUAUGAAAUCAAUUUGGCAAAGAAGUAACAAAAAGGUGAAGACAAAAAGAAGAAGAACAUAACUCUCAAAGCUACAACUAAGGAAGAAGAAGUUGAAGAAGAAAAACAAAUUGAAGAAGAUGAAGAUUUAGCCCUCAUCACAAGAAAGUUCAACAAAUUCAUGAGGGGUGAAAGGUUUAGAAGAAGAAGGUUCACUUCUAGAAGAGACUUUUCUAAAAAGGAAUCUUCAUCUAAUGGUGACAAAAAGAGAUGGGAAGAGAAAAGAGACUUGGUGUGUUUCAAGUGCAAGAAACCGGGACACAUUAAAUAUGAUUGUCCUCUCUACAAAAGUGAAGUCAAGAGGAAAAAGAAUAAGGCAAUGAUGGCCACUUAGAGUGAAAGUGAAGAUGAAUCAUCCGAAGAAGAAAAUGAGAAAGAAGUGGCAAACAUGUGUUUCAUGGCAAUAGAUGAACUUGAUGAGGUAAAAUCUAACCUUAGUGAUUAAGAUAUACAUGAUGCAUUUGAAGAAUUGUAUGAGGAUUUUUAAAAACUUAGUUUGAAAAAUAUUUCUCUUAAAAAGAAAGUUCAACAACUUGACAAAGAACUUAGAGAAGUAAAAGAAAAAUUUUCAAAUGUUAAAGUUUCUAAAACUCAUCUUGAAAAAGAAAAUGAGAUUCUAAGAAAGAAAAAUGAAUAGUUGAACUCCUCUCUUUCAAUCUUUUCUUCUAGACAAAAAUCUUUUGAAAUGAUUCUAACUAGCUAAAAAUGUGUUUUUGACAAACAAGGGUUAAGAUUUAAAUCUUCAAAAAAUCAAAAGUAUUUUAAAAACUAUUUUGUAAAGGAAUCCACAAGUGCAAGUCCUUCCACUACUUGCAACUUUUGUGGAAGAGAAUGGCACAUUAGUAGUACGCCCUUUAAGAAAUGGUUCUCAAAAGAAUUUAAAUGCAAAAACUAAAAAAGAUUUGGAUUGAGAAAUCCAAGGUCACUAACCCUCAAGGACCCAAAAAGAUAUAGGUACCUAAAUCAACUUGAGUUUUAUGUUGUAAGGUUCAAAGAAUGAUAAGUGGUUCUUAGAUAAUGGUUGCUCAAGACACAUGACCGGAGAUGAAUCCAAGUUUGCUUUUCUUAAAAAGAAAAAUGGAGGAUAUGUUACCUUUGGAGACAAUGCAAAAGAAAGGAUGAUUGGUCAAGGCAACAUUGGUAAUGGCACAUCCUCUCUCAUUGAAAGUGUUUUAUUAGUAGAUGGUUUCAAACAUAACCUUUUAAGCAUUAGUCAAUUUUGCGACAAAGGUUUUUAAGUGAUUUUUUAAGCAUCUCAUUGCAUCAUCAAGGAUAUUCAAAAUGAUAAAACCAUUUUCAUGGGCCAUAGAUGUGAUAAUGUUUAUGCUAUAAAUAUUUCAAAAUAUGAUGGCCAUGAUAGAUGUUUUUCAAGCAUGCAUGAUCAAAGUUGGUUGUGCCAUAGGAGAUUGAGACAUGCUAACAUAGACCUCAUUUCCCAACUCAACAAAGAUGAACUUGUUAGAGGCCUUCCCAAAAUAAUUUUUUAAAAAGAUAAAGUUUGUGAAGCUUGUCAAGUGGGAAAGUAAAUCAAAAACUCUUUUAAAAACAAAAACUUCAUUUCCACAUCUAGGCCACUUGAGUUGUUGCAUAUGGAUUUAUUUGGUCCCUCUAGGACACCAAGUCUUAGAGGAAAUUCUUAUGCAUAUGCUAUUGUGGACGACUUCUCUAGAUACACAUGAGUCUUGUUUUUUAGUCAAAAGAAUAAAGUUUUUUAUGAGUUUUCAAAGUUUUGCAAUAAGAUUCAAAAUGAAAAAGGUUUUUCAAUUACUUAUAUAAGAAGUGAUCAUGGGAGAGAAUUCGAAAAUAUUGAUUUUGAAGAGUAUUGCAAUGAGCAUGGAAUUGACCACAAUUUUUUGGCUCUUAGAACUCCUCAACAAAAUGGGGUAGUUGAAAGGAAAAAUAGAACUCUUCAAAAAAUGACAAGAACCAUACUAAAUGAAAACAACUUACCAAAAUAUUUUUAGGCCAAAACGGUUAACACUUCUUGUUAUGUUUUAAAUAGAGUAUUAUUGAGGCUCAUACUUAAGAAAACUCCCUAUGAGCUUUGGAAAAACAAAAAACCCAACAUUAGUUAUUCCAAAGUCUUUGGAUGCAAUAUUUUAUAAUAAACACCAAAGACAAUCUUGGAAAAUUUGAUGCAAAAUUGGAUGUUGGAAUUUUCCUUGGUUACUCAACUUCAAGUAAAGCUUUUCGAGUUUUAACAAAAGAACCAUGGUUGUAGAGGAGUCCAUCCAUGUUAUUUUUUAUGAAUCUCCAAGAAAGAGAGAGGAUUGAUGAUGAUUUAGGUUUGAAGACCUCUAUAGGAAGAUUGCAAAUCGAAGAUAGAAGACAACAAGAAGAAAAUGGAGAGAAUCCAAAGAAAGAAGGAUCACCAUUGGCACUACCCCCUCAUCAACAAGCGCAAGGUGAAUCAAGUCAAGAGCUUCCUAAAGAAUGGAAGUUUGUCAUCAAUCACCCACAAGAUCAAAUUAUAGGCAAUCCAUCUAGUGGGGUAAGAACUAGAUCCUCUCUUAGAAAUAUUUGCAAUAAUCUAGCUUUUAUCUCUCAAAUUGAGCCUAAAAAUAUAAAUGAUGUUUUAGAUGAUGAAAAUUGGAUAAUUGCAAUGCAAGAAGAGUUAAAUCCAUUUGAAAGAAGUGGAGUAUGGGAAUUAGUACCAAGACCUUCAAAUCAAAGUGUUAUUGGAACUAGAUGGAUCUUUAGAAAUAAAAUGGAUGAAAAUAGCAUAAUUGUUAGAAAUAAAGCAAGAUUGGUAGCCCAAGGUUUUAAUCAAGAAGAAAUGAUAGAUUAUGAAGAAACCUUUGCCCCCGUAGCUAGGUUGGAAGCCAUUAGGAUGCUACUUGCCUUUGCAUGUUUUAAAGACUUUGUUUUAUAUCAAAUGGAUGUGAAAAGUGCUUUUUUAAAUGGUUUUAUAAAUGAAGAAGUAUAUGUUGAACAACCACCCGGUUUUCAAAGUUUCAACUUUCCUAACCAUGUUUUUAAACUUAAAAAGACACUUUAUGGUUUGAAACAAGCACCUAGAUCAUGGUAUGAAAAAUUGAGUAAAUUUCUUUUGAAAAAAAUGUUUUAAAAUGGGAAAAAUUGACACAACUCUUUUUAUAAAAACCAAAGAAAAUGAUAUGCUCUUAGUUCAAAUAUAUAUUGAUGAUAUCAUUUUUGGUGCUACUAAUGUCUCUCUUUAUGAAGAAUUUUCUAAGUGCAUGCAUAGUGAGUUUGAAAUGAGCAUGAUAGGAGAACUCAACUUCUUCCUUGGACUUCAAAUCAAGCAACUAAAGGAAUGAACCUUCAUCAAUCAAGCAAAGUAUAUAAGAGAUCUUCUCAAAAGGUUCAACAUGGAAGAAGCCAAAACAAUGAAGACUCUAAUGAGCUCAUCCAUUAAGCUUGAUAAGGAUGAGAAAGGUAAAUCCAUUGACUCUAUUAUGUAUAGAGGCAUGAUAGGUUCUUUGCUCUAUUUGACCACUAGUAGACCUUACAUUAUGUAUAGUGUGUGUUUGUGUACUAGAUUUCAAUCUUGUCUUAAAAAAUCUCACUUAAGUGUCGUGAAAAGAAUCCUCAAAUAUUUGAAAGGGACAAUGGACAUAGGCUUAUGGUAUCCUAAGAGUGAUAACUUUGAAUUAAUUGGUUUUUUGGAUGCUGAUUUUGUCAGUUGUAGGGUUGAAAAAUAAAACACUAGUGGCACUUUUCAUUUCUUAAGACACUUACUUGUCUCAUGGCAUAAUAAGAAGCAAAAUUUGGUAGCUUUGUCAACAGCAGAAGCUAAAUACAUAGCAACUGGUUUAUGUUGUGCACAAAUCCUUUGGAUGAAAUAAACACUUAGUGAUUUUGAUUUAUCUUUUGAGCAUAUUCCUAUUAAAUGUGAUAAUAGUAGUGCCAUAAGUAUAUCAAAAAAUCUCGUGCAACACUCUAGGACUAAGCAUAUAGAGAUUAGACAUAAUUUUCUUAGAUAUCAUACACAAAAGGAUGAUAUAACACUUGAAUUUGUAAGCAUAAAAGACCAACUUGCCGAUAUCUUUACAAAACCUCUAAGAACAUUUUGUUGAUAUUAGAGGACAAUUAGGAGUGAUUUCUUUAUGAUCUAAUGUGAUGAAUUCUUGAUGAAUAUACUUUUUGAUUGCAUGAAUUUCAUGUCAUAUAUGCAUCAUAUAGAAAUAUACUUAGAUAAUGGUCAAAUUUCGACCAAAAAUCAAAAUUCCCAUGGCAUUAGGCAUAAAAAUUUUGGAAUUUCAACUGAAAAUGGUAGGAGGAGGAUCACAAAAUGAGAAAGUAUGCAAAAAUUGAAAAAUCAAAACGUUGACCAAGCGGUCAAUCGGACUAGACCGAUCGACUAGUUUGUCGAGAUUUAGGAUUUUUAAGAGACUCCAACGCUUCAAUUUUUGCACCGUUCUCCUCUAUUUCUUCACGGUUUCUCUGAUUUUGUCUUUUAGAGACUAAUUUGAGUGCGUUUUGGAUCAAUUGAAGCAUUUUGGAUUGGAUUUUAGGAAGAUUGAAAGUUAAGGUUUCGGAUUUGGGUCGCCUUCUCUUCCUCUCGCGUGUCACAAUCAGCUUUAGCAUUGUUCUCUUUCCAUUUUCACACACCUAGGGUUUCAGUUGUGAGCAUCUCUCUCUCUUUACCAACCACUACUCCCUUGCUUCUUCCAUAUGGCUCCUAGGCGAGAGUCCGCUACUUCUAGGGCACAAGGCAAGCACCCAACUGAGUCGUCUCAGUCAAAGGCACGUCGAAAAGUGAGAUUUGACAUUGCCUUGUUCAGUUCCAUGGAGGACUACCAACUAUACAAGCAACACUUUGCUUAGAGACGAGUAGUUCCCAAGAGAAAUAUUAAUUUUCCUCAACUUCAGCAUUUCGAAUUUAAGGGUCUAUUUACUAGGAUGGUUGGUUGUCUAUUGUCACAAUUUCGGAGCCGGUUUUCCUGACCUUAGUGCGAGUUUUUUACUCGAGGGCGACUUAUGGCAUGGGUGGCAUGAUCAUUUCUACUGUUGGAGGAGUUGAGAUCUGUCUGGACCCAGAGAGCAUCUGCCAUAUUUUCGAUAUUGCUCUGGUUGGACUCAAAGUAUACAAGUCCAAAAUGUGGCCCAUUGUGCCAGGAUUUGAGCUUAGAGAGGUCAUUCAGAGGAUUUGUGAACUUCCAGACGCCCAGGAGAUGGGCAAACCAUUGCCACACAGUUUGACGGUCAUCAACAGGGUGCUACACCAUAUAUUGUGCUCUAUCUUUCUACCACGAAGUGGACAUUGAGAUGAGGUCUCUUAUUAUGAGGCAUUCCUUAUUGACUCCAUUCUAACGGAGAGACGAAUUCAUCUACUAUGUCAUCAUUCACUAAGCCUCCUCACAGUGACAUACCACCUCAUCAGGCACCUCUUGCUCCUGACCAUGCUCCAUUGAUGGAUUUAUUUACUCAUAUUAGCUCUCUAGGCACUCGCAUGAAGGAGUUUGUUGUAGUUAGUGAUACAUGGUUCUACUCCAUAGAGGAUCGCAUGGAUCAGUAUCAGACUGGCUUCACGUCACAGUUUGAGUAUCUCCAAUAGAGGAUUGAGCAUAUUGAGGAUCACUUGAGCAUGAGAAGAUGAUGGCUUUUCUAUGCUCUGUGUUUCCACCUCCACCUCGUCAACCUUGAUUUCUUAGAGACCCAUUGUUUUCAUUUUGUAAUGUUGCCAAAAGGGGGAGAUAUUUAGGAUCUAGGACUCUAUAGGAGACUUACAUGCAUAUCAUUUUCAUAUCAUUGUUUGGAUCGUACAUAUUGGAUAGUGAUACUUUUUACUUAUAUAUGAUAUGCCUAUAUGUUUCAUGUCUUACAUUGUUUCUUAUUGCAAAUUAUCUCUAACAUGUCUUGAUUAUCUUUUUUUUAACUUCAUAAAUUUUGAUUGUUAACCCAUGAUUGGUUUGAGGGGAAGAUUCUUCUUCUCCUAGAUAACCAAGGUUUGUCAUCAUAAAAAAAUUGGAGAUUGUUAGCCCAAGGGUUCUCCUAAUCAUGUUUUGAUGAUAACAAACCAUGCUUAAGUUACUAAUUGGUUUGAAUUAUAAAGAAUUUCAAGUGUUAAUUUGAAAAUUCAUCAAAGAACCUAAUGGAUGCAAGAUCAAGAUUUUUGGAAGACCUUUAAUCAUAAGAAACAUAUGUAAGAUGAAUGCAUGGGUGCACUUAAGAUUUGCAUAUCAUUUCAUGCAUAUUUGGAAAACACGGUUUAUGCUUUAAAGUUACAUUUCCAUCAAAAUUUGAGAUCCAUCAAAUGAACCUUAGGAAAAAUGUUUUAAAAUUGGCAUAUAAUUUUACCUAAAGACCUUGCCUAAGUGUUAGAAGCAAAAGGACAAAAAAAAUAUAGGUUUUCUGGUCAAAAAUGGUGAACCAGUCAAGGCAUUGUCUAAAUCAGCUCAAUCGGCCAAGGUACCGGUCGAUCGGUUUCCCUUUCCCUGUCGAGAUCUAGUCAAGAGGUACAAAAAUCACAAUCUCUGUCUCUUUCUCUCUUUGUCUAUCUUCCAGUAGUCUUUCCUUCCCGGUCGAGGGAUUUGCCUUCCCGAUUGAGGUCCGAUUGAGAGUAAUAGUCACUUGCCAAAUAUUAAAUGCUCCAACAGUUAGUGAACUGGUCGACCCCCACCUUGCCCAGUUGAGGUUACUUUUUGGUUUUCUUGGCUCCCGAUGUUAGAAACCUAUAAAUAGAGAGUUCCACUUCAUUUAUGAGCAAGAGAACACUUGCAUUUAUUUGUUUACCUACUUGUUCUUGCCUUAAAAGCUCUCAUUUCUUUUCUUGGUGCAUUAAAUCUCCAUUUUGAUAUCCUUUAGUGCACCUUUGUGAUUCAUCUUAGCCUUGAGUUGUAUUUGAGCCCUUUUUUUAGCUAGGUUGAGAGUUUCAUACUUGUUAAUUGAGUGUUAAAGCCUUCAAGUGAGUUGAAACUUGUAGAGAUUAUGUGAGAGUCGAUUGGAGCCGAAAUCCAAGUGUAAAGGUGAUUAGAAGCUUGGUUGAAGCUUCAAGUUAGUGGAAUCCUCACUCAAUUAGGAGCUUGAGGAGAGUGGACGUAGCCAAGGAAGUGUCGAACCACUAUAAAAUUUGAGUUUGAUUUCUCUAACAUUGUCUCUUUAUAUUUGUUUAUCUUGUGCUUAAAUUUAUUGUGUUUAAAAAGAAUUUUUAAAUACCCAAUUCACCCCCCUCUUGGGUGUUUUUCUCUUUUAAAAUUAGCCUUUAUUUUCUCACAAACUAUUGUAGUAUAGUGGUUUUUAGGUGUCAUCCAUUAGGAUGAAUUGUUCUCGGUAAUUAAGGCGUGAAUGAGAGGAGAAUUAAUGAUUGUGAUUAAGUAAAAUUGAUUUGAAAAUUCAUGGUGAAAAAUCAAUUUAACAAUGGUUUCUAAUUGAGAAAAACAAUGAAAUGUGAAAUAAAAUAAAAUUAAUAGGAAAUGAAAUUCUCGAAGUUAGAAUUUUCUAAAAAACAAAUUCCAUGGUGAAUGGAUGUUGAGAUCUAAUUUUCAUCAAGUUAGAUUGAAAACCGAAAUUUUCAUAUAAACUGAUUUUUUAUUUAGUUUUAGGUCUAGAUUUAAUUUCCCUUAAAAUUAGGUUAUUUAAUCCAAGAAAUCAAUUCAAAUCAUAUAUUCAAUUCAUCUUAAAUUAUCUUCCAAUUAUUCACACAAUGCAACUAUUCAAUCUCAUCAAAUCUAGCUUUUAAGAAUUUAAUGAAUCUACCUAGUUUGCAUUGUAAUAGUCAUCCAUGACAAUUUGAAGAGAAAAAUAAUUCAAUUAAUCAAUCACUUGGAUCAAAUUACCUUUGCAAUUAAAGUUCAUUUCUCUAAUUCACCACAGAUUUUGUCUCUAGAUCCUCCUUUCUCAAAGAAAAAUGAGAUUUAGCCACACAUGAUUGGAGAUUUGGUCUCAUAAGGCAUGUUUAGCUAGUGAUAAAAUGAGAGAAAAUAAAGAAAAAUAGAGAAUUCGAUUAAGAAAGAAAAUCUAAAAAAUUCUACAAUUAGAAAUGUCCAAAAAGCUUUUUCAUGAGAAAAUCAAGUUUCUAUUUAUAGGCCAAGGUCAAGUGGACACUUGACAUCAUCUAAGAGGUCUUCCGGAAGCUUCUUCAUCAAGAAAUCUGGAGUUUAAUAAUAAAAUGGUCAUUUCACAAGAGCUCAAACAAUUUCGCAUGAUUAUGUGAAAUAAAAAAUGCAACAACAGCAAUUUACAUCUUCUUGGAGCAUUUCGCAUGACUGUGUGAAAUUUUCACAUGAUCAUGUGGAAUCGACUUGACAACUCUCAUUUAGCCUACAACAUAAUUCCACCUUUUGGUCCAUUUUUCAUAGUCAUGCGAAAUGGAAAUAUUUGAUUUUUAAGUUUUCUUUUGUCAUUUCUUUCAUUUCCUUCUCUUGAUUCCACUUCAACUACCUCCGAAUCCUGGUCCAAACCAAUUGCAUUACUUCUUUCAUUAUGCAUUUGGAUCAUCAUCAACAUUAUUUGUUCUCUUCAAUUUGAUUCAUCUCUUUUGUCACCAAUUUAUCAAAAUCAUACCUUGAAAUGACUCCAAAACUUCAUAAAACUUGUUAGUAACUCUUGCAAGGGCAACAACAUAUUAAUUAAGUGUUUUAGGCAUAGUUACUACUCAAAAGAUGCGAAACUCAUGAUAAUUAUUAUAUAAAAUAUGCUCUUUUUGAGUAGUAAUCAACUUUCUUGCAUAAGCAGACCUUUUAGGGUGGAGUACUAAAGACCAAUAUGCUUGUCCUUGUUGUAAUAAAGAAACUUGCUCUUAUUGAUUGCACCAUGGGAGAAAAUUUUGCUACAUGAGUUAUCAUCAAUUUCUUCCCACCAAUCAUAGAUUUAGACGUGACAAGAGGCCUCUUAAUGGCAAGGAGGAACUGACACUCACACUUAUACAAUUAUCGGGCAUUGAUGUGUUGCAACAAUUAGAAUAACUUACACCAAUUAUGUUGGGGAAGUCACAAAAGGCAAACAUGAAAACUAAAAGGAAAAAAGAAAAAUGUUACAUAUCACCACAACUGGAAAGAAAAAAGUAUUUACUUUCAUUUGCCAUAUUGGAAAGCACUUAUUUUACAUCAUAAUAAUUUAGACAUAAUGCAUAUUGAGAAAAAUGUGUGACAAUAUAAUUGAGACAUUGUUCAGUAUUGACGAAGAAACAAGGACAACCUAAAUAGUCAUCUCGAUUUACAAGCUCUAACUAUUAGAAAUGAGAUUCACCCAAUAGAAAGCAGGACCAAAUUUAUUUUGCUUGCAACAUGCUACUCACUCACCCCAAAUGAGAUUAAGGAAUUUUGCAAGUUUUUGAAAUCAAUAAAGGUCCCCAAUGGCUAUUCUUUCAAUAUCUCUCGUUAUGUGCAACUCAAUGAAAGGAAGAUAUAUGAGCUCAAAUUGUAUGAUUGUCAUGUCCUAAUGCAACAACUUCUCUCACUUGUAGUUCGUGGAGUUCUACAUAAGAAUGUUUGUGGAGUUAUCAUAGAAUUGCGUAAUUUUUUCAAGCAAUUGUGCUCAAAGGUGUUAGAAACAAAUCACUUACACCAACUUGAGAACAAUAUUAUUGUCAUACUAUGUAAAAUGGAGCAAAUAUUUCUUCCAUCAUUCUUUGAUAUUAUGGUGCAUUUACUUGUGCAUCUAGUAAGGCAAAGGUUGCAAGACUUGUGCAAUAUUGUUGGAUGUACCUAAUUGAACGAUAUUGUUAUAAUUUCAUAUGAAUCAUUUAAUUUUAUUUUAUAUUAUGUUCAGUUCAUUAACAUGUACAUUGGUCUACAUAUGGAUGAUGAUAGGUACCUAAGCACUUUAAAGUCAUAUGUGCGUAAUAGAACUUUUCUAGAAGGUUCUAUUGUAGAAAGGUACCUUGCAAAAGAAUGUACAACAUUUUAUUCUAGGUACUUGAAUGAUGUGGAAAUAAAGUAUAAUCACAAUGAUAGAAACUUUGUUGGUUUCAACACUAGAGGAGAUGAAAGGGGUUAUCUUUAAACAUAUUGGACAUGCAUUGGGAAAGCCCAUAUUUCAUUAACUUAGUUCAAAAGAGUGGUCACAAGCACAUUUAUAUGUGUUGACAAAUUGCGAAGAUGUCAUACCAUUCAUUGAGUAAAAAAUUUAUUUGAAUUUUAAUUAAAGCUCUAGUUUAUAUCCUUAAUCAAUGUUUUUUAAAUUCACAAGGAGCACAAGCAAACCAUCAAGGCUAGACCACAUAUACGUGUUUGAGACGUAGAUUUAAUUCAUAACAAGGAAUUUAUCAAGUGGUUUGAAAGACAUGUAAGUAUAUUCCUUAUUAUAAGGGAUUUAUUUCACAUUAUGUUUAUAUUGAAUCCAAACCUAUUAUUGAAUUGUAGGUUGAACAAUUACAUAAUGAAGGUCAUAUAUCUGAACACCUUCUCACAUUAUCAUGUGUUCCAAAUUCAUUAGUUACAUGCUUCAAAUGAUAUAUUGUCAAUGGAUUUAGAUCCCACAUUAAAGAACGUGAUAAAAAAGUUUUUAAAAAAAGACUCAGAAUAAUGGAAUUGUUGUAGUUGCAAAAACGUCAAGCUUUACAAGUGCAUGUGAUAUGAGUCCAAUUAUUAGUGAUGCUCUCUACUAUGGUGUUCUAACUAAAGUUGUUGAGUUACAUUAUCUUGGUGAAAAUAAGGUUGUUUUAUUCGAGUUUGAUUGGUGGGAUGUUACAAAUAUUGGAAAAUUGAUAAAAGAUGAUGAGUACAAUUACACAUUUGUUAACUUUGCAUGAAUUCUAACCACGAACGAACGAUUUGUACUUGCAUCUCCAGCAAAGUAAGUGUUCUAUGUGAAGAAUGCGAAUGAAUCAGAUUGGCAUACUAUCAUGGAGAUGCAACCUCAAGACCUCUAUAAGAUGAACGGGAUAGGAUCCAAUGGUGAUUUUGAACCAUUUCAACAAAGUGAACUACAUGAUCACUAAUAUAUCUCAGAUUUAGUUGAUGAAGAUAUAAUCAAGUGGAACAAAAGUGAUGUUUUAGGACUAAUCAUCCUAAAAAAUAUUGUAGUUUCUUAAAAAAAAAAUGAAAAUGAAGAAGAUAAUUGAACCUUUGUCAUACUUUAAAAAGCAACUAUGCAUUGUUCAUUUUGUAUGUUUUGGUUUUCUUCAUUUAAUUUCCUGAUUUUUGUGAUUCAAUGUCAUAUUAUUGAUCUUGAAAUAUUUUUCUAAUUUUUCAUUCUACGAUGGUUUCAACAAGGAUGACAUCAAGUCAAAAAAGGAAAUGUGGUCCCACACACAAUAUUGCAUUACAGGGAUUAAGGUCAGGGAAGAAGGUAAAAGUUGCAUUUAAUGAGUACAAUCAAUUGGUUAAACAGAAAAAUGGAAAACACUUAUCGAGCUACAUAGGGACACUUGUAUCUAACCAACACAAUGUACCUCUCCAAGCUAGUGAUUGGAAAAAUGUUCCAAAUGAUGCAAAAGAGAAAGUAUGGCCUUUGUUUUGGUAUGUUGUAUUUCUCACUAUAUGAUGUCAUUUCACUGUUAUUCUAUUUUGUGACUAACGUUUGAAUCAUAUGUAAGAAAAAUUUGAAGUAGAUAAAGACUGAAAAGAUUACAUGUUGGGUAUAGCCUCAAAUAAAUAUAGAAGCUAUAAAAAUAUGAUGAAUGCAAAAUACUAUGACCCUUGGCAUAAGGAUGCAUGAGGAGAGGUUAAUACAUAAAUCACCAUUUGUCUCUGAUGUUGAUUGGAAGUGGCUUGUCUCUGAUGCAUAAACCAAAUCCCCCACUGAAUGUUUGAUAUUUGAUAGCAGGAAAAACACACCCGCAGCUAUACACCUCCAUCAUUCAGAUAAUUAUAGUGGGGGAGAUGAUUCAUGGUUGCCCUUAUACCCUUUAUUUGCACCAUCUAUUGAGAUUCUUUAUCAUGGCCAGGUUUUACUGCAGCAAUAAGAUAUGGUGGCAACAAUUUUAUCUAUAGGUGCGGUUCCAGACCGCCUCCAUAGGUGCGGUUCCUGACUGCCUCCAUAGGUGCCUCUUCUUGUAAUGUUUGUUCUGGGAAUUACACUUGAAAGCCUUAUCGUGAUAAGGGAUUACAAACACUAGUUCAGAGGACAGCCAUGUUAAACUUCCACUAUGUUUGUGUCACAUUAUCAGCAGCCUAGUGUUUAUUGGUCAUGCUAUCUGCAACUAAUAUAACCCGGUGAACUUCAAUCUAAAUUCUGAAAGUACUCAUGUGACAGAUGGUGCCUUUCAGCAGAUAUCAUCAAUUUAAAAGUAGUGUGUGUGCCUAUAGGUGGGAAGGCCUUGGCAAAUGUUCAGUAUUCCGGUAAUUCAAGAAGGAUAUAUCUAAAAUAGAUUUUCUUCUUGCCCAUUUCAAUAGUUAAAAUUUGAGAAGAUUGUGUCCACAUCACACAAAUAUUAUUGGUCCUUCUGUUGCAAUUUACCUCUGAACAUGUCUUCCAAUUCCCACGGUCCUGUUACUCCAGGAAAACUAUUUCGGUCAUAUUGAAAAAAAAAAUAUUAAAGAAGGUACACAUGCUUUUAAGUGGACUGGGGCAUUCAUAUCAGGUGGUCUGUAUCCACAUAUGCCACUUCGUGAAAGGUGGAACAGCCUAAUCACUAGGCUAUUUAGUGUGGCCCAGCCACGUUAAUCAAGCACAAGUCUUCAUACUUAAAGUCAAAUGGUGUCUUUAGUCUCAUUACACAUCGCUAUUUGAAGAUUAACUCAUCACUAGUGUAAUGCGAUUAAGACAGUCCUAACUCAAUAUUUGUUCUAGUUUUGGAUGCAAAUGCUUGCUGGUUUCAUCAUUGGAUGGGAUAAAGGUGCAAUCAGGACUAUGAAUACGUGCAGUAAUACUUCAUUCUCUUUUUUCUCAAUGAGACUUCUUGGCACAAUUUUGCUGCUCAGCAACCUACCUUUCCAUGGAAAAUCAGUUGUGACUGAUAGUAAUGGAUAUAUUCUAGAAAGCUAAACAUAGAUAGCAUUCAAUAUUAUCGAUAUAACAUUAACAGCGUAUGUCUCAAUGCUCAUCAGCUACAAGCAAUGGACAAACACUUUGAGUAACUCACAGCAGUCAAAAUUCCUAAACAGGACAGACGUGACAGAUCUAUAUAUAGAACACUGCAUAUGAGUCACAGGAAAAGAUAAUACGGGUACAUAGAAGCUCUUAUUUUACAUAUUACUCAUACUGAUCAAAGUCGCUCAGUUGGGAUGGAUGGGAGAAGGAGGUUUGAGGGGUGGCUUGUGCGGGGAAGUUGGCAGCUUCUUUCCGGGAGCUGGUUGCUUCUUUGCUGGAGUUGAAGGAGGCUUAAUCUUCCGAGGUGGCUUGUAUGAGUCUUCAGCAUUCUCAGCAGGAGGGUGACCAGGGUUGUGACCAUAAUGUGGUGGCUUCUCUCCCUUAGGUGGUUUGCCAACUGGGGUUGGUGGCUUGUUUUCUGGGAGUGGCUUCUCUCCCUUGGGUGGUUUGCCAACUGGGGUUGGUGGCUUGUGUUCUGGGAGUGGCUUCUCCCCCUUGGGAGGUUUUUCGAAUGGGGUGGGUUUGUGUCCUGGUGGUGGCUUCUCUCCCUUGGGAGGUUUACCAAUUGGGGUCGGUGGCUUGUGUUCUGGGAGGGGCUUCUCUCCCUGGGGAGGUUUAGUGGGUGGCUUGUGUUCUGGAGGUGGCUUCUCCACCGGAGGCUUAUGCUCUGGUGGUGGCUUCUCGAAGGGGGGAUGCUCAGGGUAAUCACCAAGUGAGGGGGUGGUGAGAACCACCAUGCCAAGCAACAACACUAGCAAGUAUGUAGUAGACAUCUUUGGGUUUGGACUCAGACAGUGCAAAACUACGAGAAAUCGCUAGCCCUUUAUAGCGGCUCGGACCUAAUACUGACAUAAUAUAAAAUAAAUAUUAUAUUUUAUCAAGAGAGAACAGAGUGUAAUUUUAUCAUUAAUACCGAUCGAGGCCAAAGAAAGAAGACCCAUAAUCCAUUUCCCACAAGCAUACACAAUGCAGCUGUAAUUUUAUCAUUUACUUUUAUCCCUUGGACCACUGCAUUUUUGUUGAGAGACACAAUAACACAUUUUUAUCUGUCAUUCAACAUUUACAGUAAAGAGAGGGCACAAAACGCAAUUAGAUAAAUUAUGUUUUGCCUGCUAAAAAGAGGCAAAUAACUUUAUUUGCAACAUAAUUAUUUUGGUUUCUAGUGACCCCGGGGCCUUUCGGUUGGUUUGGGAUCGGAAAAUGAACAUCAUAGGGGGGGUUGUGCCCUUAUGGGCAUAUAUAUCUGAUAGCUUCAACUGGCCUUGUUCCUAGAAAGAAAUUGCCAAAGAUAUAAACUUAUUCCAGGCUGAAAGUAGAUGAGAGUCAUAAUGAACAUCAACCUUUGUUCAGUUUGAUUCAAUGCCCCCAUAGUGUUCAUUUCACAGAUCUGAAUGAUUAUAUCCGUUGAAUACAUAAAUUAAUGAAGACAAAUAUGAAACCCAAGAUACAUCUCUGCAUAACAACCCCAACCCUGGUUGCUAUGUUUCCCUUCUUCUAUUCACAUGAGGAUACUGGUUAUAAUUGUCAAACUUGCAACAAGCCCUUUGACACCUAACGUCAAUGGACGAAUUAAAAGUCUCCUUCAAACGUCUAUUUCACAGCAUGAAGCUUAUAAAGGAUGCUGACAACCUUCAGAGUUAGCGACAAAAGAUAAUUAUCAAGGAGAGAUAGUUCCAUGAGAAUUCCAAGGAGUCUGAAUCAAAGACAAAUUGCUCACUCAAGGGUUCUUAUUUUCUUUUAGGUACAAAUCUCUUGAGUGUUGUUAAAGAAACACGUCACUGUCAUUUUGAUUUGCAUUUAACAUUUCACUUUUGUUCUGGAAGGUUUGUUCCGGAAACAUAUCAAAUGAGCAUCAUUUUCUUCUUCGGUGACACAUGGUCGCGAGUACGUGGGUCCAUUUUCAUGCCACUUAGUUGAAAAGUUGGAAAGAAAAAACAUGCCAACAAGAAGAUAGUGAGAGAAGGGGCACUUCAAGCCUUUAACAUGAACAAACAGUAAAUAAAAGAUGUUUCUCCACUCAUAAAAGUGUGUUAGAUAGCAAUAUAACGAAUCACAUCCAAAAUCUUUACUAGGCUCAAACAUAAAGAAGACUCAUUUUUAAGAAAAGAUAAAAAUGGCAUUGUCUGAUAGUAUCCAAUACACGAGAUGGCACUUAAUUUGUACAAGAUCUGUCAAUGCUGACGCACAUUUUCUGAUUAAAAAAAAACUGAUCAGUCAAAAGCAAUGAAGAGAAGUGAUGACAAUGAAUGAUGCUUCCAAUAUUUUCACCCCUUAUAGUGUUCUUCAUGAUUCAGAUAUAUAAUUGGAAAUAGAACAACCCUAUGCCAUACAUUCGUCUAAGUAUGGUGUCUAAUUUUUUGUGUCAGCGGUUGCGAAUGGAGCGUGCAAAAGUCCAAAUUGGCGUCUCUCCAUUUCCACAUAGGAAGGUGACCUUUAUUGACAAAUACCCAAUAUUUGUAGACAUUCCUUAAAUAUCAUAACUUCUUGUUGAUUUGAAAAUCAUUUUUCAACUACCAUGUUUUAAUAAAUAUUUUUUAAAAUGUAUUUUUAUCAAAGUCCACCAUGAUGGAUAAUAUUCACCAUGCAAUAAUUAAUAAAGUACAAACUAAGCGAAAUGAAAAGCAUUUUCUUUGCUUUGAGUUGAUUUUGGUUGCAUUGAGUUGAUUUUGGUUUCAUGGUUUUUUCAACUCUUAUUUUGAUUGGAAGAUGUCAAGAAAAGAAAACAUAAAGAAAAAUUAAAAGGGAAAAAAGAAGAAAAAUAAAAAAAAAUAGAUUUAAAAGUUAAUAAAUUAUUUUUUAUAUUUAUUUUAAUUCAUUUCACUUAUUUUUCUUUUACUAUAUAAAAUUUAAAUAAUUUAAAUUUUAUAAUUAAUUUAAUUACAUUUCAUUUUCUUCUAUAUUUAAAUAUUGGAAAAAUAUUUUACUUAAUAUUUUUUUCUUUAAUUUCUUUGGCAUUUUGGGAACCAAACUUAGCCUUUAAAAUAAAAAACAAAAAAAAAAUGAAAAUAAGGAGGGAAAAGUGAGAAAAGAUAAAAACAAUAUGUAAAGGAUUUGAAAAGUAUUAGUUUGUAAUUACUAUUUGGAUUUCAAUAGUAUUUUAUUUGUCUUUCUAUAUUUCAUGUAAGAGAGAAUUUAAGAUAUUCCCCAAGGCAAAGCAUUAGUUACCUGCAAUCAGUGGUGAUAAGGCUCCAAGCCAAUUUUGGGCCCCAUAUCUUAAGACAGUACAAUUUCCAUUUCAACAUUUCUGAUUUCUCAGAUGUUUCACAUACCACAGAAGAACAUUGUUUGUGAAAAUAUGCAUUUAUGUUGGAUUUUGUAUGCUGUGGGGACUGGGGCAAGGAUCAUAUGGAAGAGUGGUUGACUUUUUCUGUACUUUAACGGUUGAAAUAGGAUAAGCACGGGCAUUUGUGAGGCUUAAUUGAUUUUGAAGCCUGAAAUUGCGUUUCUGUCAUUUUGUCAAAAAAAUGGCAGAUUCCAUACUCAUAUGUUUGGCCUGUGGCCAUGUACAGAUGCCAUUUAGUGACCAGUUUGUAACUGUCAAUCGUUGCGUUUUGACUCUGCCUCAACAACAUCUGCCAUUGACGGGUUUUCAUACUUGCAAAUCAAAUAGUCUUUCGUCCCAUCAGGAAUUUCGGUUUAAAUAUUAUUAAGCAUACGUUUGGCUGACAAUCAUUAUCCAGUUCAUGAUUUGGUUUCUUACCCUUAAUCAAUGGUUUCUAAGUGAAUAUAUGUAGAAGGAAAUCCGAAGUGUAGACAGUAGUAUCGAUAACUCUCAAUAUUCUCUAUAUAAUAGAAUAAACAGCGUCAUAGUGAUCGUCGCCUACAAGCAAGGUACAAAUACCAAAACGAGUGACUCACAUAGACAUCUCCCAACAAGAUGUAGUAGUGACUGACACAUGGACACAAUUAACUCGUAGAAAAGGAUAAGACCAUUGCACAGCAGCUCUUAUUUUACAUACUACUUAUGCUAACCAAAGUCAAUUAGUUGGGAUGGGUGGGAGAUGGAGGUUUGUGCGGUGGCUUGUGGGGCGGAGUUGAUGGCUUCUUUCCAGGAGCUUCUGGCUUUUUCAUCGGAGCUGAAGGAGGCUCAAUCUUAUGAGGCGGCUUGUAUGAGUCUUCUUUACUCUCGACAGGAGGGUGGCCAGGGUUGUGAUCAUAAUGUGGUGGCUUCUCUCCCUUAGGUGGCUUGCCAACUGGGGUUGGUGGCUUGUGUUCAGGAAGUGGUUUCUCUCCCAUGGGAGGUUUAGCAAUUGGGGUUGGUGGCUUGUGUUCUGGGAGUGGCUUCUCUCCCUUGGGAGGUUUAGUAGGUGACUUGUGUUCUGGAGGUGGCUUCUCCACCGGAGGCUUGUGCUCCGGUGGUGGCUUCUUGGUUGGAGGGGGCUUGGGGUAAUCAGCAAGAGAUGGGGUGGUGAGAACCACCAGUCCAAGGAACAACACUAGCAAGUAUGUGGGAGACAUUUUUGAGUUUGGGCUGAUCAGAUGAUGCAAAACUAAAGCAUUACGUGACCUUUUAUAGCAUGUAGCUCCCAAUACCCACUAAGUAUUGUGGGGUCCAUUUGUGCCCUACGGGGUUGAAAACUUAGACAAUUGGGCAAGGACCCACCUGACUAUGGAGGACUAGUGAGGUGUGAUCAUAGCUUUAGGAUUUUUCUUCCUCUGCAGCCGUCGUGCCGUUGGCAUGAUUUUCUUAAUCUUAAAUAAAGGCAUAGUUAUAGAGUUGUUUAAUCUCUAAAUGGGAUUUUAUAUAUAUCUUCAGAUAGCCAUUAAUAUAUUUGAUGAAGAAAGAAAGACAAGUGCAUACAACAUGUAUACGACUAGCUUUCAUGGAGUUCAUUUAUGAUCAGUUUUCCUGUACAUGUAAACCAGGAUCAUAUAUAUGUUUCUGUUCCACAACUAUUUUGGAAUCUUGUUUAUCAGUUUUUAUCAUUAUAAUGUCACAUAGGCUGCCAACUUGGGCGCUAAAAGAACCAGUUGGGCUAGUUCGUUUCAGAAUUUCAAUGUGGAUUCAGGAAUUGUUUUGUAAGAUAUGCGAAAUAGUAGAGGGAUGAAUAGUGUUUCAUUAAUAAAAGUGUCCUGUAAAUUAGAAGGUGUCAUAGAAACUAUAAUCAAUAAAUAACUUUUUUUCCCCACGGGUGGUGUUUCUUGUGGGGAUCAGUGACUGGUUUAGGUUCACCCAAAAUGAGUUCAGACUAAAAUUGGUUUGAGUCAAUGCCGUGUCUCUUUUUUCCAGAAAUCAACUAUUUUAUGCAUUGAAUAAAUCAUACAAAGAAAAUAUGAACGCCCGCAAAACCUAAACCCUGGUUGCUAACUUUCUAUGUUUCAGUUCUAUUCACGCAAGAAUAUUAGUUUAAGUUUGGGAAAAAUGGCAACUUACCUAGUGAUUACUUGGUUUUGGUUUGCGACUAUUUACGCAACCAACCAUGAGUUUGACUUUAACGUCAUGGGUUGAAGCCUCCUACAGGAAGGGAGAAAGCUCCACAGCUAGCUCCAAAAGAGAAUUAUCACAUUGAUAGCUCCAGAGAUUCCCAAGGGGACUGAAUCAAAGACAAGUUCCUCACUUUUUCUUCUUUUGAGGCCAAAUAUGAACCAAGGAUCACACAACCUCAUUCAACUUCAUAAGUUUGAUUUCAUGCAGUUGAACACUGGGUGAAGGCCAUGACAAGAAUUGAUUCAAAAAUUCUAUCACUCUUUUAAGUAAUGGAAGAUUAUUAUCUCUGAUUGGCAUCACAACAGCACAUGCUCCUAGAUCUUUCUAGACACUCCAUGCAAUGAAAGCACAAUGGAUCUUGUAACGAUAGAAACUAAGCCAUGCUACAGUACUAGAUGAUGAGGUAAAACUAGUAGACACGGGUGGCAGCCUAUAUGGGAGGGACACAAGUCUAAUUGAUUUGCAUUUCAGCAUUAUAGAUAGGUAUGUUUUGGAAGAUUUGUUCUGGAAAUACCGCACCAAGUAGGAUUCUUUUUCUCUUUAGUGGGUCCACUUGCAUGCCAAUUAACGAGUUGAAAAGUAUGAGCACCUACCUCGUGCUCGUGGAACCGAAGGUCAGUGAAGUGGGGCUCCUUUUGGCCUCGUGUAAACUUGAUUCAGAAGUGAAGUUAAUAGUCUUCCAUUCAGAUGGAUACAUGGGAAUUUUUCUCUUUUAUUUAUUUAUUUAUUUUUUUUUUGUGUGUGUAUGUCAAAGGAUAAUGAAUGAAGCGCGUUAGCUUGUUUUCUGACUGGAACCGCAGAUGUCCAAAUUGGAGUUCCUUCAUUUCUUACUUAGGAUUGUUACAUGUAUAAACAAGGUAUAAGAAAUAUGCCAACGUGUCUUGAGGAGUUAUUGAUUAGAAAUAACAAGUCACCCGACUGUAGAGUUCCAAGAUUUGAAUCUUCAGACCCUAUAGCAGCCUCUGGGGUACGUGGCAUCCUAUAGCAUAUUAAUGAAGGCUUUUUCGAUUUAGACUUCACAAUACCAAUUAAUAUGUAUGCACAAAAUGGAGAUGACCCCAAAAAAAACAGAAUCGCCAUAGUUUAUGAGGUUAAGGUGAUUCUCCACUUAAUAUCUACAUUAGCUAAUUAUGUAAAUCAAAUGAACUUCUAUUUUUCCUUUUUUUUUUUGGUUUAUGUCAAAUAGUAGCCCAUAAUUAACCCAACCAUUAGCCUGUUUGAAUUGAUUUCACAUGCACAAUGUUGUAGUAGUUCAUAUUUUGAAUUUUAUUUUUACAAAGGUAGUUAAGGAAAAUGAAGUAUAAUAAUUAUAAAAGCAGACUAUAUACACUACAAUAAUUGUUAGAAUGGUAUCUCAAAUUCUAAUUUAAAAUAUUAUUUUUUGUAAAAGAAAUAUUAUAUAGAAUAUUUCCUAAUUUUAUAAAUGAUUAUAAUUAGAUCUUUAUAAAAUAAGGAAAGUUGGUAAGAAUAUCUUUAUAAAUAUUUUAGGUCAUGAGAGAAAGAAAUGGGAUAAAAAUGUGAUGAAGAGGUGAAAUAAGAGAGUUGAUUAGGAUAUAGAUGUGAAGAAGAAAGGGAUUCAAUAUAUAUAUAUCUUUCAAUUACCACAUUAAAACCCUGUGAACCUUUUAUAUGGUUUACUUUAUUUUUAUAUUCCUCCUUUAAUAUAUUUACAUUAAUGCUUCCAUUGGCACAACAAUAACGAAUUACAAAUACAAGCAACAAGUCCCAUGUUUUAUUACCAAAAGCAGGUAAAAUCCACCUAAUAUAUUACAAUAUAUUCAUCCAAUAUUUUAGACCAAUUCUUCACCAUAAAUAUCAUAAUGUGGCUUUUGUUCUUUCUUAAAUUUAAAUUGAAUUGUCUUAUAUCAAUUUGUUUGUGAUUUUUUCAUUAACUUCACUUUCAUUUGGUUAUCUUUGGUUUUUGAAAAGUAUUAAGGAAUUAAUUAACAAAAUAAUGUUAAGAAAAAUAAUUUUCUCUCUUUUGAUUUUGAUUUUGUAGUAGAAAAAUAUAAUUAAAAUUAUUUAAAAAGUAUGUAAUUUUAAAUUAUUUAAUAUUUAGAUAAAAAAAAUAAGUCUAAUGAGUUUAAAAUAACAUAUAAAAAUAAUUUAUUUAUUUUAAAUUUAUUUUUUAUUUUCCAUUAUGUUCUCUUUCUCUUUUACUUUUUCAUAUUUUUUCUUACGAAGAAUCAAACACAACCUCAUAUUAUAUGUCAAGUGUUUGUCUAUAUUUGAGCAAUGUUAGAUACGGCCAUGGAUUCAUCAAACUAAACUGAUUUUAAUAGAUACUUCACAAAUUGAUUUAUACACUAAAUCAUUGGAUAGCAAUGAUGCAUUGGAAUUAAACGUAGGAUGAAGCUCGAAGAACACUGUUUGUGUAACAACAUAUUUAUGAAAUUAUGCAAAGGAUGAGCUUCGGGGUAGUAGUACAAGGUCAUUAAUGGAGAGCCGUGUUAAACCUUGAUUGUGAUUGGAUUCCGUUAUCAGCAACAGCAACCUUGUUUGUAACCUUGAAAGUCAUUCUGUCCACAUCGAAACUCCAAUUUGACGUUUGUAAUUACCAUUCCUGGAGUGUUCCUUGAUUGAAAUUUAAAUAAUAAUUGCGGCCCACAAGGAAUAUUUUCGAUUCUGUGGGAAUUUGACAAGGUUUGUUAGAGAAGACUGGUGACAUGUUGACUUCAAUGGUUCAAAUAGGAGACGUAUGUGGAUUUGGGGGGUUUAAUUGAAACUGAGUCCCUAUGGCUUUUUAAUAUUUGCAUUGAGCAGUCUCCAUGUGACUUCCUAAUUCCCACCAACCCUCCUGUCCAUGCUGUGAAACUAAAUUGUAAUUUAUCAGCCUUUGUCAAUGGUUUCUAAAUUAAAGAUAUAGACCAUGCAUGUACUUUAAUAAAAGCAAAUCUAAAGUGUAGAUAGCAGCAAUGGUGACACCCAAUAUUCUCCAUAAAAUAGAAUUAGAAUAAGCAGUGUUACAUUGUUCAUGAUCACCUACAAGCAUACAAGAACUUCCAUGAAUAACUCAUAGCAAUUGCCAACAGGGCGUCGUAGAGACUCAUACAUAGAACACUAUCCACCCAGAGGAAAGGACAAGACCAGUGCGCUGCAGCUCUUAUUUUUCACAUGUAUACCACCACUCGUAAUAACCAAAUUCACUCAGUUGGGAUAGGUGGGAGAUGGUGGUUUGUGGGGUGGCUUGUGGGGAGGAGUUGGAGGAGGCUUUAUUUUCUGAGGCGGCUUGUAUGAGUGUGCAGGAGGAUGCCCGGGAGUGUGACCAUAAUGUGGUGGCUUCUCUCCCGUAGGUGGUUUGCCAAAUGGGCUUGGUGGCUUCUCUCCCUUAGGAGGUUUACCAAUUGGGGUUGGUGGCUUGUGUUCUGGGAGUGGUUUCUCUCCCUUGGUAGGUUUGCCAAUUGGGGUUGGCGGCUUAUGUUCUGGGAGUGGCUUCUCUCCCUUGGGAGGUUUGCUAAUUGGGGUUGGCGGCUUAUGUUCUGGGGGCGGCUUCUCUCCCUUGGGAGGUUUGCCAAUUGGAGUUGGCGGCUUAUGUUCUGGGAGUGGCUUUUCUCCCUUGGGAGGCUUGCCAAUUGGGGUUGGCGGCUUAUGUUCUGGGGGUGGCUUCUCUCCUUUAGGAGGUUUGCCAAUUGGAGUCGGCGGCUUAUGUUCUGGAAGUGGCUUUUUUCCCUUGGGAGGUUUGCCAAUUGGGGUUGGCGGCUUAUGUUCUGGGGGUGGCUUCUCUCCCUUGGGAGGUUUGCCAAUUGGAGUCGGCGGCUUAUGUUCUGGGAGUGGCUUCUCUCCCUUGGGAGGUUUUGUUGGUGGCUUGUGUUCUGGAGAUGGCUUCUCCCCUGGAGGCUUGUGCUCCGGAGGUGGCUUCUGAAAUGGCGGGGGCUUGGGGUAAUGAGCAAGAGAUGGAGUACUGGUGAGAACCACCAUUCCAAGCAACAAUACUAGCAAGCAUGUGGGAGAC